GACUUUAAUCGCCGAAGGAGUUUUUGAGGUGGUGGCUGACAGAGCUCCAGAGUCUGUAGCAGAUGAAAGACCUACUGAGCGAACACUAGUAGGCUUGCAAUCACAACUUGAACAAGUCUGGAGAUGUCUUAUAGAAGAAUCAGCGGGAAUCAUUGGCCUAUAUGGUAUGGGCGGUGUUGGUAAAACUACACUAUUGAUCCAUAUCAACAAUAAAUUUCUCGAGAGUCGAACCAACUUUGAUUUUGUGAUUUGGGUAGUAGUUUCAAAAGACCCGCGACUCGAAAAAAUUCAAGAAGAUAUUGGGAAAAGGAUAGGUUUGGUUGAUGAUUCAUGGAAGAGUAAAAGUGUAGAGGAGAAAGCUCUCGACAUCUUCCGGAGUUUAAGAGAGAAGAGAAUUGUAUUGUUGUUAGAUGAUAUAUGGGAGCGGCUUGAUUUAACAAAAGUGGGCGUUCCACUUCCCGGACCAAAAAAUACUACCUCAAAAGUCGUAUUCACAACCCGUUUCUUCGAUGUUUGUGGUAGCAUGGAAGCUCACAGGACGUUCGAAGUGGCAUGCUUAUCAGAAAAGGAUGCUUGGGAACUGUUUCAAGAAAAAGUAGGAGAAGAAACUCUUAAGAGUGAUCAUGAUAUCGCUGAGCUAGCCCAAACCGUGGCCAAGAAGUGUGGUGGUUUGCCGCUCGCACUUGUUACUAUUGGUCGAGCUAUGGCCAGCAAAAAGACAGCCGAGGAGUGGAGACAUGCAAUUGAAGAGUUAGGAAGAUCAGCUUCAGAGUUUCCAGGUUUGGGAAAAGAGGUGUAUCCUGUUUUAAAAUUCAGUUAUGAUAGUUUGCCGAAUGAGACGAUUAGAUCUUGUUUCUUAUAUUGUUGUUUAUAUCCUGAAGAUUAUGGCAUUCUUAAAUGGGACUUGAUUGAUUGUUGGAUUGGUGAGGGAUUCUUAGAGGAAUCUAACAGGUUUGGUGCAGAAAACCGAGGAUACUACAUUGUGGGCACUCUUGUUCAUACGUGUUUACUAGAAGAGAUAGAAGAUGAUAAAGUAAAAAUGCAUGACGUUGUUCGUGAUAUGGCUCUAUGGAUAGCUUGUGAAACUGAGAAGGAGAAGAUAAACUUUUUGGUUUGUGCAGGUGCUGGAUUAAAGGAGGCACCGGAUGUUAAAGGAUGGGAAAAUGUGAGAAGAUUGUCAUUGAUGCAAAACCAAAUUAAAGUUCUGUCAGAGGUUCCUACAUGCCCUCAUCUCCUCACUUUAUUUCUUGACUUUAAUAGAGAGUUAAUGAUGAUCGCGGGUGGCUACUUCCAAUUUAUGCCUUCUCUCAAAGUUUUGAAGAUAUCAAACAUUGGGUAUUUCAACGUUUUGAAAUUACCUUUGGGGAUGUCAAAGUUGGGUUCACUAGAACUUCUCGAUAUUUCACAUAGCAGCAUAGAGGAGUUACCAGAAGAGUUAAAGUUGUUGGUAAAUCUGAAAUGUCUGAAUUUGAGGUGGACAGAUGUGUUAAAUAAAAUUCCACGGCAACUAAUAUCAAAUCUUUCAAGGGUACGUGUGUUGAGAAUGUUCGCUACUGGCUAUGAUCGUUUUCAUGAAGCAUCAGAAGACAGCGUUUUAUUUGGUGGGGGUGAAGUUUUGAUACAGGAAUUGCUCGGUUUGAAAUAUUUAGAGGUAUUGGAGUUGACCUUGGGAAGUUAUCAUGCUCUCCAAAUUCUUUUGAGCUCAAAUAAGUUAAAAAGUUGUAUUCGAUCUCUUCUCCUCUUCGGGUUCAGAGGUACAAAGUAUUUUAUUGAUGCUACGGCUUUCGCAGAUCUAAAGCACCUCAAUGAAUUACAGAUUCAUGAUUGUAGGGGGUUGGAAGAGUUGAAGAUUGAUUACACAGAGAUAGCACAAAAAAGGCGGGAACCUUUUGUUUUCCGCAGCCUUCGUCGUGUUACUAUGGUUUCGUGCCAUAAAUUGAAAGAUUUGACAUUCCUCGUUUUUGCUCCAAACCUCAAGUCUAUUUCGCUAGGCGAUUGCGAUGCUUUGGAAGAAAUAAUCAGCGUUGGAAAAUUUGCUGAGGUUCCUGAGAUGAUGGGACAUCUAAGCCCUUUCGAAAAUCUCCAAAAUCUUGACCUAUCGUAUUUGCUGGCUUUGAAGAGCAUCUACUGGAAGCCAUUGCCUUUCACUUAUCUGAAAGAAAUGGUGGUAAAUGGGUGUGAUCAACUUAAAAAGCUUCCACUCGAUUCCAGCUGUGCAGAAGAGCGUAAAUUUGUUAUUCGCGGAGAAGCACACUGGUGGAACUGCCUUGAAUGGGAGGAUGAAGCCACUCAAAUUGCUUUUCGUUCCUGUUUCCAGCCUUAUUCCUGAGUGGUGGUUGCAAAAUUUGAUUUCUGGUGUGGUCUUUUAUUCUCUGUUUUUAUUUAAGUUUCUUUUCCUUUCCUUUUCCUUUUUUUUUUUAAUUUCUCCUGCAAAUCACAAUUAAACAUUGAAUUAUAUGGAAUUAAUGCUUUAUAAAUUUGCCGGCACUGCCUUUUUUUUUUUUUGUCGGAGUGAUACUCUAGCUUUUGACUUUUGGUUGUCAAAUUCUGCUCUGCCUUUUUAAAUUGAUGCUUUAUUUAUAUUUUCUUAGUGAUUUAGUUUCCUGUCAAAAGACGAACGAGAAGAACAUUUGAAUUAAAUAAAUGCUCGCAAAUUUGCGGUAAAAAGAUGUAAUUAGCCGAGAAAAUAUUAAAUAUAGUAGCCCUCUUUACAGAAAAUCAAGUGGAAGUUAAUUCAGCAAGUUAUAUUCUUGAUUAAUUCCUUUUCUGAAGUUUUUAUUUUCUAUGGUCAAUUAUACCUUCAUACUAAAAAUUGCUGCUAUUGGGUGUUGAGUGUUAUGCUAAAAUUUUGCCCUAUUUUGGGCCAAUAUUUUAGAAGUGAAACAUACUUCAGAGUUGAAGUAAACUUUGAAAAUAGAGAUAAUGAUUAAUUUAGAAGAGAUGCAAGUAAAAGAUAUUCUAAAAAAAAAAAAGCAAUAUGUCCCUUUGGAGGGCAAACUUGUCAGUUUGAAAAAGUUACAUGCUUUGGAUUGAUAGUUGCAGGAUAUUUGUUUUGUCACUGUGUAUUAGGUGCGUUUGGAAUUGAAGUGUUGUAGUUUUUAAGUUAUAAUUGUUGUAAAAAAAAAUUGUAACUAUAAAACAAAAGUUAAUAAUAUAUAAUAAAUUUAAAUUUAAAUAAUAAUUUUAAUAAAAUUAUUAAAGAUAUAAUAGAUUAUUUAUUAUACAAGUGAAAAUUAUAUCAACAUAUCUUUCAAGUUACAAUAGUUAUUGAUUACUAAACACUUUACUGUUGUAACUUUUAAGUUAUAGCUAUUUAACCUCAAUUCCAAACGCAUCGGAGAAGUCACGCCUAGUGAAGAAUGUUAUGAAAGAGCAAAGGAUAUUCCUAAUCGAGCUCUAUUUGAUUAUGUAUCCAGUGAAUGGAUGUGUUGUUGGAAGAUAUUUGAGUGCAUUAGUUCAUUUGUGUCGGUCAAUGUGCUUUUAAUGAUUUUUCCACUUGUUUGUUGUAAAAGAUUAUUGUAAAUUGAAAUGAAUUGGAUGUUGUAAUAUUUUCUCUUUAGUGGAAUUUCACCUUGUAUGUAUUCAGUUGUGUUGUCUAAAAUUUUACAUUCGAAUAAGUUUUCACCUAAAAUAUUAGCAUGAGUUGUGGCCCUUGAAACUUUGGUCAAAAUUAUUGUUAUUAUUUCUUACUAGAUGUAAACUUUUUAUUAAACCUCGUUAACAUAAUUCUUAAUUAAAAGUAUAGGUUAGUGUCGGUGCAGAAUUUGCAACACCAAAUCCUGCCUAGGCAAGUGUCAAAAGUGCAAAAUAAAUGAAGAGAAAGCACGAAUACAUGAUUUAGAUUAGGAUAGAAGGAAACUUAAAUCCUAGAGAAAAGGAUAGCUAUAUCCCAAGAUUUAAAAAAAUAGUCAUGUAGAUUUUUAAGAUUUCAAUAAGCGACUAAGAUUUUCUUUUGACAAAUAAUUUCCUUUAGCUCUAUUAACAAAAAAAAUAAAGACUCAAAUAUUUUAUAAUAAAUAAAAUAUAAUAUUAAAAUAUAUGUGAUAAUAUAGAAAUUUUAAAUAAUUUCAAUCCAAAUAAAUAGUUAUGUUUUACAAGCUAUUAAACAUAUUUUAUUAAAUUAAUAUAAAUGUUUUAUAAAAUAGGAACAUAAUAUUAAAAUAAAUUUACAAAAUUUUUAAGAAUUUUGAAUGUAAAAUAAUUUUAAUAUAUUAAUACGUGAGAUUUUUUUAUUAUUAUAAAAAUUAUUUAACUUUAAGAUUUUUUAAAAUCCUUACAAUAAGUAUAAAUAUAUUAUUUACAUUUAAAAAUAUUUAAAUAUUAUUAACCUACAAUUAUAUUUGCAUUUAUUAGAAAAUUUUAAAGUCAAAUAUUUUGCACUUCUACAUUAUUAGAAUUAUUGAACACAAAGAAAGAAACAUAUAUGCUUUAUAGCUUUAGAAAUUGUUUUCUUUUACAUCUGGAAACAAAGAUGAUGAUUAUUAUAAGGAUAAAAAAUGGAUAAAGAAUAUUAAUGAUUAACGAAAUCUCUGUGCAAAUUGAUUUUAGUAGAAAAAGAGUGAGAUGAAUGAUUUCUUUUACAACUAGAAACAAAGAUGAUGAUUAUUAUAAGGAUGAAAAAAAGAUAAAGAAUAUUAAUUAUUAAUGGAAUCUCUAUGCAAAUUGAUUUUAGUAGAAAAAACGAGCUAAAUGAUUUAGACAUUCAUUCUGUGUUUAUUUUUGUGAUUAGCAUUAAAAAUUGUUUAAUUAUCAAACGAUAAUAAUGUUAUUUUGUACUUAUGUUAUAAUUUAUAUUUGUGUUUAUGUAAUAUAUUAGAAAUUAUUAAUUAUGUUUUAAAUAUAUCUAAUUUUGAGUAUAUUUGUGUGUUUAUUAGGAAAAAUAUUAAUUUUAGAUAAAUUGAGGCUCCAAACAAUUAAACGGAGGUCAAAUUUGGAUUCCGGAGGUUUGAAAACCUUAAGAUCAGUCAAGAUCGGCUUAAAAUUAGGUUUGUGUAAAAAGAGUUGACUUUUUCUGCUGACCGAGCACUGAUUGGAUGAUGAAAUGAGCUUACAAUAGAUAUGAGUGCAUGGGAUAACUGGCAAUUUUGACUAAAUCUCAACCGUUCAUGAUUCAAUGGCCAUGAUUGUGCCAUGUGGUAGUGGUUGAUGAAGCAAGUUGUAGGAUCUGAAUCUUUGUAUACGGGUCGACCUGAUCCGCCCAUUAACUCGCCAAAUCACAACCGUUCUUUGGCCAAAUCGGACGAGUCAAACGAUGCCACAUGUGAAGUUGACUUUUGAAGUUUGACCAGCCAUUGGAUCUUGAUCUAAAGGUUGUGAGAGCAUGAAGCUUAUGGAGCUUAUGAUGGACCGCAAAACACUGGAUUAUAAAUUUAUUUUUCUAUAAAUAGAGCCUCAUUUUUAUGUUUUUAAUUAUCUCUACAUCUCUCUUCUUCUCAAAUUCUCUCCAUCUCCCUGUAAUAUUUUGUAUAAUUAUUUUAUUAAAUAAAUUUAGUUUUAUUUUCAAUUUUAGUUGUUUUUAUUACUUUUAAUUAUAAGUAAUUAAAUUUUAAUAUUUCUUUUUAUUUCAAUUAUGCUUAACUAAAUAAUAUUAGUUGGGGUAAGGUGAAACUCUUAGGAAAUAAAUAUGAUUUAAUCAAAUUUUAUUUUUAAUUUUAUAAAUUAAAUUAUUUUCUAUUUAAUUUUAUACAUAUUUUAUAUUUUAAAAUUUUGAUUUAUUGUAGACAAACAAAUAAAUUUGGCACAAUAAAUUCUUAAGAUCUUAAUAUAAGGUAUGGUAAAAUGGUAUUUUGACUUAUUGUAGACAAAUUAAAUUUUGACACAAUAAAUACUUAAUCCAUCAUAAAAUUAGAGGGAAAAUAAUAAUAAUUUAUAUAAUUAAUCUUUUGGGCAAUAAAUUUAAAAAAAUAGCAAAAAGAAUUUAUUGAGUUUUAUUUACUACUAAGAGUGGAUCCACAAUCCUAACUAGAUCAAUUUCAUAAUUUCAUUUAAAUUAAGUUGUUUUUAUUCAAGUUUUUAUUUCAAUUUUUAGAUAAAAUAAAUUAAAUUAAUUAAAUCUUUUCUCUGUAGAUCGACCUCAGACUCACCGAGGACUGACCAAGGUAUAAUACAACAAGACACUCUUAUAAUUAAGAGUUUAAAAUUACUUUUAAGUUGUGUCAUUUUGGAUUGGUGAAUUAGAAUUAUUGACAACGCUAACUUCAUCUUCACAAUUUGCAAUCCAAUAGCAGCAAUUGUCACCGAUAAUGAUAUCUCCAAUGAUAAUGACGAUUUUAUUAUUAUUAUUGAUAAAAAGUAUUAUAAUUAAUUAAUAUAUUAAUGUUAAUAUUAUUAUUAUUAAGAUUAACAAUAAUUAUUAAUAAUAACAAUUUUUUGAAUAAAAAUAAUUACAAUAAUUUAAAUAUAAAUUAAUAAUUAUGACAAUAAUUAAUUAAUGUCUUUUUAAUAAUUUACUGAUUAUCACAGUUCAAGUAAACAAAUUAUUAUGAUUCCUAUUCUCCAUUUCCAUUUCAGCUCACUCCGAUUCCAAUCCAUUUCGACUUCUGCCUAAAAAACUCACCAUUAGUGCUAUAGUAAUAUUUCAUAUAGAGAAAAGUAAAAUCUACACCUAAGAUUAAGGUAAAGGACUUCAAAACUCUCUUUUGAUUAUAAUACCUUUUGUCCUAAUUAACUUAAAGAUUUUGAAUCUAAUAUUUUAUAAUAAAUAAAAAUAUAUUCCUAAAAUAAAUAUAAUAUCAAUAUUUAAAGUAUGUUUUAAUAUUUUACAAUCUAUCAGACACAUUUUAUUAUAUUAAAGUAAAUUUUAUAAUAAAUACAAACAUACUAUUAAAAUGAAUAUACAAAAAAGUUUAGAGUAUUUUGAAUAUUAUAUAAAAUAAUUUUAAUAUAAUGCGUGAGAUAUAUUUUAUUAAUUUAAAAUGCUAUUUUACCUAAAAAUUUAUUUAUGAUAAAUUAAUAAUUAUAUUUUUAAAAUUAUUUUAAAUAUUAUAAAAAAUUUAAUAUUAUUAGUGUUUUAGAUAGAUUAAAUUAUUUUAAAAUGCCUUAAUUGUUUUUACUUUUAACGUUACCGGCCUUUCUUAUAUUUUAUUGCAGCUAACAAGAAAAAGCCAGAUCAUAUUCCACAAAAGCAAAAGUGACAAAACAACCAGCUGGAUUCUUUUAUUAAACUACAAAUUAAAGGAUCCCAUUAUCUUACAACUAAUGUAAGAUACAUCCCUCACAUAAAUAGUAUAUAAACUCCACAUAUAUACUGUUCAUGUGAGGAAAUGUACCUUACAUUAAGAUAGUGUUUGCCCAAAUUAAAAUAGAUUUUUUCGAUGAACUACAAAUUAAAGUGGAUUCUUUUGAAUAUAGCUGGGGUUAGGGUAGGCUCUUUUAUUUAAGGCAAGUCUAGAGUAGUCAAAGACGAUUAGGCUCUUUUAUUAAACUACAAAUUGUAUAGUCUUUUUCAAAUUGUUCAGAUGCUUAUAAAUUAGUGGCCCCUUGUAAAUUUAACUGGAAGUGCCAAUCAGAGAAAAGUUCAAUUCUAAAUAAUUGUUCCGAUAUUUAUAAAUUGGUGGCCCCUACAAUCCUCAAUAAUUGUUCCGAUAUGUAUAAAUUGAUGGCCCCUACAAUCCUCAAUAAUUGUUCCUAUAUUUGUAAAUUGGUGGCCCCUUAGAAAUUUAACCGCAAGUCUGCAAGUGACAAUCGGAGAAAAGUCAUAAUUUACAAUCUUCCAAGGGAAGUAGGGAACCAGGGGAUAUACAAAGAUUAAGACAUGUCAUUCAUUUUUUUGGCUGCAUUCCCUUUCGUGUUCUUAAUAAUUGAAGACAGGUUGUUCAUUACAUGCUUACUUUUCAAAUGUGGAGCCGCAGCUAAUGUCGCUACUUUAAUUUGGGAUUAAAUUAGGGAAACAUUAUAUUGUAGUAUGCACUAACUUGAUGUUUAUCUAAACUCCUUAAAUUUAAGACAGAUUAUGGCAUAAAUAAGAAUAUAACGAUAACAAAAGAGUAUAUAAAAUAUUUAGAGUAUUUUGAAUAUUAUAUAAAAUAAUUUUAACAUAAUGCAUGAGAUAUAUUUUAUUAAUUUUAAAUGCUAUUUAACCUAAAGAUGUAUUUAUGAUAAAUUAAUGAUUAUAUUUUUGAAAUUAUUUCAAAUAUUAAAAAAUUAAUAUUAUAGACUAAAUUAUUUAUAUUAUUUUUUAUUUAUUAAAAAAUUUUUAAGUCAAUCUUUUUAAUUACUAUUCAAAGAAUAUAAUGAUUAAAAAAAUCUUUAUGCCUUCAUUAAAAAUUUAAAAAUUUACAUAACGAUUUCUAUAAAUAUUUAGGGUAUAUAUGAAGCACGGUGGAGAAGCUUUAUUUAAUAUUAUUGAUUUAAAUAAUAUCUCAAUUAAAAAUGUACAGAGAAGAAAUUUCGGUGGGUAUUUUAGUCUUUUCAGCAAUUAUCAUGACCAGAUCUGCCUUUGGCCUUGAAACGUCGGUCAGAAAAGUUUUAAAGUGCUUUAAUUGUUUUUAAGGCCGCUAAUAACUCUGCUCGUGCAAGUUGAGGAUAAAUGUUAAAUUAAUUACAAAAGCAAAAGGCUAAUUUAUUGAAGACAAGUAAAGCAGUCACGAAUGGUACAUGCCUAAUCUUUUCUAUAUUUACAGAAACACAAUUUUUUUUCAAUCCGCCGCAGCUUCUGUUAAAAUUAUCUUGGUUUCUCGUAGUUGAUUUCUAUUAUCCCAAAAAAAAAAAAAAGGUAACUGUUGAUGCCGAAAAAUGAUUUCAACAGCUGAAUUUAUUUUUUUUGGAGAAUUACAGUGUGAAUCCAAGCUCAAACGCAAGUCUGAUCGCAACUUUCUAUAUCUGCUAAUCAGAAAACACAGUUAGGAUACGCCGGUGGGGUUUCGGCUAGACCUUCCGAUACUUAAGUCAGAAAUUAUGUAUAAAAGGAGAAAAAUGAGAAUGAAGAAUUAUGAAUGAGUUAAAGUCAAGUAAUUUUCCGGUAGAGGGGUUGAAAAUCUUGUAGAAGCUUUGGUUGAUUUUGCUAACCCCUUCACCUGAUGCGCUCUUCAGUUUAAAUAGACUCUUGGUCGUGUACGGUUACCUCCUUAACUUCAGAAGUUGCAAGUGGUUGUCAGUUGGAGGUGGUUUAAAUAGAUCGUGGCACACAACUUCCUUAUAAAUUAGGCCACGUUCUCUUAACUAGCAAUUUUCCAUGUCAAGCUAAUUCUCAGGUCGGACAAGAGAAUUUCAAGGUCGGAUUACUUCACUUUCAGAUUAGACAGAUGAAUUUCUCAGUCGCUCAUAUAACGUUAAGGUUGUAUUCUUAAACUAAGUCAUUCACAUAGAUCUUAGGUCGUACUUAUAAACCAGGUCGCCAACAUAGGCUCCAGGUUGUACUUAUGAGGUUAGCUCAACAACAAUAAGUUUUGAGUAGAUUAGGAUCGACUAUAUUUUGAGACACUACCAGAAAAAUCCAACCCAAACACCAGUCCCCUAAUUUUCAAUACUGGAAAGUCAUUGCCAGUGUUGGAAACUAAUGGAAAACAUUUCUCAAAACCCAAUACCAGUCCCCUAGUUUUCAAUACUGAGAAGAUAUGAACGGUAUUGGAAACUAAAAUAAUUAAGAAAGAGCAAUAUAGCCACAAGCAAAAGAAAGACGGUGUAGAGCGGAACAAUGAGCAAAGAGAAGAGUAAAAAGAAAACUUCAGGUGUGGACCAAGAAAAUAACCAUGACCAAAUGCCUCGAGGUGAUAGAGUCGGGGUUGAGGGUGAGGUCUUCCUAACUAGUAGGGUUGUUGAAGACCAAGAGAGAACUUCCUAAAUUUAAUUAUUACAAUGCUUGCCCUUUUUUGCAAUAUGAACUUGUGUAGACCGUAUGCUACUGAACUUUAUUUUGCCUUUGUAAUCGGAUAAUUAUUAUGCUGACCUUGCCUUUUUUACUCUUUAUUUACUAGGGUUGGUUAUGAAUUGCAUUCCGUAGACUGAGCCCAUUUAAGACUCUGUUGAGGUCAAACAAAUAGAUAUGGUCAACUUUGGUAGCAAUAACACCAAGCAAUGACCUUGAAUUCACCAAGAUUCUAUCAUUUCGAUAUCAAUCUUGAUAAGGAAAAUGUUGACCUCACGAAAAUAUCAACUUCAACAAGAUAAAUUGUUGACCUCAACAAGAUAAAUUGUUGACCUCAACAAGAUAAAUUGUUGACCUCAACAAGGUUAAGUGUAGAGCUAAAAUGCCAACCUCACGACAAGGAAAAUGUUGACCUCACGAUAAGGAAAAUGUUGACCUCACGAAAAUGUCAACCUUAACAAAAUAGAUUGUCGACCUCAACAAGGUUAAGUGUAGAGCUAAAAUGCUGAACUCACGAUCUCACGACAAGGAAAAUGUCAACCUCACGAAAAUGUCAACCUCAACAAGAUAGAGUGUUGAACGCAAUAAGGUUAAAAUGUAAAGCUAAAAUGCCGACCUAAAAAAAAAUUGAAAAUUGGAGAACUUAAAUGUUAAGCUUAUGAUCAACCUCAACAAGGCAAUGACUGACCUCAAUAAAAUUGAAAAUUGGGCAACGACCUCAACAAGGCAAUGGCCGACCUCAACAAGGCAAUGGCCGACCUUAAAAAAAAUUAAAAAUUGUAGAACUUAAAUGUUAAGCUUAUGGCCGACCUCAACAAAAUUGAACAUUGUAGAACGUAAAUGUUAAGGCUAUGGCCAAACUCCACGAGGCAAUGACCAACCGCAAUAAAUAGAAAAUUGUAGAUUUUAACUUAUGGCCGACCUCAAUAAGGUAAUGGUCGACCUCAACAAAAUUAAACAUUGUAGAACGUAAAUGUUAAGGCUAUGGGCAAACUCCAUGAGGCAAUGACAAACCUCAAUAAAUAGAAAAUUGUAGAAUUUAGCUUAUGGCUGACCUCAAUCAGGCAAUAGCCGACCUCAACAAAAUUGAACAUUGUAGAACGUAAAUGUUAAGGCUAUGGCCAAACUCCACGAGGCAAUGAGCAACUUCAAUAAAUAGAAAAUUGUAGAACUUAGUUUAUGGCUUACCUCAAUAAGAAAAUGGUCGACCUAAAUAAAGUAAAGGCGAAUUUCGAUAAAAUUGAAAAAUGUAGAUCUCAACAAGAUAAAAGUUAAGGCUAUCUAACCACAAGGUAAUAGCUGUCUUCAAUCUCAAAAAGGCCGAAUUACAAUUAGACCUCAACAAGGUCAAAAUGACAAUCUCGAUCUCAAUAAGAUUUGAUAAAUUUUUCAGGUAGGACCUCAACAAGGCAGCAAUGUCGAUCUCAAUCUCAAUAAGAUUGGAUGAAUUUUUCAGGUAGAAUCUCCACAAAGCCGAAAUGCCGAUCUCAAUCUCAAUAAGAUUGGAUAAAAUUUUCAGGUAGGACUUAAAUAAGGCCGCAAUGUCGAUCUCAAUCUCAAUAAGAUUGAAUGAAUUUUUUUCAUGUCAGACCUCAGUAAAGUCGUCAUGUCGAUCUCAAUCUCAAUAAGAUUAGAUAAAUCUUUUCACGUUGGACCUCAAUACGGUCCAAAAAUGCCGAUCUCAAUCUCAAUAAGAUUGGAUAAAAUUUUCAGGUAGGACCUCAACAAAGCUGCAAUGUCGAUCUCAAUCUCAAUAAGAUUGGAUGAAUUUUUUCACGUUGGACCUCAGCAAGGCCGCCAUGUCGAUCUCAAUCUCAAUAAUAUUGGAUAAAUCUUUUCAUGUUGGACCUCAAUACGGUCCAAAAAUGCCGAUCUCAAUCUCAAUAAGAUUGGGUAACUUUUUCAUGUUGGACCUCAAUAAGGUCACAAAGUUGAUAUCAAUCUCAAUAAGAUUGAAUAAAUAUUUUCACGUUGGACCUCAAUACGGUCCAAAAAUGCUGAUCUCGAUCUCAAUCUCAAUAAGAUUGGGUAAUUUUUUCACGUUGGACCUCAACAAGGUUGCAAUAUCGAUAUCAAUCUCAAUAAGAUUGGAUAAAUUUUUUCACGUUGGACCUCAAUAAGGUCCAAAAAUGCCAAUCUCAAUCUCAAUCAGUCUGGAUAAAUUUAUUUCAUAUUGGACCUCAAUCAAGUCCAAGUGUCGAUCUCGAUCUCAAAUAAGACCGGUCACAAGUAGAUAAGAAAUAAAGUUGCACUUUUAAAUAACCUCAUUGAUACUAAUAUAACAGAAGUUAUAGAAUUGAACGCAUAACAAAUUGAAAUAACAAAGAAACAAACUUUCUUAGCAUAUUUAAAGAAAAUAAACAAACAAUAUUUAAAGAAAAUAAACAAACAAGGACAUCAUAAAUAAGAUAUAUCUUAACUGAUAGUAUUUUCGCAGGUGCUCUGCAUUCCAUGCCUUGCCAACGACCCUGCCAUCCUGAUAACUUAAUUUAUAUGCCCCAUUAUCAAAUUAGGGUAGCACUUUAUAUGGUCCUUCCCAGCUCGGCCCUAGAACUCCAUCAAUAAAUCUGAAGCUCAUUGGAGAUGUCAUCCAUCAUUUUUGUUCCCACUCUUACCACCCUGCUCGGAUCAACCUCACUUAUCGGCAUGUUUCAUUUCUUCAUUAGGUCACUGUUGGCACAAUCUAUUCUCAGCUCGUGGGUCGAUACUCGUGAUCUGCAUGGAUUCUCUUGCAGCUGUAGCGUAACAACUUCGAGCUAUUUGUUGCUGGCCCCUCAUCACUCCAACCCCAUAUUGAACUCUAAACUUCACACGUUGCAUGUGGGUUGAGCUCACGGCUCUUACUAUCCUAUUGAAAGGUCUACCCAAAAUAAAUUGAUAAGGGUUGGGCUCAUCAACUACCACCCAUGUCACCAUCACUGUCUUUUGUAGUGGGUUGGACUUUAUUAUCAGUGGCAAGUCAAUCAUCCCAAGGGGAAUCAACUCAGCUCCGCCAAACCCUUUUAGUGAUGUUCUGACGGGAUCAAGCCUAAGGUCCCCUAUUUGUAGAUCUUCCAGGGUUUGCUUAAACAAAAUGUCGACUGAGCUUCCUCCAUAUAUAAGAGCUCGGUUCAAAUCCUGCCCUACCAAGGUAACCUUCACUAUGAGCGCAUCCUCAUGUGGAUGUGCGACCGCUUCCUCGUCCUCGUCUGUGAACAUGAUCGGCACCCUUUGAACCCGUUGCUUCUUUGGUAUUGAAACAUUAAAAUUCAACUUAUAACUUUCUAAUGACUAUCUACUAUAAUUUCUCCUUGAACGAUUUGAGUCUCCUACUAGGGUCGGCCCUCCCAUAAUCAUCAUCGCUACAUUAUCUCUGAUGUCUCCUCUUCUCCCACCUAUUCCUUGGUCAUUCACAUACUCCUUUAGAUAUUGAUUUUGCACUAGCCACAAAAUCUGUUCUUUCAAGUCUAUGUAAUCUGCAGUUCCAUGUCCGAACACAAUGUGAAACUCGCAAUACUUGUGGUGAGCACUUCUGCCCAGACUUCUUACAAUUGGCUUUGGCGGUUUAAGUAGCCCCUUCUUUUCUACUACAACAUAUAUUUCCGCUCUGCUUUUGUUCGAUGGUGUGUAUCUUCCACUCUACUCUAAUAAGUUCACCCCAUGGUCAGAUCUCGAUACUCUCUGUUCUAUAGGCAGUGGCAACCUAUUGUAGUCUCUUGCUCGGUUCUCCCUUUAGUUCAUCUCAUAAUUAUUUCCUCUAUCUCGGCCCCAUCCCAUUAAUGAGAUUUAUCUCAUUUCACGAUUUCUUUCCCAAUCUCGACCCGACCUUUCUGGUCAUCUGUAAUUGAACAACUCUCCGCCGUAAUGACGUCUAUCAUCCGAGUUCCUCCUCGAGCUAUACUCGAGGUUAUCACUUGACCCUCUCUCUGCUCUUCCAUUCUCCUAUUUUCUUCCUCUGCAUCUUCAGUUUUCAUAUCUAAUUUUGUCUAGUCGUACGCCUCAGCGUAUGUUGUUAUCCCCUUGUUAUAUAAGCUAUUCCAUAAUCGAUUGAUUCUCAACUCCUUCUUUAAUCCCUCUAGAACAUCUGGAAGAUCAAAGGCCCCUAGAUCGGUAACCUCUCUAUGAUACCUGGUCACAAAACUCGUCAAACUUUCAAAUUCUCCUUGGACCAAUUUUGUCAAGCUGCUCAUAUCCUGCUCUGAUAUGCAUGAACCUCUAAAAUGCAUAGCGGAAAGCACACAUAACUCCUUGAAAUUUCCUAUGCUUCUAUUCUUUAAUCUCCGGUACCAUUCCCAUGCUUGUCCAUCUAGAGUUAAGGGAAAAAUACGGCACCUUUGAAAAUCAUUCAAACCUUGAAUUACAGUCAUCUCAUUAAACUUCUCCACAUGAUGAUUUGGGUCAGUUUUUCCUUCAUACACCAAGACUUGAACCACAUACUUGGGUGGCAAAGUUACUGCCAUCACUUCAGGUACCAAGGGGGACUCGUCAUCGAGUAACAGCCUUCCUACCACUUUCUUGCCCUCUGUUUUCGCCUCUAAUACCUCUAAGGUUUUUUGAAAUUGCAGCAUUCGUUGCUCAAGCUCAUUUGCCCGUUGGGGUCUCUCAGCUCUUCCCUCUCUCUUUCUUGAUUCAAGUCAUUGAUUCUCCCCCUCAACUCAUUCACUUGUUCUCCUGCACUUCUAUUCUUUUGUCGUACCCCAACUUGUGGUAGUCCCAUUCCGCUCUGCUGUUCACCAUCAAGCUCUUCCCUCUCUCGCGCUCCACUACAUUUUGGAUCACUAGCUCGAACGUGAGCCUCUCUGACUUGGGCAUCAACCAGCCCCCGAUCAUCUUCUCAAAUCUCGCCAUUUGCCUCUCAAUCCCUUCUCUCCAUCUCUUAUCUGCCGUGGCAUUCAUUUCCUCAGCCAAUUGGCGCAAGGUCUACGUAUCUUCAUCCUUAUCAUCUAUCACUAUUUUGUAAUCCGAUAGCUUCUCCUUCUAAAUCUUCAAACGUAUGGCUUUUCGCACUGAUCCCCACAGAUAGCGUCAAGAUGUUGAUGCUGAAAAACGACAUGAACAGCUGAAUUUGUUUCUUUUGGGGAAUUACAAUGUGAAUUUAAGCUCAAACGCAAGUCUGAACGCAACUUUCUAUAUCUACCAACCAGAAAACACAGUUAGGAUAUGCCGGUGGGGUUCCGGCGCAGACCCUCCGAUGCUUAAGUCAAAUUAUGUAUAAAAGGAGAAAAAUAAGAAUGAAGAAUUAUGAAUGAGUUAAAGUCAAGUAAUUUUCCAGUAGAGGGGCUAAAAAUCUUGUAGAAGCUUCAGUGAAUUUUGCUAACCCCUUCACCUGAUGCGCUCUUCAAUUUAAAUAGACUCUUGGUCAUGUACGGUUACCUCCUUAACUUCAGCCCGCUUUCUUCAGUAGUUGCAAGUGGUUGUCAGUUGGAGGUGGUUUAAAUAGAUCGUGGCACACAACUUCCUUAUAAAUUAGGCCACGUUCUCUUAACUAGCAAUUUUUCAUGUCAAGCUAAUUCAUUGGUCGGACAAGAGAAUUUCAAGGUCGGAUUACUUCACUUUCAUAUCAGACAGAUGAAUUUGUUAGUCGCUCAUAUAGCGUUGGGGUUGUAUUAUUAAACUAAGUCAUUCACAUAGAUCUUAGGUCGUACUUGUAAACCAAGUCGCCAACAUAGGCUUCAGGUUGUACUUAUGAGGUCAACUCAACAACAAUAAGUUUUGAGUAAAUUAGUAUCGACUAUAUUUUGAGACACUACAAAAAAAAUCCAACCCAAACAGUAACAUUUUGCAAAUCUCAAUCGACGGUGCUAUUUUCAAUCGUUGCCUGGAUUGCUUUCUUGGAAAAGCAGCAUCUAUAAGAAACCUGCAAAAAAAUGUUGUAGCCUUGGAGACUGAAUUGGGAAAACUAAUCGAAGCAAAGAACGAUGUGGUGGCGAGGGUCGUCAACGCUGAAAGGCAACAAACGAUGACAAGGCUGAACAAAGUUCAAGGCUGGCUUUCGAGGGUGGACGCUGUUAAAGCUGAAGCUGAUGAAUUGAUAAGACAUGGCCCUCAAGAAAUUGAGAAACUAUAACUUAGAGGCUACUGUUCCAAGAACUGCAAGUCAAGCUAAAAGUUUGGCAAAAAAGUGGCUAAAAAGCUAAGAGACGCCGGGACUUUAAUGGCCAAUGGAGCAUUUGAAGUGGUAGCUGAGAGAGCUCCAGAAUCAGUAGCGGAUGAAAGGCCUAUCGAGCCCACAGUAGUAGGCCUGCAAUUGCAACUCGAGCAUGUUUGGAGAUGUCUUGAAGGAGAAUCAGUCGGAAUUGUUGGCCUAUACGGCAUGGGCGGUGUCGGUAAAACUACACUAUUGACCCAUAUCAACAACAAAUUUCUUGAGAGUCCAACUAAUUUUAAUUAUGUGAUAUGGGUCGUAAUGUCAAAAGACUCGCGACUUGAAAACAUUCAAGAAACUAUCGGGGAGUAGAUUGGUUUGUAAAAAUUUGCCAAUUUACACAGCAAACAAUUUCCACCCAAUUAAUGUUUUUUAGAAAAUUGUAAAAAUUUGGAGUUAUGAAAAUAGAAACUAUAUAAUAAGAAGAAAUAAUUUAAGAUUUUAAGAUUUAUAUAUAUUUUAUAAAUAAAACAUUAAAAGAGAUGCUUGUUAUUACGAUGAAAUUUUAUGAGUAAGAUGAUUAACUUUAAUAUAUGAGUUUGUAUUUUAUAAAUUAAUCAGAGGUAUUUUAGAAAAUAAAUUCAAAAUGGGAGUUAUAAGAGUUUUAGAGUGGUGUUAAAAGCUCAACUCUUUUGAAUUUUACUGCCCAAUUAUAUAGUACAUUAGCGUGAUUGUUAUGUAUUCAUUUUUUUCAGAUACAACAAACGAGCUGCGUAGUGCUCAAAUAACAAAAAUUAAUAAUUUCACACACCCAUAUACAUAUAUGUAUACAUAUAGAUACAUAUUAUAUUUAAUUAAGCAAAAGAAAGAACCCCCUGUACGACGCCAGUGAGAAGAGAGAGAGAGAGAGAGAGAGGAAGAGAGCUUUUUGUGUUAUAUUUCAUAAUUUUUAUUUAAUUAAAAAUAUUUGUAGUUUGGAUUUGGGCGCCCCAAAGAAUUUCUAAAUCAAAACCUUAAUUUUUAUUAGGUCUUGAGCCUAUUCUCGAAAUAGAUCCUAUUAUAUUCUUAGGUGGUGUUUGGUUUUAAGAAAAUGGAAGAGAGGAGAGGUGAAAAAAGAAGAUGAACGGAGAGGUGAUGAGAGGAAAAGAGUGUAAAAAUUAAUUGUUAUUGUUUGGUUUCACAUUAAAUUUGAAAGGAAAAGAAAUUACAUAUUUUUUAUUUGGACGAAUAUACCCACUAUUUUAAUGCUAAUAUUGUUAAUAAAUUAAAAAAUAAUAAAACUAUGAAUUAAUUUAAUCUAGAAAUUACCUAAUUAAAUUAAAAAAUUAUUUUUUAAAAAAAUACAGCAUUUGGCCAUGGACAGCCUCCACGUUGACCACCGUUGACUGGCGAAUUUGACUGUCGUUGACCGUCAUUUUUCAUCGCGUUAAAUGCAUAAUAAUAAUAAGAAAUGAAUGAUUUAUUCAUUGGAAGUGUUAAUUUUGCAGAAAAUACACUAUAUAGUAGGAAAUAUGAGAGUUAAAAUUUUCCCAAGCAUUUAAACAAGACUUGAGGUAAAUAACAAUGUAUAUUAGCAUUUUUAAUCUCAUAGCAUUGUAGAUGGACUCAUGAGGAUUCCAUUGAUACCGGUUUUGAUGAAAAAGUGCGUCUCCGGCGAAACUCCGACGAGUCACUUUACUGUUUUUUCUUUUUUCAAAUAAGUUUAUCCUAUUAAUUUAAGAAAAUAAAUAUAAAUUAUUUGUACUUUAAUUUAUUUAACAUUGAUUUUGUUUAGAGGAUAAUAUUGGAAUUUUUGUGUUUAAAUAGAUAAGAAAUUUAAAAUCUUUAGUCAUUGAUAAGAAAUACAAAUUCUUCAAAUUGAUGGAAAUUCAAUUCCAUUAAACUUGGUCCAAGUAGAAAAGAAAUCAAUUUUUUUUGGCUCUCCCCACUUCCCUACCCCUAAGCAAACAUGGCCUUAUGGUUUUUGAGAACUCAUACCAAAUUCAAAUUAAUCAGGAGCCCACGGGUCCCGGGGCUCGCGGGAAAGUUGCCAUCCCUACCUUCAUCUGACGGAAAGUCCCUACAAACAAAUGUUUCUUUAUUUAUUUAUUUUUAUAAAAGAAAUUUCAGUUUGAAUGUCUUUUGGACGUUUCCAAUUGUCAUGAUUAGCCCUUGAACCUUUGGUCAAAAAAGUAUUAUCACGCGUUGAUUGUUUGUAUCGCAAAUGCUAGUGGCAUUUGAAAGUUGAUAUAAUUAAUUACAAUCUACAAAUGUUUAACAAAAAAGUGGGAUGGAUAUGGCACAAAAGUAAAGCAAGCAGGAUUCGUUGAAAAAGCUAUUUUGACACCUACUUCGGUUAUAAAAUUUUCAAAAAAAAAAAAAAAUUUUGAUUAAAAGUAAAUUGUAUAGGUUCAACUACCGUGCACUUGGUGCAUGGGACAUGUAUUUUGUCUAUAUAUAAGUUACCCGUCAGAUAUAACAUAGAACUUGCUUCAACGGCAUAGAUGUAUUCUCUUUAGUUUUUAACAUUGACAUCUAUGUUGUUUUUCAAAAAAGAAAAAUAGUGAAAGGUUUGACACAUAAUUUUAGAUUAUUUUUAAAUUUUAUAUUUUAAUCAAUUGAUUUAAUUUACUGUUAAAAUUAAUGACAGUAUAAGCGUAAUAACUUGAAAAAACUUUUUAAUACAUAAUUUUUUUUAUUUUUUGAAAAUAAUAUAAUAUCAAUUUAAUCUAUAAUAAAUAAUUUUAACAUAUAAUUAAAUUUUAAUUUAUCAAUAAUAAUAUGACCAAAUGACAAUGUUAAAGAAUUUCAUUAUAAUCAACUAUGAUUUAGUAUUCAAAUAUAAAUAAUAGAAAUAUACUCUAAGUGUAAAUAAUAGAAAUAUAUCAAACUUAUAUGUUAAAAUUUCAAAACUUUUAAUUUUUUCACUUUUCAGCAAACAAGAGGGAGUAAUUUACCAAAAACAAGGGGUAUCGUACACCUGGGGCACCAUAGCUUCCUCCAAAUUGUAUAAAAAAUAGAAAUAUUUUUAGUCUCCAAAUUGUAUAAAAAAGUAAAAAUAUUUUGACUAAAAGUAAAUUGUGCGUAACUACUUUAAUAUUUUAUUUCUUUCAUAACUUUAUCAAAAUCUUGUCAUCAAAUAUUUUAUCAAUGUAACGCUGUAAACAGCAAAUUAAAGUUUAAUUAUUUAAUUACAACUGGCAAAAGAGACGUUUAAUUAUUUAAUUACAAGCGGGAUAGUCUCUUUUGUUGAAGGAAAUUAAAGUUUAGUUAUUUAAAUCGAGCACGCGUAAUCUUUUCAAGCACAAACAAAAGAGAUCAUAAUUCAAAGUUGAUGUUCUCUUCACAGCAGCUUCUAUUCAUCGAACUCCAUCGUUAAAAUUUCCUUGGUUUUUCCUGGUUGAAUUCUCAUCCAAAAUAUGGGUAACAUUUUCCAAAUCACAUGCGACGGCGCUCUCUUUAACCGUUGCCUGGAUUGCUUUCUUGGAAAAGCAGCAUAUAUAAAAAACCUCAAACAAAAUCUUGCAGACUUGGAGACUGAAUUGGGAAAACUAAUCGACGCAAAGGAAGAUGUGAUGAGGGAGGUCAACGCUGCUGAAAGGCACCCAAUGAUGAAAAGGCUGACCAAAGUUGAAGGCUGGCUUUCGAGGGUCGAAGCUGCUAAAUCCGACGGUGACAAAUUGAUAGCAUUUGGCUCUCAAGAAAUUAAGAAACUAUGUCUUGGAGGCUACUGUUCCAAGAACUGCAAGUCAAGCUACGAGUUUGGCAAACAAGUGGCUAGAAAGCUAGGAGAUGUCAAGACUUUAAUGGCUGAAGAAGCUUUUGAAAAGGUAGCUGAGGAAGUACAACCACCUUUGGUAGAUGAGAGACCCACCGAGCCAACCGUAGUAGGCUUCCAAUCACAAUUUGAACAAGUCUGCAAAUGUCUUGAAGAAGAAUCAGUCAGAAUUGUUGGCCUAUACGGCAUGGGCGGUGUCGGUAAAACCACACUAUUGACUCAUAUCCACAAUAACUUUCUUCAGAGUCCAACUUUUAAUUGUGUGAUAUGGGUCCUAGUGUCAAAAGAUCUGCGACUUGAAAACAUUCAAGAAACUAUCGGGGAUCUGCGACUUGAAAACAUUCAAGAAACUAUCGGGGAGCAGAUUGGUUUGUUAAACGAUACAUGGAAAAAUAAACGAAUUGAACAGAAAGCUCAAGACAUCUUCAGGAUUUUGAAGGAGAAGAAGUUUUUGCUGUUGCUAGAUGACUUAUGGCAGCGGGUUGAUUUAACAAAAGUGGGCGUCCCUCUUCCUGGCCCGCAAAAUAAUGCAUCCAAAGUGGUAUUCACAACCCGUUCCGAAGAAGUUUGUGGUUUGAUGGGAGCUCACACGAGGUUUAAAGUGGCGUGCCUGUCAAAUAUCGAUGCUUGGGAAUUGUUUCGGCAGAACGUUGGAGAAGAAACUCUGAACAGUGAUCCCGAUAUUCUUCAACUCGCCCAAGCAGCAGCCAGAGAGUGUGAUGGUUUGCCACUAGCACUUAUUACCAUUGGCCGAGCUAUGGCUUGCAAGAAGACACCUGACGAAUGGAUUUACGAUAUUGAGGUGCUAAGAACAUCAAGUUCUCAGUUCCCAGGUUUGGGAAAUGAGGUUUAUCCUCUUUUAAAAUUCAGUUACGAUAGAUUGCCGAGUGACACAAUUAAAUCAUGUCUCUUAUAUUGUAGUUUAUAUCCAGAAGAUUAUUGCAUUUCUAAAGAGAAAUUGAUAGACUGUUGGAUCGGCGAGGGAUUUUUGACAGAAAGGGACAGGAUUGGAGAACAAAAAGAAGGAUACCAUAUUCUGGGCAUUCUUCUUCAUGCCUGCUUACUGGAAGAGGGAGGAGACGGUGAAGUAAAAAUGCACGACGUGAUUCGAGAUAUGGCAAUAUGGAUAGCAUGCGACAUUGAAAAGGAGAAGGAGAAUUUUUUUGUUAAUGCUGGCGUUGGAUUAGUUGAAGCACCCGAUGUCACAGGAUGGGAAAAGGCGAGGAGAUUGUCACUGAUGCACAAUCAAAUUACGAAUCUAUCAGAGAUUCCUACAUGUCCUCAUCUCCUUACUUUUUUCCUUAACAAAAAUAGGUUUCAGAUGAUCCCCAAUGACUUCUUCCAAUUUAUGCCCUCCCUCAAAGUUUUAAAUCUGUCAUACAGCAAACUAACCAGCUUACCAUUGGGGAUUUCAAAGUUGGUUUCACUGCAACAUCUUGACCUGUCAGAAUCCGACAUAGAAGAGUUGCCAGGAGAGUUAAAGGCAUUGGUAAAUCUUAAAUGUUUGGAUUUGGAAUAUACAGGGAAUUUAAUUACAAUUCCACGUCAACUAAUAUCUAAUCUUUCAAGGUUACAUGUGUUGAGAAUGUUUGGUGCUGGUCAUAAUGCCUUUGAUGAAGCAUCAAAAGACAGCAGUUUAUUUGGUGGGGGUGAAUUCAUAGUAGAGGAACUGCUUGGUUUGAAAUCUUUAGAGGUGAUUAGCUUCACCUUGAGAAGUUCUCAUGGUCUCCAAAUGAUUUUGAGCUCGGAUCAGUUACGAAGUUGCACUCGAGCACUCUCAUUCCAAUGCUUCAACGAUUCGACAUCGCUUGAAGUUUCAGCUUUGGCAGAUCUGAAGCAACUUAAAAUGUUGCGGAUUGCAAGGAGUGAAAUAUUGGAGGAAUUAAAGAUGGAUUGUGCAGGGGAAGUUCGACAGUUUGUUUUCCAUAGUCUCAAUAAGGUUGAAAUAUACGGUUGCAGUAAAUUGAAGGACUUGACAUUCCUUGUUUUCGCUCCAAACCUCAAGUCUAUUAAAGUAACAGGUUCCCAUGCUAUGGAAGCAAUCAUAAGUGUGGGUAAAUUUGCAGAAGUUCCAGAGGUAAUGGCAAAUUUAAACCCAUUUGCAAAACUCCAAAAUCUUGAAGUAAUUGGUGCGAUAAAUUUGAAGAGCAUUUACUGGAAGCCCCUGCGCUUCCCACAUCUGAAAACAAUGAGUUUCUUUCAUUGCAACAAGCUUAAAAUGCUUCCACUUGAUUCCAAUAGUGCAAGAGAGCAUAGCAUUGUUAUUCGUGGAGACAGAAUGUGGUGGGCACAGCUUCAAUGGGAGGAUGAAGCCACUCGAAAUGCUUUUCUUCCCUGUUUCAAAUCUUGAGCAGAGAUCACAUUUGAAUAAUUUCUGGUGCGUGCUUUUUCUUACAUUAUUCUUCUUGUUAAUUUCCUUCAUGCAGACAUCUGCACCUAAUAACUCGUUACUUCAAAUAUUCUCUAAAUUAUUUGAGGGUACUCGCCCCUGCACAUAAUGUAUAUUUAUAUCUAAUUAAAUUUUUUAAAAAGUCAAUAUUAUAUUUUUUAUGUCAUUAAAUAAAGUCUUGUUAUUUUAUCGAAUUAUAUUCAACUUGAAAAUAGUUCUAGCUUUUAGAUAUAAGUUAUGUAAGUACAAGUUCAAAGUGUAUCAGCAUUAAAUUACUCAUAUUCAAUCAUUUAUAAUCUGAUGUUGAAAAAAAAAUGUCAUUCAAUCAUAUGCAUUUAACUAAAUUCAAAUAUAAUCUAAAUUCAGAUACGUUAAAAUUAUUUGGGAAAAAAAAGCGCCACAACUCUAUAUUGUUUAUUGAGUAAACCAGAUAUUAACUCUAUCAUGAACGUAAUAGCCUCCAGCAUUUUUUAUUAUCUGUUCAAACCAUAUUUUAUUAUUUUAAUUUAUUUAUAUUCAUUGCAUUUCAAUUAGGUCAUGUUUUCUUUUGUUUUCUGUUUUAUAUUCUUUGAUCAUUUUGGCAACAUGGAGUACUAUGAUUAAUCAUUUUGUACUGGUCUCAAAUUUCAGUCGGAUUAUCUGCGGAAAAUAUCUCUGAAGAUGCUUUCAAUGGAGUCCAGUACUCAGAAUGCGAUGCCUAAUCCUUUGCAAUCCAACAAUGCUAGCAGGAGCAACGAACCCCCUCAUCCAGGUAGUGACGUGGAAUAGUAAAUGCAGCUUCACUUUCAAUUUGUCUCUGAAACCGCUCCCUAUAAUCAAUCCUAGCAUUCUUAUGUGUUCUUAACUUCUGCAGCCUGAAUAUUUCUUCCUCGACAAUCAAAGUCAUAACAGUAUGAUUGGCUGGAGUAGCUUUCCUCCAGACCCCUCAUUAUAGUUAUAAAUAAUUCCGAUAUUUGAUAUCAUGAUCGGGGAUUUCAGAGCUUAGAAAAUAUGAUUUGUACCCAUAUGUGUCUGAUCAUGAGAAGUUUGAAAAUAUACAUCAAAAACUGUAUGGAUUGGAAAAAUAUAAUCUUAUUAUGGUGUGUUAAAUCGUCAUUUGAUGAACGGAUUUGGGAUACAUUAUAAUAUGAUGUCAUUAUUAAUUAGGGUGUGUUUUUGGAAGUGCUUAAUUAUAUUCGUUUAAUGUGUAUUUCUUUUAUCACUUUUGAAAAGAAUUCUUAAAUAUUUAAAUAUUUCAAUGUUUAUAUCUUAACUUCAAAUAUAAUAAAAUAAAAUAAAAUAACUGUUCUCCAAUAUGAGGGUCCGAACUAAGGGUCUACGUCAAUAACAUGAAAUAUAAUAAUUUUUGUAAAUUUUUCUUAAAUUCAAAAUAAAUUUUGUUACUGAUUCAAAUGUUUAACAAAAUGUGGCAGCUUAUCUGUAAUUGCCACAUCAAUUGAGAUUCAAAUUACUACUCAAAUCCUGAAAUUCCUAAAGGUCCCUAACAUUAAUAUUUUAUUAAGUCAAUAUUGAAGUUGAACUAUGGGGUUCGUCGGCUAUUUCACACUAACAGAGGAAUCAUUUUAUCUUCUACAAAGGGUUCAGUUUUCUUGCACUGUAUGAUAUGAAGUAAUAUUGUCAUAUGUUGUUCUGAAUUAAUUUUUUUCUUCUCUCGUGCGAAUCAGAAAGAAAUGUUGUAUUUAAGAUGUGGAAAGUAUAAGAUCUUAGGAGUUUUACAGUGUAUAUAUAUAUAAAUUUUUUUUUGACAAACAGAGAAAUUCAGUCUAGAAUAUGAGAACAAACUAAAAGCUACGAAAUACAUUGGCAUUUUUGAGAAGUAGGAUAAAUAUUAUUUUUUUUUUUGAAAAAAAAAGGACUUGGCACCUCAAUGCUUUAAUAACCUAAUGUUAUACUUUUGGUUUGAUUUUUCUAUGUACUCUCUUCCAAUGGUCAAUUUAGGCUAUGUUUGGUAUUGAGAUAUUAUAACUAAAAAAUUUUAGGAUUUAUCACUUAAAAGAUAGAGUAGCCGUGGGAAAAAAGAGAGAGAGAGCUGAAAUUAUGAAAUAAAAUUAUUAAUGUAUUGUAAAUAAGAUGUUCAAAUAAAAAAAUUGACAAAAAUAGUAAAAAUACAAUACCAAACAAGAAUUUAUUUAGGAUACCGAUUCCAGGUCUCUAAAGAUUUGUUUUUAUGCUUUGCAGUUAUUUUCUUCUAGCUGACUGAUGAAUUAUUGUGAAAUUGCUAUGAAAAUUACUAGGGAAAUUAUCAGUCAUACACUCUUAAAUGACACCCGUAUCAAAUAUGCUACAACAUUUUUCAAGUAUAUCACUCGUAUACUCUAAGUUGACAAAACACUUCUACCGUCCACCAAUAUGUUAACUUCUAUUAGAAAGUUAAUAGAAUUGUGGCAAAUUGACUAUUUCGUCCUUGAAACUCAAAAUGAGAUUAAAAAAAAUUUACCCAAAAAAUUAAAGUAAAUUUUCAAUACAUAAUUUUUUUUAAUUUCGUUAUUAACAAUACAUUUUUUUAUUAAAAAAUAUGAAUUAUUAAUGGUACAUAUUAUUAACAAUUAUCCAUAAAAAUAUCCAUAUUAUACCAUAAAAAAUUAUUAACAACAUAUUAUUUACAAUUAUACAUAUUAUACCAUAAAAAACUCCAAUUGGAGCUUGGAGGAGUAGAUCUUAAAAAAUUUAGGUUAAAUUUUGGAUGAGUAGAUUCGGUUGUAAAGUAGUUGUUUUUUUAUAUGUAAUUAUUAACAAUUAUCCAAUAAAUGGGAUGACAUGUCAUUUUAUCAAUAUAUAUCAUAUGACAUGUCAUUGCUUAAUAGGAAAAUGGGAUGACAUGUCGUUUUUAAAAAAGACUAUAUUUACCCUUAUGAUGUCAGCACUUGCAAACGGCAGUUAACGGAUUGGUGAACGGUAGAAAUGUUUUGUCAACUUAAAGUAUACGAGUGAUAUACUUGAAAAGUGUUGUAUCACGUUUGAUAUUAGUGUCAUUUAACGAUAUAUGACUGAUAAUUUUCCAAAUUACUACUAUAACUUAUGGCAAAUUGGCAAUUAAAAAUCAUAAAAGUCUUUCCUCUUGAAUGAGAAAGUGGGUUAUUUUCGUUUACUAUAUAUAUAGUGUCACAAUCAAGAUUAGCAAAGGUUUGUUCACAAACCACCAUCUAUGAAACUAUGAUGACAAAUAUUAUUUGCUAUUAUCAUGUCACUGCAUUACUCUAAUGCCAUUAUUUGCCUAAUUAAAUAUUCAUGUCGGUUUUAAGAUGAAUUUCAAGACAUUUAACUAACCAUAUCUAUUGUAUUUUAUUAUGGUGCUCUAGCUAGCUGGUUGCCAGCUUUGCCUUUCAAUGGGGUUUGAUUAAUUACUCUGCAUAUAGACCAUUAUAUACUAGGACGGCCAAUGGUUAAUGUAAUAUAAACACAAUAAAUUUUAAUCAAAUAUGAAUUUUCUGAAUAAUUGUUUCUUUAUUUUAUGAAUUUUAUUUAAACGAUAUCCCAAUUUAAAAAAAAAAAAGAAAGAAAGAAAAUCAGCGCGUUUGUCUCCUCCCCAUUGUCAUGAUCAACCUUGUUGGAAACGUUGGUGAGAAAAGUAAUACUAUACGUUAAUUGCUUUUAAUAUUUUAAUCGUUGGUGGCACAACCGCACAAGAAAGUAAAAGUUGUUAUAUAUAUAUAUAUUUUAAAUAAAAGUUUAGCUUUCAAUAAUUCAACUUUGAAAAAGGUACAAAAGAUGUGUAGGACAUUCGUUGAACCACAUUAUUGGUUGUACACUUUCUAAAGCUACUUUGGCUAUGGAAUAGGCCAUGAUUAUGAAGCCGAGAAGUAUGUUGCAGUGUGGGGUUGUGUAGUUCCUUUUAGCUUCUUCUUACAAAUUAAUGCUGACAGAAAAAGCAAGAUCAUAUUCCACAAAAGUAAAAGUAACAAAACAACCAGCUGGAAUCUUUUAUUAAACUACGAUAAACUACAAAUUAAAGUGGAUUCUUUUGAAUACAAGUGGGAUAGACGAUUGGCUCUUUUAUUAAAGGCCAGUAGUCAAGAAUCGAAUAUCUCGAUUGCAUAGUCUUUUUCAAAUUCUUGUUUUAUUAUUUUUCAAAACUAAUUUUUUAUUAGUCUACAAUUAUUUAUAAUUAUAUUUUCAUUUAGAAUACAGUUCAAGUCAAAUCUUUUGCACUUCUACCUAACUCGGGCUAAUACUAGUCCACUCAUUAUUCAUGUGAGAGAGUUGUAAGGUACAUGCAUGUAACUUCUCUAACUCGAAUUAUUCCACACAGAGAAAUAAACAUAGAUGCUUUAUAACUUUAGAAAUCCGAUCUCUUACAGUUGGAAACAGAGAUGAUGAUUACUAUAAGAAUGAAGAAAAAGAUAAAAAAUUGUCAAUGAUUAACGAAGUCUCUAUGCAAAUUUCUCUAUGCAAAUUGAUUUUAGCAGAAAAAUAGUGAGUUGAAUGAUGUAGGCGAUUAGUGGUAAUAUUUCAUAGAGUUAGAGUAUUGGCAACCCUUCAAUCUUCUCAUGAAUCCCCUUUUUGAGUUAUAGUUAUUUUAUUUCGAAAUAUCCUUUUUCUUCUUUAAUACACUUCUAAUUUUUCAUUUAAUUUUUUUAUUGUUAAACUCAAAGUAUUAUUGUGAUAUUUUUCGUUUCUUUUGUAAUCUUAUUAUAAUUAAAAAAACCAAAAAAAAAGAUUGGCUAUGAAAUUUGUUGGAAAAAAUCUAUGUGCGUUUAAUUUUUGUUUGUCUUUGACUGUAAUUUAUUUGAAGUGGGGUUUUAUAAGCAUAAUGAAGGGAUCAAAGGAUGCCCAUAACUUCACUCUAUUUUAUAUGGAGAAAAGUAAAAGGUACACCUAAAGUUAAUGGAAAGUACUUCGCAGCUUUCUUUUGAUUAUAAUAUCCUUUAAUUUAAUUAACUUAAAAAUUUUGACUUUAAUAAUUUAUAAUAAAUUAAAUUAUAAUCUUAAAAUAAAUAUAAUAAUAUAUUUUAAAAUAAUCUCUAUAUUUAAAAUUUAUUUAUUUUCACAUUUUAUAUAAAUUUUAUAAUAAAGACAAACAUACUAUUAAAAUAAUAUAUAAAAAAUUUAAAAGUAUUUUGAAUAUUAUAUAAAAUAACUAUAACAUUUUUUAAUACAUGAGAUAUAUUUUGUUAAUUUAAAAUUCUAUUUAAUCCAAAGAUUUAUUUAAGAUAAAUUAAUAAUAAUAUUUUUGAAAUUAUUUGAAAUACUAAAAAAUAUUUUAAUAUUACUAGUCUAUUAAAUAAAUUAAAUAUAUUUAAUAGACUAGUAAUAUUCUGAAAAAUAAUAAAAGAAGAAUUAAAAAAAGACUAGACAAUAGAGAUAUUCGAUUCUUUUAAAGCAAAUCGUAAUAUUCCACAAAGGAGUAAGAUCCACAAAAGCAAACAACCAGUUGGAUUCUUUUAAAGUGGAAUCGUUUAUUAAACAACAAAUUAAUGUUCAAAUAUUUAAAUAGCAGUGCAUUAGACGAUUAGACUGUCUUAUUAAAGGCGAGUAUAAAGUAGUCAAGAAUCGAAUAUCUCUAUUGUCUAGUCUUUUUUUAAUUCUUCUUUUAUUAUUUUUCAGAAUAGGUUUUGGUGAUUACAAUGGGUUAUUAUUCAGAGUUAUUGUUAUCUUCCGGGUCAAUUUCUGUUCAUCGAAGUCGUUAAUUCAAAUUUUAGAACUUUUAUCAAAAGAAUGUUUUUCGUUAUCUUUUUUAUGGUCUAAUUCCAAUUGUAAGAAGUAGUCAUUUUAAAAUUUGGGUCUUGAAUCGAAUUUCAGUGCAUGAAUUAAUAUUAAAAAAAAAUCACUACACACAGUUUAGGCUGCAGACUACUUUUUGCAAAUUUGACUCUGAAAAUUGGAGAAAUUAAGUAAUUUAGAAUGUUUGCAAAGAAAAAGACUAACAUACUUCCUAUUACACUAAAUCUCUAUUAUCAUAAUGUUGAGACUAAACUAACUUAAAUACGUUUUAUUUGAAAAGCUAUAUUAAAUGCAGCCUAAUUUUAUUAACCUGAAGAGCUAAUAGAAGUGUAGUUAUAAAAAUUAUAUUCUGACUUAAUUAGUACAAGUGAUAUAAAGGUUAAGUGUGCACUAUAUUUAAUAAUUAAUUAAUGGAGCAUGUUAAAUAAAAUGAUAAUUUAUAUUUAUAUAAUGUUAGGAAUAUGUAAAGUCUAAGUCCACAAGUUGCAUUAUCUUUAAUAUUUUCUCUCAAUUAAAUUCUAAAAAUACUUUACAAUUAUUUAGUAACAACUGUAAAUUAAGAAUAAAUUAUUGUCCCAAACAACAUUAAAAAAUAUUUUAUUCCAUUUGAAUCCUUUAAUUUUUUUUACAGUAUAUAGAUAAUUAUUACUAUGUGAAUGUAAGUUUCUUAAGAUGGGACCUAUAACAAUUUAGAACUUAUUACAACGGGGAGUUUAUUAGGACCAAAAUUUUUUAUGAGUACAUAAAGUUAUCUUGUAUAGAAUAUUAGUAUAUAGAUGUUUUACUGUAAUUAGUCUAGAACAUUUAAAAAAAAAAAACAUAUACCGUCCCUUGGAUGUAGCUCUUGGGUGACCAUGAAUGUUCUUUGUUCCACAUACGNNNNNNNNNNNNNNNNNNNNNNNNNNNNNNNNNNNNNNNNNNNNNNNNNNNNNNNNNNNNNNNNNNNNNNNNNNNNNNNNNNNNNNNNNNNNNNNNNNNNACCCUCUAUGGGAAUAAUCUAUUUAGUUAUAAAAAAUUAUGAUCCCAAUUUAGACUAGUUAUAAAUAACAACAAAUUCCACUUUGUAAUAAAUUAUAUUUUUUCUAUAUCUUAUCUUAAGAAACUUAUCUCUACAUAGUAAUAAUUAUUUGUAUAGGUAAGAAUGGAUCAAGAUCCUCUCCUGAUCUGAGCACUCCUGAUCUUUUACAGAUCUUAUACCACCUGUGUUUUACUGUUAGUGGAUGAUUAUGAUUUGACUAUUUUUUCUUUUUAAUUUAUUAAUCACCAAUUAUAUUAAUAAAAUUUGCUCAGAUGAAGAUCAGAUCAAGAAAGGAUCCUGAUCCAAUAAGAAUACAUGUUAUAUUAGACUAAAGGAACUUGUCUGCACAUAACGAUUAGACAACGAGCGAAAAUUAUUAAAGCGAAUGCAAAUAAUUAGAAUUUUUUAAGAUGACUUUGUAUAUUCACAAUAAUAAUUGAUAGAUACAUGUACCAACGUUUUAAUAUAUUUGACAUCCUCCAUUAAUAAAUCAUUGAUGUAAUAUAGACUUUAUCUCUAUAUCCUCACACUACGGACAACUAAGUCAUAAUAAUAAUUUUUGUAACUACAUCUCUAUUACUUCCUCAUAAUAAUAAGUUAAUUUGAUCUCUACAUUAUGACUAUGGAGAUUUUAUUGUAUAGGGACACCCAAUAUAAAUAGUAUCCCAACUAAAAUUGUCCCAAAAAAAAAAUCGCUAAAGGAUAAUUAUAAUUUUUUUUCACUUCUCAAACGUUGGUGGCAGUUGUAAGCUAAGUUGUCAAAUAUAUUAAACUACAAGUGCUGCCACCAAGUGCGAUGCUCUUUUCUAAAGAGAAGUACAGUGGGUCCCGAAUAGGACGUGCUUAAAUCUGUUUAAAUUUUUCCAGUAUAACUAACAGAGGUCAUUACUAGAAUUAUAUUACUAGCCUAUUAGAUAGAAAAAAUUAGUUAUAUUAUUUUAUAUUUAUUAAAAAAGUUUAAAGUUAAUCUUUUUAAUUACUAUUUAAAAGAUAUUAUAAUAAAAAAAUAGUGUCUUUACUAAAAAUUUAGAAAUUUAUUUGACCGUUCUCUAAACUUUAUUUAAUAUUAUUGAUUUAAAUAAUAUCUAAAUUAAAAAUGUACAGAGAAGAAAUUUCGGUGGGUAUAUUAGUCUUUUACUUUUAACGUUAGUGGCCUUCUUAUAUUUUAUUACAAAUUAAUCCUAACAAGAAAAAGCUAGAUCAUAUUCCACAAAAGCAAGAGUGACAAAACAUGAAAACAACCAACUGGAUUCUUUUAUUAAACUACAAAUUAAAAUUGUUUUUUUUAAUAAACUAUAAAUUAAAGCGGAUUCUUUUGAAUACAGGUGGGACAGACUUAAGCUCUUUUAUUAAAGGCAAGUAUAAAGUAGUCAAGAAUCGAAUAGUCUUUUUCAAAUUCUUGUUUUAUUAUUUUUCAAAACUAAUUUUUGGUAAUUACACUCGGGUCAUUAAUCAUUAUUCAGAGUCAUUGUUAUCUUCGGAGACAGUGGGUAAAAGAUAAUUACUGGCUGUUUUUCCUUCAAAAGUUAGUGGCUCAUGUUUGCAAGUGUGAAUGUGCGAUGCUCUUUUUCCAAAUGCAAUUACAGUGGGUCCCGAAUCGGAGGAUAAAAAUCCUUUUAGUUUUUGUAUUUUAAGAUUAGUAUAUAUUUAGUCUUUAUAUUUUUAAAAAUACCUCGAAACAUUCAUGCCGUUAAAGUAUUGAUACCACUACCAUUACUUUUCAUUUCUUUUAACUUAAUUUUACAAUAUUACCCUUUUAUAAUAAUUUUUUUAGACAUUAAUAAAAAAUAAUUAAAUCACUAAUUUAACUCUAAAAAAUAAAAAAAUUAUAUUAAUUUUUUUGCAAGCACCGUUUGCACACUUGGUAGGUUGCAUACAAUUUUUGAUAAUUAAAAAUUAAUAUAAAUUUUUAUUUUUAUUUUUAGGGUUAAAUUGAUAAUUUAAUUAUUUUAUUUUUAUUAAUGUACAAACAAAAAAAUUAUUAUUAAAGGGUAAUAUUGUAAAAAUAAGCCAAAAGAAAUGAAAAAUAACGGUAGAAGUAUCAAUACUUUAACGACAAGGAUGUUUCUAGAUAUUUUUAAAAAUAUAGAGAUUAAAUGAAUACUAAUCUUCAAAUACAGGAUUAAAUAGAAUUUUACCCCGAAUCGAACGUGCCUAAAUCUUUUUAAAAUUUUUGCCGUACAACGGACAGAGGUCAUUACUAAAAUUUCUCUUCCACAGCCCACAUCAGCUUCAGGAAUCAGUUUAUCAAACUCAAUCAAUUUUCUUUCUUAACAAAAUUCCAAAGAUGUGUAGCAUUUUUCAGAUCACAUGCGAUGGUGCUUUUUUCAAUCGUUGCUUGGAUUGCUUUCUUGGAAAAGCAGCAUACACACGUAACCUCCAAGAUAAUCUUGUGGCCUUGCAGACUGAAUUAAUGAAACUAAACGCAGCAAAGGACGAUCUGAUGAGGAGGGUCGUCAAUGCUGAACGUCAACAAAUGAGAAGGCUGGACGGAGUGCAAGUGUGGGUUUCGAGGGUGGAUGCUGUUACAACUGAAGCUAAUGAACUUAUCAGAGACGGCUCUCAAGAAAUUGAAAAAUUAUGUCUUGGAGGGUUCUGUUCCAGGAACUGCACGUCAAGCUACAAGUUUGGGAAACAAGUGGCUAAAAAGCUACGAGAUGUGGAGGCUUUAUUUGCCGAAGGGGUUUUUGAGGCGGUGGCUACCAAGGUGGUGCCUGAGAGAGCUCCAGAGCCUGUAGCAGAUGAAAGACCUGCCGAGCGAACAGUAGUAGGCUUGCAAUCACAACUUGAACAAGUCUGGAGAUGUCUUGCAGAAGAAUCAGCGGGAAUCAUUGGCCUAUAUGGUAUGGGCGGUGUUGGUAAAACUACACUAUUGACCCAUAUCAACAAUAAAUUUCUCGAGAGUCCAACCAACUUUGAUUGUGUGAUUUGGGUAGUAGUUUCAAAAGACCUGCGACUCGAAAAAAUUCAAGAAGAUAUUGGGAAAAAGAUAUGUUUGGUUGAUGAUGAUUUGUGGAAGAGUAAAAUUUUUGAAGAGAAAGCUGUAGCCAUCUUGCGGAGAUUAGGAGAGAAGAGAUUUGUAUUGUUGUUAGAUGAUUUAUGGGAGCGGGUUGAUUUAACAAAAGUGGGCGUUCCACUUCCCAGACCAAAAAAUACUACCUCAUAAGUCGUAUUCACAAGCCGUUUCAUCGAUGUUUGUGGUAGCAUGGAAGCUGGCAGGAAGUUCCAAGUAGCAUGCUUAUCAGAAAAGGAUGCUUGGGAACUGUUUCAAGAAAAAGUUGGGGAAGAAACUCUUGAGAGUGAUCAUGAUAUCGUUGAGCUAGCCCAAACCGUGGCCAAGAAGUGUGGUGGUUUGCCACUCGCACUUAUUACUAUUGGUCGAGCUAUGGCCAUCAAAAAGACAGCCGAGGAGUGGAGACAUGCAAUUGAAGUGUUAAGACGAUCAGCUUCAGAGUUUCCAGGUUUGGGAAAAGAGGUGUAUCCUCUUUUAAACUUUAGCUAUGAUAGUUUGCUGAAUGAGACGAUUAGAUCUUGUUUCUUAUAUUGUUGUUUAUAUCCUGAAGAUUAUGGCAUUCUUAAAUGGGACUUGAUUGAUUGUUGGAUUUCUGAGGGAUUCUUAGAGGAAUCUAAUAGGUUUGGUUGUUAGAGUGCAAUUUAUGCACUAGUUUUGCAUUAUUUACUUCCCUUAAUAUCAAUGUUUUGCACUUAAUAAUAGUGAUUUACUUGUGUUUUACUUUUGUAGGUGCAAUUCUAUUGAUUGAUGAUAAAAUUGAGCUAUAAGAUGAUGUUUAAGGAUGAUUGUUCUCUUGAAGAAAUUAUGAGCGUCAGAAGAACUUUGUUGAUAAGGCGUGGGCGCGUGCUGUCAACUGCGGACCUGCAGUUUUAGUUUAACGUGUUUUGUAUUUUUGGUUAUUUUUGUAAUUACGAAUUUAAUAUUUCAGAUAUUAGGAUUUUAUUUUAAAUAGAAUUCUAAAAGAGAAGAGAGAGAAAGUAUUUAAGGGAGGAAUCUAUUGUGAAAGGGGGAUUUUGGAUUGGAGAAAAAGAAACCCUAGAUCUAAUUUUUCUCUUCUCUCUAUGAGGAACUAAACCCAUUUUUCUGGUUGAAGGUUAAUGAAGCUUUGAUUCAUCACUACUGUGAGAUCUUUCUUGUGCUUUAAUUGUUUUAUUACUUUUUGGGUAUUUGUUUAUUCUCUGAAUUAUUUUCAUGAUUAUGUUUGUUAAUUAGGUAAUUGGCCACUAUUUAAUUAUCAACUUAAUCUAUUGUCAAUUAAAGGAUUCAUCGUAUGAAGAAUUUAAUGUUUGUGACAAAUAACAUAGCAGAGAGUUGUGUUGUGAGAAUAAACAAUCUAAUUUAAAUGAAUCAUCAUAUGUGUUGAUUAGGAUUUGGGUCUCUCUGGUUUUUCAGGCUGUCAAUUGAUUAAAUUCUAUGAUCGUAUCUAGGGUUGUCUAUUGAUUAGGGAAAUAACCAACGGUCGUACCUUGGUUAUCGACUAGUUAAGGAGAGAUUGGCUAUUAGAGGGUCUCAGUAGCUAUAACCGGUCUAUUCAUGAGUAAUAAUAAUCUAUAUUUGAAUCAAUGAUCAGUAGUCGAAUCAAGCUGAGUUAAUUCCUUCAACCAGAGCUUUCUCCAAUUUGAAUUACAACUUUAAUUUGCAUUCUUGUUAUUUUAAUUUGAUUUUUAUUAUUGUCAACAAUUCCCCUAUUUUACGUUUUACGUUUCAAAAGGAUUUAAUUAAUUACCGAUCUCUGUGGACACGACCCUGCUCAAUCACUAUACACAAUUUAUUUAGAGUAGGAAUUUACUUUUGUUGGCUUCGACACCCAUCAUUGGUGCAGAAAACCGAGGAUACUACAUUGUGGGCACUCUUGUUCAUGUGUGUUUACUAGAAGAGAUAGAAGAUGAUAAAGUAAAAAUGCUUGACGUUGUUCGUGAUAUGGCUCUAUGGAUAGCUUGUGAAACUGAGAAGGAGAAGAUAAACUUUUUGGUUUGUGCAGGUGCUGGAUUAGAAGAGGCACCGGAUGUUAAAGAAUGGGAAAAUGUGAGAAGAUUGUCAUUGAUGCAAAACCAAAUUGAAACUCUGUCAGAGGUUCCCACAUGCCCUCAUUUCGUCACUUUAUUUCUUGACUUUAAUGGGGAGUUGAAGAUGAUCGCGGAUGGCUUCUUCCAACUUAUGCCUUCUCUCAAAGUUUUGAAGAUGUCAAACUGCUGGAAUUUGAAAUUUCUUGUUGGGAUGUCAAAGUUGGGUUCGCUACAGCUUCUUGAUAUUUCACAGAACGCCAUAGAAGAGUUACCAGAAGAGUUGAAGUUGUUGAUAAAUCUGACAUGUUUGAAUUUGAGGGGGACAGGCCAAUUAAAUAAAAUUCCACGGCAACUAAUAUCAAAUUUUUCAAGGUUACGUGGGUUAAGGAAGUUCAUAACGUGUGCAAGCAGUCAACUCAAGGUUAGCACGUGGGAGAAUUUGCUGAGCUAAAGUUAGUUAAAUAAGCAAUGCCAGCUCAACAAAUUCAGUCAAGGUUUACUGAGAUUUUAUUCCUAUUGUUUUCUUUUCUGUUAACAAUGUAUAAAGGUGUUCUUUGUACUCAUUUGAUCAUUAAGAAAAAAAGAAAUAAAAUCUAGAAUAUUCUCUGAAGUUUUCUCAGUAAAACAGAGUAAAUUUUCUCAGUAACUAAACAGUAUAUAUCAGUGGAAUUUACGUUUUAUAACAUGGUAUCAGAGCCAAACAGUAACCAGCAAACAAUGAUGAGAAAUCUAGCAAUCAAUAAUACACAUCAACACACUCAAAUCAAUUUCUCUUUCACGAAUCCAAUUAAACUAGAUCGAUCAAACUACCUGCUCUGGCGUUCACAAGUUCUGGCUUCGAUUAGAGGUAAUCGACUAGAAGACUUCAUAACUAGAAUCAAAUCAACAUCUGAAGAAAAUAUUUUGUUAGCUGGAGUUGAUGGAUCUACACAACAAAUUGAGAAUCCUGAGUAUCAGAUCUGGAGAUCACAAGAUCAAAUUCUUCUUGGUUGGCUACUGUCAACCUUAAGUGAAGGUAUCCUUAGUCUUGUUAUUAACUGUAAAAGCUCAUUUUCUUCAGCUCAGAUAUGAACUGAACACUCUUAAAAAGGAGUCUCUUAGUAUUGAAGAUUAUUGUGUUAAAAUGAAAGCAAUAGCUGAUAAGCUUGCUAGUGCUGGUAGCUCGAUAACAGAAAAGGAUCUAAUGCUAACCAUACUCAAUGGAUUAGGAUCAGGAUAUAGUGAUAUUGCUACUUUCAUAACUGGUUCACGAAUGGAAUUUGAUGAUACUUAUGCAUUAUUGCUCACUCAUGAAACUAGGUUGGAACAAGAUCAUGAUGAUAAGAGUAUGUUCAAUGCUAACUAUGCAUAUACUAAUGCAUUUCAUCCUAAGGUUUAUUAUGCACAGCCUAGAGGAAAUUUUAAGAGAGGAGGUUAUUAUGGUGGUAGGAAUGUUUUCUCUGGUAGAGGGAAUAUGAAUUUUUCUCCAAGAAUGUUUAAUGGAGGUUUUAGAAGUGGUUUUGGUAGAGGAUAUUAUGUUGGUAAUCCUUUUAAUGGUAAUAAUUCUUUAGCACCAAAGAAUUCAUCAUCUGUUAUCAAGAAUGGAUCACAGAGAACUUUUAAUAACAAUCCAGGGGACUCAGUAUGUCAGAUUUGUCUCAAACUUGGUCAUACUGCUGAUAUUUGUUGGCAUAGAUUUGUUGAAGAUUAUGUGCCAAUGCCAAGGGGUUUUUAGAAAAGGAAAAGCACCCAGAGCAGCAUCACUACUAGAAAAAUAGCUUUUACUGAUACUUGUCUUGUGAUACUUUUCUAAAAAGUAUCAGCAAUUACAUAUAUUUGGGCCAUUUUCCGUGUUUAACAAACAAGUGUCACAAAUUACUGAUUCUAUGAUGUUUGUAUAUUAAACAUCAGAGAUCGUCGACACUAAGGUAUCAGAAACAACAAAAAAAAAUAAAAAAUCUAUUUUUGUUUUAGUUGCGACUCGAACCUAGGACCUCAAAACUAAAGUGCUUUAUGUUCAACCAACAAACCACCAUGCCAAAUUCAUAAAUUAGUUUGUGUUGAACAUGUUGAAAUUAUCAAAUUAAAUUAAUAUAGAAAACAAAAAUAUAAAAGCAAAAGAAAAAAACCCUAAAUCAACAUAAACAUAAAAUUCCCUAACUCCUAAAUCCAUGGCCAGCCGCCUCAUCUCUCUGGCGAUAUCCUUCUUCUUCUUCAUACCUCUAAAACUUCGAGCCCUAAAAUUCAAGGGUCCAUGUCAUAAGAAAUCCUACCACCACUGCUCAAAUUCUAACACCCAUACCAUACGAAACCCUAAUGAUCUACAUUAUGCAAAACAUCCACCAUGCCGCUAUGCCACAAGCUCACAAGACCCGCUUUAGAUCUCCACAUUUUGCUCACCCUACUCGAGUGCACACCGCCCCUCUCGCUUCGACUUCUCGGGAUUUCUUGUUAGCUGAAGUUUUGUUUUCUUCCGCUAAUUCGAUCUUCGAAAGGUCUCGGAGCUCCAAGUAACUAAGUAAGCUCGGUUUUCUUCUAUUCUCUCAGAUACUUGCUUACACAUUCCUUUUUUUUUCGUGUUAAAUUUUGUUGUUUCGUUGUGUUAUAUGGAUCGAUGAGAGUCACAGACUUUGACGAGACAAUGACGAUAUUGUUUUGGAGUUUCGUUUCGUAGAUCUGUGAUAGAGUCUCCUUUUUCAGAUAUUUCCUUUCAUUUACCAUAUUUGCACAAUUUGUUUUGUCAUUAAAUUAUUUGCGUUUGAAUGUACAAUUUUUGUUUUCGUUUUAUAUUUUCAAAUACUGUUUCUUGGAGCGAAUUAGUGGAGGAAUUUUUGGUUGAAGCAGAGGAUGGAUAACUUUUGUAUUUUGAACUUUGUAUGUUAUUUAUUAUUUGAACUUGAAGCUAAAAGGUGACCAAAUUUUCCAAAGGUUAGGGUUUGGUUGGCUUAUGUGAAAAUGCCGAACGAAUGUGUAUUAUUCAUACUCCAAUAUUGUAGGUGCGUCAAUGCACCUCCUUGCGAUGGUUGCAGCAACGAAACUGUAGGUCAAGGUUUGGGUACCCCAUUUCCUUCAAAGAUCCAAUAUGGAGCAACUCGAGUCGAGCUUUUUCGGUCAAUUUAAACAAAACCUUUACUCCUAAUUUAUUGUCUUUUGCUUUCUGUUUGUACCUGUAGGAGUUCAUAUUUUGUAAUGUUCCGUAAGUGUCCAAUAACUGGUUAAAUUAUGACUUAUGCUAGGUGAAGAUUUUGUGUUACAAUCCCCUUCAAUAGGCAAUCACUCUUUUUGUAAAUGUUCAUGGGUAAUUGCUUUGCCUUUGCUUCUGUUGUACUUUUGUUUUUGUGGGGUUUUAGUUAAUGGAUGUUGAGUUAUAUUUCAAUCAGUUUGAUUUCUCUGCAUAUUUUUCAUAUUUUAGUAUUAGAAGAGGUAUUUAAUCAAAUGAAGACAAAAACAAUUGUCGGCCAACCAACAAACUCACUUUAGUUUGUUGUGAAAUGAUUUUCUCUCUCUCUCUCGAUUUUCACUGGUUCUGUGGUUUUUUCCCUUCCACAAUGUGAUUUAGUUCUGUUCUAUUUAUGGAUGUUACCAACAUUUUAGCUUUUAAGAAACAGACAAAAAGAUUCUGAAGUUUGUUUCUUGUUUCUUACUCUGAAUUUCCAAGGCAUCUUAUUUGGAGAAAUGCAUUCUGAAUGGAGAAAUUUCUCCAAAUUUAUGAGAUGUGGUUCUGUCUUGCUGAAUGAACAUUGUAUUUCCUUCAAUGGUUUGCGAGCCAUUAAGUUAUUUGAGCAAACAAAAUUAGCAAUAUGGAAUCCUGUUUCUACAGGAUUAUAGUUGUAGGACUCUAGAAUUUAGUCUAGGUAAUGUUUUUACCAUUGUAAAAAGUAUCUGACAUUGGUGAUGUUUAAGCAUAUGUGUCAUUUCUUUUGGGCUUCACUUUGGAUCCUUUUUUUCUUUUUUUACAAACAAUGGAUGGUUAAAACCUAAGAGACUGAUUGAUUUUUGUUUUAAAUCCAGUGGUUAUGCCUUGUAAACUUUUGAGUUGUAUCAAUUUCUUUUCCUGGCCUAACUUGGCUAAAUUUAUGCUAUAUAAUUGAAUUCUACAAAUUUUGGCUAUGUAUGAUGUAAAGGUCAUAAGUCUUGUAUCUUCAUUUGUUCACCACAGGCUUGAUACUUCACAACUACCAUAAGUUAUGUCAUGCCAUGUCUUCUUUAGCAAUAUUGUGUGGCUUUGAGUAGUAUUAAUGUUUUUGUUUGUUAAUUCACGACUUAAUGGAACCAUUUUCCUUAUAAUCGAGAACCUUCGUGCGAGUGUUGUGGAGAAAUCUUAUGAUUCAUGUGUAGGUGUGUUUGCUUAAUGUGAUGACUUUUAUUAUGUGUUGUAGUUCUUGUGUCUAUAAGAGGAACCUUUGCUCCUAUGUCUAUUUAUCUCCGACUUUCAGUUUAGGCGUAAAUAGGUUACUCUUCUUUCUUUCUCAUUUUUUAAUUUCUAUGUUCUCCUAUGUCUAUUUACAUGGACUGCUUUGCUGCUUCUCUGCAGUGAAAACAACCCUGGUAAUUUACAGGAGCUUUUUUCACUUCAGAACAAUAGCAAGACAUCCCCUGCAGAUUUUUUAUUGAUUUUGCAUAGAUUGGUUUGUUGCUUUGGGUUGGAAUGCUACUGGAUAUAUGUCAGAAUUAUAGCGCUAUUGGAAGAUGGUGGGUUGUUGCAUAUGAGUUGGAGUGUUCCUGGGUAUGUAGCUAGAAUUAGAGUGCUGUUGGAAGAUGGUAUUGCUACUGGAAGUUUUGCUCAAAAACUUGUCGUUGGAAUACUUGCAUUAAUUUUUGGAAAUUUUAUUGGGUAACUUGGCUAGGUGGCUGAAAUUUUAAUUGCUUUUGUGUAUUGAAGCAUUUGGAUUGUGUAAUAUAUAUUGAUAAUAUUUAAAUGUUAUGAAAGGUUUUGAUAAAUAAAUUGAUUUUUGUUCUUAUUUCUCACAGCCUUUUAAUUCUAUCAACAAAUCAAUGGGUAAUGUCAUUUUGUAUAAUUAUUUUUUUAAAUAAUACAUAAAGUAGUGAUACUAUAGUAACAGUAUCACAAAUACUAAUAUAGUAUUGUAAUAUUUUGAUACCAUGGUGUUAUGAUUUUAAUGAUACUAUAGUAAUAGUAAUUACUGACACCACUUACAAGUGUCACUAUUUUUCUGACUGCCAGAUUACUGACACAAUUAGCAAGUGUCACUAAAAGUAAUUACUGACACUAUUCUAAUGUCAGUAAAGACCAUUUUUCUAGUAGUGCAUAUCUGUCAAAUUUUGAUGGUUCUGUUUCAAAUCCAAACUUUGAAGAUUAUGAGAACUUCAACUAUAUGCCUUCAGCUUAUAAUCCUAUGUCUGGCAAUAGCUAUUAUUCUGGUUUUGAUGCUUGUACUCCUGGAGUAGCAUUUAUGGCUAACUUUGAAGGAGUUGCUAAUGAUGAAUGGUACUUGGAUAGUGGGGCAACUCACCAUCUGGACAACAACAUGGAGAGCUUGCAGAUCAGUGAGGAGUUUAAGGGUACUGAUUAGCUCAUAAUUGGUAAUGGUCAAGGUUUGUUUAUCACUAAUGUUGAUUUUGCAUUUCUGUCACAAAGAGCAUCAAAUUACUUAUCUGCACAUUCCAGAAUAGCACUUAAGGAUAUAUUACUUGUUCCAUCAAUUACCAAAAAUCUACUAAGCAUUUCCAAAUUGACAUCUGAUAACCCUAUAACUGUUGAAUUUUGUGGGAAUGUUUGUUUUGUGAAGGACAUGAAUAGACAAGUUCUGCUGCAGGGACUUGCCGAAAAAGGUCUAUACAAGCUGCUGCUGAGUUCUAAUUCCUCUUCUUCAUUUCCUUCAUCUCAUCUUUGUCAUACUCAACUAAAUAAUUAUGUCUCAAUGUUGUCUAGCUUUCAAAGCUUUGAUAAUCCUUCUAAAGUUUGUUAUCAUUCUGUUUUCAAUAAAUGCAAAACCAAAUAUGAUGUAAUGACAUUGUUACAUAGAAAAUUUGGUCAUCCAAGUUCAAUGAUUCUGAUGCAUUUAGCUAAGUCUUGCAAGCAAUUAAAAAUCUCUCAAAAAGAUAUUCUAUCUUGUACAAAUUCUUUGUGUGAGGCAUGUCAGUUAGGCAAAGUUCACAGGCAAAGUUUUCCAGCAACUGAAACAAAAACAAAAGGAGUAUUAGAACUGAUUCAUACUGAUAUCUAGGGACCUUCACCCACUGUAUCUAGAAAUGGAUACAAGUAUUACAUUAGUUUUGUGGAUGAUUACACUAGAUACACCUGGAUCUAUCCACUUAAGCUUAAAUCACAAGCAUUUGAAGUUUUCAAACUGUUCAAGGCACAAGUUGAAAAUUAGUUUAAUACCAAGAUUAAGGAAUUACAAUCUGAUCUGGGGGAGAGAGUUUAGAGUAUUCAGUAAUUUCCUAAGUCAAAAUGGAAUCAAGUUUAGACAUUCAUGCCCUUAUACUCAUCACCAGAAUGGUCUUGUUGAGAAGAAACAAAGACACAUAAUUGAAUUAGCAUUAACACUCUUAGCUCAAGCUAAUCUCCCUUUUCAGUUUUGGUGGAAAGCUGUUCACACAGCAACAUAUCAUAUUAAUAGGUUACCAACACCUGUUCUUAAGCUUUUAUCUCCUUAUGAAAAGCUCUUUAAACACAAACCAGAUUAUUCAUUUCAUAAGUGCUUUGGUUGCCUAUGUUAUCCAUAUAUGAGAGAUUUAAAUAAACACAAAUUUGAUUUUCACACCACCAAAUGCAUCUUCAUUGGCUAUAGUCAUUCUUACAAGGGUUAUAAGUGUUUAACAAGCUCAGGAAAAAUUCAUAUCCUAAGGCAUGUUAUCUUUGAUGAAAAUACAUUCCCUUACUUAACAAACAAAGUCUUUCAUUUAUCCGAGAACAGUUCAAAUUCUGAAAUAUCAGUGUCAAACUUUUCCCAGUAACAAAUUUAUCAUCUCUCCACAUUAUCCUUAACUGACAGCAGCUUGGAAGAUCUUCAAUCAGCAAGUUCAGAAAGCAAUGAACAAGUACCUUCUGUUUCUGCACACACAAAUAAUCUGCAUCAACAAGAGCAUUCUCAAGAGCAUUCCUCAUCAACUAUACCAUUAUCACCAACACAACAACAAACUGAAUCACAACCACAAAAUGAACCACAUCUAUCUACUUCCUAGCACAUAAAUCAAACUCAAACUAGAAACCUUCCUUCACAACCAUCACAUUCAAUGGUAACCAGAUCGAAAAUAUGGAAUCUUCAAGCCAAAAGUUUACAUAACCACCUUAACCAACAAAGAACCCAGUACUGUUCAAGAAGCUCUAAGUGAUCAGAAUUGGCAUCAAGCUCUGAAAGAUGAAUAUGAAGCUUUGCUUAGGAAUGAAACAUGGUCACUAGUACCAUUUUCAGAGGUAUACAAGGUUGUUGACAGUAAAGGGGUUUUCAGAAUUAAACAAAACACAGAUGAGAGUGUAGCUAAAUACAAAGCCAGGUUAGUUGCAAAGGGUUUCCAGCAAACUAAUGGUGUUGACUACUUUGAGACCUUUAGUCUUGUGGUAAAGGCCUGCACAGUAAGAAUUAUUUUUAGUUUGGCUGUGAUGAACAAGUGGAAAAUAAGGCAAGUGGAUGUCAAUAAUGCAUUCUUAAAUGGAGAAUUGACUGAAGAUGUUUACAUGUAUAAGCCAGAAGGUUUCAUUGAUGAGAAAAAGUCCAGUUAUGUAUGCAAGUUGAAGAAAGCCCUGUAUGGCUUAAAACAAGCUCCUAGAGCUUGGUAUGAUAAGUUGAAAAACCGUCUGAUAAGUUGAAAAACUGUUUGAUAAGUAAUUGGGGUUUUCAAAAUUCCAGAGCUGAUACUUCUCUCUUCUUCAAAGAGAUUCAAGGCUCAAUAAUACUUGUGCUUAUAUAUGUGAAUGAUAUACUUAUUACAGGGCCUGACAUUGGAGAAUUAGAGAAGUUUAUCUUAGAAUUCAGUAAGACAUUUGCUUUAAAGGAUCUAGGAAUACUAUCAUACUUUCUUGGGAUAGAAGUCUCUUAUGCUGAUGGUUGUAUGUACUUAUCUCAGAGAAAGUAUAUUAAUGAUCUCUUGUCUAAAGCUGAUAUGUUGAACUGUAAAGGGUGUGAUACUCCCAUAGCGAUUGGACUGAAACUUCAAAAGGAGGUUAAAGGUUGUUUAGGUCAGUAUGUUGAGGAUGCAACCAGUUACAGAAGUUUGGUUGGAGGCUUGCAAUAUCUGGUGUUAACCAGACCAGAGAUAGCCUUUGCUGUGCACAAACUCAGUCAAUAUGUGACAGCUCCAACAUUGCAGCACAUAAUGGCCUGUAAACGAGUUCUAAGAUACCUAAAGGAAACCAUGGAUUAUGGUCUAAAGUUUUCAGCUGGUGGAGAAAUGGAAAUCACAGGUUUUAUAAAUGCAGAUUGGGCAUGCGAUAUUGAUGACAGAAAAUCUAUAGGUGCAUACUGUAUCUAUUUUGGAAAUAAUCUGGUGUCAUGGUCAUCUAAGAAGUAGUCUGUGGUGAUAAGGUCUAGUGCAGAAAGCGAAUACAGAGCUUUGGCUUCUGCAAGUGUAGAAAUAGCAUGGAUUCAAUCUUUGUUCAGUGAGCUAAAUAUAAGAUGUGUCUCAGUACUUAUCAUCUGGUGUGACAACAUGAGUGCAACAAAGUUAAGAUAAAAAUCUAGUCUACCAUUCACGUACCAAACACAUUGAACUGGAUAUGCAUUUUGUUAGAGAUAAGGUUUUAGCAGAGGAGCUGAAAAUUAACUUCAUUCAAAGUGAAGAACAGAUAGCCGAUGUCCUAACAAAACCUCUCACAUUCAUUCAUUUUAAUUAUUUCAUAAACAAACUCAAUGUGCAGCCAUGCCCCUUGAGUUUGAGGAGGGCUGUUAAGGAAGCUCAUAACGUGUACAAGCAGUCAGCUCAAGGUUAGCACGUGGGAGAAUUUGCUGAGCUAAAGUUAGUUAAGUAAGCGAUGUCAGCUCAGCAAAUUCAGUCAAGGUUUACUGAGAUUUUAUUCAUAUUGUUUUCUUUUCUAUUAACAAUGUAUAAAGGCAUGCUUUGUACUCAUUUGAUCAAUAAGAAAAGAAGAAAUAAAAUCCAGAAUAUUCUCUGAAGUUUUCUCAGUAAAACAGAGUAAAUUUUCUUAGUAACCAAACAGUACAGAUCAGUGGAAUUUACGUUUUAUAACAACGUGUGUUGAGAAUGUUGGGUAUUGGCCAAUUCAAUUUUCAUGAAGCACCAGAAGACAACGCUUUAUUUGGUGGGGGUGAAGUUUUGAUACAGGUAUUGCUCGGUUUGAAAUAUUUAGAGGUAUUGGAGUUGACCUUGGGAAGUUAUCAUGCUCUCCAAAUUCUUUUGAGCUCAAAUCAGUCAAAAAGUUGUAUUCGAUCUCUUCUCCUCCACAAGUUUAGAGGUACAACGCCGAUUAUUGAUGCUACGGCUUUCGCAGAGCUAAACCACCUCAACGAAUUAUUUAUUAAUAAUAGUAUUGAGUUGAUAGAAUUGAAGAUUGAUUAUACAGAGAUAGUACAAAAAAGGCAGGAACCUUUUGUUUUCCGCAGCCUUCACCGUGUUACCAUAUUUAGGGCCCGUUUGGGAGUGAGGUGCUGUAGCUUUUAAGCUGCAGUUGCUGUGGAGUAAAAGCUAUAGAUGUGGAAUGGAAGUUGAUGGUGUUUGGUAAAAGUGUUGUAGCUUUUAAGCUGCAACUACUGAUGGUGUUUGGUAGAGUGGAUGAAUAUUUGUAAUAAUUAAUUUUAAAUAACAUUAUUUUUAAUUGUUAACAAAUCAAUUAUUUUUCAUUCUUCAAAUUAUUAUAUUGACAUACAAUUACGAUUUAUUCCGUUACAAAUUAAAUUAAUAUUUAAUAAAUCAAAUUUAUUUUUUUGCACAAGUUGUAAUAAAUAAUUUAUAAAACACAUCAUGGGGUCAAUUAUAAAUAAUUUUAAAUAACUAUUAUUGACAAUGCCAACCGGGCAGUGUACAUGAUAUGCUUCUCCAAAUUGCUUCGGUUUGUACCUGAUAUGAUUAAUCGAGUAUUAUUUACAAUACCAAAUAUAUCUAAUAAAAAUCAUACAACAAAACAAAAUAAAAUUAAAAUGUAAUUAAUUACAAAAUUUGUAUAAAUAUUUCUAUUGUUGUGCCUCCAUUAAACUUGCAGCAAUGCCAUCUUUCAAGAUUAUUAUAUCUUGAGUUGUGCUAUCAAUUGUUUCAUAACUUUCUUCAUGAGAUGCAAUAUGUUCGCUAAUACUAUGACUUGGUUCAUCCGUCAUUUCAUCAAAAUGAUCAUUAUUUUGUGAAUAUCUUCUGAUAUAAUUAUGCAAGGCCAUGGUAGCAAUAACUAUUUUCACCUGCUUCUUGAAUGGAUAGCUUGGCAUACUUCGUAAAAUCUUCCAUGUAUUCUUCCAAACCCCAAAAGUACGCUCAAUAACACUUCUCAAGGAAGAGUGCUUGUAGUUGAACAAUUCUUUAUAACCCAUUGGUUGGCUACCUCUACGAAAUUCAGGAAGGUGAUAUCUUUCACCCUUAUAUGGUCCUAAGUACCCACAUAACUCCGGAUAUCCUGCAUCUACUAAAUAAUAUUUUCCUAAAAAUAAAAAGAAAAAUACAAAAUAAAUAAAACAAUCUAAUCAAUUGAAUAUGUAUAUAUAAAAGAAAAAUUAGAAACACAAACCUGGAGGAGGGUUUGGAAAAUUGAAUGCAGGAUUCGUAAUAGUUGUUUGAAAUACCCUUGCAUCAUGGGCACUGCCUUCCCAACCAGCCACUGCAAAUAUGAAUUGCAUAUCAAAGCUACAUACAGCCAUUACAAAUUCUUUUCCCACCAUUCCUCACUUGCAUCAACUGUCCUCAACCUAUGAUUCCACCCUAAACCAGUUUCUUUGCCAAUCAAAUUCUUCCACAAUUUCCAAUCAGUUCUAAGAGAAUCCCAUUUAUUUUUCAUUUGAGUUCUGUUGUAAUCUAAUCCAGUUUCUUUAGUGAACUCCUUAAUCAAAUUUUCAUAUCCUUGGGAAGUCAAAUGAGUCCCUGGACGAUGUCCGGCAUCCACCUCUUUAACGCAUAAGUCACAAAAUACAUCUAAAGUCUGGGGGUUCCAAGUAGCCUUACUAGUUGAGCUAUUAGACACAAUUUCAUACACUUAAACCUAGGAAAAAAAAUAUUUCUUUAUCAAACAACAAUACAGAAAAAAUAAGAAUAUAGAAGUUAAGAAAAUUACUAGAAUCUUGUUAUGGAUGGUGGAAGGAAAAAUAAUUCGAUAUUAAAAAAUUAAAAAAAAAGACAAACCAGAACAAGUUACCUUAGUUGUUACUUUACUUGAAAUACUUUUCCAGCAAACAAUAAUGAUCAUAGCCCACGAAUAGAAACAAUUACAAGCAAGUCAAUAAAGCAACAAAAGACAAACCAGACUAGGAAACAAAGAAAUUCAACUAAACAAUCAUUAGGUACAAACUGCAAUUGCAUUUAGCCUCACAAUCUCAAAUUUGCUACGUGCUUUGAUAUUUCCUGUACUAUUCUUUUGGCCCAUCCUAAGACAUAUACAAUUGCAAUUGCAACACUUUCUCCCUUCUUUUUUCUGUAAUUCGUAUGGCGACUUACGUAUAUAUAACCUAAUUAAUUGAAUUAAAUUGAUGAUGGGUUAGAAAAUCAUUAGGCUUAUUAAUUAUACGCGUCAAAAGAAUGGUCGGCCAAUAAUUAGGUGUCCUGCUUAUACUCCUGUAAUUUAGUCAUUCUCUAGUAAAUAUUAUUAAAUAAAAAGAAACACAAACAAUUAAGCUUAUUGGUAACUGAACUGGUGCCCAAAAAUAACAAGAGCAGGAGAAAGCAAACACACCCAAGAAUUUGACAAACUUCAACUUGAAAUCCAGAAUUUGACAAACUUCCUUUUGUUUACUGAAGCAUAGUAUUUCAUAACGAAGGCAUGCAUUUUAUUAUUUAAUGUCUUGUAGAACUGGAAACUCAAAUCAAACAGGGGUUGUGCAUGUUUAUAAAAAGCAACUACAAAAAUAAAAACUACAAUAAAAACAAUGGUUACAAGCAAAUAAAUCACGCAUGACCCAUCACCCAUCAAUUUAUUCUAACAAAAGCCCCAACAUUUUAUGAAUGAAAAGGAAGAAAAUGAAAAAUUGCUUGAAAUAGAGUAAAGGAGUACUCAAAAAUGAACAACAGAUAGAGGAAAAGGCACCACUGACAGAGGCGUAUGAGAGUGGCCGGUGUCGGAAUCGCGCCGAUGAGAAUUUCGGUGUCAGAAUCGCAUCAAUUGGAACUCCCACAGUCGGAAUCGUGCUGAUGAGAAUGGGUGUUUAGGGUUUGUUUAAAAAAAUCGAUUUGAAAUAGAACUCCCACUGACAUGACUGUUUGAUAAAAUGAAAAUGGAAUAAUAUAUAAAGUUAAUUUAGUAAUUAAACUUGCAGCUGGGAAAAAAAAUCUGUCAAGUUGUCAAAACACAACUAUAAGUGGUACCAAACACUUUGGUGGCUGGGCUGCUCACCACACUCCCAAACGGGACCUUAGUUGCGGUAAAUUGAAAGAUGUGACAUUCCUCGUUUUUGCUCCAAACCUCAAGUCUCUUUGGCUAUUCGAUUGCGGUGCUAUGGAAGAAAUAAUCAGCGUCGGAAAAUUUGCUGAGACUCCUGAGAUGAUGGGACAUAUAAUCCCUUUUGAAAAUCUCCAAAUGCUUAAUUUAAUGGAAUUGCCGGAGUUGAAGAGAAUUUUCUGGAAGCCAUUGCCUUUCACUCAUCUGAAAGAAAUAUCUGUGGGUUAUUGCCGUAAUCUUAAAAAGCUUCCACUCGAUUCCAACAGUGCAAAAGAGCGUAAAUUUGUAAUUCGUGGAGAAGAAGACUGGUGGAACCGACUUCAAUGGGAGGAUGAAGCCACUCAAAUUGCUUUUCGUUCCUGUUUCCAACCUCGUUCCUGAGCGGUGGUCGCAAAAUUUGAUUUCUGGUGAGUGCGUUUUUGUUAACGCUUAUGUUUUUAUUCCAGUGUGUUUUUCUUCUGUCUUCUGCAAAUCACGAUUAAAUGUUGAAUAAUAUGGAAUCAAUGCUUUAUAAAUUUUCCGGCGUGGCCAUUUCCUUUUCCCUUUUUUUUUUUGGGGGGGGGGGGGGGGCGUGGUUCGAUUGAUGCUCUGGCUUUUUACUUUUUGUCUUCGAAUUUUGCUCUGUUUUUCAAAUUGAUGCUUGAAUAGUUGAAUUCAAUUAAUGCUCACAUAAAUUUGUUUAGUUGCCGUAAAACGGUAAAAGGAUAUAAUUAGAUUGAAAUUCGCACUUCUAGAAUGAAUAGAAUUACAAUAGAGAAAAUAUUAAGUAUACAAGCCCUCUUUACAGAAAAUCAAAUGAAAAUAAAAUUUUUUGGAUAUUUGAUUUUCUAUGGUCUACUGUAUACGCUUUAUAAAUUCCUCUGCUUUAACGAUAACCAAAUCCUUUUUUCAAGGAUUUUUAUUUGGGGUAUUGAUAAUAGUCCACCAACAUAGUGAACGCUUGGAUGCUGCUUAAGGAUCUCUAAUCAGUAGCUGGAAGCAAAUGAGAAGGCGGUCGCUACUUUGUACAAAGCCAUGCAGCAAUUGCUAUUCAUUUUCAAACAAAGUUGAGAUGUUAUUUUCAGAUUUGGUUCCAGAUUUUGUAUGAAUAUCGUUGUUCCAUUGAGUUGUAUAUGAAUUCAAAUGUAAAAUAUUCUUUGGUUUUCAAUUUUGAAUUCAAUUUCUUUUUCUUAAGCAUGUUGUGCAGAAAUGAUUUCUACUAAAUCAUUUUUGAUAAACUAUUUAAAUUAAACAACUGGAAUAAGAACUGUAAGGAUUUAUCGUAAGCAGACUAAUAUGAUAAUUCUGAAACUAUCAUUUUUUUUUUUUCAAUUUGUUGCAGGGAAAGCCAAAUUUUGCGUUUUUCAGUUUUAUCUGAUAUGGGCUUUAUUUCCUCUACACUAGCUACCUAAAGAUUUAUCAAAUUGCUUCUCUUCCCUGCUUCAAAUAUCUUCAUGGCAUCAUAGGAAAAGAGAGUUUGGGUUGUAUUUAUUAUAGUUUUUAUUUUUUUUUUUGUUAUAAGCAAAUUUAUUUUAAAUACUUUAGUAGUAACAGUUUUUAUUGAAUAAUAAUGAGGGAUGAUUAUUAUAGGUUCAAAUAGUUGUUAGAACAUUAUAAAAAGUCUAUUUACUAUCAAAUGUUUUAAAUUGAUGCAACGUGAUAAUUGUCUCAUAUAAUUUUUUUAUAAUAUAUAUGUCCCAUAAUCUUAACAUGAAUAAAUGAAUUUCAACGGUUAAAUUUGACACGAUUAUUAAAUAGAUCAUAUCUAUAUUAAUUCGAUUUAAAAUCUGGUCACAUUUGGAUUUAGAGUUUCUAACAUGAUAACUUGUUUUAUGACAUGAUUUACUAAUCAAUUAAUAGUAAAUCAAAUGUCAGUCAAUUAAAUAUGUGGUACAUUUGUCAUAUUUUAAAAAUUAUUUAUUUAUAUUUGAAAUGAAUUUGGUGCNNNNNNNNNNNNNNNNNNNNNNNNNNNNNNNNNNNNNNNNNNNNNNNNNNNNNNNNNNNNNNNNNNNNNNNNNNNNNNNNNNNNNNNNNNNNNNNNNNNNAUAAGACGACGCGACACAAAUACAACCAACAAGUCAACCCAAAUUGCCACCUUUUACUAUCUUCUUUGUGUUAUUUCUCUAAAAAUUUGUGCCUUCUCUUACACUUUUAAAUCUGAAGUGUUUGAACUGGAGUACACAAAUUAUCUCUCUACAAUUCCAAAACAACCAAUUUGUUACUUGGUAAAUCUUAAUCAAUGGCAGGAAGCAAUUGAGAAGGCGGUCGCUACUGUGUACAAAGCCAUGCAGUAUUUGCUAUUCAUCUUAAUAAUUGUUAAGCUUUGGUAAAAUUUUCAAACAUAGUUGACAUCAUGUUGUUUUGAGAUUUGGUUCAUGAUUUUGUAUGAAUAUCGUUGUUCCGUUUGAGUUGGAUGUGAAUUGAAACCUAAAUAUUCUUUAUUUUUCAAUUUUGAAUUCAAUUUCUUUUUCUCAAGCAUGUUAUGCAGAAAUGAUUUUUACGAAAUCAUUUUUGAUGAAUUAUUUAAAUUAAACAAUUGGAAUAAGAAUUGUAACGAUUUAUCAUAAGCAUGCUAAUAUGAUAAGUUGUUUUACGAACGAUUAAUUAAUCAAUUAAUAUUAGAUUAUAUAUUAGUCAAUUAGAUAUGUGUUACAUUUGUCAUAUUCUAAAAACUAUUUAUUUAUAUUUCAAAUAAAUUUGACCAGAGGUUACGUAGGUAAUACUACAUAAUUUCUAAAGGAAUGUAAAAAUUUAAAGUUUUAUUAAAUAGGUGACUCAAUAAUAAAUGGAUUUCUGCAAGAAUUGAGAUUCUUGAGAUAAUUAUUACAUAGGGAAUUUUGGUUAGUUCAAUUUUGACAUGGUAAGAAGACGACACGGCGCAGAAAACCCAAAUUGCCACUUCUACUAGUAAUAAAAGAUACCUGUUUGAAAAGUAAUUAUAAACUAUCUUCUUUGUGUUAUUUCUCAAAACUUUUGUGGCACAAUGUUAUUUCCCUGGAGAAAAGUACGAAAUACCCCCUUUCACGUCGGCAGAAGCAAAGCAAAGCUAUGAGCUAUCUCUGUAUACUUGAAACGCCAUUGCUAAACGAUUCUCGAUGAUGGGUGCCACUGGGUCAGUGUUGUCUCUGAUUUACAUGAUUUAUUAGUUGUCCAGAUGCCAGAGAAACCAUGGUGGCAUUGAAGUUGCCCAGAUGGUUAGUUUUCUGAUCAUUUUUUUAUUCAAUUAUUUAUUUUUUUAGAAAAAUGUGAGAAAUAUGUAGAAAUGUUGACAGCUAUGAUUUUGAAACUUUGCCUAAAAUUGUUAUCAUCACUUAUUUAAAGAGAAAUCCUAGAAACAUGAAAUGAUUAGUAGCCUAAUUCAAAAUUAGACGUGAUUACAACAAGAGAAAAGUGGAGAGAACUUGAUAAUCGAGUGCAUUUAGAAUUUAAUUUUUCUUUUAGCUGCCGAUCAUUAAAUUUUCGAUUUCAGAAAAUUAUACCUAGAAUAUUUCAAGGAUAUACUAUGAAGAUUAUGAAGGUUUGAUUACAUGUCACUAUCAAUUGCCCCAAUCAUUUGUAGUAAAUUAAUUGAUCAUUUUGAUGCAAAUGAUUCCCUACUAAAAAAUUUAAGUCAAGGCUGAAUUGCAUAGUAGUUAGUCGCGCUUGCACUUCAAAUUAAGUAUUGUAUUUUCUGCCUGGUUUGGUUGAUUAAAGUGUGUGCAUUUGCUUUUGAACGUUGUAGUAUAGAAAUCGAAACAUUUGUUUUUCGCUAAGCCCAGAAGCAAAGUUCUUUGUACUGUACUCAUCACUUCUCUUCAUUCUCUUUGUUGAAAUUUUUUCCAAACAGCGGUUUCUUCGAAUUUGUGCCUUCUCUUCCACUUUUAAAUCUAUCAAAGAACCGUUACCUGAGAAGAUUGCCAUCAGGAAUUUCUAAAUUGAUUUCACUAUAAUACCUUAAUCUUUCAGAUACUCCCGUCACUGGGUUGCCAAAAGUGCUAAAAGCCUUCGUAAAUCCUACGUGUUUGAACUGGAGUACAAAUGUUAUCUCUCCACAAUUCCAAAACAACUGAUUUGUUACUUUUCAAUGCUACACGUUCUGCGAAUGUUCAGUUGUGGUUAUCUUGCUGAAAUACCAGAAAAUAGGGUUCUAGUUGGCGGUAGUGGAUUCUUGGUUGGGGAAUUGCUUAGUUUAAAACAUUUAGAUGUAUUAAGCAUCACCUUAAAAGGUUUUUCUUCUGUCCAAAAACUUAUGAGCUCCCAACAGUUUCAAAGCUGUACAAAAUGUUUGGAGCUUAUAGACUGUGAUGAUUCAAAGUCGUUUGCCUUGGCAGAGUUGAAGCAUCUUGAAAAACUAGGUUUUUCAAAUUGUGGAAAUUUGGAAGAUAAAUUACAUUUAUAAACUGUGGAUCGCCCUUUAUAAGUAUUAGGCUUAUCCCAUACUCGAGCAAUGUGGAAUACCUUUAUAAGCAUUAAGCCUCUCCCAUACAAUUUCUGUACAUGACUUUAAAAGUGGUUGAUGACCCGUUUUGUAAUAUCAUAGAGGGAUCAUGAAUUCCUUUUCUUUUCUGUGGCUAGGCAACACUUUUGGGCCAAAGUAAGGAAAUCUAUUUUAGGUAAUGUAAAAACCAGUUGUGGGAUGUAAUAGUUUAUUAUGCACUGACAACAACUUUUUGUAUAAUUGUCAGUUUAAUGAAUACGAGAGGAACUCUGUUGGCAAAUUCAUCCAUGAUAGAUGCUAAAAUUAUACCAGUUGCCUUAACUAAUUUUUCUCAACACUGGUAUUGAACAGGAAAAUGAAUAUGCAAUUUGUAUUUGUGCCAUUGUGGAGAAUUUGGAUAUUCUUAGUUUUAGUAACAAGGAGAGUAUUUGCCUCAUCUUUAAACAAUGAAUCUUUGAGAAAUGAGGACUGGGUGAUUGGCAGUGUCAGAGUGUCUUCAUGUAAAUGUUCAUUUAUUUGUAUUUUGAACUAUUAUUAGAAUCUUUAUAUGCCAAAUUAGUAAUACAAAUGUUCAGAUGAUUUUUCCUGGUGAUCAUUUCAUUCUUGAGAGCCAUGUACAAUACUAGGAUACCAGAGAAACCAAGGUAGCAUUGAAGUUGCCCCAGUGGCUAGUUUUCCGAUCAUUUUUUAUUCAAAUUUUUAUGUUUCAGAAAAAUGUAAGAAAUUUAUAGAAAUGUUGAUAGCUAUGAUUUUGAAACUUUGCCUAAAAUUGUUAUCAUCACUUAUUGUUUCUUAUUUAAAGAGAAAUCCUAGAAACGUGACAUGAUUAUUCCAUACUUGUUUUAAUAUUAUUUAUUAGCAGCCUAAUUCAAAAUUAGACGUGAUUAUUUGUUACUUUUAAUGCUACAUGUUCUGGGAAUAUUCAGUUGUGGUUAUCUUGUUGAAAUACCAGAAAAUAGCGUUCUAUUUGGUGGUAGUGGAUUCUUGGUUGGUUUGAAUGUAUUAAGCAUCACCUUAAAAGGUUUUUCUGCUGUCCAAAAACUUACGAGCCCCCAAAAGUUUCAAAGCUGUGCACAACCUUUGGAGCUUAUAGACUGUAGUGAUUCAAAGUUGUUUGCCUUCGCAGAGUUGAAGCAUCUUGAAAAACUAGGUUUUUCAAAUUGUGGAAAUUGGAAGAGUUUAAGUUCUGCUGUGUUGAGGAUGGAAAGGCUCGAGAAUGUUUUCGUGUGAACAGCUUCAACGAGUUAAGAUAAAGGCUUGUCAUAAAUUGAGGGAAGUGACAUGGCUUGUAUUUGCUCCGUAUCUUGAGGUUAUUCAAAUAGCCAAAUGUAUGGGGAUAGAAGUAAUAAUCAGUGCAAGGAAAUUGGGUGAAGUUCCAGAGAUGAUGGCAGAUCUAAACCCUUUUGCAAAACUCCAAUAUCUUGGCCCACGAGUUCUACCAAAAUUAAAAAGCAUCUAUUGGAAUCAGUUGCCCUCUCUACAUGUCAGGCGAAUUUUGUGUCUGAAUGCCCAAUUCUCAAGAAGCUUCCACUUGGUUUUAACAAUGCAAAGGAAUCUAAAACUAUCAUUAGGGGAGAAGAACACUGGUUGAAUGAGCUGCAAUGGGAGGACAAAGUGACCCUUAAUGUUCUUCUUCCUUGUUUCGGAUCCAUUUGAAGGCAUCAACAUGGAUUGAUACUUUGCAGUGGAGAAAUUUGAAUAAAACCUAUGGUAAGCGCUUUUCCAUUUAUUGCAUAUUUAUAUCUAACUUUUGUUUUCCUUUGUGGUUAAAUUUUGCUCUAUAUACGUUGUUGUACGGUGACAUUCUCAUAUCAAUUAUUAGCUUUUUAAUUCUCUUCUCACAUUAACUGCCCUUUUGAUCAUGUAGGAUAUGCUGAUGUCAAAGAGUCGUAAUUUGGGAUGCAAAUGUAAGAAUUAGACAGAUGACCAGUUGUUUUGAAGCGCUCGAAGAAGGAUUAAUUACGUCAUUGAAAGGCUCCAAUUUUGUGACUUUUUUUUUUAAUUUGUUGUUUUUUCUAUUUUUAGAUAGCUUGAUUGUCAGUUGUCGUGAUGUAAUGCUUUAGUGUAGAAAAAUGAUAUUCGGCCAAGACAACAUUAGCAGGGCACCUUGUGCAUGCAUACUAGUGGAUAAUUUCGGCAUGCUAAAUCCAAUUAGGGUGGAUGACCCUUUAUAAGCAUUAGGCUUCUCUCAUACCCGAAAACAAUGUAGAAUACGCUUAUAAGCUGCGGAUCACCCAUUAUAAGUUUUAGGCUUCUCCUUUACUCGAGCGAUGUGGAAUACCUUUAUAAGCAUUAAGCUUCUCCCAGUAUCUUUAUGUUAAAAAUAAUAAUAAUAAAAGAAAUCCAUUUUAAAAUAGACUCUUUUUUCUUUUUCUAUAUAAACAAAUGCAUUCUUCAAAUCAAUUGUGGGCAGAAGAAGUUAGUAGAAAAGAACUAGUCCCCUUUCAUUCCCCCUUAAAGCUCACCAAAGCCUCUUUUGUAAGCUUUUCGGAUUUUCUUUCUAUAUUGCUUAUGAUCUCAUUUUUGAUUGAAUCACUUCUUUUGCAUGCUGCAUAUUUUGUUUGUUGUAUUUGGAUAUUAUCGUAUCUGGAAUGCUGUUAUGAUUGAUGGAACAAGUAAUCGAUAUUUGGUCUGAUGGAAGUUGACUUAUUUAUUUAUUGUUAUUUUAAUUUGAAACUAUGUACAAUUGCAUUUCAUUCAUUUCUCUCUCUCCCCCCCCCCCCCCCCCACACACACACACAUAUAUUUGUUAUGUAUAAUUGCGUUUCAUUUGAUAUUGAUCAUGCUGUAGAUAACCAUGUGAUUGUAGAUGGGGAUUUCAAGUUUGUUGAAUAUUCAAGUAAGUGAAGUAACUGUCAAAAUACUAGUGAAAUUGGGAGCUUUAUUCAUGAGCUUGUGGUUUUGAAAAGUACCACAGUUCAACCGAUGAAGGUUCCUUUUUGGGGUUCUUCUUUUUCUAGGCUGCAAUUAGGAUAUGUACAUGUUAGACAAUCUUUUGCGGGUUUAGCAUAUCUUCUCUGAUUUUGUCUUUUAUUCCCCAAUCUUAUAAUUGCACACCAUGAAUGUUGAGUGAUUGUAUAGAAAAUUUGUGUUAUAACCAAAGCGUUGUGAAGGAGUUAAGUUAGUGGCUUCUGUUUUAUUGGCAUUGAUUGGGUAGAUUAUGUGUUACAGUGAUUCAAUUUGUGCUCCAAAGUUUGCUUUAAUUUCUUUUUUCCCUAAUUAUUUAUGUCAAAUUUAAAUCCAGAAGCAUGUACUGAUUUUUUCUUUUUGUAUUAAUCUGUGAAGGUUAUUUGGAAUGGAAGUAUCUGGGUUGGGUCUAACGGAUUAAAUUAUGACAUUGGGGGGAAGGCAGUAAAGGGUUUGCUCGACACAUUUGGUUCUGUGUUUACUUUGCAAGAAAUAGCUUUUGGUUAUCACAAUGCCGGUGGAAUCCCGAUUUGGCUCGUGAAUUUCUUUGUGACAAAUAGGCAAACACAUCAACCUCUUCUAUCCAUCCUUCUACUGGUAAGGCAAGGGGUAAAGAGUCUUCAAAAUCAUCAAAUAGUAACAUCUCUGAGAAUUCAUUUUAUGCAAAUGGAAAAUCUAGACCUUCUAAGACAAAAUGGCGUCCUGUAUCAGGAGGUACCGUUUCAAGUUUUCUUGGUAAAAAUUAUGUUAAACCUGCACAGCCAGCUAAUGGCACAUUUCUAGCAUCAAAGCCAUUGAAGUUGGAUCCAAAGGGGUUUCCCAUGUCUCCACUUUUGCGGAGAAGAUACUAAACUGAAACAAUCAAAGGAUGACCAUUUGCAGAAGGAUAUGGAAGAUUUUCUGUUUAAAUUGCUAGGAGAAGUGUUCCUAUUGUCCUUUUCAAUGUUCUUUCUUUCUUUCUCUUCUUUUCUUCUUCUUCUUCUUUUUUCUUUUUGUGUGCGUGUGAUCACUAAUUUGGUAUUGUAGUUUAGUUGCAGAUAGUUGUGGAUAUGAUAUGCAAAAGGUAAGGACUAUAUCUUCCUGAUGGAGGCCUCUGCUUUUUCCUUUAUGUGUAAUUUAAUAAAUUGCAUCUUCCUUUGUGAUUGUUAUAUCAUAUCAAAGACAAGUCUUAAAUACUGCUGUCAUAUGUUAAGGUUCAACUUGCAGUUUGAUUAACAUUCAUGGCUCAAAGGCCUGAAAAAACUUGCCAGUAAUUGUAAAAUGACAUUCUUUGCUUUUAAUGCAAUAGAGGGAACAGGGAAGUAUAGCUUUGGAAGCCUGGAUUGGUAACUAUAGAGAGACUUAGUAUUUAAUUGAUAAAAAUUCCCAUAACCCAAGGUCAAGAAAAUUUUAGAUCGUUAAAGACUUCAUUUUGUUUCGGCCAGAAAUGUUUGUUUCGAUCGAAGACUUGAACCAUUUCGAUUGAACCUGAUUAUGAUGCUUUACGUUAUGCAUGUUCCUCUUAAUCAAGAAAAGUUGAGGUGAUGAUUUUAUAUUUCUAUAUUGUAAGUUGAAAUAAUAAUUGGUCUGCUUGUUUCUGUAGCUUGAUAACAUGAAUUUUCCUUCUCAAGUUAAUUUAAUCAAUAAAGUAAUUCUUCAAAGAAAAUAUGCCCAUUCUAUAAUCAUUUUCUUAAUUAACAUGUUUUUUUCUUCACACUUCAGAGCAUGUUGAAACUAAUUGAUCGCUCGGCAGAGACUUUGGGUGAGAAGACAAAAUUUCUCGGUAAAUCCUCUGAAAAGGUAUGCAUAAUUCCGCAGUAUUAAAUAACCAAUGGUCAUAAUUUUUGUACAGGACUCUUUUCUUGUGGAGAUAAUUAAAAGUGGCUGAUGAUCCAGUUUGUAUAUCAUAGAGGGAGCAUCAAUUCCUUUUGUUUUCAGUGGCUAGGCAACACUUUCAGGGCAAAGUAAGGAAAUCUAUUUUAGGCAAGUAAAGCCAUGUAGAUGUAAUAGUUAACAUGCACUGACAAUAACUUUGUAUAAUGUCAGUGAACGAUACAAGAGGAAUCUGUUGACAAUCAUCCAAGAUAGAUGCUAAAAUUAUUAUGCAUGCCAGUUGCUUAAUAAUUUUCUUACACUGGUAUUGAAGAGGAAAAUGAAUAUGCAAUUUGUAUAUGUGCCAUGUGAGAAUUUGGAUAUCUAUCUAAGUAACAAGGAGAGUAUUGCCUCAUCUUUAGACAAUGAAUCUUGAGAAUUUGGAUAUUCAUGUAAAUGUUCAUUUGUUUGUAUUUUGAACUAUUAUGAGAAUCUUUUAUAUGCCAAAUUAGUAAUGCAAAUGUUCAGAUUAUUUUUUCUGUUGAUCGUGCAUUUGUGUCUGCACACAACCAUUGUAUAUCACUUCAUUCUGAUGCGCAAGUGUCUGUAGUUUAGAAGAAAAGAAAUAAUAAUGAUAUAUUAUUGCUUGAUUCAUGAUUAUUAAAUGAUUAUGGCUUUAAAAAACCUACAAAUUCCUUUUGUUGAUAUAUGAAUGUACCAAGUUUGCUAUAUCUUAGAUUACCAUUUCCAAGAUAACAAGUUCAAAUUUUUUCUUUAUCCUUUUCCUUCACAGUUGCAUUUUAAGUGUAAGAUUUGUUAUUAAUACCUGGUUUCCCGUCAUUAUGAUUUCAUAAACAGUGUAUGGGUAUGUGCUCUACUUUUGGAGGGCCUCCACGUGAAAGAAAAUUGUAACAAUUGAAUUCUUCCGGAUGGUAUGGUAUUUAAUUUAUUUUCUCAACCUCUUGUAAGACUAAUAUAUUUUCCUUUAGUAGACACGGCAUGGUGGGAAGGGUUUUUUAUUGAAAGAAUUCUGAUAUUUCUUAGACUUUGUUUUGGAAGGGGGUGCAGGGGUUUCUCAUCCAUAUAUGGUUACUUGAUUAGCUUUUGACUGUAUUGCCUCAAUCGUGCAAAGGAAGAUCCAAAUACAAACGAAAGAGAAUUGUUUAGACACCCAGAAGAUGGAAAUGAACUACAGAAGGAAGUUUUUGCUGCUUUAUUUAGUGCUCCUGAGAAAUCUGAUGAAUUUCCUGAAAUUACGGUGAAGACCAAGUGUGAGGUCCAAAGCAUUAGGAAAGGUGGUGAGUGAACUGCCGGAGCAAUUGGUACAGAAUACAAGGCUAAUGUGGUGGACUUGCAGCAAGAUAACCGGAACAGUACGUGCUCUUAUAUUAACUAUAUUGACUGGAUUUGCUAGUGUGUGCAUUUUCGUGUGUAUACUUUUGUAUUUAUGCAUAUUAAUGUGUGUAGGAUUCUUGAUUUCUGCCACUUAUUGGAGAACUAAUGGAAAGCUUUAUACUGGUAUAUCUGCAAUAACUAAUGGAAACUAUGAUAUUAAUAUUUUCUCUCGCUUGGAGAAUGCGUAACAGAUAUACUUUGUGGCUCUGGAAUACUAAAGAUUCUGCAAUAACUAAUGGAAACUAUGAUAUGAAUAUUUUCUCUCACCUGGAGAACUUUGUAACAGUUACACUUUGGGGCUUGGAAUGUCUAAAGAAUUUUGUCUGCUUCAGUUAGAUCAAAUAUCUUUUAGUUACAUACAUUAUAGAAAAGAUAAAGUUCUCUGAAUCUGAAAGACUUAAAAUUUUGCAUAUUUCUUGAUAGGGAAAUAUCUGUAGAUACUAGUUCAUGCAUUGUGGUAGCAUCAGUGUUAAAGAAAAACAGCAGUAAGUUAUUAUAUAGAAUUAGGUUCACUUGCUUUAAAUCCUGGUCUGGUCAACCAUAUGAACCUGUAAGUGGUUCUGUAGAAAUAUAUAUAUACGGGGAGAAAGUAGCUAAAUUUUCCUUUCAUUUAUGGGUUUGGUCAUUUUUUCCCCUUAUUUAUGUUUUCUCACACAUUUUUUAAAUGCCCCAGACAUGCAAUUUUGUAUGUGUCAAUUGCCUUUUAAGUUUUAAAAACCAUAAAGUAAGAAUACAGUUUCUUGUCAGGCUAUUGAUGCAUUUGCUCGGGGGGAUCAUGCUCGAGCAGGAAAACUUCUAGAACAGGUAAGGUUUCCAUCUACAGCCAUUUAUUGACAACAUAUAUAUUUUCAUUCAGCAAGCACUGUUAGCAUUCAAGAUGCUGGCAGAUUCACUUGAUUCUUAUUAGUUUGUUUAGUAGCAAAGCAUAUAACCUGUAUUUUAAAGCUAAGUUGUGCUAUUGAUUAUGUUAACUUUAUUGUUCACAUAAAGUGAUAUUGAGGAAAUAAUCAAUGUAGGAAAAUUAGGUGAAGAGAUGAUGUCAAAUCUUGAACCUCUUACAAAACUCCAAGUUCUUUACUUGAAGAAGCUACCAAAUUCGAACAGCAUCUACUGGAAGGCCUUGCCAUUCCCUGAUGUAUGCAGAAUUUUUGUAUUUAAAUGCCCAGAGCUUAAGAAGCUGCCACUGGAUCUUGAGAGGGCAGGCCAAGGUAAAAUUCUUAUCAAGGGAAAGAAAGAUGGGUGGAAACAACUUCAAUGGGAGGAUCAAGUAACUCAGAAUGCAUUGCUUUCAUUUUAAAAAUCAACCAACAAGUGAUUGAAGGGGGCAUCAUCAACGUAAUCAACAUGGAUGGAGAGAUUCUGGAGCAGAUCAGCGGGGUUUAGUACGACCUGUGGUGGUUUCUUUUUUGUGACUUUUUUGCCUUUCAUUUUUUCACUUCCUGUCAUAUUAUCAUUUCUUUGUCUGUGUUUCUAUUGCUAGUGUUGCUGCAUGCUUGCUGUCCUUGACAAAGUUAGCUAGUUUUUUUUGUUUAUUAAAUUUUGUAUGUUCGGUCGGGACAGUCACAAAGUACUACUUGUUCUAUAUGGGGGUGAUGUGAAUCAACUUUUCAAUUAUAUAUUCUGUGGUAAUUGUGAAUUCAAUUUCAUUUAUCUCCUGCAAAUUAUGAAGAAAGUGCAGAGUUACAAUAUGGAAAAGUUCACUGGCAAAUACUUUGUAAAAGCUUCGGAGUGAAACAGGAAAUGCACUUGCAACUAAGGACAAAUUGGUGGCCGGCUAAUGCAUUCAUUUUAGGGAAAAGGACACAGACCCUCAACGUUUUAAUAAGGGACAUAAAACUCCCUAAUAUUUUAAAAAAAAUACUCAAACCCCCAUUUGUUAAUAGUAAAUUCUAAGUUUAAAGUGUAAUUACCAUUAUACCUUUAUAGCAUAUUAAAAAAUAAUUAUUCAUUAUUCAAUUUAUUCUUAUAUUAUUAAUAAAAUUACGAAUAUAAUUUCAUUAUCUAAUUUUUUCAUUUAAUUUUUGUUAAAUUUUCUCUUCAAACUAAAUAAAUUUAAUCCAUUGCUUAAGAAUAAAAAUAAAUUAAAUUGAUUACUAAUAUAAUAAAAAUAACAUAUAUUUAAUAUAAAAAUAACAUAUAUUAAAUUAAAAUAAAUUUAAUUUAUAUAUAGAGAAUUGUUAUUUUUAAGAAAUUAUCAAUUUAAUUUAUAUAUAAGAAAUUAUAAGAAAUAACAUAUGGAGAAUUGUUAUUUUUAUUAUAUUAAUAAUCAAUUUAAUUUAUUUUUAUUUUUGAGCAAUGGAUUAAAUUUAUUUAGUUUGAAGAGAAAAUUUGAUAAAAAUUAAAUGGAAAAAUUGGGUAAUGAAGUUAUAUUCAUAAUUUUAUUAAUAAUAUAGGAAUAAAUUAGAUAAUGAACAAUUAUUUUUUAAUAUGCUAUAAGGGUAUAAUGGUAAUUGUACUUUAAAAUUAGAAUUUACUGUUAACAAAUAGGGGUCUGAGUGUCUUUUUUGAAACAUUAGGAAAUUUUGUGUCUCUUAUUCAAACGUUGGGGGUUUCUGUGUUAUUUUCCCUUCAUUUUAUGUACAUUCAUCUUUUUAAUUAUUGAAGAUAAGUGGUUCGUUGCUUUUGUUGUAGAUAAAAUUCAGACGACCUCAAUUGUGACAUGACAAUAUUUAAAACAUCUCUUAAAUUAUUAUAAAUUUAAUUUAUCUUAACUUUAUUGAAAAGAUAAAAGAAAAAUGUGGUGUAUGGAUAAAUUUUUUUUUAUCUUCUUAAUCAAAUGGAAUAAAUUAAAAUUUACAAUAAUUUAAAAUAUUUUAAAAAUUAUUAUUUCAUAAGAGAUUAAUAUGAAAUUAAUCGUUUUUACUUUUUUAAUGUGAAAGGACAAGAAAAGAGAAAGCAUGUGUCCCUGCUUUUUAGUUUUUAUUUUAUUUGAAAUCGGAGUUAUCCCAUAUACUUUACUAAUUUAGCUCUAACAUUACAAUGUUUUUAGGCUACACUUUUAUUUUUCUUUUUCCCCCUUUUUUUAUACAUGCAUGUGGAUUACUUUUCUCUAAGCUCCUUAAUAUUUAAGACAAAUCAUAAAAGCAAUUGAAGUAUAACAAGAUGAUCAAAACAUUUAACCAAAAAAAAAGAAAGAAAAAAGAAAGAAAACAUUGAAAAUGGAGAUGUUGAUUAAUUUAGAAGAGAUGCAAGCAAAAGAUAUUCCCAAAAAAAAGAAAAAAAGAAAAAAACAACGUUAGUUCAUCCAUGUCUGUCAAUGCGUUUUUUAUGGUUUUUUUUUUCCAGUUGUUUGUUGUAAUAGAUUGAUUGUAAAUUGAUAUGAAUUUGAUGUUGUAAUAUGUUCGCUUUUGUGGAAUUAAAUUUGAAUAUUCAAGAUUAUUCAAGUCUUAUCUAGUAUGUGUUCAAUUGUGUUGUCGAUAAUUUUGCAUUCGAAUAAUUUUUCACCUAAAAUAUUAGCAUGAGUAGUAGUCCUUGAAAUUUUGGUCAAAAUUAUUGUUAUUGUUUGUUUUAGAGGAAAUUUUUUUAUUAAAGCCUCGUUAACACUAUACCUUAUUAAGAUUAUAAGUUAGUGUCAGUGCAGGAUUUACAGCAACAAAUCUUGUCUAGCCACGUGUCAAAAGUACAAAUAAAUCAAGAGUAAGCACAUGACAUGGAUUAGGAUCCAAUAAGAUUUAAAUCCCAAGGAAAAGGACAAUUGUAUCCUAAAGUUUCAAUAAGAGAUACUGAGAUAUCUUUUGACUAAUGUUAUUUUUUUAGCUUUAUUAAUAAAAAGAUCAAAUAGUUUAUAACAAAUAAAAAUAUAGUAUGAAGCUAAAUGUGAUAAUAUAUACAUUUUACAUAAUUUCAAUAAAAAAAAUUUCAAUAAAAAACAUUUUAAUGUUUUACGAUCUAUUAGACAUAUUUUAUUAAAUUAAUAGGAAUUUUCUGAUAAAUAGCAACAUAAUAUUAAAAUAAAUUUAUAAAGAUUUAAAUGUAAAAUAAUUUUAGUAUAAUUAAUACGUGGGAUAUAUUUUGUAAAUUAUAAAAUUACUUAACCCAAUGAUUUUUAAAAAUCUUUAAAAUAAAUAAAAAUAAAUUAUUCACAUUUUGAUGUAAAUAUUUAAAACAUUUUUAUACAUUAGUCCACAAUUAUUUAUGUUAUAUUUGUAUUUAUUAGAAAUUUUGAAAGUCAAAUGUUUUUCACCUCUAUCUUAUUAGAAUUAUUGCACACAGAGAAAGAGCCAUAUAUGCUUUAUAGCUUUAAAAUCGAUUUGUUUUAUAGCUGGGAACAGAGAUGAUCAUUAUUAUAAGGAUUAAAAAAAAGAUAAAGAAUAUUAAUGAUUAGCGAAAUCUCUAUGGAAAUUGAAUUUAGUAAGAAAAAAUUGAGCUGAUUUUAGCGGUAUAGUAAUAUUUUAUAUAGAGAAAAGUAAAAGCUGCACCCAAGGUUAAGGGAAAUGGUCAAAACUCUUUUUUAAUCAUAAUACUCUUUUUCCUACAUAAUUUAAAAAUUUGACAUUAAUAUUUUAUAAUAAAUAAAAACAUAUAAUCCUAAAAUAAAUAAAAUAAUAUAUAUUUUAAAAUAAUCUCAAUAUUUAAAAUAUAUUUUAACAUUUUAUAGUCUAUCAGAUAUAUUUUAUUUUUUUUAAAGUAAAUUUUAUAAUAAAUACAAAACAUACUAUUAAAAUAGAUAUAAAAAUUUUAAAGUAUUUUGAAUAUUAUAUAAAAUAACUUUAAUAUUGUUAAUGCGUGAGAUGCAUUUUAUUAAUUAAAAAUUCUAUUUAACCCAAAGAUUUAUUUAUAAUAAAUUAAUAAUCAUAUUUUUGAAAUUAUUUUAAAUAUUAAAAAAUAUUUUAAUAUUACUAACUAUUAGAUAGACUAAACUAUUUAUAUUAUUUUCUAUUUAUUAUAAAAUUUCAAAGUUAAUCUUUUUAACUACUAUUCAAAAGAUAUUAUGAUAAAAACAGAAUUUUUCUGUUUUAUUAAAAAUUUAGAGUUUACACCUAUUUUUUCAAAUAUUCGGGGUGUAACUGUUUUAUUUAAAUAAAAUCUCAGUUAAAAAUGUACAGAGAAGAAAUUUCUGUUGGUAUUUUAGUCUUUUACCAAUUAUCACGAUUAGGCCUUGGCCUUGAAACAUUAAUUGUUUCACUUUUAGCGCUAGUGGCGUUGAAAGUUGUCAAGAAAAAGCAAGACCAUAUUCCACAAAAGCAGCUCUUUUAUUAAAGGCAAAGUAUAAAGUAGUCAAGAAUCGAAUAUCCUGUCGUCUACUCUUUUUUAAAUUCUUCUUUUAUUAUCUUUUAGAAUAGUUUUUGGUAAUUACAAUCAUUAUUCAGAGUUAUUGUUAUCUUCUGGGGCAGUCUCUGUUCAUCGAAGUCGUUACCUUUUUUUCAUGGAUCAGUUCCAGUGCCAAGCAGUAAUUUUCUUAGAACUCGGAUCUUUAAUUCGAGUUUCUUUGUGAAUUAAUAAUAAAAAAUUUUCAUUACACGCAAUUUAAGCUACGAAUUACUUUUUGCAAAGUUGAAUAUGAAAUUGGAGAAAUUAAAUAAUUUAGAAUGUUGGUAAAAAUUGACUAACAUAUCCCCAAUUACAGUAAAACCUCUCUACAGUCAUAACAUUAUAACAAAAUUAAUUUUAUUACUAUGUUGAGGUAAUAUAGGUUUAGUUACAAAAUUAUUGUUUUAAUAUGGUUAGUGUCAAGUGAUAUAAAGGUUAAGUAUGCAGUACAUUGAUAAUUAAAUAAUGAAGCGUGUCAAAUCUAACGUAUAUAUAUUAAUGAUAUAGAUAGACAUAGUUUUAAAAAACUAAUUAAUGUAUAUUUAUGUACUGUUAUGAAUAUGGAAAGUCAAGCCUACACUUUACAUUAUCCUUAAUUUUUUCUCUCAGUUAAAUUCUACAAAUAUUGUACAAUGAUUGGGUAAGAACUCUAAAUUAAGAAUAAAUUAUUGUCACAAAUAAUUUUAAAAAAUAUUUUAUUUCAUCUUAAACCUUUAAUGUAAGUAAAUAUAUAUAUAUGUGUGUGUGUGUGUGCAUAUUUUGCAAGGUAUAGAUAAUUGUUAGUAUAUGGAGACAAGUCUUUUAAGGUAGGACCUAGGAAAAUUUAUAACUUACUACAUUGGGGAGUUUUUAUUCCUUUUUAUAAUUGGCUCAUAUUGAUACAUUCUUACACAAAAUAUUACCAUUGACAUAUUUUACUACAAUUGGUUUAGAACAUUUGUUAGGAAAAAAAAAAGAAAAGAAAACAUUCAUUGGAUGUAGCUCUCCCUCGUAUGCUUUUUUCUCCAAAUAUUCCUGCGUCCACAGAAACAAGUCAGAGCACGCCGGUUGUUUUCCCGGCGUAAACCCUCUGACGCUCAAGUCAGAUAUGAAGGCUCUGGGAAUGCUUGCCACAGAUCUUAUGGUUUUUCUGUAGUUUCUAUUCUUUAGAGUUUCAUUUAUCUCUGAAUAUAAUCUCAAAAAUGCUAACCCUUUUACCUUCCUUGGCUACCUUUUUAUAGGCUUCCUCUGAAUCCCGGUCUUCCGUAGUCCACGCCCGUUAUUCUCCCCACCCUCGGAUGUGGAUGCCCCAUUAUCGCCAUUGUGGGCGAAUGGAGAUGGACUUCGUGCCUUGAUUCUCGGAUAGGAAUGCACGUCUUGCCAACUGUCGUUGACUGGGUCUCCUCGCCUCUCGACCUCUAGCCGGAAUGGCCUUAUGCCUCUAACAAGAGUUCGACCUCGUGAAUGGCAUACUCGCGGACGAGCCGAAUAUUUCUGCUCAUGUUCCCCUGCUACCUGGCUCUUACAGGACAUACCUGUUCGCAGAACUCCGCCAUCAAAUAUCUGCUCAUCACGUCUGGUCUCGUUGAAGUAUUUCCCUCAAACAACAUAUUUUACUACAAUUAGUUUAGAACAUUUGUUAGGAAAAAAAAAGAAAAGAAAACAUUCCUUGGAUGUAGCUCUCCUGACUAUUUAAAUCUUUUAAGGAAAAAAAGAAAAAAGAAAAACUGACACAUUCAAAUCUUGAAGCAAUUACAUUAAAACCUCUCCAUAAUGAUAGGAAUAAUCUCCAUUUAGUAAUAAAAAAUUUUGUUCGCAAUCUAGGCAGAGUUAUAAAUAAGAAUAAAAUCCUCAUUGUAAUAAGUUGUAUUUAUUAUGGAUCCCAUCCUAAGGAACUUGUCUCUAUAUAGUAAUAAUUAUUUGCAUAUUAUAAAUAUAUAUGUUGCAUUAGAUUAAAUGAACUUGUCUCCACAUACUACUUAGACAAUGAGAGAAAGUUAUUAAAGAGAACACAAAUAUUUAGAGAUUUUUAAGAUUACUUUGCAUGUUUAUAACAAUAAUACAUUGAUAUAUGUAUUAGUUUUUUGAUAUAUUAGAUUUGACAUGCUCUAUUAAUAAAUUAUUAAUACGAUGCAAACUUCAUCUCUCUAUCCUUGCAAUAAAAGUAACUAAGUUAUAACAAUAAUUAUUAAUAAAUUAUUAAUACGAUGCGUACUUCAUCUCUAUAUCCUUGCAAUAAAAGUAACUAAGUUAUAACGAUAAUUUUUGUAACUACAUGCUUAUUAGGUUUUAACUACUUCAUAAUAAUAAAUUAAUUUCGUCCUAAUAUUAUAAUUAUGUAGAGUUGUAGUGUAUAGACACACCCAAUUUAAAUAGUAAAUCAAAUAAAAUUGUCCCCACAAAAAAGAAAAAAGGGGUAAAGGAUUGUUAUUUCUUCAAACAUUAGGAGCACGUUUGUUCAAGUGCGAUGCCUUUCUUUUGAAGGCAACGUCAGUGGGUACCCAAUAGGACGUGUGUAAAUCUUUCCAAAAUUUCUCCGGUAUAACGGACAGAGAUCAUUACUUUUCUCUUCCAUAGACCACAGCAGCUUCAGUUAAUCAGACUCAAUCAAUUUUCUUGGUUUCUUCGCUUAUCAAAAUUCCAAAAUAUGGGUAGCAUAUUUCAAAUCACAUGCGAUGGUGCUUUUUUCAAUCGUUGCUUGGAUUGCUUUCUUGGAAAAGUAGCAAACACAAGUAAGCUCCAAGAUAACCUUGUUGCCUUGGAGACUGAAUUGGGAAAACUAAUCGUAGCAAAGAACGAUGUGAUGAUGAGGAUUGUCAAUGCUGAACGGCAACAACUGAGAACGCUGGACCAAGUGCAAGUGUGGCUUUCGAGGGUGGAAGCUGUUAAAACUGAAGCUGAUGAAUUGAUAAGACACGGCUCUCAAGAAAUUGACAAAUUAUGUGUUGGAGGCUACUGUUCCAAGCACUGCGCGUCAAGCUACAAGUUCGGGAAACAAGUGGCUAAAAAGCUACGGGAUGUGCAGACUUUAAUCGGCGAAGGAGUUUUUGCGGCGGUGGCUACUGAGGUGGUGCCUGAGAGAGCUCCAGAACCUGUAGCAGAUGAAAGACCCACUGUGCCAACAAUAGUAGGCUUGCAAUCACAACUUGAACAAGUUUGGAGAUGUCUUGUAGAAGAAUCAGUGGGAAUCAUUGGCCUAUAUGGUAUGGGCGGUGUUGGUAAAACUACACUAUUGACCCAUAUCAACAAUAAAUUUCUUGAGAGUCGAACCAGUUUUGAUUGUGUGAUUUGGGCCGUAGUUUCAAAGGACUUGCAACUCGAAAAAAUUCAAGAAGAUAUUGGGAAAAAGAUCGGUUUGGUUGAUGAUUCAUGGAAGAGUAAAAGUGUAGAGGAGAAAGCUCUCGACAUCUUCCGGAGUUUAAGAGAGAAGAGAAUUGUAUUGUUGUUAGAUGAUAUAUGGGAGCGGGUUGAUUUAACAAAAGUGGGCAUUCCACUUUCGGGACCAAAGAAUACUACCUCAAAAGUCGUAUUCACAACCCGUUUCAUCGAUGUUUGUGGUAGCAUGGAAGCUGACAAGAAGUUCCAAGUGGCAUGCUUAUCAGAAGAGCAUGCUUGGGAACUGUUUCGAAAAAAAGUUGGGGAAGAAACUCUUGAGAGUGAUCAUGAUAUCGUUGAGCUAGCCCAAACUGUGGCCAAAGAGUGUGGUGGUUUGCCACUCGCACUUAUUACUAUUGGUCGAGCUAUGGCCUGCAAAAGGACAGCCGAGGAGUGGAGACACGCAGUUGAAGUGCUAAGAAGAUCAGCUUCUGAGUUUGCAGGUUUGGGAAAAGAGGUGUAUCCUCUUUUAAAGUUUAGCUAUGAUAGUUUGCAGAAUGAGACGAUUAAAUCUUGUUUCUUAUAUUGUUGUUUAUAUCCCGAGGAUUAUGGCAUUCUUAAAUGGGACUUGAUUGAUUGUUGGAUUGGUGAGGGAUUCUUAGAGGAAUCUGACAGGUUUGGUGCAGAAAACCAAGGAUACUACAUUGUGGGCACUCUUGUUCAUGCGUGUUUACUAGAAGAGAUAGAAGAUGAUAAAGUAAAAAUGCAUGACGUUGUUCGUGAUAUGGCUUUAUGGAUAGCUUGUGAAAUUGAGAAGGAGAAGAGAAACUUUUUGGUUUGUGCAGGUGCUGGAGUAGGAGCGGUACCAGAUGUUGAAGGAUGGGAAAAUGUGAGAAGAUUGUCAUUGAUGCAAAACCAAAUUGAAAUUCUGUCAGAGGUUCCCACAUGCCCUCAUCUCCUCACUUUAUUUCUUGACUUUAAUUAUAAAUUGGAGAUGAUCACUGAUGGCUUCUUCCAAUGUAUGCCUUCUCUCAAAGUUUUGAAGAUGUCAAACUGUGGGCAUGUCAAAGUUUUGAAAUUACCUUUUGGGAUGUCAAAGUUGGGUUCACUACAACUUCUUGAUAUUUCACAUACCGGCAUAAGAGAGUUACCAGAAGAGUUAAAGUUGUUGGUAAAUCUGAAAUGUUUGAAUUUGAGGUGGACACAUAUGUUAAAUAAAAUUCCACGGCAGCUAAUAUCAAAUUCUUCAUGGUUACGUGUGUUGAGAAUGUUCGCUAUUGGCUUUGAAAAUUCUAAAGAACCAUCAGAAGACAGCGUUUUAAUUGGUGGGGGUGAAGUUUUAGUACAGGAAUUGCUCGGUUUGAAAUAUUUAGAGGUAUUGGAGUUGACCUUGCGAAGUUAUCAUGCUCUCCAUUCUUUUUUGAGCUCAAAUAAGUUAAAAAGUUGUAUUCGAUCUCUUUUCCUCAAUAAGCUGGGAGAUACAAAGUCGAUUGAUGCUACGGCUUUGGCAGAUCUAAAGCAUCUCAAUGAAUUAUAUAUUCUUUUUUUUNNNNNNNNNNNNNNNNNNNNNNNNNNNNNNNNNNNNNNNNNNNNNNNNNNNNNNNNNNNNNNNNNNNNNNNNNNNNNNNNNNNNNNNNNNNNNNNNNNNNNNNNNNNNNNNNNNNNNNNNNNNNNNNNNNNNNNNNNNNNNNNNNNNUCUUUCGCUAUACGGUUGUAAUGCUGUGGAAGAAAUAAUCAGCGUUGGGAAAUUUGCUGAGGUUCCUGAGAUGAUGGGACAUAUAAGCCCUUUUCAGAAUCUCCAAAAGCUUGAUUUAUCACAUUUGCCAGCUUUGAAGAGCAUCUACUGGAAGCCAUUGCCUUUCGCUCAUCUGAAAGAAAUGGUGGUGCAUUGGUGUGAUCGGCUUAAAAAGCUUCCGCUCGAUUCCAACAGUGCAAAAGAGCGUAAAUUUGUUAUUCGUGGAAGAGCAGACUGGUGGAACCGUCUUCAAUGGGAGGAUGAAGCCACUCAAAUUGCUUUCCAUUCCUGUUUCCACCUAAUGAAAUAUAAAUUCCUUAGCGGUGGUUGCAAAAUUUGAUUUCUAGUGAGUGCUUUUUUCUUAAACUCUUACAUUUAUUUCAGAUUCGUUUUUUGUCUCCUGCAAAUCACAAUUAAAUGCUGAAUUAUAUGGAGUCAAUGCUUUAGAAAAUUUUCAAGGCACUGCCAUUUCCUUUUUUCCAUUUUUUUUUGGGUCGAAUUGAUGCUCUGGCUUUUUACUUUUUGUUGUCAAAUUUUGCUCUGUUUUUUCAAGUUGAUGCUUGAAUAGUUGAAUUCAAUUAAUGCUCACAUAAAUUUGUUUAGUUGCCGUAAAAGGAUAUAAUUAGACUGAAGUACACACUUCUAGAAUGAAUACAAAAUGUUAAGUAUACUAGCCCUCUUUACAGAAAAUCAAAUGAAAAUCAAUUUUUUGGGGCUUUGAUUUUCUAUGGUCUAUUAUAUACUCUUUUUAAUAUCUUCUGUUCUAACUAUAACCAAAUCCUUUGUUCAAGGAUUUUUAUUUGGGGUAUUGAUAACUAUCCACCAAAAGAGUGAACACUUGGAUGCUGCUCAAGGAUCUCUAAUCAAUAGCUGGAAGCAACUGAGAAGGCGGUCGCUGCUGUUUACAAAGUGAUGCAGUAUUUGCCAUUCAUCUUAAUAAUUAUGAAGCUUUGGUAAAAUUUUCAAACAAAAUUGAACAUGUUGUUUGAGAUUUGGUUCAUGAUUUUGGAUGAAUAUCGUUGUUCCGUUUGAGUUGGAUGUGAAUUCAAAAUCUAUAUAUUCUUUGGUUUUCAAGUCUGAACUCAAUUUCUUUUUCUCAAGCAUGUUAUGCAGAAAUGAUUUUUACUAAAUCAUUUUUGAUGAAUUGUUUAAAUUAAACACUUGGAAUAAGAAUUGUAAACGUUUAUCAUAAGCAUGCUAAUAUGAUAAAUUGUUUUAUGAACGACUAAUUAAUUAAUCAAUUAAUAUUAAAUUAUAUAUUAAUCAAUUAGAUAUGCGUUACAUGUCAUGUUUAAAAACUAUUUAUUUAUAUUUCAAACAAAUUUGACUGGAUGUUGUGUAGGUAAUACUACAUAAUUUCAAAACAAAAAAAAGUAAUAAAAACACGUUAAAUUUUGUUUUUAUGAAGAAAAAUUUAAAAUUUUAUUAAAUAGGUGAAAAUAAUAAAUGGAUUCGUGUAUGGUUUGAGAUUCUUGACAUAAUUAUGAAAUAAGCCGGAUUCGACUUAGUUCAAUUUUGACGCGAUAAGAAGACGACACCACACAAACACACGACAAGAACCGUUACCUGAGAAGAUUGCCAUCAGGAAUUUUGAAAUUGAUUUCACUACAAUAUCUUAAUCUUUCAGAUACUCCCAUCACUGAGCUGCCAUAAGAGCUAAAAGCCUUGGUAAAUCUUAAGUGUUUGAACUGUACACAAAUUAUCUCUCUACAAUUCAAAAACAACUGAUUUGUUACUUUUCAAUGCUACAUGUUCUGCGAAUAUUGAGUUGUGGUUAUCUUGUUGAAAUAUCAGAAAAUAGAGUUCUAUUUGGUGGUAGUGAAUUGUUGGUUGGGGAGUUACCUAGUUUAAAACGUUUAAAUGUAUUAAGCAUCACCUUACAAGGUUUUUCUGCUGUCCAAAAACUUAUGAGCUCUCAAAAGUUUCAAAGCUGUACAAAAUGUUUGGAGCUUAUAGACUGUGAUGAUUCAAAGUCUUUUGCCUUGGCAGAGUUGAAGCAUCUCGAGAAACUAGUUUUUCGAAUUGUGGAAGAGUUUAAGUUCUGCUGUGUUGAAGUUGGAAAAGCUCAAGAAUGUUUUCGUUUGAACAGCUUUCCCCGAGGUAAUAUAAAGGCUUGUCAUAAAUUGAGGGACGUGACAUGGCUUGUAUUUGCUCCAAAUCUUACGGUUAUUCAAUAGAAAAAUAUAUGCAGAUGGAAGUAAUAAUCAGUGCAAGGAAAUUGGGUGAAGUUCCAGGGAUGAUGGCAGAUCUAAACCCUUUUGCAAAACUCCAGUAUCUUCGUCUGCGAGUUCUACCAAAAUUAAAAAGCGUCUAUUGGAAUGAGUCACCCUUUCCACAUGUCAGGGAAAUUAUUGUAUCUGAAUGCCCAAUUCUCAAGAAGCUUUCACUCGGUUUUAACAAUGCAAAGGAAUCUAAAAUUGUCAUUUAUUACAUGUUUAUAUCUAACUUUUGUUUUCCUUUAUGGUUAAAUUUUACUUUAUAUAUGUUGUUAUACGGUGACAUUCUCGCAUCAAUUGUUAGCUUUUUAAUUCUCUUCUCCCAUUAAUUGCCCUUCUGAUCAUGUAAGAUAUGCCGAUGUCAAAGAGUAGUAAGUUGGGAUACAAAUGUAAGAAUUAACCAGAUGACAUGUUGUUUUGAAGCUCUCGGAGAAGGACUAAUUAUGUCAUUCAAAGCAUCCAAUUUCGCUACUUUUUUUUUCAUUUGUUGCUUUUUCUAUUUUUAGAGAGCUUGAUUGUCAGUUGUCGUAAUGUAAUGUUUUAGUGUAGAAAAAUGAUAUUCGGCCAAGACAUCAAUAGGAGGGCACAUUGUGCAUGCACACUAGUGGAUGAUUUCGGCAUGCCGAAUCCAAUUAGUGUGGAUAACCCUUUAUAAGCAAUUGGCUUCUCUCAUACCAGAGCAAUGUAGAAUAUAUUUAUAAACUGUGGAUUACUCUUUAUUAGGCUUCUUCUAUACUCGAGCAAUGUGGAAUACCUUUAUAAGCAAUAAGCUUCUCCCCUACACUUUAUGUUAAUAAUAAUAAUAAUAAAAUAAAUCCAUUUUAAAAUAGACUUUUUUUUUCUUUUUCUAUAUAAACAAAAUGCAUUCUUCAAAUCAAUAGUGGGUGGAAGAAGUGAGUAGAGAAGAACUAGUCCCCUUUCAUUCCCCUAAAACCUCACCGAAACCUCUCUUGUGAACUUCUCAGAUUCUCUCUCAAUAUUUCUUAUGAUCUCGUUUUUGAUAGAAUCACUUCUUUUGCAUGUUGCAUUUGGUGUGUCUUUUUUGGGUAAUAUCUUAUCUGGAAUGCUGUCAUGAUCAAUAGAACAAGUAAUCAAUUUUUGGCUUGACGGAAGUCGAUUUAUUUAUUUACUAUUAUUUUUAUUUGAAAUUUUGUACAAUUGUGUUUCAUUCAUUUCUUUCCUUUUUUUUUAAUAUUUAUUAUGUAUAAUUGUGUUUCAUUUGAUAUUGAUCAUACUCUAGAUAACUAUGUGAUUGUAGCUGGGGAUUUUAAGUUUUGUGAAUUCAAGAAACUGUCAAAAUGCUAGUGAAAUUGGGACCUUUAUUCAUAAGCUUGUGGUUUUGAAAAGUAGCCCGGUUCAACUGAUGAAGUUCCUUUUUGGGAUUCUUUUUUUUCCUAGGCUGCAAUUCGGAUAUGUACCUGAUAGACAAUCUUUUGUGGGUUUAGCAUAUCUUCUCGGAUUUUGUCUUUUAUUCCUCGAUUUUAUAAUUACACACCAUGAAUGUUGAGUGAUUGUAUAGAAAAUUUGUGUUAUAACCAAAGCAUUGUGAAGGAGUUAAGUUAGUGGCUUCUGUUUUAUUGGCAUUGAUUGGGUAGAUUACGUGUUACAGUGAUUCAAUUUGUGAUCCAAACUUUGUUUAAAUUUCUGUUUUCCCAAAUUAUUUAUGUCAAAUUCAAAACCAGAAGCAUGUGCUGAUUUUUUCUUUUUGUAUUAAUCUGUGAAGUUUAUUUGGAAAGGAAGUAUCUGGGUCUAAUGGAUUAAAUUAUGUAAGUGGCAGAAAUUCCUACACACAUAAAUAUGCAUAAAUACAAAAGUAUACACAAAAAAAUGCACACACUCAUACAUCCAGUCAAUAUAGUUAAUGUAAGAGCACAUACCGGUUUGGUUAUCUUGCUGCAAGUGCACCGCAUUAGCCUUGCAUUCUGGUGCCAACUCCUCCGGCGGUUCACUCACUACCUUUCCCAAUGCUUUGGACCUCCAUUCGGUCUCCAUCAGAUUUCUCAGGAGCACUAAAUAAAGCAGCUAAAACUUGCUUCUGUAGUUCAUUUCUGUCUUUCGGGUGUCUAGGCAAUUUUCCUUCGUCGGUAUUUCGAUCUUCCUUUACAUGACUGAGGAAAUACAGUCAAAAGCUAAUCAAGUAACCAUAUAUGGAUGAGAAAUCCCUCCACCCCCCUUCCAAAACAAAUUCUAAGAAAUAUCAGAAUUCUUUCAAUAAAAACCCUUCCCCCCAUGCUGUGCCUGCUGAAUGAAAUAUAUUAAUCUUACGAGAAGUUGAGAAAAUAAAUUAAAGAACAUACCCUCCGGAAGAAUUCAAUUGUUGCAAUUUUCUUUCACGUGGAGGUCCUCCAAAGUUAGAGCACAUAUCCGUACACUGUUUAUGAAAUCAUAAUAACAGGGGACCAGAUAUUAAUAACAAAUCUUGACACCUAAAAGUCAACUGUGAUGAAAAACAUUAAAAAGAAUAUGAACUUGUUAUCUUGGAAGAAGAUAAUUUAAGAUAUAGCAAACUUGGCACAUUCAUAUAUGAACAGAAGGAAUUUGUAGACGUUUUAAAGCCAUAAUCGUUUAAUAAUCAUGAACCAAGCAAUAAUAGAUGAUUAUUAUGUUGGGUGCAAGCGGAAGUGCAGAAAAAUUUUUAUUUAAGAUCAGAGUAUUUUGCUGGAAAUUUCUGAAACUUUAUUGCUUAAUUCAUUUUUUCGUUUCUCUCUUACUUUUCAUACAACCAGAGUUCUAUAUUUAUAUGCAUUAUAGACAACUCUAGAGAUUACAUUAAUCAUGCUUUACAUUUCCAAAGCCACAUUGCAAACAUCAAUUCUACCCUUUACUUCACGUUGAAAAACAAACCAAAUAAUCCUUCAAACUUCUUGCUCAAUUUACUAGAUUACUAAUUAUAUCUCAACACCCCCUCUUAAUUAGUAAUCUUCAAUUGCUUCUUGAAUUUUUCAAACUUCUCAAUAAUGAUUGCUUUGGUCAGAAAAUCUGCUGGCUGCUCAUUAGUGCUGAUAAACUCCAUAUUAACUUCUCCUUUGCUUACUAAGUCACGGAUGUAGUGAUAACGCAGCUCAAUGUGCUUAGAUUUAGCAUGAAAUACGAGGUUCUUUGUUAGAGCAAUGGCUGACAUGUUGUCACAAUAAAUUGUUGUUGCAGCAUCUUGAUUGAACUGCAAAUCCUUGAGAAUUCUUCUAAGCCAAACGGCUUCACAAGCUGAUUCAGUUGCUGCAAUGUACUCUGCCUCGGCUGAGGAUAAAGCUACUGACUUCUGCUUCCUUGAGCUCCAUGAAAUCACAUUUGUACCAAGACAAAAUAAAUAACCUGAUGUGCUUUUUCUGUCAUCAAGGGAACCAGCCCAGUCACUGUCAGUAAAACCAACAAGCUUGCAAUUGUCUUCUUUUUCAUACAUGAUCCCCUGCUUUUUUGUUCCUUGAAGAUACCUUAAGAUUCUCUUUGCUGCAAUAUAAUGGGACUUCCUUGGAUCAUUCAUAAAUCUAGAAAGAACACUAACUGAGUGCAAAAUGUCAGGUCUUGAGUUGGUUAGAUAAAUCAACGAACCAACCAAGCUUCUAUAGAUUCUUGCGUCAGCCUUUUCUUCUUUUUCAUCAUGUUUCAAUUUUUCAUUCAAACCCAUAGGAGUAGGUGCUGGUUUGCAUUUGAACAUGUGGAAUUUCUUCAACAAAUCUUCUACGUAUUUUUCUUGACAAAAGAAGAUUUUUCCUCUGGCUUGCUUCACUUGAAUGCCAAGAAAAUACUUCAUUAAGCCCAAGUCAGUCAUCUCAAAUUCAUCUAGCAUGCUUUUUUUAAACUCUUCCACCAUUUUCAGAUUAGUGCCACAAUAAAUUAGAUCAUCAACAUAAAGGCAAACAAUAAGGAAAUCAGUACCUUCCUUUUUGACAUAAAGAGAAGGUUCACUUGAGCUUCUGUCAAAUCCAUUUUUAACGAAAUAUCUAUCAAUUCUGCUAUUCCACGCUCGAGGGGCUUGCUUCAAGCCAUACAAGGCUUUUCGGAGUUGAUAAACUUUGUUUUCUUCACCUUUCACUUCAUAUCCUUUAGGUUGCUCAACAUAAACCUCUUCUUCAAUUUCACCAUUUAGAAAUGCCGAUUUUACAUCUAGUUGAAACACAUGUAAUUCCAUUUGGGCUGCCAAGGCAAGAACAGUUCGAAUAGUCUCCAUUCGAGCUACGGGAGCAAACGUUUCUGUAAAAUCAACUCCAGGCAGCUGAGAGUAUCCUUUGGCAACGAGCCGCGCCUUAUAUUUUUUAACUGAACCAUCUUCAUUGUACUUGAUUUUGAAGAUCCAUUUCAGCCCAAUUGUUUCUUUUCCAUUUGGCAAAUUAACCAUCUCCCAAGUUUUAUUUUUCACAAUGGUGGCCAUUUCCUCGUUCAUUGCUUGGAUCCAAUUUUCAUUUCUUGAGGCCUCCUCAAAGUCUUGAGGCUCACAAGAAAAUAAAGCAAGUUCACAUGACUCAUAAAUUUCUCUCAUUGACUUUAUCUUCCUUGGAGGGCUUUCAUCAUCCGAAGAACUUUCUGCUGCUGAAUUUGGAGAAUUUGGUUCCAAAUUAUUUUGCUGUGAAGAAUUUGGUGGAGAUACAGGAGCUUCGAAAAAGCUAGAUGCUUGAGAUUGAUCUUUUUCCCACUGCCAAGCUGAUGCCUCAUCAAAUACAACAUCUCUUGAGAUAACAAGCUUAUUUGUUGUAGGAUUCAACAACCGAUACCCUUUAGACUCAUCACUAUAGCCAAUAAACAAAUAUUUUUCACCUUUUUCAUCAAACUUCUCUCUGUUUUGAGCUAGAAUAAGAGCAUAAGCAAUACUCCCAAAAAUCUUCAAGUGAUCAACAGUUGGCUUUCGGUUGUGCCAAGCUUCAAAUGGAGUUUUGUCUCUAACAGCUUUUGUAGGAGACCUGUUGAGGAUGUACACAGCUGUAUGACAUGCUUCUGCCCAUAAGUUGUUAGGAAUGCCUUUGCCUUUUAACAUGCUUCUUGCCAUCUCUACAAUGGUACGGUUCUUCCGUUCUGCAACUCCGUUUUGUUGUGGACUUCGGCUGACAGUAAGUUGUCUUUGAAUUCCAUUAUCCCUGCAAUAAUUCAUGAAUGGAGUGUAGAUAAAUUCACCACCACGAUCAGUUCUCAAGGUCUUCAUUUUGCAUCCACUUUGCCUUUCUGCAAGAGCUUUAAACUGAAGAAAAGUUGAGAAAGCUUCUGAUUUUUCAUUCAAAAAAUAAAUCCACAUCAUCCUUGUAUAGUCAUCAACAAAAAGAAUGAAAUAUCUCCUGUUAUUGAGAGAGAGAGUCCUUGUAGGACCACAAAUAUCAGCAUGCACCAACUCCAACGGAGCUUUGGCUCUCCAUGAAUUUUUAGGAAAUGGAAGUCUAUGCAUUUUUCCAUAUAUACAGCCCUCGCAAACUUUUUCAUAUCUUCCAACAUCAGGUAAGCCAAUCACCAUGUUCUUUUGCUUGAGCAAAUUCAGCCCUUUAUAGUUUAAAUGACCAUAUCUGAGAUGCCAUAAAUUUGACAAAUCUGAAUUUUCAGUUUUGAGAGCAACAUUCUCAUCAAGUGGCAUAACAAGAGGAAAAACUUUGUUCUUUGACAUUUCAACAACGGCCACUGUAUGAUUAUUAGUUUUAUCAAUGAUUUUGCAUUUUUCAUCAUCAAAAUAAAUUGAAAAACCCUUUUGAAUUAGCUGCCCCACACUCAAGAGGUUUUGAGUUAAAUUUGGAACAUAAAGAACGUCAUAAAUGAGCUUUUUGUUACCUCCCUUUGUAUGGACAGCAAUAGUGCCUUUUCCCACAGCUUUCUGCAUCUUUCCAUCUCCAAGCUUCACUUGCGAAUUAAAACUUUGGUCAAGGUUGAUGAAAAUGUCACGUUCUCCAGUCAUGUGGUUGCUACAACCGCUAUCCAAGUACCACAAAUUAUAUGAUUCACGUUCAGCACCUUUACUUGAAUAAAACAAGUAAUCUCCAUCACAUUCUUUUGUAAAAUUUGCCUCAUUUUUGCCUUUCUUAUUUUGAUACCAGCAAUCCCUUUGAGAAUGGUUAGGAAUGCGACACCUUGUGCAUUUAUAACGACAAUCUUUUGAUUCAUGAUUAGACCGAUUACAAAUGAUGCACUGAGAAUCUGAAUUUUGCUGUGAAUUCCCUCUGUCAUUUUUCCACUUGUUGCGGUUGUCGUUCUGUUCUCUUUGCCCUAUGCCACGCUGCUCGUUUCUUUGAGACGAGCCUCCGUUCUUCUGGUCUUUCUUGCUGCUUUUAUUCUGAUCUGAAUUAUUAAUCUUUGACUGAAAAGCUUGCUCUGUAGGCUGACUUGAAGGUCGAUUGAUUCUUUGCUCAUGAGACCGUAAUGAUCCUGACAAAUCUGAAAAAGUCAUCUUGGACAAAUCCUUUGAUUCUUCAAUGGCUGCUGCUACAUGAUCAAACUUUGGAGGAAGACAUCUCAGCACCUUUUCAUUCACCUUCUUGUCUUCAAUGGAGUCCCCACAACCUUUAAUCUGGUUCACAAUCUCAGUAACUCUACUGCAAAAAUCCUGAAUUCCUUCUCUGUCUUUCAUUGAUAAAUUAUCGAACUCUUUCCACAAAGUCUGUAACUUGAUGGUGACUGCCUUUUCAGAACCUUGAAAUUCUUGUUUUAGGAUUUUCCAAGCAUUUUUGGCCUUUUUGACACCAAAUAUUCUGGGGAAAAUUGACUUACUAACACCUUGCUGGAUAUAUCGAAGUGUCGUGGCAUUUCUCUGUAUGUUUUCUUUGUACUGCUGUUGAUGUGCUGGAGUCCAAUCUGAAGAACUUGCAGAUUCUGGUGGUUCAGCAUAUCCAUCUUCAACAACAUCCCAUAAAUUUUGAGAGAGGAAAAAGGUUUCCAUUUGAUUACUCCAAUAUUCAUAAUGUACCCCUUCAAAUAUUGGAACUUGACUGGGAGCAUAUGAGAAUAAUGUGGGUAGGGUAUUUGAUGUCAUUUUGAGGGUGUUUUGGAAAAGCUCUGAUACCAAAUUUGUUGGGUGCAAGCGGAAGUGCAGAAAAAUUUUUAUUUAAGAACAGAGUAUUUUGCUGGAAAUUUCUGAAACUUUAUUGCUUAAUUCAUUUUUUCGUUUCUCUCUUACUUUUCAUACAACCAGAGUUCUAUAUUUAUAUGCAUUAUAGACAACUCUAGAGAUUACAUUAAUCAUGCUUUACAUUUCCAAAGCCACAUUGCAAACAUCAAUUCUACCCUUUACUUUACGUUGAAAAACAAACCAAAUAACCCUUCAAACUUCUUGCUCAAUUUACUAGAUUACUAAUUAUAUCUCAACAUAUUAUUCCGUUUCUUCUAAGCUACGCAUACUUGCACAUCAGAAUAAAGUGAUAUACAAUGGUUGUGUGCAGACACAAACGCAUGAUCAACAGGAAAAAUCAUCUGAACAUUUGUAUUACUGAUUUGGCAUAUAAGAUUCUCAUAAUAGUUCAAAAUACAAAUAAAUGAAUAUAUAUAUAUUCCCCACCGGAAUCACCCCCUGGAUCCUCACUCAAGGUGUCUUCCGAGCCAGAAGAUCCCUCCUCACCACUAUUUCCGCUCGUGGAGGUUGUUUGGGGGGACAUCCUCCUAGCGCUAGUCCCAACACUAGACCUAAUGGGUUCUAAGGGGAUCCCGGGGUCAAAAGCAGGAUCGGUGAGCAGACUAGACAAGAAACCUAAUUCGUCGUCAUCAAUCUCAACGAUUUUCUCUUUACCCUUCGACAUUCCCUAAACUAUAAUCAGAACACCACCACCAACUACAACCCCAAGCAAAGCACAGAGAAAAGAAAUUAUCUACAACUAACCAAGACCGAGAAAAUAGAAGAAAUACCUGAAGCAGGGAUUCGAUCAGAGAGAGAUAGGGAUGAAAGCUUUAAUGCCGAGGUUCAUUCGCCGGAGAGACAAGAAGGGAGAAAAUGACGAGUUCGUGUUUGAGGAUUUUGGGUUUUCUUACUGAGAAGCAAACUCUUGGGCUGCCAGCAUUUAAUGACACAUAUUCCGAGAAUCUUGCAACCGUAGGUUUGAAAUUCAAAUGGAGGGGUGGAUUUCUGCCACAUCACUUCAUCUGCAAUUAAAUGCGACACGACUCUUGGCAGUCUUUUCCAGUCCCACGCGAGCAAGAACCGAUUGAGUUUCUACUGCUGGUCCAUUACAUUACCCAACACCAGAAACUGGGGGACUGGUGUUUGAGGGAAAUACUUCGACGAGACCAGACGUGAUGAGCAGAUAUUUGAUGGCAGAGUUCUGCAAACAGGUGUGUCUUGUAAGAGCCAGGUAGCAGGGGAACAGGAGUAGGAAUAUUCUGCUCGUCCACGAAUAUGCCAUUCACGAGGUCAAACUCCUGUUAGAGGCAUAAGGCCAUUCCUGCUAGAGGUCGAGAAGCGAGGAGACCCGGUCAACGACAGUUGGCAAGACGUGCAUUCCUAUCCGAGAAUCAAGGCACAAAGUCCAUCUCCAUUCGCCCACAAUGGCGAUAAUGGGGCAUCCAUAUCCCGGGGGGGGGAGAAUAAGGGGCGUGGACUACGGAAGAUCGGGAUUCAGAGGAAGCUUAUAAAAAGGUAGCCAACGAAGGUAAAAGGGUUAGAAUUUUUGAGAUUGCAACUAAGAAAAGAGAGCUCUAAGAACUGAAACUAAAGAGAAGCCAUAAGAUUCGUGGCAAACAUUCCCAGAACCUUCAUAUCUGACUUGAGCGUCGGAGGAUUUACGCCGGGAAAACGACCGGCGCACCCUGACCUGCUUUUGUGUUCGCAUGAAUUUUUGGGGAAGAAACCUUACGAGGAGAGAUCCUGGUCAUGGUAGAGUUGGUCGAGCAGAGGUCCUGGUCUUGGUAGAGAAGGCAACCAGAAUCUCGCAUCAACAAUUAUUUUACUUGAAAUUAUGUACAAUUGCAUUUCAUUCAUUUCUCUCUCUCUUUUUCUUUUUUCCCCCCAUAUAUUUUUUAUGUAUAAUUGCGUUUCAUUUAAUAUUGAUCAUACUGUAGGUAACCAUGUGAUUGUAGAUGGGGAUUUCAAGUUUGUUGAAUAUUCAUGUAAGUGAAGUAACCGUCACAAUACUAGUGAAAUUGGGAGCUUUAUUCAUGAGUUUGUGGUUUUGAAAAGUACCACAGUUCAGCUGAUGAAGGCUUCUUUUUGGGAUUCUUCUUUUCCUAGGCUGCAAUUAGGAUAUGUACAUGAUAGACAAUCUUUUGUUGGUUUGGCAUAUCUUCGCUGAUUUUGUCUUUUAUUCCCCAAUUUUAUAAUUACACACCAUGAAUGUUGGGUGAUUGCAUAGAAAAUUUGUGUUAUAACAAAAACAUUGUGAAGGAGUUUCUGUGCUAAUAGUUAGUGGCUUCUGUUUUAUUGGCAUUGAUUGGGUAGAUUACGUGUUACAGUGAUUCAAUUUGUGUUCCAAACUUUGCUUUAAUUUUCUGUUUUCCCCAACUAUUUAUGUCAAAUUUAAAUCCAGAAGCAUGUACUGAUUUUUUCUUUUUGUAUUAAUUUGUGAAGUUUAUUUGGAAUGGAAGUAACUGGGUCGGGUCUAAUGGAUUAAAUUAUGACAUUGAGGGGAAGGCACUAAAAGGGUUUGCUUGACACAUUUGGUUCUGUGUCUGCAAGAAAUAGCUUUUGCUUAUUGCAAUGCAGGGGGAAAUCCCGAUUUGGCUGGUGAAUUUCUCUGCAACAAACGGGCAAACACCUUGACUUCUUCUGUCCAUACUUCUGCUGGGGAGGCAAGGGGUAAAGAGUCUUCAAAAUCAUCAAAUAGUAACAUCUCUGAGAAUUCAUUUUAUGGAAAUGGAAAAUCUAGAGCUUCUAAUACAAAAUGGUAUCUGGUAUCAGGACGUACCGUUUCAAGUUUUCUUGGUAAAGAUUAUGUUAAACCUGCACAGCCAGCUAAUGGCACUUUUCUGGCAUCAAAGCCAUUGAAGUUGGAUCCAAGGGAGUUUCGCAUUUCUGCACUUUCAGAGAAGAAACUAAACCGAAACAAUCAAAGGAUGACCAUUUGCAGAAGGAUAUGGAAGAUUUUCUGUUUAAAUUGCUAGGAGAAGGGUUCCAGCUGUACAGGGAUGUGAUUCAGAUGGUUCAUGGUAACGUCUUAAAUAUAUUGAUGCCAAUUUAAUACAUAUUGUCCUUUUCAAUGUUCUUUCUUUCUUUCUCCUCUUUUUAUUCUUCUUCUUCUUCUUUUUUCUUUUCAUGUGCAUCUGAUCACUAAUUUGGUAUUAUUCUUAACUUGCAGAUAGUUGUGGAUAUGAUAUGCAAAAAGGUAAGGACUAUAUCUUCUUGAUGGAGGCCUCUGAUUUUUUAAAUCGCAUUUUCCUUUGUGAUUGAUAUAUCAUACCAAAGUCAAGUCUUAAAUACUGCUGUCAUAUGUUAAGGUUCAACUUCCAUUUUGAUUAACGUCGAUUUGCUACUGCUUCCAAAAGUGAGAAUGAGAUACUUUGGUUAAUUUCAGUAGUUGAACCCAAUAGAGUACUUUAUUUAGAUCUUCAUGGUUCAAAGGCCUGAAAAAACUUGCCGGUGUUUGCAAAAUGACAUUCUGUGCUUUUAUUUAGACUUAUUAUUAAAGACAACAUUUUGUUUCAGCCAAAAAUGUUUGUUUCGAUUAAAGACUGAUUUUAUAUUUCUAUUUUGUAACUUGAAAUAAUUGGUCUGCCUGUUUCUGUUGCUUGAUAACAUGAAUUUUUCCUUCUGAAGUUAAUUUGAUCAAUAAAGUAAUUCUUCGGAGAGGAUAUGCCCAUUCUAUAGUCAUUUUCUUAGCUAACAUGUUUUUUCUUCACUCUUCAGAGCAUGUCUAAACUAAUUGAUCGCUCAGCGGAGACUUUGGGUGAGAAGACAAAAUUUCUUGGUAAAUCCUCUGAAAAGGUAUGCAUAAUUCCCGAGUAUUAAAUAAUCAUUGGUCAUAAUUUUUGUACACGACUCUUUUUUUGGAGAUCGUUAAAAGUGGUUGAUGAUCUAUUUUGUAAUAUCAUAGAGGGAUCAUGAAUUCCUUUUCUUUUCUGUGGCUAGGCAACACUUUCGAGCCAAGCUAAGGAAAUCUAUUUUAGGUAAUGUGAAAACCAGUUGUAGGAUGUAAUAGUUUAUUAUGCCCUGCCAAUAACUUUUUGUAUAAUUGUCAGUUUAAUGAAUACAAGAGGAACUCUGUUGGCAAGUUCAUCCAUGAUAGAUGCUAAAAUUAUUUAUGCAUACCAGUUGCCUUAACUAAUUUUUCUCAACACUGGUAUUGAACAGGAAAAUGAAUAUGCAAUUUGUAUAUUGUGCCAUUGUGGAGAAUUUGGAUAUUCUUAUUUAAGUAACAAGGAGAGUAUUUGCCUCAUCUUUAAACAAUGAAUCUUUGAGAAAUGAGGAGUGGGUGAUUGGCAGUGUCUUCAUGUAAAUGUUCAUUUAUUUGUAUUUUGAACUAUUAUGAGAAUCUUUGUAUGCCAAAUUAGUAAUACAAAUGUUCAGAUGAUUUUUCCUGUUGAUCAUGCGUGUGUAUCUGCACACAACCAUUGUGUACCACUUUAUUCUGAUGCGCAAAUAUCUGUAGUUUAGAAGAAAAGAAAUAAUAAUCAUAUAUUAUUGCUUGGUUCAUGAUUAUUAAACGAUUAUGGCUUUAGAAAAUCCACAAAUCCUUUGUGUUCAUAUAUGAAUGUGCGAAGUUCGCUAUAUCUUAGAUUACCUUCUUCCAAGAUAACAAGUUCAUAUAUUUUUUAAUCCUUUUUCAUCACAGUUGAAUUUCAAGUGUAAGUUUUGUUAUUAAUAGCUGGUUUCCUGUUAUUAUGAUUUCAUAAACAGUAAGAGGAUAUGUGCUCUACUUUUGGAGGGCCUCCACAUGAAAGAAAAUUGCAACAAUUGAAUUCUUCCGGAGGGUAUGGUAUUUAAUUUAUUUUCUCAGCUUGUUGUAAGACUAAUAUAUUUCCUUCAGUACGCACGGCAUGGUGGGAAGGGUUUUUAUUGAAACAGUUAUGAUAUUUCUUAGACUUUGUUUUGGAAGGGGGUGGAGGGAUUUCUCAUCCAUAUAUGGUUACUUGAUUAGCUUUUGACUGUAUUGUCUCCGUCGUGCAAAGGAAAAUCCAAAUACUAACGAAGGGGAAUUGCUUAGGCACCCAAAGGACAGAAAUGAAUUACGGAAGGAAGUUUUUGCUGCUUUAUUUAGUGCUGCUGAGAAAUCUGAUGGAUUUCCUGAAAUUACGGUGAAGACGGAGUGGAGGUCCAACGCAUUAGGAAAGGUGGUGAGUGAACCGCCGGAGGAAUUAGUACCAGAACACAAGGCUAAUGUGGUGCACUGGCAGCAAGAUGACCAGACCUGUAUGUGCUCUUAUAUUAACUAUAUUGGCUGGAUUUGUGAGUGUGUACAUUUUUGUGUGUAUACUCACUUUUGGAUUUAUGCAUAUUAACGUGUGUAGGAUUCUCGAUUUCUGCCACUUACUGGAGAACUAGUGGAAAGCUUUAUACUGAUAUAUGUGCUAUAUAACUAAUGGAAACUACAAUAUGAAUAUUUUCUCUCACCUGGAGAACAGUGUAACUGAUAUAAUUUGUGGCUCUGGAAUACUGAAGAUUCUGCAAUAACUAAUGGAAAAUAUGAUAUGAAUAUUUUUUCUCACCUGGAGAACUUUGUAACAGAUACAUUUUGUGCUGGAAUGUCUAAAGAAUGCUUCAGUUUAGAUCAAAUAUCUUUUAGUUAGAAAAGAUAAAAUUCUCUGAAUCUGAAAGACUGAAACAUUUUGCAUAUUUCGUGAAAGGCAAGUAUCUGUAGAUACUAGCUCAUGCAUUGAGGUAAUAUCAAUGUUAAAGAAAAACAGCAAUAAUUUAUUAUACAGAAUUAGGUUCACUUGCUUUAAAUGCUGGUCUGAUCAACCAUAUCAACCUGUAAUGGUCCUGCAGAAAUAUAUAUACGGGGAGAAACUAGCUAAUUUUCCUUUCACUUAUGGGUUUGGUCUUUUUUUUCCCCUAUUUUUCAGCUUUCCUUCUCCUGAAGUAUGUUAACAAUUGCAGAUAAUGACGAAGAGGACCGCUUCCAGGCUCUUUGUAGAGCUGUGAUGGAAUAUAGGGGCACAAUGAAAGAAUAUUGUAAGGCUGUAUGUACUUUCUCUCAUGUCAUUUAUGUUUUCUCACACAUUUUGUAUAUGCCCUGAACAUGCAGCUUUGUAUGUGUCAAUUGCCUUUUACGUUUUAAAAGCCAUAAAGUAAGAAUACAGUUCCUUGUCAGGCUAUUGAUGCGUUCGCUCAGAAGGGUCAUGUUCAAGCAGGAAAACUUCUAGAACAGGUAAGGUUUCCAUCUACAGCCAUCCAUUGACAGCAGAUAUAUUUUCAUUAAGCAGACACUGUUAGCAUUCAAGAUGCUGGCAGAUUCACUUGAUUCUUAUUAGUUUGUUUAGUGGCAAACCAUAUAACCUGUAUUUCAAAGCCAAGUUGUGCUAUUGAUUAUGUUAACUUUAUUGUUAACAUAAAGUGAUAUGGAGGACAUAAUCAAUGUAGGAAAAUUAGGUGAAGAGAUGAUGUCAAAUCUUGAACCUCUUACAAAGCUCCAAGUUCUUUACUUGAAGAAGCUGCCAAAUUUGAAGAGCGUCUACUGGAAGGCAUUUCCAUUCCCAGAUGUAUGCAGAAUUUUUGUAUUAAUGCCCAGUUCUUAAGAAGCUGCCACUGGAUUUUCAAGGGGCGGGCCAAGGUAAAAUUCUUAUCAAGGGAAAGGAAGAUUGGUGGAAAGAACUUCAAUGGGAGGAUCAAGCAACUCAGAAUGCAUUGCUUCCAUUUUUCAAAUCAACUGACAAGUGAUUGAAGGGGGCAUCAUCAACAUCAUCAACUGGGAUGGAGAGAUUAUGGAGCAGAUCAGCAGGGUUUGUAUAUGAUCUUUGGUGGUUGCUUUCUUUUGUGAUUUUUUUUUUCUCAUUUUUUUCCCUUCCUGUCAUUUUAUCAUUUCUUUGUCUCGUUUUCUAUUGCUGAUGUUAGUGUAUGCUUACUGUUGCUUGACAAAGUUUGCUUGCUUCUUGUUUAUUAAUUUUUUUAUGGUCACAAAAUAUUACUUGUUCUAUUUGAGAGUGAUGUGAAUCAAUUUUCAAUUAUAUAUUUUAUGGUCAAUGUGAAUUCAAUUUCAUUUGUCUCCUGCAAUUAUUUAAAAAAUGCAGAGUCAUAAUAUGGAAAAGUCGACCGGCAAAAACUUUGUGAAAGCUUCGGAGUGAAACAGGGAAUUCACUUACUAACAGGGAAUUCACUUACUACUAAGGACAAUUGGUGGCGAGCUAUUCCAUUCAUUUUAUGUCCAUACAUCUAUUUAAUUAUUAAAGAUAAGUGGUCCAUUUGUAAAUUUCAGAUUGUGUCUCUCUGAAAAUAACAAUAUUUAAAAUGUCUCUUAAAUUAUUAUAAAUUUUAAUUCACUCUCGAUUUAAAAUGGAACAUGCUGAUGAAAUUUUUUUUCUUCUUAAUAAAAUUGAAAUAAAUUGUGUUUGCAGUAGUUUGAAAUAUUUUAAAGAUUAUUAUUUUAUAAGGGAGUAAUAUGAAAUGAAAUUUACUUUUCAUGCGUGAAAUGUUGAAAAAGGACACAGCAAGUGUCCCUGCUUUUAUUUUAUUUCAAAGUGGAGUCAUCUCACAUACUUUAACUCUAUCGUUACAAUUUUUCAGGUUACAUUUUUAUUUAUUUAUUUAUUUUCUUUUUUACACAUGCAUGUGGGUUACUUUUCCGUAAGCUCCUUAAUAUAUAUAUUUAACACAAAUCAUGGAAGAGAUGGGAGUAUAUCAAGAUGAUCAAAGCAUGAAACAAAAAUAUUUAAGAAGUAAAACACUGAAAAUAGAGAAGAGAUGCAAGCAAAAGAUAUUCCAAAGAAAAGCAAUCUAUCUCCUUUCGAAGAAUGUUAUGGAAGAGUUGAACCCAGCGAAGAAUGUUAUGGAAGAGCAAAUUAAUGAUAUUUUUGAUAGAGUCUAUUUGAUUAUGUAGCCUGAAUAGAUGUCUUGUUGAAAGAUAUCUCAGUGCAUUAGUUCAUCCUUGACUGUCAAUGUGUUUUUAAUGGUUUUUCCAAAUUUUUAUUAUUAUAGAUUGAUUGUAAAUUUGAUAUGAAUUUAAUGUUGAAAUGUUUUCUCUUUAGUGGAAUGAAUUUAAAAGUGCAAAAGCUUAUUGCACACAGAGAAAUAAACAUAUAUGCUUUAUAACUUUAGCAAUCGAUUCUUUUACAGCUGGAAACAGAGAUGAUGAUUAUCAUAGGGGUGAAGAAAAGGACAAAAAAUGUUAAUGGUUAACGAAAUUUCUAUGCAAAUUGAUUUUAGCAGGAAAAAAGUGAGCUAAAUGAUCUUAAUGUUCCACAAGAAAAAGCAAGAUCUUAAUGUUCCACAAAAGCGUUAUUUAUUUUUUUUUGGUGAGCCACGUGGAGCUCAAUUAUCAUUGUCUUUACUUUAAAAACGUUAUUUUAUUUUCUUUUAUUACAAAUUAAUGCUAACAAGAAAAAGCAAGAUAUAAUAUUCCACAAAAGCAAAUCGUAAUAUUCCACAGAGGAGUAAGAUCCACAAAAGCAAACAACUAGCUGGAUUCUUUUAUUGAACUACAAAUUAAAACAACAAAUUAAAGUUCAAAUAUUUAAAUAGUAGUGCGUUAGACGAUUAGGCUCUUUUAUUAAAGGGAAGUAUAAAGUAGUCCAGAAUCGAACAUCUCUAUUGUCUAGUCUUUUUUUUUUUUUUUAAUUCUUCUUUUAUUAUUUUUCAGAAUAGGUUUUGGUGAUUACUAUUGGGUUAUUAUUGAGAGUUAUUGUUAUCUUCCGGGGCAGUUUCUGUUAAUCGAAAUCGUUAAUUAAAAUUUUAGAACUCUUAUUGGAAGAAUGUUUUUCCGUUAUUUUUUUAUAUUCUAAUUUCAAUUGUAAGAAGUAGUCAUUUUAGAAUUUGGGUCUUGAAUCGAAUUUCAAUGCAUGAAUUAAUAUUUAAAAAAAAAAUUACUACACGCAGUUUAGGUUACAAACUAUUUUUUGCAAAGUUGAUUAUGAAAUUGGAAAAAUUAAGUAAUUUAUAAUGUUUGCAAAGGAAGAGACUAACAUACUUCCAAUUACACUAUAUCUCUAUUAUCAUAAUGUUAAGAUUAAACUAACUUAAAAUAAAUUUUAUUUGAAAAGUUAUAUCAAACGCAGUCUAAUUUUAUUAACUUGAAGAGAUAAUAGUUAUAGAAAUUAUUGUUCUAACUUAAUUAGUACAAGUGGUAUAAAGGUUAAGUGUGCACUAAAUUUGUUUAAAUUUUUUCCAGAAUAACUAACAGAGGUCAUUACUAGAAUUAUAAUUACUAGUCUAUUAGAUAGAAAAAAUUAUUUAUAUUGUUUUAUAUUUAUUAAAAAAUUUUAAAGUCAAUCUUUUUAAUUAUUAUUUAAAGGAUAUUAUAAUUAAAAAAAAUUUAAUGUCUUUAUUAAAAAUUUAAAAAUUUAAAAAUUUAAAAAUUUACAUGACCGCUCUAUAAAUAUUGAAAGUGUAACUGUCAUUUUCUCAUAUAUAUAUAUAUAUAUAUAUAUAUAUAUAUAUAUAAACCACGGUGGUGAAGCUUUAUUUAAUAUUAAUGAUUUAAAUAACAAUAUCUCAAUUAAAAAUGUAGAGAGAAGAAAUUUCGGUGGGUAUAUUAGUCUUUUACAAUUAUCAUGAUUAACCCUUCCUCUUGUAACGUUGGUCAGAAAAGUUUUAAAAUGCCUUGAUUUCUUUUACUUUUAACGUUAGCGGCCUUCCUUAUAUUUUAUUACAAAUUAGUCCUAACAAGAAAAAGCGAGAUCAUAUUCCAAAAAAGCAAAAGUGACAAAAAAACCAGCUGUAUUCUUUUAUUAAACUACAAUUUAAAAUGAUUUUAAAGUGGAUUCUUUUGAAUACAGGUGGGGUAGUCGAAUAGUCUUUUUCAAAUUCUUGUUUUAUUAUUUUUCAAAACUAGUUUUUGGUAAUUACAAUCGGGUCAUUCAUUAGUCAUUAUUCAGAGUUAUUGUUAUCUUCGGGGGCAGUGGGUAAAAGGCUAAAUGAUAAUUACUAAGUGUUUUUCCUUCAAAAGUUAGUGGCUCGUGUUUUGCAAGUGUGUACGUGCGAUGCUCUUUGUCUAAAGGCAAUUACAGUGGGUCCCGAAUCGGACGUGCCUAAUAAAUCUUUUAAAAAUUUUUCUAAUAAAUAUUCCUAAAAUUUCUCUUCCACAGGCAAUUACAGCAGCUUCAGUUAAUCAAACUCAAUCAAUUUUCUUUCUUAACAAAAUUCCAAAGAUGUGUGGCUGUUUUCAGAUCACAUGCGAUGGUACUUUUUUCAAUCGUUGCUUAGAUUGCUUUCUUGGAAAAGCAGCAUACAUACGUAACCUCCAAGAUAACCUCGUUGCCUUGGAGACUGAACUAAGGAAACUAAUCGCAGCAAAGAACGAUGUGAUGACGGCGGUUGUCAAUGCUGAACGGCAACAAAUGAGAAGGCUGGAACGAGUGCAAGUGUGGGUUUCGAGUGUGGAUUCUGUUAAAACUGGAGCCGAUGAACUUAUCACAGACGGCUCUGAAGAAAUUGGCAAAUUAUGUGUUGGAGGCUACUGUUCCAAGAACUGCAGGUCAAGCUACAAGUUCGGAAAACAAGUGGCUGAAAAGCUACAACAUGUGAAGAAUUUAAUCGCCGAGGGAGUUUUUGAGGCGGUGGCCACUGAGGUGGUGCCCGAGAGAGCUCCGGAACCUGUAGCAGAUAAAAGACCCAUUGAGCCAACAAUAGUAGGCUUGCAAUCACAGCUUGAAGAAGUUUGGAGAUGUCUUGCAGAAGAAUCAGUGGGAAUCAUUGGCCUAUAUGGUAUGGGCGGUGUUGGUAAAACCACACUAUUGACCCAUAUCAACAAUAAAUUUCUUGAGAGUCCCACAAACUUUGAUUGUGUGAUUUGGGUCGUAGUUUCAAAAGACCUGCGACUUGAAAAAAUUCAAGAAGAUAUUGGGAAGAAGAUAGGUCUAUCUGAUGAUUCAUGGAAGAAUAAAAGUUUUGAAGAGAAAGCUGUGGACAUCUUGCGGAGAUUAGGAGAGAAGAGAUUUGUAUUGUUGUUAGAUGAUAUAUGGGACCGGGUUGAUUUAACAAAGGUGGGCGUUCCACUUCCCGGACCACAAAAUACUACCUCAAAAGUCGUAUUCACAACCCGUUCCAUCGAUGUUUGUGGCAGCAUGAGAGCUAGGCCGGUUAAAGUGGCAUGCCUAUCAGAAAAGCAAGCUUGGGAACUGUUCCACGAAAAUGUUGGGGAAGAAACUCUUGAGAGUGAUCAUGAGAUCGUUGAGCUAGCCCAAACAGUGGCCAAAGAGUGUGGUGGUUUGCCACUCGCACUUAUUACUAUUGGUCGAGCUAUGGCCUACAGAAAGAAAGCGGAGCAGUGGAGACGUGCAAUUGAAGAGUUAAGAAGAUCAGUUUCAGAGUUUGCAGGUUUGGGAAAAGAGGUGUAUCCUUUUUUAAAGUUCAGCUAUGAUAGUUUGCAGUAUGAUACGGUUAGAUCUUGUUUCUUGUAUUGUUGUUUAUAUCCUGAAGAUUAUGGCAUUCUUAAAUGGGACUUGAUUGAUUGUUGGUUUGGCGAGGGAUUUUUUGGGGAAUCUGACAGGUCUGGUGCAGAAAACCGAGGAUAUGGCAUUUUGGACACUCUUGUUCGUGCAUGUUUAUUAGAAGAGGUGGAAGAUGAUAAAGUAAAAAUGCAUGACGUUAUUCGUGAUAUGGCUAUAUGGAUAGCUUGUGAAAUUGAGAAGGAGAAGAGAAACUUUUUGGUUUGUGCAGGUGCUGGAUUAAAAGAGGCACCGGAUGUUAAAGGAUGGGAAAAUGUGAGAAGAUUGUCAUUGAUGCAAAACCAAAUUAAAACUCUGUCAGAGGUUCCUACAUGCCCUCAUCUCCAUACUCUAUUUCUUGACUUUAAUAAGGAGUUGGAGACGAUCGCGGAUGGCUUCUUCCAAUUUAUGCCUUCUCUCAAAGUUUUGAAGAUGUCAAACUGUGGGCAUGUCAAAGUUUUGAAAUUACCUAUUGGGAUGUCAGAGUUGGGUUCAUCACUAGAACUUCUUGAUAUUUCAAAUACCAACAUAACAGAGUUACCAGAAGAGUUGAAGUUGUUGGUAAAUCUGAAAUGUUUGAAUUUGAGGUGGACAAUUUGUUUAAAUAAAAUUCCAUGGCAACUAAUAUCAAAAUUUCAAGGUUACGUGUGUUGAGAAUGUUCGCUACUGGCUUUGCACGUUUUGAUGCAGCAUCAGAAGACAGCGUUUUAUUUGGUGGGGGUGAAGUUUUAGUACAGGAAUUGGUCGGUCUGAAAUAUUUAGAGGUAUUGGAGUUGACCUUGGGAUGUCAUCAUGCUCUCCAAAUUUUUUUGAGCUCAAAUAAGUUAAAAAGUUGUAUUCGAUCUCUUCUCCUCCAAUUGGCCGGAGAUACAAAGUCGAUUAUUGAUGCUACGGCUUUCGCAGAUCUAAACCACCUCAAUGAAUUAUGGAUUGAUAGGGCUAAGGAGUUGGAAGAAUUGAAGAUUGAUUGUAAAGAAAUAGUACAAAAAAGGCGGGAACCUUUUGUUUUCCGCAGCCUUCACCGUGUUACUAUACAUAGCUGCCAGAAGUUGAAAGAUUUGACAUUCCUCGUUUUUGCUCCAGACCUCAAGUCUCUCGAUCUAGACCGUUGCGAUGCUAUGGAAGAAAUAAUCAGCGUCGGAAAAUUUGCUGAGACUCCUGAGAUGAUGGGACAUAUAAGCCCUUUCGAAAAUCUCCAAACUCUUCAUUUAAGAGCGUUUAACAUCUUUUCUCGACGACCUGCACGAUUGCCUUUCACUCAUCUGAAGGAAAUGGAGGUAAGUGGGUGCGAUCAGCUUAAAAAGCUUCCACUCGAUUCCAACAGUGCAAAAGAGCGUAAAUUUGUUAUUCGUGGAAAAGAAGACUGGUGGAACCGACUUCAAUGGGAGGAUGAAGCCACUCAAAUUGCUUUUCGUUCCUGUUUCCAACCUGAGCGGUUAGUCGCAAAAUUUGAUUUCUGGUGAUUGCGUUUGUCUUUUAACUCUUAUAUAUAUUCUUGUCGUUUGUUUUCUUCUCUGUUUUUAACUCUUAUAUUGCGUUUGUCUUUUGAAAAUCUCCAAUUAAAUGUUGAAUUAAUGGAAUUAAUGCUUCAUAAAUUUGCCGGCACUGCCAUCACUUUUUUUUUUUUUAAUACAAAUUGAUACUUUAUUUAUAUCUUCUUAGCGAUAUAAUUUCCUGUCAAUUGACGAACGAGAAGAACAUACGACUUAAACCAAUUCACGCAUAAACUUGCUGUAAAAAGAUAUAAUCUCACUGAAAUGCACACGUCUAGAAUGAAUAGAAUUAAAACAGGGAAAAUAUUUAAGUAUAUUAGCCCUCUUUACCGAAAAUGAAAUGACAAUAAAUUUUUUGAAAGUUUUGAUUUUCUAUGGUCAAUUCCACCUUUUGCAAUUUCUUCUGUUCUAACAAAAACCAAUUUCUUUGUUCAAGUAUUUUCGUUUGGGUAUUAAUAAUUCUCCACCGAAAGAGUGAACUCUUGCUCAAGGGAUCUCUAAUCAAUAGCCGGAAGGGCGCCGAGACCUGAUCGGACCUAGGCCCAAGUUUGGUCUUAAAGCCUGGGCUUGAGCCUGGCAAUUAAAUUAAAACAUUAAUUGAUUUCUUGAUUGAAUUGUCGUGUAAUUGAUUUAUGGGGGAUGACACAUCAACAUGCUUGAAAACACACUAAUCUCAGCAUCAUCGGUUAAUAACUUUUAGAAUUAUGGGUAAUCAAUAGUUAAGAUUAGUUGUCAUUAAUACUAAAUAUUUUUUUACUAUUUUCGUCUCUUCUAGAGGAUCUUCUAGAAAAAUGCAUCCACAACAAAAUUUAAUACUUUACAUAAUAAACAAAGCAUAAAUGUUAAAUUUAAGAAACUGCAUUGUAUUUCAGCUGAAGUUGACUUUAAUAUUUAGGGUAGAAAAAUAAUAAAUCCUUAAUGUGUUUAAUUUCUAUCACUUGUGUCAUUAAAAUUUUCUAGUCACCCUAACCAAUUACAUCUCAACCCACUUUUUUUUGGAUGAUUUUAUUUUUACACUAUUAUUUUCAUCAUUUUUUUUCCUUUUAACACCAACAUUAGUGUAUGUUACGUAACAUAAUUCAUAUUUGGAUAAUUUGAAAUUUGUUUGUGUUUUAUCUCAAAAUAGAGCUUCAAUCAAUUUGUACCUCAUAAAUUCACAAUAUCUAUGAGGGCUAAUAAGACCAAACUCUGGCAUAUUGUCAAAUGUGCUUAUCCUUUUGCUUGACAUGUCAUUUUAAAAUUGUCAUUCAAUGCCAAAAAAUCACAUCAACUGAUGGCCGACUACUUUAAUUUGAAAGCAUGCAUGCGAUCGCCAAUAAUUAUAACUUAAUUGUUAUUUUGAAAUUUUUUUCUUUAUAAUUUUUAAGUUUAAUACUACUACAUGUGCAGCACAUAAGUUGGAAAAUAUAACAUAAAAUUUGAAAAAUGUGUAGCUUUCGUUCCUUUUUUUUCUUAAAAAUGAGGAAAAAGAAUGUAAUUUUGUUUAAAUUACUGUUGUGAUAACAAUUAUUAUUUUAUUGAUUAAUUGGCAGAGAAUGGUUAUGGUUUCGCAUGGUUGUUAAAACAUUGGAAAAUCCACUACAUCAUCCGUUAAUAACUUUCAGAUUUAUGGUUAAUCAAUAGUUGAGAUUUGUUAUCAUUAAUGUUAAAUAUUUUUUUAAUAUUUUUUCUCUCUCCUAGAGGAUCAUCACAGCAAAAAUUUAAUAUUAUAAAUAGUAAACAAAAUAUAAACAGUUAAAUCUAAGAAACUGCAUUGCAUUUCAGCUGAAGCUAACUUUAAUAUUUAAUGGAGAAAAAUAAUUAAGUCCUUAAUGUACUUUAUUUACCCAUACUGAUACGCUCUUAAUUCGUGAAACUGAGCAACAUCAAAAUUAUCACUACUUCGAGCGAGUGUUUGCUCCAGAAGAAAGAACUGGAAGUUGAGAAAUGAGAAAGAAGAAAAGAAGAAGAGUCACAGCGAGGAAUAAAAGUGGUCCAUUCAUUUCAUGCCUUCCCAAAAUGACAAAAUCCCGCAAUAUAUAACAGACAAUCGAAAAUAACCAAUUUGACAACGCAACAGAAAAUGACAAAAAAGAAUCCAAAACAAACGUAGCCAAUCACAAUGCUUUUACAGAUCAUCCUAAACGACGUAGUCUCGUAGCCAAUCUAGAAGUUUCUUGUUUCGUUUGGGCCGUUGAUUCUCUUGCACUGGCUCAUGGUGAAUGUCCUCUUUGGGUUGACUGACUGUGGGUUCUCGGUUGAGCUCUUCCACUUGCGCCCCCUCUAAUGGCUCUAAUUUGAUAUAUAAAUUCGUAUCAUUCCCUCCUGCUUGAAAACACACAUUGUCCUCAAGGUGAAAUGCUGGAUAGAGCUUACAAAAGGCGUCAAAGUUUUCCCAAGACGAAUUCUUCGGUGAACUGACGGUCCAUUGAACUAACACUUGAAGCGUUGGCUUCCCCUGUUGCAAAACUAUUCGGGUUGCACAAAUGGCAGCCGGUAGCAAAAGAGGAUGGUUAUCCACACUCAACUCUGGUAAAGGAUGUGAAAUAGCAGGGUCGUUGCCAUGAUAAUGCUUAAGGACAGAGAUGUGAAAAACCGAGUGGAUUUUGGAAGUAUUGGGUAACUCCAAUUUGUAAGCUACAUACCCCACUCUAGCAAGUACCGUAAAUGGCCCGUAGUAUCACUUGGCCAACUUCUGACAGGCGCGAGAAGCUAUAGUGGUCUGUCGAUAUGGCUGUAAUUUAACCAGCACUUUAUCCCCUACUUCAAAGUGAGCUUCACGGCGAUGGGCAUUAGCUUUCUGAGCCAUUCGAUGUUGUGCUUGCCUCAAAUUAGCUUUUAAAGAUUGGAGAAGAGUAUUACGUUCAAGGAGAAUGUCCUCCAAAGUUUGGAUUGAAGUAGAGCCCUUAGCAUAAUGAGGAAUAGUUGGAGGCAAUCGGCCAAAUAAAGCUUGAUAGGGAGACAUCUUCAAGCCACUGUGGAAAUGAGAAUUAUAACUAAAUUCUGCCCAACUCAGUAAGGAAACCCACUUCCGUGGUUUGUCUUGAGUGAAAGCUCGUAAAUAUUGCUCCAAUCCUCAAUUUACCACUUCCGUUUGACCAUCCGUUUGAGGGUGGUAUGCCGUGCUAUGACGAAGAGUUGUGCCACUUAAGAGGAAUAAUUGUUUUCAAAAAUUGCUCAAGAACACUGGGUCUCGAUCGGAGAUAAUUGAACUUGGAAAACCAUGUAUUUUAAUGACCAUGUCCACAAAGAGUUCAGCUGUCUUGAGGGCAGUAAAUUGACAGGGUAACGGACCAAAAUGGGCAAAUUUUGUAAGACGAUUGACAACAACCAAUAUGACCGAGAAACCUUGUGCUAACGAAAGACCUAUAACGAAAUCCAUUGUGACCUCAUCCCAAACCAUAUUAGGUAUCGGCAAUGGUUGAAGAAGACCAGCAGGGGCUUGAGUGGAAUACUUAGUUUGCUGGCAUAUUAAACACUCUCGGAUAAACGUUUCCACAUCAUGACGCAUCUUGGGCCAAUAGAAUGUUGAAGAUAAUCUGAUUAAGGUUCUAGUGACACCCACAUGACCUGCCAGUGGUGUAGAGUGAAAUUCUUGCAAUAGUACGACUUUUAAAGAGGAGGUAGGACUGAUGUAAUAACGCUGACGGUGGAGAAGAAAUCCGUUUUGAACAGAGAAGUCAACUGACAGUUUGCCUUGUAAAAGUUGCUGGUGAAGUGAUAUUAAAUCAGGUAAUGUGGUAUUCUCAUUAAGUAAUGACUGCAGCAAUUCAAAUGAAGGAUGGCUGUUGAAAGAAAGGCAAGUGGGGGAGAUGUUGAUGUUAUCCUCAGGAGCUGUUUCAUGGACACGGGAUAGAGCAUCAGCGGCGCUAUUGGUACAACAUGGUCUGUACUCAAUUCUGAAUUGGAAACCCAAUAAUUUGCGGAGAUAAACUUGCUGAUCUAGUGUUUGUAUCACUUGUUGAAGGAGUUCUUUGAUACUCUUAUGAUCCGUGCGGAUAACAAAGAAUCGGCCCAACAAAUACUGCCGCCACUUAUACACAGCUUCUACAAUUGCAUGCAACUCCUUGAUGUAAGUGGAAGAAGCCCGCAAUUUGGGACCCAACUUCUUGCUGAAAUAAGCAAUUAAAUGCCCAUGUUGUGUAAGUACAGCUCCUAUGCCUACAUUAGAAGCAUCGGUCUCAAUGACGAAUUCGAAAGUAAAAUUCGGCAACUUAAGGACUGGAGCUUGCACCAUUGCUUGUUUAAGAGCUUCAAAGGCCUCCAUGGCUGUCAAAUUCCAUUGAAAGGCAUCAUUUCGCAGCAAAUCAGUGAGUGGGGCUGCCAAGGAAGCAUAACCACGGAUGAAGCGCCUAUAAUAUCCAGUGAGACCAAGAAAACCCCUCAACUGUUUGAUAGAACGUGGAAUUGGCCAAUUAAGCAUGGCAUCAAUCUUUUGGGGGUCGGCUUGUACUCCCGAGGCUGAAACAAUACGGCUUAGAUACUCAAUAGCGGCUUGGCAAAACAAACAUUUGGAUAAUUUAAUAAAAAAUUGAUGAAGAUGUAAACAAGCUAAUACUUUCUCAAGAUGAAGCAAAUGCUCGGCCAUGGAGGAGCUAUAAACCAAGAUAUCAUAAAAAAAAACGAUCACAAAUUUCCGGAGAUGAGCUGCAAAAAUCUGAUUCAUUGUGGCUUGAAAAGUGGAUGGGGCAUUUGUCAACCCAAACGGCAUGACAAGAAACUCAUAAUGGCCCUCAUGUGUUCAAAAUGUCGUUUUGUAUAUGUCGCGGUUGUGGACACGAAUUUGAUGGUAUCCCGCGCGCAAAUCCAAUUUGCUAAAAAUGGUGGCGCCCCCAAGUUCAUCAAACAACUCAUCGAUUGUCGGUAUAGGAAAUUUGUCUUUGAUGGUUACGGCAUUUAAUGCACGAUAGUCAACACAAAACCGAUAGGUGCCAUCUUUUUUCUUGACCAAGAGAACCGGGGAGGAAAAAGGGCUUUAGUUCGGUCGGAUUAUGCCCUACUCUGACAUUUCCCUGAUCAGUUUUUCCAUUUCAGAUUUCUGGAAGUGUGGGUAGCGGUAUGGACGAACAUUGACGGGGGCUGUGUUGGGUAAUAAAUGGAUUUUGUGGUCAAUAGUUCUGUGCGGUGGUAGGCUAGAAGGUUGGAGAAAUAGGUGUUUGUAUUGCUGUAAAAGGUUGAGAAAUUGAGCAGGAAGGGAAAAAGGAAAUUCAAGUGAGGAAGUGUCUGUGAUGGAAAAUGAAGGCAAAGCAUCGAUAGCGGGCACUGGUUGUAAGGCACAAAGGCUGGUCACGGUAUCACUUUGAACCAAUACCUGCAAUUGAUUAUAAGUGAUCAAAUUAUUAGAAGACAAAUCACCAUGAAGCAUCACUGGUUGCUCAUUUAAAGAAAACUCCAUAGGACACUUUGCCCAAUUUCUGUAGCCAUUGAAUGCCAAGGACCACAUAUGUGCCCUCAAUUGGCAAAAUGAAGAGGUCUACCAUAAAAGCCGUGCCUUGCAUUGUUAAGUUCACUUGAGGACAGAACUGUUUACACACCAGGAAGUCACCGUUGCCAAUAUACACUCGGAAAUUGGUAGUUGGAUGAAUGGCUAACCCCAAUCGUUCCGCUAACGCCGGUUUUAUGAAAUUGUGAGUGUUGCCACUAUCAAUCAGCACUUGAAAGGUGUGCGAAUCAAUUUCUCCAAUUAAACGAAGAGAGCGAGGAUUGGCCUGCCCUGCUAGAGCAUUUAAGCUAGAGAUGUCACCAGUAAUACCAGCAUCUACCAAUUCUGAUGGUUCCUCGUUAUUUUUGGGUUCCAAUUCUUCAUCAUCCGUGCCCAUGAGAAGUAGAAAUUUACUGCGACAGAGAUGAUUGUUGCUGUAUUUUUUGUCACAAUUGUAACAUAAACCCUUCUCGCGUUUGUCGCAAAGUUCAGCCGAAGACAAACGGCGAAUUGGUAAUGUUGGUGUCGAUAAUAAUGCAGGUAAAGUGUUUGAUUUAUUGGUAUUGUGGGUUUGUGAGGGAAGAGUUGAAGAUGAUACGGGGGUGAUGGCUGUGGUAACAGUUGCAAGUGAUGAGGAUGGAUAAAUGGGUUUGGGUUGUGUUUGGAAACCAUGUGAAAGGGGAUAUGGUUGCUGCCAUUUAGGCCAUGAGCGUGAGCUCUGUUUCACUUCGUCAUAUUUGGCCUCAAAAGCACGAGCUAAAGUUUCCAUUAGUGAAGACGGUCUAGAGAAAAGCAAUUCCCGUCGAAUGUUGGGUUUCAGACCAGUGAUGAAAAAACUAAUCAAAAGAAGUUCAGAAAUUCCAGUGACCUUGUUCAUUAAAUCUUCAAAAGCUGACUGGAAAUCUGCAACCGUGGUAGUUUGACUCAAUUUGGACAAAUCACCUUGGGGAUCUUCACACAAAGAAGCACCAAAACGAUAGCGCAAGUUAGCUAAAAAUUCUUGCCAAGUAGUGAGCAAGUGAUUGUUCUUUAUCCAUUGAUACCACGCUGCAGCGCGACCCUCCAUAUGAAAAGAGACAAUCCGUAGUCGGAGGAUCUCAGGUGUGUCAUGAAAGUCAAAAAAUUCUUCUAUUCGAAAAAUCCAUCCAUUUGGGUCAGACCCAUCGAAUUUGGGCACAUCCAUUUUCAUGGAACAAAGUACUGGAGAAACUUUAGAACCAGUAAGAACGCCAUCAUAUUUAGAAGAUGAAGGGUGUGAAGGGUUGGAGGAACCAACUGGUUUGUUGGAAGACCCAUGAAUUUAUGUACGUAACUCCUCAAAACGAGAGUCAACUGAUGUCAUGAAUUGUUGGAUUGUUUGAUGGAUGGACAGUUGCUACCCAUCAAGUUUGGCGUCAAAAGUUGCUUGAAGGGUCUGUAAAGCAUAAAGAAUUUCAGAAUUUGCCAUGAUCAAUGAAAGCACCAGUGAUACGCUCUUAAUUCGUGAAACUGAGCAAUAUCAAAAUUAUCACUACUUCGAGCGAGUGUUUGCUCCAGAGGAAAGAACUGGAAGUUGAGAAAUGAAAAAGAAGAAAAGAAGAAGAGUCACAGAGAGGAAGAAAAGUGGUCCAUUCAUUUCUUGCCUUCCCAAAAUGACAAAAUCCCGCAAUAUAUAACAGACAAUAAAAAAUAACCAAUUUGACAACGCAACAGAAAAUGACAAAAAAGAAUCCAAAACAAACGCAGCCAAUCACAAUGCUUUUACAGAUCAUCCUAAACGACGUAGUCUCGUAGCCAGUCUGGAAGUUUCUUGUUUCGUUUGGGCCGUUGAUUCUCUUGCACUGGCUCAUGGUGAAUGUCCUCCUUGGGUUGACUGACUGUGGGUUCUUGGUUGAGCUCUUCCACUUGCGCCCCCUCUGAUGGCUCUAAUUUGAUAUAUAAAUUCGUAUCACAUACAUGCGGUUAAUUUUUUAAGAUAAAGGGGAAGGAUGAUGCUCAAAAAUAUAAAUUAUAGAAUUAAUUGAACUCUCAAAUAAGUUUAAAGUUCAUUAUUUUUAAUUACAUGUUUAUAAUUUAUUUUUAUUUCGUAUUAAUCUAUAGAUCUAAAUCCACUUUGGAUUCAUAUACACAUAUAGACAUAAUGUGUAUGUUAAUCUAUAGGUCUAAAUUCACUUUAGGUCUAUAUAGGUAUUUUGACAAAUGUACUCCAAUCAUGCAUAUUGGCAAGUUCAAAUUCAAUUUGGAAUAUGGUCAUGGUACGUUCUUGUUCUUCCCUCUUUACGAGUGCAUUCCCCCCAACCUCAAGCUCCCUCUCUCGUCUUCAAUGUCACUGCUUAUAUCCUUAUGUUGUUCUAGUUUGAAACAGUGGCUUCCACUAUUUCAGGGCCCCCAAAAAUCCAGAAACAUACUAUUCAUCACGAUGACAAAAUUUUGGGCAGGCAGGUGCUUCCUGACUUUCACACGGUAAUUCUCAAAUUCUGAUUUCACCAUAUUUUAAUUACUGAUUAUGCUCUCCAUUAUAAUAGAAGUCGCCGCCACACUAGUGAUUCCAAACUUUAUCUUUUUUCCUUUUUUAAAUUAAUGCAAGUAGCCGCUGUCCUUUUUAUUAAUUAAUUAAUUCGGCCGCCCACAUUUCUUUUUCUAAUGUCUUCUACUGUCGAGUUUAUUUUAUUUUCCCUUUAUUCUUAAAAUAUACUUAUAAUAAUAAAAUAUAAAAAUAAAAAUAAAAAUUAACAUAUCAAAAUAUAAUUUAACAGAAAAUUAAGAUGAAAAAUAAAAAAAAAUAAAUUCUGAACAUAUCAAUCAAUAAAUGAAAAAUAAUAAUUUUUAUUUUUAUUAAAUAUAUUUUUUUCAGUAUUAAUCAAUUAUCUGAAUAACUAAAAUCAUUUAAAAAUAAAUAAACAAAUUAUUCUUUAUAAAAAAAAAAAACUUUUUAUAACACUCACUAUGCUGGUUGUAGGGUAGACGCUUUGGGGACUGAAGUUGGUAACUUCUACAAGUAGUCUUAAGUUGAUAACUUCUACAAGUAGUCUUAAGUUGACUGGCAAAUGUUCUCAGUAUUAUAUUGGUGUGUCGAUAUUAUCUCUAACUGCCUUAUAGAUAAAAAAAUAAUCUAAAUUUAAAAUUUAACAUAAAAUAAAAUAAUUGGUAGAAAAACAAUUAUGGUUCAUUUACUUAUCAGUAAUCAGAAUAGACUGAAAUCGAAAUGAGUUGUAUUACCGUUGAUGUGUUUAUGUUGUCCUCGAAUCGGAAUGAAUUAUUUUAAGUUACUAAAAUAUCCUUGGUUUGUUAUUCUAAUUAUUAUUAUUUAAUAUUUAUUAUAAUAUUUGUCAUAUCAUUAAAAAGAAAUAAUAAUGAUGAUAAUAUUAUCAUUAUUGUUUGUUACAUUAUUAUUAUUCAAAAAAAUUAUUGUUAAUAACAAUAAUUACUUUAUUUCAAUACUAAUAAUGAUAAAAUUAAUAAUAACAAACAACAAUAAUUAUUUAUUAUGCCAAAAAUAACAAUAAUAAUAAUCAUCAUCAUUUUUUUUCCCAAAGAAGCAUUAUCAUCAUUUCAAAAAAAAUAUCAUCAUUAUCAUCAUCAUUUUUGUAGUGGCUGCCUAUCGGCUGUUGCUUUCAUGUGAGAUUGACUUGCGACGCUUCAACGGCUAUUAUUUCUGGCAAUGUCAGGUGUUACUGUUUCAAUUUAGGAAGAAGCUGUUUCGUUGUGCUAACGAUGGGAGAUGUUGUGGCUGCGAUUCGGGGAGCUACUAGUUUAUUGCACUAAUGACGGCAGGUGCUGCUGCUUGAUGCGAGGUCCAUGGCCAGUUGUCAGCAGUUCGACUUUGGUAUGGGUGCUGCUGGUUCGAUUUUAGGUGUUGUCCAAUUUCAUUUUCAGGAUUUUAAUUUUAUUUUUCUUUUAUAUUUUCAUUAAUUAAUCAGGACAAAGUUGGAUUUUAGAAUUUGGAAUGAAGGUAAUUUUGUUAAUCAUGGAAAUGAGAUUCUGAUUGUCGAGAAUGAGCUUACACAAACAACUACAAAUUAAGUGAAAACAAAACGCUUUUUCUCUUUGUGUGAUUAAAACAUGAUAUGUACCAUAAAUAAAUAGGUAAAAAAUAAAUUAAUACAAUCCAAAACAGUAAACUAAUUACAAGAGGCACAAAUUUUUAUGUGAAAUACCAAAAAUAGAAAAAACCACAGCAUCUUAGUAUGAGAUAAUCUUCUACUAUAUUAAUGAGAUUAUAGCACAAAUUCUUCCUUAUAUAACACUAGAGGUUAACAACAUCAAGAAUUUCAAUAAUCUUGACUUACAAUACAGCCUAAUAUUUGUCUCUCUAAUAAGUAGAUAUCUAAAAUAACAGUCUCUAAUAAAUAAGUAUCUCAAAUAACAGUCUCUAAUAAGUAUCUCAAAUAAUAAUUUCUAAUAAGUAUGUAUCUCAAAUAAUAGUUAACAAGAGGAUAAAACAAAAAUUAAGAUUAGUAGGAUUGUAUAAGGCGAUGCUAUCAACUUAUCUUCUAAAUUUGAGAAAAAUAGUUAAAUUCACUUUUUCGAUUGUGACCAAAGAUGGAAACCUUUGCCCCAAAACCAAAGGAAUCACCAUUUCUCUCUCUCUCUCUCUCUCUCUCUCUCUCUCUCUCUCUCUCUCUAUCUCUCUCUCUCUCUCUCUCUUCUUCUACUUUUCUUAAUGUUAGCCGCCACUCGCUUUUAUUCUUUAUAGCAUUUAAAAAGCUACUUUUAAUGGUAAAUUUCAUUUAAGUCCAAAACUUAGUGAUAAUUGUACACCAAACAAUUCUUUUUGGACUAUGAGCUUUUGGGCCUCCAAAUGAGAUGAAUACAACAAAUCUCCCCCUUUAGAUCAUGUGGGGGGCACCACAAGCCUGCUCUCUGCAUAUAGUUUUUCAACUUCUCCUUGAAUAAUGACUUUGUCAUCAUACAUAACCCAUUCUCUGUUGUGUAAAUUUUCUCAAGCUGUAGCUGUUGCUUCUCAAGCACGUCUCGUAUCUAAUGAUAUCUCACAUCAAUAUGCUUAGAUUUCGAAUGGUUUAUCAAAUUCUUUGAACGGCACUCUGACUGUCGCAGUACAUAACAUAGCUGUCUCGUUUUACACCCAGCUCUUAUAGGAAAUUCAUUAUCCAUAAUAUUUUUUUGCAACCUUCAAUAAUUGUUAUAUCAUUUGCUUUAGUGGUAGAAAACGUAACUUAUUACUAAAGUUUAGAUUGCAAUGAGACUUCUCCCCCUGCAAAAGUGAGCAAACAUCCUAGAAGGAAUUUUUCGGAAUCAACAUCUUCUGCCAUAUCUACACACUUGUAACACAGGUUUGUCACCACUAAAAUAUAAACAUGCUCUGGAAAUGCCUCUAAGAUAUCUGAGAAUUUUUCAUUGUUGUCCAAUGCUCUUUUAUAAUAAAUACAAACAUAAUGAAUUUAUAAAACAUUUAGAGUAUUUUGAAUAUUAUAUAAAAUAAUUUUAAUAUAAUGCAUGAGAUAUAUUUUAUUAAUUUAAAAUGCUAUUUAAUCUAAAGAUUUAUUUAAGAUAAAUUAAUAAUUAAAUUUUUUUAAUUAUUUCAAAUAUUAAAAAUUUGUAAUAUUAUUAGUCUAUUAGAUAGAUUAAAUUAUUUAUUUUAUUUUGUAUUUAUUAAAAAAUUUUAAAGUCAAUAUUUUUAAUUACUAUUCGAAGGAUAUAAUGAUUAAAAAAAUCUUAAUAUUUUUUAUUAAAAAUUUAAAAAUUUACAUGACCAUUUCUAUAAAUAUUUAGGGUAUAUAUGAGCCACGGUGGAGAAGAUUUAUUUAAUAUUAUUGAUUUAAAUAAUAUCUAAUUAAAAAUAUACUGAGAAAAAAUUUCGGUGGGUAUUUUAGUCUUUUCAGCAAUCACAUGAUUAGCCUUUGGGCUUUGGCCUUGAAACGUCGGUCAGAAAAGUUUUAAACUGCUUAAUUGUUUUUCACUUUUAACGUUAGUGGCUGCUUAUAUUUUAGGAAAAUGAGAUUCUCACCACAGUGAGAACCACACUGAGCACAGAACGGUGCGUUUUGUGCUCAGUAUAAAUUCUAACUGUAGCGGAAAUAUCGCAACACAAACGCGCCAUUCCAAACCCACGCGCGUUCUCCCUCACGCCAGCAAAUCUCACCACGCUUCCUCCUCACUGUAAGCGCCCCCCCUCCCCGGGGGCGGUCGGCUGCGUCACGCUCCCUCACGGCGCCUCACUCUCUCGGCUCUCUUAGAAAAUUGAAUUGCGGCUUCCGCCGUGGGGUUCUCUCCUCAACUGCCGUUGUCUCGUCUCUGACAGCUGCCUUAAUCAAAUUCUGAAGGUAGUUUGCUUCAAUUCAUUACAUUAAUUUCAAAUUUGGUUUGUGUGGGAUUAUGAGUUUGUGAAGAUUUAGUUCUGUUUCAUGGUAAACUAUUUUUUGCUCAGUGUGUUGAGAAUAUCAGCACGGUUUAAAAUUCUUUUUAGAUUCUGUCGUAAAGUUUUCUUUGUAUUGGGCAAGUCAGUUACUUUAGUUUUGUGUCUGAAAACAAAAACACUUAGCUUAGUGAGUUUUAAGAGAUUUUGCUAUUUUGUUCAACGAAGCUUAAAAAGGGGAAGCUUUUAUGGCGUCUGUGAGCCGAGGCAAUUUGGAUCGGGUGCUUUUUCAGUUCAUUUGUUUGUUUCUUAUUUGGGUUCUUUAUUGUUAGAUGUUCUUUUGAGAUUCUGGCAUCUGGCAUCUGGCUACUUGCUUUUGUGGAGUUUUUUUAUUAUUUGAAUUCUGUGAAUUCUUUGUUUUCUUUCCCAAAUGAUUCCACUCUAUAAAAUAUAUAUUGUGCUUGGCUAGAAUUUUCUUUUAGAUAAUUGCAUCCUGUACAUUGGCUUAACCUGUCAAGAAUGAGAAUGAUGGAAGAUGCCUAUCUUGGAAAGAAUAUAUUGAGUUACAUAGUACCGGUUCCAAAUGAAUAAAUUGGAACUUGCCUAAAACAGGCACCAAUCCACCAUGACACCAAGCCUUUUUAAAAUUUUUUUUUUUUUAAGUUUAAAGAAACUUAUGUUGCUUCUUUAGAUCUGUUUUAGCUUAUGAUGAAUUUUGCUAAUGGUAAAAUCCCUCCCCUUCAAAGUUGGGGGAGGGGAAGCAUCUAUAUGCAUAUGUGUACAUUAUGGAGCUCGAACUACAUGUCGCAGUAAUACAUUAUUCUCUUUGCUUUGCAGGUUUUGAUCAACAUGAGUGAUUGGGAUGUAGGUCUGUGCUUGAGAGGCCGGAGUGAUGACCAGAAUUCUGUCAACCAGACCAAAGACAAUCAACUGAUGAAGUGUUGUUGUUCUCUAUAUUGAUUGUUGGAAAUUAUGUGUUAUUUCCAGAUUUUUAGAAAAUUAUGAUUGCUGGAAAUAAUUAUAUAUGUACAAUCAUUAUGUCCUCCAGCACAAGUGAAUUUCCAAACCCACAACUGAAAGCUUGCGAAAAAUUUGUAGAAAAUUUGUACAUCAAAUCCACAAGCUAAGUGUUGUAUCAGAAUAUGAAUGACAAUAAAACAAAAAUCUGUGUUCUUCAUUCUUAAAAUACUAAUACAAUACAAGUACAUUCUUAUUCUGAGAAAUAACUACCUAUUAACUCCAUAUUCAUUAUCUUGUUGAAAGAGUAGCUGCUGAAAAUGUCCAUGUCGCUGAGCUUGUAUGUGCUAUUAAAAAAAAAUUAAACAUCUUGUUGUCAUCCGAAAAAAUAAAGAAGGCAAGAUGAACAAAUAAAAAACUUAUCACUACUUACGGUGCAAGAAUUUUAUGUAGAUAUUGAAUAAACAUUAUCCUCAAUUAUUUGUCACAAUAAUUUAUAUUCAAUUCAUGGUGUGUUGCAGCAAGCUUCCAUUGUUUAACUAAAUGACAGCUGAAUCUUUACAACUAAUUAUCUUUACAAUCAAAUUUGGAAUUAAUUAAGCAAAUUACCGCUAGAAAUCGACGAGUGAAGCUAAGAGAGUGAGGCUGCAAGUCGAAUUUUUGAGACAGCCGAGAGAGUGAGGCGCUGUGAGAGAUGCAAUGGACGGGCGAGAGAGAGACGAAGCCGAUGGUGAUUGCUGCAUUGGUAGGAUUGAGGGAGAGAGCGAAAGAGCCAGAGCGUGCGUGCUUGUUCUGCCAGAGAGCGCGUAUGUUUUUUCUCAAUGCGCGUGUUGCGUAAUUAUCCAUCUACAGUGACCAUUUUAUAGUUAUCUUGAAACGCACCGUUCGGUGCUAUAUGUGGGGCUGAAUGUUGUGAGCAUAUCGGUGCUGUAUAUUUUAUUAAAAAUUAAUGCUAACAAGAAAAAACCCCUCAAUGAAUGAGGGUGAGAUUGCUAAAAAUUACGACAGGUGAUAUUUUAUUAUUAUUAUUAUUAUUGGGGGAGAAAUCCUCACCAAAGUGAGGAGAUUUUAUCAAAAUCAAAAUAAAAAUAUAACAAGAACUGAAAGUUGGGCAGCCUAAAAGCUAGAUAAACUAAAAUUCAGGCGCCUAAAAACAACCUUAUGCAAAAGAGAAGCAACAUGAGACCGAUCAAGUAAAAGAAUCCACCGCAACACCUAAAUUGGCCAAAUUAUCUGUUGGUAUUACAAGUUUCUUGUUAUAAAAGUGUAGAAUGAAGAAGGUGACGUAGUUUUAAGUUACAGCUGCAUGCCCGAUCGCAAUAUCAAAUAAUGAUUAAAUAUCAAAUAAUACUUAAAAUAGUUGCCUAGACCCGCCACAAUUUAUAUUAACUCUUAAAUUUAUAAAUAAUUAAAUUUUUAAAAGUUCGGAUUUAUAUUAAAAAAUCUUCAUAUAAAUAAAUAAUAUAUGCACUUUUACAACACAGUCUUUAAAUUUAAAUUUUUCUAGAAAAAUCUUCUGUAUAUCUUUUCUAUUAAAAAAUUUCCAUAUAAAUAAAUAAUAUACCUAAUUUAAUUGGACCCAGCGCAACGCAUAUGCAUAGAACACAUUCCGAAAAGCCAUGAUAUUCGGAAAUUGACGAAUGAAAAGUGAGGAGGCAGCAGUCAAUGCUAUUUCGGCUUGGCCCAAAAUUGAUUUAUCAGUUUGACGUGUGCCAGGAAUGAAGAACUGGAAUAUCACCAUCAAGCAAGCAACCUGCGGAGCAAUACCAUAGAAUGCACAAUCCGGCUUUGCAAGGUGACACUGGAGGCUUUUUGAAAAGUGCUUCACGCUCACUUGACAGAUUGAGCAUCCCCUCUGGAUAUUGCCCUCUCUGAUCGAAUCUGAGCACUCAAAUUUCGGUCCUCAGAUGGAGCUACAGCUUUCUCUCCAAUAACCAACAAUUUUCUAAACUCAGCACCUAGUGUGAUCAGAGUUGUUGAUAUUUGUAAAUGGAGAUCCCCGUAUUUGCAAAUGGAGACAUUUACCAAAUCACCAACAUGCUUCAUCCAGUCUACGAAAUUCUGCAGCUGAUUCAAAUCCGGAACCUGAACAAGAGUCGGAGGUAAAUCUUGAGCCAUAUCUAAAGCAGUCUGAAGUUCAAGUACUUGAGCCCUUGACAAUGGUUUUGAAAUUGGAACAUCUUGGAUUACUGCAGACUUGUGCCCCUUGGUUUCAAAGGUAAGGAAAGGCAUUGCUUGAGUACAAUUUGGAGGCAGCUUCUUCACCAAUUUUAUUUGGAGGCGAUUGGCAGCGGAUCCAGCUGCACCAAUUUCAGAGCAAAUACUGACACUACUUCGAACAGCACACUGAAGAAGUGAUAUGUCUACGGCAAAGGCAAUGCAGUCCUCAUUUUGGCUUGAGAUGCAGUAAUCAUCGAAGAGAGUUUCCUUGUGAAACUGGGCAACACAUUGAAUCCCUUCGCCACUGAGAAGGUUGCGGAGGAAGUAAGCUUUCUCUCUAGUGAGGAAGAGGUGGCAUACCUUCCCCAUGUCUAGGGCAGGUAGGAAUCUUUUUUCUAAGAGAUUUACUUCAUUCUCUGUGAGAAAUGCUUUGAACUUCAUCCCUCUGUCUCUAUCCUCACUUAUCAGUAAAAUAGUUGAAAGUGCUACAAGGAGAGAAAAGAAGAGUAUUAAGAUAUAUAUAGACAAGAAAAACAUUAGAUGUCGAUCUUACAAGCUAAUACUUCAAACAGUAUCCUAGAAAGCUAAAAACUGCAAAAUGGCUUGACAUUUGAAAAGAACACAUGCUUUUCCUCCUUAACUUGAGAAAAUGUUUAAUAUAGUGCACCUUACAGAAACAUUUAAGCAAUUAGAACUUUGCACAAAAAUAUUCAAGAAGACUAAACAAAUCAGAUGCAGUGUAUUUCUCCAAGCACAAAUGGCAUUGCAUUUUUUCCUCAACUGUAAUAUUUAUUGAUGAAAAUCAGUACAGGUCCCUCAUUUGUUAUGGAAAGCUUUCUUGUAGUCUGACUGGUUAAUUCACGGAUCUAUAAUUAUCUUGCAAAGUUACAGGCAUUUCUUUCGAUUUAAAGUCUUUGCAUCACCACCUCAUCACACACCUAGCCAAUAUUCCGUCUACUUCUACAACAAAAAGUUUUAAGUAAACGAUCCUAAUGCAUGCAGCCAAAUAAAAUGCAGUAAGAAUAUUCAACUUAAAACUCUGAAAGCCAUCUUGGUGAAUUGCCUCCUUAGGGGAAGUUCCAUGAUUUACUAUACUUGACAGGACUGAGCAAAAGCUUACAUACAACAGAUUUUGAAAAUGAUGAUGCCAAUAGAUACUCAUACAAUCCAUUGAAACUCCUAAGGUCCAUUGUUCACAGAGGUUUACAGAGUUUUGGUUAUCAAAUAGCUCAGACCUUAAUCCCAAACAAAAAACGAGUGAAAAUUAGAUCACCAGCAGCAAAUUGUAAAUUCUAACUUAACUCUUCAUCUCCUUUGUAAACAGGAGACAAAAUGGAGACACGCAAAAUGAAUAAGGAGAACAUUUGAACUCAAAUGAAAUGAGGGCACGAAAGCAAACAAAUGGCAUGCGCAAACAAACCAAGCCUCAAUCAAAAACUAAUUAACCAUUAAAAAACAAAACUGGUCAGCUUCUGGUGUUCUCAAAUUGUAUAACAAGAGAUCGACACAUCGAAUCAGAAGAACUCAAUUCAAAUUUGUCUCAAAAAUCAAAAUUAGAAGAUUUCACAUUUCGAGAGGAACAAGCGACAGGUCAGAUGCAAAAUUUUCAGCCAUAACAUGCCACAAUUAACGGUUUAUUUCCAUGGAUUUAGAGAGCUGACUGACCUUUUGGCUUUUGGAAUUGAGAAGAUCGCGCGCCAAAAUGGAAGAGGGAAAGCGAAAGUGCGGGUUUUAAUAGGGUAUUGGAUUAGCAAAUUUUAUUAGUUUGCGAGGGUAAAAUAGGAAAGUGAUAUCACUAUUAACCUUUUUUUUAAUAAGAAAAAAGAAUAAUAAAGAAUAUUUUAUUGUCAUUUGCAGCAUUUAUUUUUUUUAAAUGCUAUUAGAAAAAUACGACAACAAAGAAAUGCUCUUUUUUUUUUUUUUUUUUUUCUCGAAGGUAAAAUCAAUUAUUUAGCUCCUUAUAUGUAAUCAAACUACAUUUCUUACUUUAAGUCAUAUCCAACGGACCAACAAAGUAAUUAUUUUUUUUUUCAUUCAUUUUUGCAGAAAAUUAAUAACUUAAAAAUAUUGAAAGCUAUUGUAAAAUUUUUUAUUAUCAACCUCAUAGUUUUAUUUUUUGGGAAGAAUUGAAUUUUUUUUUUUAAUUUCCAAGAAUUUCAUUCUCUAGUUUUUCCAUUAAUAUUACUUAUCUUGAUACCCAUCUUAAUUAAAAUCUGUAGUUUUAUUCAAGAGUCAUGCUAUUCAUUCACUCACAGACCAAAGGCUUUCCGCAGCAAUAUUAUUAUUUAAAUUACAACAAAGGGGAAAUCAAAUACGUCAUACAGAAGCUUAAAGCUGAAUCUACAAAAUCUAGAGCUCUCAACUACAUAAAUUACACUUGAUGAUCCUCUACAAGAUGAAGCUUGUUCAAUAUCUCAUCCAAAGCUUGUAAAGUAACAUUAUAACGAUCUUGAGAUUGCCUGCCUUCCUCGACGACCUGCACGAUGCGUUUGUACAAAUCAUCAUACCUGUGCACCGGAUUUUUAAUAUCAAUGCCACUGCAGCUGUGAUCAAGAACAUAAGAGCGUUUAACAUCUUUUCUCCAUCAAGAAAGAAUGUAGUGAGAUGGGAUCUCCUGCAUGCCACUCUGGUUUAGAACACAAAGAAUGUGUCUGCAUAAAUAUCCUCUGAAAUUGAACAACCCACAAACACAAAGCACCUCCAAGUCGGAGGCAUUGUACAAAACAUCGAAAAUAGUUAUGUUUUACAAUCUAUUAGACAUAUUUUAUUAAAUUAAUAUAAAUUUUCUAUAAAAUAAGAAUAUAAUAUUAAAAUAAAUUCACAAAAAAUUAAAGAAUUUUGAAUGUAAAAUAAUUUUAAUAGAUUAAUACGUGAGUUUUUUUAUUAAUAUAAAAAUUAUUUAACUUUAAGAUUUUUUAAAAUCUUUACAAUAAGUAUGACUAUAUUAUUUACAUUUAAAAAUAUUUAAAUAUUAUUAACCUACAAUUAUAUUUGCAUUUGUUAGAAUUUUUUAAGUCAAAUAUUUUGCACUUCUAUAUUAUUAGAAUUAUUGCACACAAAGAAAGAAACAUAUACCUUUAGAAAUUGUUUUCUUUUAAAAUAGAGAUGAUGAUUAGUAUAAGGAUGAAAAAAAUGAUAAAGAAUAUUAAUGAUUAACGAAAUCUCUAUACAAAUUGAUUUUAGUAGGAAAAGAGUGAGAUGAAUGAUUUCUUUUACGGUUAGAAACAUAGAUGAUGAUUAUUAUAACGAAGAAAAAAAGAUAAAGAAUAUUAAUUAUUAAUGGAAUCUCUAUGCAAAUUGAUUUUAGUAGGAAAAAAAAUGAGUUAAAUGAUUUAGAGUGCGUUUGGAAUUGAGAUUGGGCAGCCAUAGAUUUUAAGUUACAAUACUGAAGUGUUUGAUAAAUACUAGCUGCUGCAGAUUGAAAGUUAUAUUGAUAUGAUUUUUCACAUGUAUCAUAGAAAAUAUAUUACAUCUUUAAUAAUUUUUUUAAAAUUUAUAUUUGCUAUAUAUUAUUAAUUUUUUUUUAUAGUUAUAACUUUUUUUCCACAGCAGUUGUAGCUUAAAAGUCACAGCAUCUCAAUCUCAAACAAAUCCUUAGACAUUCAUAGUGUGUUUAUUUUUUGGAUUGGUGAAUCAAAAUUAUUGACAACGCUAACUUCAUCUUCAUUGUUCGCAAUCCAACAGCAGCAGCAAUUGUCACCAAUAAUGAUAUCUCCAAUGAUGAUGACAAUUAUUAUUAUUAUUAUUAUUAUUAUUAAUUUAUUAAUUAAUAUAUUAAUGUUAAUAAUAUUAUUAUUAAGAUUAACAAUAAUUAGUAGUAAUACAAUUUUUUGAAUAAAAAUAAUCACAAUAAUUAAAAUACAAAUUAAUAAUUAUGACAAUAGUUAAUUAAUGUCUUUUUAGUAAUUUGUAAUAAUCUAACUCAUUUUGAUUCUGAUUAUUACAGCUUAAGUAAACAAAUUAUUAUGAUUCCUAUUUUCCUUUCCUAUUUUAACUCACUUCGAUUCCAAUCUAUUCCAAUUUCUAUCUAAUAAAUGCACCAUUAGUGCUAAAGUAAUAUUUCAUACAUAGAAAAAUAAAAACUACACCUAAGGUUAAGGGAAAGGACUUCAAAACUCUCUUUUGAUCAUAAUACAUUUUGUCCUAAUUAACUUAAAGAUUUUGAAUCUAAUAUUUUAUAAUAAAUAAAAAUAUAUUCCUAAAAUAAAUAUAAUAUCAAUAUUUAAAAUAUGUUUUAAUAUUUUACAAUCUAUCAUACACAUUUUAUUAUAUUAAAGUAGAUUUUAUAAUAAAUACAAACGUACUAUUAAAAUUAAUAUAUAAAAAAUUUAGAAAAUUUAGAAUAUUAUAUAAAAUAAUUUUAAUAUAAUGCGUGAGAUAUAUUUUAUUAAUUUAAAAUUUUAUUUUACCUAAAAAUAUGAUAAAUUAAUAAUUACAUAUUUAAAGUUAUUUCAAAUAUUAAAAAAAUUUAAUAUUAUUAGUUUUUUAGAUAGAUUAAAUUAUUUUUAUAAGAGAUAGAUUAAAUUAUUUUAAAAUACCUUAAUUGUUUUUACUUUUAACGUUACCGGCCUUUCUUUUAUUUUAUUGUAAAUUAAUGCUAACAAGAAAAAGCUAGAUCAUAUUCCACAAAAGCAAAAGUGACAAACACAAUCAGCUGGAAUCUUUUAUAAAACUACAAAUUAAAAUGGUUUUUUUUUUUUUUUGAUAAAUUACAUAUAAAAGUGGAUUCUUUUGAAUAUAAGUGGGGUAGGCUCUUUUAUUUUUUUUUAAUACUGUAUAACAAGAUUGUAGACUCCUUGAUUAAGCACAAGUAUAAAGUAGUCGAGACGAUACUUUAUGCUAGGUGUCCAUUGAAUAUUAGAUCUUCAUUUCUUUGGCCAUUUAAUUUUUUCGAGAAAUUUUUCUUACGAUCCCGGCUAAGCUUGAAGAAAAGACAACUCAACGGUUUUUUUAAAACAAGUUUCCGUUUUGGUUGGUGAAAUGAAAACGAAAUAAAGCACUUCCAUCCAAAAAUCAUUCUUCUGGAGAAAGGGAUGACAGAUUAAAGAAAAGGGGUGUACUGAAAGGAGAAAAAAGGUUCUUGCAUGAGAGCUGGACACGUUAAAAGAAGUUGAACAAAUGUCUCAAAAAGAAGCUAUUUCGCUUUCAUACUAAAGCCUAUUUGUAAUAGCAUCAGCAAUGCUCCACUAUCCACAUUCUUGUGCGGAUAUCAUUGCAAUCUACUAAUGGUAUAUAAACAUGCAUGUUGUCCCAUGAUGAUUAAGUUAACACACACUUGGAGGUACUUAAAUUAUGCCAUAAAGAGAUAUAGUUAUUACGCAUACAAAUGUUAUUCAAUGGUUAAAAUGUAUGAUAAAGAAAUCGCUUGAAUUUUUUAUUUGCCGUUACGUAAUUUUUUUAUUGAUUCCGAGUUUGAAUCUUAAAAGAAAUAAAGGGUUAGAAAAUUAAUUUGAACUUUGUCCACUCUUUAACUUAAUGAGUAUAAAAACAGAAAAUGCAGGUAAUUUAAUUUUGACAUCUAACAUUUAAGAGAUAGAGCUUGAAAGAGUCCAAUAUUAAAUUAUAAAAUAAUUGAAAUAAAGUUUGCCCCAUAAGAAAAAUUGAACAAAAAAUCUUAAGUAUGAUAUGAUGCUAGAGAAAUUAUUUAUCUCAAAACUUUUAUUAGGUAAUUAAGUCCUAAGAAUAUGUAAUUACACAUGUAACAAAAAUUAGAGAUGAGGGUCUUUUAUUAAACUACAAAUUGUAUAGUCUUUUUAAAAUUGUUAUAAAUUGGUGGCCCCUACAAUCCUCAAUAAUUGUGCCGAUAUUCACAAGUUGGUGGCCCCUACAAUUAUCAACUGUGCAAGUGCUCAUUCACAAUCUUCCAGGUCAUGCUCUUAAUAAUUGUUUUUUUUUUCUGCAUUCCCUUUCAUGCUCUUAAUAAUUGAAGAGCAUACUUUUCAAAUAUGGAGCCGCAGCUAAUGUCGCUAAUUUAAUUUGGGAUUAAAUUAGGGGACCAUUAUGUUGCAGUGUGCACUAAUUUUUGUGUUUAUCUAAACUCCUUAAAUUUAAGACAUAUUACGGCAUAAAUAAGAAUAUAACAAUAACAAAAGAGUUAAAAAGUGUAGAGAAGAUCUUGCAGAAAUAUAAAUAAUAUCUAUUUUAAAAUAAUAUCAAUAUUUAAAAUAAUUUUUAAUAUUUUAUGAUCCAUUAGAUAUAUUUUAUUAUAUUAAAGUAAAUUUUAUAAUAAAUAAAACAUACUAAAUUUAGAGUAUUUUAAGUAUUAUAUAAAAUAAUUUUAAUAAAAUAUGUGAGAUAUUCAUAUUUUAUUAAUUUAAAAUACCAUUUAACCUAAAGAUUUAUUUAUGAUAAAUUAAUAAUUAUAUUUUUGAAAUUACUUCAAAUAUUAAAAAAAUUAAUAUUACUAAUCUAUUAGAUAGAUUAAAUUAUAUAUAUUAUUUUCUAUUUAUUAAAAAAUUUUAAAAUUAUUUUUAAUUACUAUUCAAAAAAUAUAAUGAUAAAAAAAAAUCUUAACAUCUUUAUUAAAAAUUUAAAAAUUUUCAUGAUCAAUUCUCUAAAUAUUUAGGGUAUAUGUGAACCACGGUGGAGAAGCUUUAUUUAAUAUUAUUGAUUUAAAUAAUAUGUGACAAAACAACUAGGUGGACUACAAAUUAAAGUGGAUUCUUUUGAAUACAAGUGGGACAGACGAUUAGGCUCUUUUUAAUUUUUAUUAAAGGCAAGUAAAAAGUAGUCGAAUAGUCUUUUUCAAAUUCUUGUUUUAUUGUUUUUCAAAACUAACAAGAAAAAGCGAGAUCAUAUUCCACCCCAAAAGCAAAAGUGACAAAACAACCAGCUGUAUUCUUUUAUUAAACUACAAAUUAAAAUGGAUUCUUUUGAAUACAAGUAGGACAGACGAUUAGGCUCUUUUUAUUAAACGCAAGUAAAAAGUAGUCGAAUAGUCUUUUUCAAAUUCUUGUUUUAUUAUUUUUCAAAAUUAGUUUUUGGUAAUUACUGUUUUUCCUUCAAAAGUUAGCGGUUCAUGUUUGCAAGUGUGAAUGUGCGAUGCUCUUUUCUUAAAGGCAAUUACAGUGGGGCCCGAAUGCCUAAAUCUUUUUAAAAUUUUUGCCGUAUAACGAACAGAGGUCAUUACUAAAAUUUCUCUUCCACAGCCUACAGCAGCUUCAGUUUAUCAAACUCAAUCAAUUUUCUUUCUUAACAAAAUUCCAAAGAUGUGUAGCAUUUUUCAGAUCGCAUGCGAUGGUGCUCUUUUCAAUCGUUGCUUGGAUUGCUUUCUUGGAAAAGCAGCAUACCUUCGUAACCUCCCAGAUAAUCUUGUAGACUUGGAGACUGAACUGGGAAGACUAAUCGCAGCAAAGAACGAUGUGAUGAUGAGGGUUGUCAAUGCUGAACGGCAACAAAUGAGAAGGCUGGGCCAAGUGGAAUGGUGGGUUUCGAGGGUGGAUGCUGUUAAAACUGGAGCCGAUGAACUUAUCACAGACGGCUCUGAAGAAAUUGGCGAAUUAUGUGUUGGAGGCUACUGUUCCAAGAACUGCAGGUCAAGCUACAAGUUCGGAAAACAAGUGGCUAAAAAGCUACAAGAUGUGAAGGCUUUAAUCGCCGAGGGAGUUUUUGAGGCGGUGGCUACUGAGGUGGUGCCCGAGAGAGCUCCGGAACCUGUAGCAGAUGAAAGACCCAUUGAGCGAACAGUAGUAGGCUUGCAAUCACAACUUGAACAAGUCUGGAGAUGUCUUGUAGAAGAAUCAGUGGGAAUCAUUGGCCUAUAUGGUAUGGGCGGUGUUGGUAAAACCACACUGUUGACCCAUAUCAACAAUAAAUUUCUUGAGAGUCCCACCAACUUUGAUUGUGUGAUUUGGGUCGUAGUUUCAAAAGACCUGCGACUUGAAAAAAUUCAAGACGAUAUUGGGAAGAAGAUAGGUCUGUCUGAUGAUUCAUGGAAGAAUAAAAGUUUUGAGGAGAAAGCUGUAGACAUCCUGCGGAGUUUAGGAGAGAAGAGAUUUGUAUUGUUGUUAGAUGAUUUAUGGGAGCGGGUUGAUUUAACAAAAGUGGGCGUUCCACUUCCCGGACCACAAAAUACUACCUCAAAAGUCGUAUUCGCAACCCGUUUCAUCGAUGUUUGUGGUAGCAUGGAAGCUGACAGGAAGUUCCUAGUGGCGUGCUUAUCAGAAAAGGAUGCUUGGGAACUGUUUCGAGAAAAAGUUGGGGAAGAAACUCUUCAGAGUCAUCAUGAUAUCGUUGAGCUAGCCCAAAUUGUGGCCAAAGAGUGUGGUGGUUUGCCACUCGCACUUAUUACUAUUGGUCGAGCUAUGGCCUGCAAAAGGACAGCCGAGGAGUGGAUACACGCAGUUGAAGUGCUAAGAAGAUCAGCUUUUGAGUUUGCAGGUUUGGGAAAAGAGGUGUAUCCUCUUUUAAAGUUUAGCUAUGAUAGUUUGCAGAAUGAGACGAUUAGAUCUUGUUUCUUAUAUUGUUGUUUAUAUCCCGAAGAUUAUGGAAUUCUUAAAUGGGACUUGAUUGAUUGUUGGAUUGGUGAGGGAUUCUUAGAGGAAUCUGACAGGUUUAGUGCAGAAAACCAAGGUUACUACAUUGUGGGCACUCUUAUUCAUGCGUGUUUACUAGAAGGGAUAGAAGAUGAUAGAGUAAAAAUGCAUGACGUUGUUCGUGAUAUGGCUCUAUGGAUAGCUUGUGAAAUUGAGGAGAGGAGACACUUUUUGGUUUGUGCAGGCGCUGGAUUAGAACAGGCACCGGCUGUUAGAGAAUCGGAAAAUGUGACAAGAUUGUCAUUGAUGCAAAACCAAAUUAAAAUUCUGUCGGAGGUUCCCACAUGCCCUGAUCUCCUCACUUUAUUUCUUGACUUUAAUGAGGAGUUGGAGAUGAUCGCGGAUGGCUUCUUCCAAUUUAUGCCUUCUCUCAAAGUUUUGAAGAUUUCAAACUGCGGGAAUUUUACUUUUCAAUUACCUUUGGGGAUGUCAAAGUUGGGUUCACUAGAACUUUUUGAUAUUUCACGCACCGAAAUACAAGAGUUACCAGAAGAGUUAAAGUUGUUGGUAAAUCUGAAAUGUUUGAAUUUGAGGUGGACAAGCAAGUUAAUUAGAAUUCCACGGCAACUAAUAUCAAAUUCUUCAGGGUUACGUGUGUUGAGAAUGUUCGCUACUGGCUAUGAAUGUUUUCAUGAAGCACCAGAAGACAGCGUUUUAUUUGGUGGGGGUGAAGUUUUAGUACAGGAAUUGCUCGGUUUGAAAUAUUUAGAGGUAUUGGAGUUGACCUUGGGAAGUUAUCAGGCUCUCCAAAUCUUUUUGAGCUCAAAUAAGUUAAAAAGUUGUAUUCGAUCUCUUUUCCUCCAGUUGGCCGGAGAUACAAAGUCGAUUAUUGAUGCUGCGGCUUUCGCAGAUCUAAACCACCUCAAUGAAUUAUAUAUUUAUGAAGGUAUUGAGUUGGAAGAAUUGAAGAUUGAUUAUACAGAGAUAGUACGAAAAAGGCGGGAACCUUUUGUUUUCCGCAGCCUUCACCGUGUUACCAUAUUUAGUUGCGGUAAAUUGAAAGAUGUGACAUUCCUCGUUUUUGCUCCAAACCUCAAGUCUCUUGAGCUAUUGCAAUGCGAUGCUAUGGAAGAAAUAAUCAGCGUCGGAGAAAUUGCUGAGACUCCUGAGAUGAUGGGACACAUAAGCCCUUUUGAAAAUCUCCAAAGUCUUCAUUUAUCGUAUUUACCAAUUUUGAGGAGCAUCUACUGGAAGCCAUUGCCUUUCACUCAUCUCAAAAAAAUGGAGGUACGUAGAUGCGAUCAGCUUAGAAGGCUUCCGCUCGAUUCCAACAGUGCAACAGAGCGUAAUGUUGUUAUUCGUGGAUACACACUCUGGUGGAACCGACUUCAAUGGGAGGAUGAAGCCACUCAAAUUGCUUUUCGUUCCUGUUUCCAACCUCGUUCCUGAGCAGUGGUCGCAAAAUUUGAUUUCUGGUGAGUGCGUUUGUCUUUUAAAAAGAAGAAUUUAAAAGAAAUUUAUUCUUGUCGUUUUCUUCACUGUUUUUAUUUGAUUUCUGGUUAGUUUCUUUCUCUCUCUCUCUCUCUUUGUCUUCUGCAAAUCACAAUUAAAUGUUGAAUUAAUGGAAUUGAUGCUCUGGUUUUUUACUUUUUGUUGUCAAAUUUUGCCCUGUUCUAUCUUCUUAGCGAUUUAAUUUCCUGUCAAAAGACGAGCGAGAAGAACAUAUAUAUGACUUAAACCAAUUGAUACUUUAUUUAUGUGCAUUGUAUGUAAUAAAUAUUAAGUAUACUUUAUUUUUGCCCUGUUCUCUGUUUUUAUUUCAGUCUCUCUCUCUCUUUCCUGUCUUCUGCAAAAUAUAAUCAAUUAUUUUCAAAAUAUCAUUGAUGAUUUUUCUGCUCUAAUGCUAUGUAAAUAGUAUGUUAAGUAAAACAUAAUCAAUUAUUUGUGUUUUAUCUCUAAUUAGAACAUCAAUCAGUUCAGUACCUCACAAAUAAUUCGCAAUAUCUACAAAAUACUAUAAUGGCUACAAAACAAAUCCUGCUUGCAAAUUGUCAAGGAUACCUAUCCGUUCGCUUGACAAGUCAUUUGAAUAAAUAUUGUUCACAUUCCUUACUCUAUCAAUUAUCCAAAGCACCAUCAAUGGUCCUCAACUUUAGUUUGAAUAGUAUACAUGCCAUCACCAUUACCAAGAAUCAAGCAUGGAAGAGUCAUUCUAUAGAGUUAAUCGAAGCAAGGAAUGAUGUAUCAGAAAAUAUUUGGUGGAGAAUUCAGCACAAACAUAUUUUGGAUGAUCAGAAUCAAUAAAACCUGGUGGUUGCGCCAUAUAAACAUCUUCGGAAAGCUGACCUUGAAGAAAGGCGUUAUUGAUAUCCAAUUGACGAAGAGGCCAGCCAUGACUAACAUCAAUACUAAGAACAAGCCGUACUGUGGUGGACUUAACAACUGGACUGAAAGUGUCAUAAUAGUCCACACCAGGCCAUUGAUUGAACCCUUUGGCAACAAGAUGAGCUUUAAACCUGUCAACAGAACCGUUGGAAUGUCUUUUAAUACAAAAAUCCAUUUGCAGCCAACAAUAUUGGAAGGGAUGGGAGGUGGAACAAGCUUCCAUGUCCCGUUACGAACAAGAGCAUCAUACUCUUCUGACAUAGCUGGACGCCAGUGAAGAUUUUUGAUAGCUUGCGUCACAGUUGUAGGUUCACAAUCAGAAGAAGGGCUAAAAUGAGCACGGAGGUUAAGUUUUUGUAACGGCUUGUGAAUCUUAUUUUUAGCUCGGGUAGUCAUAUCAUGAUGACUUGUGGGGCAAUGAUCUAGUGGAGUUUAGGAAGAUGAUUGAACAGGAAGUGAAGAAGUGCUUUGUGUAGAGGUAGAAGUAGGUUGGGAGGAUUGCUGCGGAGAUGUUACCGGUAGAGAAGAAGGAGCAGUACACGGUGGCAACUCCAGAGGGCCCACAAUAGAUGGAGUAGGUGCCGACAAUGGAGUACUAGGAAAUGAAACAGGAAGAAUUGGUGGAACACUUGCGUAAUUAGGAGUGGUAGAUGAGCUUGUAAUGAUUUGUAUGGAAAAACAAACUCUACAAAUUUAACGUGACGUGAAAUAAAAAUUCAACCCGAUUGCAUAUUUAAGAACAUCUCAAAUGAAUUGCUUACUGCUAUCAUCAUCAUUAUUGUCUAUAUAAUAAUGGAUCUUUAUUAUAUAUAUGUUUCCACUAAAAUAUAUUUAAUUAUUCUUUAUUUUUCUAUUGUUGCGUGUAAGAUUUAUUUGAGUUCUAAGUUAUAUCAAUACAAAUGUUAUCUUAUCCAUAAAAAGUUAGAUCCAACAAUUAUGAAAAUUACUAUAGAGUUGCUUUCAAUUAUUUUUUUAAAAUACCAGGAGUAAAUAAUAAUUAGUUCAAAUGGUGGAGACUAAAAUGCGUUCACCUUUAUUUUUUAUCUGUUAUUUACUUUUGUCAUUACAUUAAUGCACAUGCUAUACAUUUGAGACAUUCCAUUAAUUGCCAAUUAUGUAUGUGAGAUAGUAAUUUAAAUUAAAAAAUAAAAGUGAAAGUUAAUCCUAUGCAAUGUGAAUAAAUUUCUUUCCUUUUUCCUUUACUCUUUUUAUUUGACAAUAAAGUUUCCAUCUAUCAUCUAUCAUCUAUGUACACAAAAUUUCUGCAACAAGUACAAAACAUAAAAAUAUAUGAAUAUUAAGGGAAACACGCAGAAGUUCAUCAUUUCAAUGUUCAGUAUUACCAAUUUUGGCAUUAAGCUUGUACGAAUAUAUUCUACUUCGAAAGCAAAAUAUUAGACUCGUGAUUUUAAUUCAUUCAUUAUCUCUCAUUUUAAUCCCAAAAUAUUCAAGAGUAUCCAAGUUACCAUAAGACUUCAGAGGCUCGAGCCUUAGCCAGAGAUGGUUAAUUGAUAGACUAUGUGCCUGGGUCGAGCACUGGAAGCCUGCAAUGCAGACUGAUUGAUUUAUCAGUUUAACGUGUGCCAGGAAUGAAGAACUGGAAUAUCACCGUCAAGCAAGCACCCUGUGGAGCAAUACCAAAGAAUGCACAAUCUGGCUUUGCUAGGUGACCCUGGAGGCUUUUUGAAAAGUGCUUCAUGCUCACUUGCACAGAUUGAGCAUCCCCUCUGGAUAUUGCCCUCUCUGAUCGAGUCUGAGCACUCAAAUUUCGGUCCUCAGAUGGAGCUACAGCUUUCUCUCCAAUAACCAACAAUUUUCUAAACUCAGCACCUAGUGUGAUCAGAGUUGUUGAUAUUUGCAAAUGGAGAUCCCCAUAUUUGCAAAUGGAGACAUUUAACAAAUCACCAACAUGCUUCAUCCGGUCCACGAAAUUCUGCAACUGAUUCAAAUCUGGAACCUGAACCAGAGUCGGAGGUAUAUCUUGAGCCAUAUCUAAAGCAGUUUGAAGUUCAAGACCUUGAGCCCUUGACAAUGGUUUUGAAAUUGGAACAUCUUGGAUUACUGCAGACUUGUACCCCUUGGUUUCAAAGGUAAGGAAAGGCAUUGCUUGAGUACAAUUUGGAGGCAGCUUCUUCACCAAUUUUAUUUGGAGGCAAUUGGCAGCGGAUCCAGCUGCACCAAUUUCAGAGCAACUACUGACACUACUUCGAACAGCACACUGACGAAGUGAUAUGUCUACGGCAAAGGCAAUGCAGUCCUCAUUUUGGCUUGAGAUGCAGUAAUCAUCGAAGAGAGUUUCCUUGUGAAACUGGGCAACACAUUGAAUCCCUUCGCCACUGAGAAGGUUGUGGAGGAAGUAAGCUGUCUCUCUAGUGAGGAAGAGGUGGCAUACCUUCCCCAUUUUGUCUAGGGCAGGUAGGAAUCUUUUUUCUAAGAGAUUUACUUCAUUCUCUGUGAGAAAUGCUUUGAACUUCAUCCCUCUGUCUCUAUCCUCACUUAUCAGGAAAUAAGUUGAAAGCACUAUGAAGAGAGAGAGAGAGAGAGAGAGAAUUAAGAUAUAUAGACAAGAAAAUAAUUAGACGUUGAUCUUACAAACUAAUACUUCAAGCAGUAUCCUAGAAAGCUAAAAACUGCAAGAUGGCUUGAAAUUUGAAAAGAGCACAUGGUUUUCCUCCUUAACUUGAGAAAAUGUUUAAUAUAGUGCACCUUACAGAAGCAUUUAAGCAAUUAGAACUUUGCACAAAAACAUCAAGAAGACUAAACAAAUCAGAUGCAGUGUAUUUGUCCAAGCACAAAUUGCAUUUUGUCCUCAACUUUAAUAUUUAUUGAUGAGAAUCAAUACAGGUCCCUCAUUUGUUAUAGAAAGCUUUCUUGUAGUCUCACCAGUUAAUUCACAGGUCUAUAAUCAUCUUGCAAAGUUAAGGGCAUUUCUUUCGAUCUAAAGUCUUUGCAUCACCACCUCAUCACACGCCAAGCCAAUAUUCCAUUUACCUCUACAACAAAAAGUUUUUAAGUAAAUAAUCCUAAUGCACGCAGCCGAAUAAAAUGCAGUAAGAAUAUUCAACUUAAAAAUCUGAAAGCCAACUUGGUGAAUUGCCUCCUUAGGUGAAGUUCCAUGCUUUACUAUAGUUGACAGAACUCAGCAAAAGCUUCCAUACAACAGAUUUUGAAAAUGAUGAUGCCAAUAGAUACUCAUUCAAUCCAUUGAAACUCCAAAGGUUCAUUGUUCAUAGAAGUUUACAGAGUUUUGGUCAUCAAAUAGCUCAGACCUAAUCCCAAACAAAAAACGAGUGAAAAUUAGAUCACGAGCAGCUAAUUGUAAAUUCUAACUUAACUCUUCAUCUCCUUUGUAAACAAGAAACAAAAUGGAGACACGCAAAAUGAAUAUGGAGAAAAUUUGAACUCAAAUGAAAUGAGGGCACGAAAGCAAACAAAUGGCAUGCACAAAAAAACCAAGCCUCGAUAAAAAACUAAUUAACCAUUAAGAAAAAAAUUGGUCAGAGAAUGAACUCCAAAUUCAGGAGUCAAGCAAGAAGCUUUCAUUAUUUCAGAAGCUCCUGUACAAAUUAAUAAGUUAUGCUCUUUGGAAGCAAACCUAAAUUCCAAGAGAAACAGAACCCAAAAAAUUUGCAAUUAUACGCAAAGGAAGUGAAGCACAGGAUUCUAUCACACAUAGGAAUUGUAUAACAAGAGAUCGAUAUAUCGAAUUAGAAAACUCAAUUCGAAUUUGUGUCAAAAAUCAAAAUUAGAAGAUUUCACAUUUCGAGAGGAACAAGCAACAGAUGAAGUUCAAAAUUUCAGCCAUAACAUGCUAAAAAUGCUACACUUAACGGUUCAUUUUCAUGGAUUUUCUCGGGAAACAAACAGAAAAUUACGGUUUAGAGAGUUGACUGACCUUUUGGCUUUUGAAAUUGACCAGAUCGCGCGCCAAAUUGGAAGAGGGAAAGUGAAAGCGCGAGUUUUAAUAUGGGUAUUAGAUAAGGAAAUUUUAUUAGGUUGCGAGGGUAAAAAAGGAAAGAGAUAUCAUUAUUUUAUUAUCGAUAAUUAUUAAAUUUUUUUCCAAAAAAAAGAACAAGCAAGGAUUUUUUAUUGUCAUCACUAAGUUAAAAAAAAUUGUUUCAAAAUUACUUGAGUCAUAUCCAAUGGACCAACAAAGUAAUCGUUUUUAUUUUUAUUGAUUUUUGCAGGAAAUUAAUAACUUAAAAAUACUGAAAGCUACUGUAAAAAUUUUUAUUAUCAACCUCAUAAUUUUUUUUUUUUGGGGAAGAGAAUUCAAACUUUUUUUUUAUGAAUAUCGCUGUUUCGUUUGAGUUGGAUGUGAAUUCAAAUCCAAAUAUUCUUUGUUUUUCAAUUUUGAACUCAAUUUCUUUUUCUCAAGAAUGUUAUGCAGAAAUAAUUUUUACUAAAUCUUUUUUGAUGAAUUGUUUAAAUUAAACAAUUGGAAUAAGAAUUGUAACGAUUUAUCAUAAGCGUGCUAAUAUGAUAACUUGUUUUACGAAGGAUUAAUUAAUCAAUUAAUAUUAAAUUAUAUAUUAGUCAAUUAGAUAUGUGUUACAUUUAUCAUGUUUUGUAGGUGAUAGUACAUCAUUUCUAAAAGAAUAUAGUACGUUAAAAUAUUAUUUUAAUGAAGAAAAUUUUAUUAUUUUAUUAUUAGGUGACACAAUAAUAAAUGGAUUUCUGUAAGAAUUGAGAUUCUUGAUAUAAUUAUUACAUAAGGAGAAGUUUAGUUGGUUCAAUUUUGACGUGAUAAGAAGACAACACAGCACAGAAAACCCAAAUUGCCACUUCCACUAAUAAAAGAUACCUGUUUGAAAAGUAAUUAUAAACUAUCUUCUUUGUGUUAUUUCUCAAAACUUUUGUGGCACAAAUGUUAUUUCCAUUGACAACAGUACGAAAUACCACCCCUUUCACUUGAGCAGGAGCAAAGCAAAGGUAUGAUGAGCUAUCUCUGUAUAAUUGAAACGCCAUUACUAAACGAUUCUUGAUGAUGGGAGCCACCGUGCCAGCUUUGUCGCUGAUUUGCAUGAUUUAUUAGUUGUCCAGAUGGCGGAUUUUGUACUGUUACCUUCGUUUCAUUCUUCAGAGCCAUGUACUGUUCUAGGAUACCAGAGAAACCAAGGUGGCAUUGAAGUUGCCCUGGUGGUUAGUUUUCCGAUCAUUUUUUUAUUCAAUUAUUUAUGUUUUUAGAAAAAUGUAGGAAAUAUGUAGAAAUGUUGACAGCUAUGAUUUUGAAACUUUUGCCUAAAAUUGUUAUCAUUACUUGUUGUUUCUUAUUUAAAGAGAAAUUCUAGAAACAUGAAAUGAUUAUUCUACGCUUGUUUUAAUAUUGUGCUAUGAAGAUUACGAAGGUUUGAUUAUAUGUCACUAUCAAUUGCCUUAAUCGUUUGUCGUAAAUCAAUUAAGCAUUUUGAUGCGAAUGAUUCCCUAUUAAAAAAUUCAAGUCAGAGCUGAAUUGCAAAGUAGUUAGUCGUGCUUGCAAUUCAAAUUAAGUAUUGUAUUUUCUCCCUGAUUUGGUUGAUUCAACUAUGUGCAUUUGCUUAUGAACGUUGCAGUAUAGAAAUCGAAAUAUCUUGUCUUUUGCUAAGCCCAGAAGCAAAUUCUUUGUAUUCUACUCAUCAGUUUUCUUCAUUCUCUUUGUUGAAAUUUUAUCUAAACAGCGGUUUCUUCGAAUUUAUGCCUUCGCUUACUCUUUUAAAUUUUAUCCAAACAACGGUUUUGAAAUUGUUUUCACUACAAUACCUUAGUCUUUCAGAUGCUCCCGUCACUGAGUUGCCAGAAGAGCUAAAAGCCUUGGUAAAUCUUAAGUGUUUGAACCGGAGUACACAAAUUAUCUCUCUACAUUUCCAAAGCAAUUGAUUUGUUACUUUUCGAUGCUACAUGUUCCGCGAAUAUUCAGUUGUGGUUAUCUUGUUCAGAUACCAGAAAAUAGCGUUAUAUUUAGUGGUAAUGAAUUCUUGGUUUGGGAGUUGCUUAGUUUAAAACGUUUAAAUGUAUUAAGCAUCAUCUUGAAAAGUUUUUCUGCUGUCCAAAAACUUAUGAGCUUCCAAAAGUUUCAAAGCUGUACACAAUGCAUGGAGCUUGUAGACUGUGAUGAUCCAAAGUCAUUUGCCGUGGCAGAGUUGAAGCAUCUUGAAAAACUAGGUUUUUCAAGUUGUGGAAAUUUGGAAGAGUUAAAGUUCUGCUGUGUCGAAGUUGCAAAGGCUCGAGAAUGUUUUCGUUUGAACAGCCCUCACUGAGUUAAGAUGAAGGCUUGUCAUAAAUUGUGGGAAGCGACAGGUUAUUCAAAUAGAAAAAUUUAUGGAGAUGGAUGUUAAUCUUAAGGUUAUUCAAUUAGAAAAAUUUGAAUAAAAUUUAUGGUAAGUGCUUUUCCAUUUAUUGCAUAUUUAUAUCUAAUUUUUAUUUUCCUUUAUUGUUAAAUUUUGGUCUCUAUUUGUUGUUGUAUGGUGGCAUUCUUGUACAAUUAUUAGCUUUUCAUUUCUCUUCUCACAUUAACUGCCCUUCUGAUCAUGUAGGAUUUGCUGAUGCAAAGAGUCAUAAUUUGGGAUACAAAUGUAAGAAUUAGACAGAUGACAUGUUGUUUUGAAGCUCUCAAAGAAGGACUAAUUAUGUCAUUGAAAGCCUCCAAUUUUGUGAUUGGUUUCUUUUUAUUUUAUUUGUUGUUUUCUCUAUUUUCAGAUCACUUAAUUGUUAGUUGUUGUAAUGUAAUGUUUUAGUAUAGCAAAUUAUAUUCGGCCAAGACAGUGAUAGGAGGGCACAUUGUGCAUGCACACUAGUGGAUUUGGCAUGCCAAAUCCAAUUAGGAUGGAUAACACUUUAUAAGCAUUAGGCUUCUCUCAUACCUGAGUAAUAUAGAAUAUGUUUAUAAGUUGUGAAUCACCCUUUACAAGUGUUAGGCUUCUGCUAUACUCAGUGAUGUGAAAUAUAUUUAUAAGCACUAAACUUCUCCCAUACACUUUAUGUUAAUAAUAAUAAUAAUAAUAAUAAUAAUAAUAAUAAAAUAAUAAUAAAUAAACCCAUUUUAACAGACUCUUUUUUCUUUUUCUAUAUGAACAAAUGCAUUCUUCAAAGCAACUGUGGGGAGAAGAAGUGAGUAGAGAAGAACUGAGCCCCUGUCAUUCCCCUAAAACCUCACCAAAACCUCUCUUGUAAGCUUCUCGGAUUUUCUUUCUAUAUUUCUUAGGAACUCAUUUUUUAUUGAAUCACUUAUUUUGCAUGCUGCAUUUUUUGGUUGUCGUAUUUGUGUAUUAUCUUAUCUGGAAUGCUGUUAUGAUUGAUGGAACAAGUAAUCGAUUUUUGGUCUAAUGGAAGUUGAUUUAUUUAUUUAUUGUUGUUUUUAUUUGAAAUUAUGUACAAUUGUAUUUCAUUCAUUUCUCUCUCUUUUGCUUUUUUCCCCCCAUAUAUUUGUUAUGUAUAAUUGCGUUUCAUUUAAUAUUGAUCAUACUGUAGGUAACCAUGUGAUUGUAGAUGGGGAUUUCGAGUUUGUUGAAUAUUCAUGUAAGUGAAGUAACCGUCACAAUACUAGUGAAAUUGGGAGCUUUAUUCAUGAGUUUGUGGUUUUGAAAAGUACCACAGUUCAACUGGUGAAGGCUCCGUUUUGGGAUUCUUCUUUUUCUAGGCUGCAAUUAGGAUAUGUACAUGAUAGACAAUCUUUUGUUGGUUUAGCAUAUCUUCGCUGAUUUUGUCUUUUAUUCCCCAAUUUUAUAAUUACACACCAUGAAUGUUGGGUGAUUGUAUAGAAAAUUUGUGUUAUAACAAAAACAUUGUGAAGGAGUUUCCGUGCUAAUAGUUAGUGGCUUCUGUUUUAUUGGCAUUGAUUGGGUAGAUUACGUGUUACAGUGAUUCAAUUUGUGUUCCAAACUUUGCUUUAAUUUUCUGUUUUCCCCAACUAUUUAUGUCAAAUUUAAAUCCAGAAGCAUGUGCUGAUUUUUUCUUUUUGUAUUAAUCUGUGAAGUUUAUUUGGAAUGGAAGUAACUGGGUCGGGUCUAAUGGAUUAAAUUAUGACAUUGAGGGGAAGGCACUAAAAGGGUUUGCUUGACACAUUUGGUUCUGUGUUUACUCUGCAAGAAAUAACUUUUGCUUAUUGCAAUGCAGGGGGAAAUCCCGAUUUGGCUGGUGAAUUUCUCUGCAACAAACAGGCAAACACCUCAACAUCUUCUGUCCAUACUUCUGCUGGGGAGGCAAGGGGUAAAGAGUCUUCAAAAUCAUCAAAUAGUUACAUCUCUGAGAAUUCAUUUUAUGGAAAUGGAAAAUCUAGAGUUUCUAAUACAAAAUGGCAUCUGGUAUCAGGACGUACCGUUUCAAGUUUUCUUGGUAAAGAUUAUGUUAAACCUGCACAGCCAGCUAAUGGCACUUUUCUGGCAUCAAAGCCAUUGAAGUUGGAUCCAAGGGAGUUUCGCAUUUCUGCACUUUCAGAGAAGAAACUAAACCGACAAUCAAAGGAUGACCAUUUGCAGAAGGAUAUGGAAGAUUUUCUUUUUAAAUUGCUAGGAGAAGGGUUCCAGCUGUACAGGGAUGUGAUUCAGGAGGUUCAUGGUAACGUCUUAAAUAUAUUGAUGCCAAUUUAAUACAUAUUGUCCUUUUCAAUGUUCUUUCUUUCUUUCUCCUCUUUUUAUUAUUCUUCUUCUUCUUUUUUCUUUUCAUGUGCAUGUGAUCACUAAUUUGGUAUUAUUCUUGACUUGCAGAUAGUUGUGGAUAUGAAAUGCAAAAGGUAAGGGCUAUAUCUUCUUGAUGGAGGCCUCUGAUUUUUUAAAUCGCAUUUUCCUUUGUGAUUGAUAUAUCAUACCAAAGUCAAGUCUUAAAUACUGCUGUCAUAUGUUAAGGUUCAACUUCCAUUUUGAUUAACGUCGAUUUGCUACUGCUUCCAAAAGUGAGAAUGAGAUACUUUGGUUAAUUUCAGUAGUUGAACUCAAUGGAGUACUUUAUUUAGAUCUUCAUGGUUCAAAGGCCUGAAAAAACUUGCCGGUAUUUGCAAAAUGACAUCUGUGCUUUUAUUUAGACUUAUUAUUAAAGACAACAUUUUAUUUCAGCCAAAAAUGUUUGUUUCAAUUAAAGACUUGAACCAUUUUCAUUUAACCUGAUUGUGAUGCUUUACAUUAUGCAUGUUCCUCUCAAUCAAUAAAAGUUGAGGUCAUGAUUUUAUAUUUCUAUUUUGUAACUUGAAAUAAUUGGUCUGCCUGUUUCUGUUGCUUGAUAACAUGAAUUUUUCCUUCUGAAGUUAAUUUGAUCAAUAAAGUAAUUCUUCGGAGAGGAUAUGCCCAUUCUAUAGUCAUUUUCUUAGCUAACAUGUUUUUUCUUCACUCUUCAAAGCAUGUCUAAACUAAUUGAUCGCUCAGCGGAGACUUUGGGUGAGAAGACAAAAUUUCUUGGUAAAUCCUCUGAAAAGGUAUGCAUAAUUCCCGAGUAUUAAAUAAUCAUUGGUCAUAAUUUUUGUACACGACUCUUGUUUUGGAGAUCGUUAAAAGUGGUUGAUGAUCUAUUUUGUAAUAUCAUAGAGGGAUCAUGAAUUCCUUUUCUUUUCUGUGGCUAGGCAACACUUUCGAGCCAAGCUAAGGAAAUCUAUUUUAGGUAAUGUGAAAACUAGUUGUAGGAUGUAAUAGUUUAUUAUGCCCUGACAAUAACUUUUUGUAUAAUUGUCAGUUUAAUGAAUACAAGAGGAACUCUGUUGGCAAGUUCAUCCAUGAUAGAUGCUAAAAUUAUUUAUGCAUACCAGUUGCCUUAACUAAUUUUUCUCAACACUGGUAUUGAACAGGAAAAUGAAUAUGCAAUUUGUAUAUUGUGCCAUUGUGGAGAAUUUGGAUAUUCUUAUUUAAGUAACAAGGAGAGUAUUUGCCUCAUCUUUAAACAAUGAAUCUUUGAGAAAUGAGGAGUGGGUGAUUGACAGUGUCUUCAUGUAAAUGUUCAUUUAUUUGUAUUUUGAACUAUUAUGAGAAUCUUUGUAUGCCAAAUUAGUAAUACAAAUGUUCAGAUGAUUUUUCCUGUUGAUCAUGCGUGUGUAUCUGCACACAACCAUUGUGUACCACUUUAUUCUGAUGCACAAAUAUCUGUAGUUUAGAAGAAAAGAAAUAAUAAUCAUAUAUUAUUGCUUGGUUCAUGAUUAUUAAAUGAUUAUGGCUUUAGAAAAUCCACAAAUCCUUUGUGUUCAUAUAUGAAUGUGCGAAGUUCGCUAUAUCUUAGAUUACCUUCUUCCAAGAUAACAAGUUCAUAUAUUUUUUUUAAUCCUUUUUCAUCACAGUUGAAUUUCAAGUGUAAGUUUUGUUAUUAAUAGCUGGUUUCCUGUUAUUAUGAUUUCAUAAACAAUGAGAGGAUAUGUGCUCUACUUUUGGAUGGCCUCCACAUAAAAGAAAAUUGCAACAAUUGAAUUCUUCUGGAGGGUAUGGUAUUUAAUUUAUUUUCUCAGCUUGUUGUAAGACUAAUAUAUUUCCUUCAGUACGCACGGCAUGGUGGGAAGGGUUUUUAUUGAAAGAAUUAUGAUAUUUCUUAGACUUUGUUUUGGAAGGGGGUGGAGGGAUUUCUCAUCCAUGUAUGGUUACUUGAUUAGCUUUUGACUGUACUGUCUCCGUCGUGCAAAGGAAAAUCCAAAUACUAACGAAGGGGAAUUGCUUAGGCACCCAAAGGACAGAAAUGAAUUACGGAAGGAGGUUUUUGCUGCUUUAUUUAGUGCUGCUGAGAAAUCUGAUGAAUUUCCUGAAAUUACGGUGAAGACGGAGUGGAGGUCCAACGCAUUAGGAAAGGUGGUGAGUGAACCGCCAGAGGAAUUAGUACCAGAAUACAAGGCUAAUGUGGUGCACUGGCAGCAAGAUGACCAGACCUGUAUGUGCUCUUAUAUUAACUAUAUUGGCUGGAUUUGUGAGUGUGUUCAUUUUUGUGUGUAUACUCACUUUUGUAUUUAUGCAUAUUCACGUGUGUAGGAUUCUCGAUUUCUGCCACUUACUGGAGAACUAGUGGAAAGCUUUAUACUGAUAUAUGUGCUAUAUAACUAAUGGAAACUACAAUAUGAAUAUUUUCUCUCACCUGGAGAGCAGUGUAACUAAUAUAAUUUGUGGCUCUGGAAUACUGAAGAUUCUGCAAUAACUAAUGGAAAAUAUGAUAUGAAUAUUUUUUCUCACCUGGAGAACUUUGUAACAGAUACAUUUUGUGCUGGAAUGUCUAAAGAAUGCUUCAGUUUAUAUCAAAUAUCUUUUAGUUAGAAAAGAUAAAAUUCUCUGAAUCUGAAAGACUGAAACAUUUUGCAUAUUUCGUGAAAGGCAAGUAUCUGUAGAUACUAGCUCAUGCAUUGAGGUAAUAUCAAUGUUAAAGAAAAACAGCAAUAAUUUAUUAUACAGAAUUAGGUUCACUUGCUUUAAAUGCUGGUCUGAUCAACCAUAUCAACCUGUAAUGGUCCUGCAGAAAUAUAUAUACGGGGAGAAACUAGCUAAUUUUCCUUUCACUUAUGGGUUUGGUCUUUUUUUCCCCAAUUUUUCAGCUUUCCUUCUCCUGAAGUAUGUUAAUAAUUGCAGAUAAUGGCGAAGAGGACUGCUUCCAGGCUACCGGCAAAAACUUUGUGAAAGCUUUGGAGUUAAACAGGGAAUUCACUUACUGCUAAGGACAAUUGGUGGCGAGCUAUUUCAUUCAUUUUAUGUCCAUACAUCUAUUUAAUUAUUAAAGAUAAUGUACGCAUUUGUAAAUUUCAGAUUGUGUGUCUCUGAAAAUAACAAUAUUUAAAAUGUCUCUUAAAUUAUUAUAAAUUUUAAUUUACUCUCGAUUUAAAAUGGAACAUGUUGGUGAAAUAUUUUUUCUUCUUAAUAAAAUUGAAAUAAAUUAUGUUAGCAGUAGUUUGAAAUAUUUUAAAGAUGAUUAUUUUAUAAGGGAGUAAUAUGAAAUGAAAUUUACUUUUCAUGCGUGAAAUGUUGAAAAAGGACAAAGCAAGUGUCCCUGCUUUUAUUUUAUUUCAAAGUGGAGUCAUCUCACAUACUUUAGCUCUAUCAUUAGGAGCCGGCUAAGUUACGUUAAACGUAAUUUACGCCAGGCACAGCAAUAAUGACAAGUCCCAUGACUAGUAUUGUUGCUGUGUCUGACGUAAGUUACGUUUAACGUAACUUAGCCAAAGCCCUAUCAUUAAUAUAUAUUUAAAUUUAACACAUGCAUGUGGGUUACUUUUCCGUAAGUUCCUUAAUAUAUAUUUAACACAAAUCAUGGAAGAGAUGGGAGUAUAUCAAGAUGAUCAAAGCAUGAAACAAAAAUAUUUAAGAAGUAAAACACUGAAAAUGGAGAAGAGAUGCAAGCAAAAGAUAUUCUAAAGAAAAGCAAUCUAUCCCCUUUCGAGGGCAAACUUAUCAGGUUUAAGAAAAGUACAUGCUUUGGAUUGGUAGUUGCAGCCUUGCAGGAUAAUUGUUUUUGCCACUAUAUUAGUUGGAGGAGUUGAACCCAGUGAAGAAUGUUAUGGAAGAGCAAAUGAUAUUUCUGAUAGACUCUAUUUGAUUAUGUAGCCUGAAUAGAUGUCUUGUUGAAAGAUAUAUCAGUGCAUUAGUUCAUCCUUGUCUGUCAAUGUGUUUUUAAUGGUUUUUCCAAUUGUUUUUUUUUUUUUUGAAACUGAUUAAGCAUCAGGUUACUGCAUUACACAGAUAUAUAUACAACUGCUAUGACAGCAGGUCAUUACACUGAUAUUUACAAUCAGAUAUAUAUACAUGGGACUUAUAUUAUUACAUUUUUAUUCUAUGAAGUACAUGCCCAUCCCAAAUACCCCUCACGGAGGAGGGAUGUCUCUACUCCACUCGCAUUUCGCAAGGGAGAAAGACGUUUAUAGAAAUCUCCACACAAUUAUGUUUAAUUGGAGGAGGUUGAGUCCGUGGGGACUCGAACCAUUGCCCUCAAAGUCAUGCUUAACUUUGAGGGCAAUGGUCCACCACUGGGCUACAAGCCCAAGUGGCGGUUUUUCCAAUUGUUUAUUGCUAUAGAUUGAUUGUAAAUUGAUGUGAACUUAAUGUUGAAAUAUUUUCUCUUUAGUGGAAUGAAAGUUAAACAUUCAAGAUUAGAUUAUUCAAGGUCCACAUAGUAUGUGUUCCGUUGUGUUGUCUGUAAUUUUGCAUUUAAAUAAAUUUGAGUGCUGCCGUUUCGCUCCCACAAUCUCUCGCCUUUUUUUAAUUUUAAAAAUUAAAAUAUUAAUAAAAAACAAUAAAGAAAAUCGAAUCCUUUAUGUCAUUCCAUCUUUACAACUCUCUCUCACAAACUCCAUCUAACAGACUUCUCUCUUACUAUCUCGGUCGAACAAGACCAGUGACAAUGAUGACACGACCGCCGACGAUGAGAUGGUCAUCGCUAAAGAAUCGGGCCGUGUAUUUUACAAUUUCUUGGUUUGUGACAACAAUGGAAAACUCCUGAAAAUUUUGAAUUUGUAGUCGAGCAAAGGAAGAAGCAAGUUAUCUUCAAAGCAUUUUCCAGUAAUAGCUGAUGAAAUUUAAUACUUCAAGCUGGCCCUUUGCUGUCACAACUAGAUGCAUUUGCACUGUCAUUACAAUUUAUGGAAAUUAAAGUAAUUAAUGGUUCUAAUUAAUAGCUUCCCAAAAAACCAAUCUGCCCUUGUGAGAACCAAAGCAUUAAUUUCUUGUAAGAGCUGCAGAAGGCCAGAGAAUUUCAGAUCGUGAAAAGGAGUGUGUGAGUGAGAGAGAGAUCGUGAAAUAGUGAGAGACAAUGAGAGAGAGAGCCGCUCGACUGAGAUGGUGAGAGAGUUGCAAAAAUGGAGUAAGGAGCAGAUAAGAUUAUGUUUUCUUUAUUAUUUUUUAUUAAUAUUUUAAUUUUUUUAAUUAAAAAAGGGCGAGAGAUUUUGGGAGUGAAACGGCAGCAUGUUCCAAUAAAUUUUUACCAAAGUUUCUCUCGUGUUUCUCUCACCUUUCUAGAUACCAAGCAUUUUCCAAUAAAUUUUUACUAAAAACUUAGCAAGCCCUUGAAACUUUGGUCAAAAUUAUUGUUAUUAUUACUUUUAGAGGAAAAACUUUUAUUAAAACCUCAUUAACACAAUUCUUAAUUAAAAUUAUAAGUUUGUGUUGGUGUAAGGAUUUGCAGGAGCAAUUACUGCCUAGCCAAGUGUCAAAAGCACAAAAUAAAUCAAGAGAAAGUAGACAUGAAUUAGGAUCCAAUGAAAUUUAAAUCCCGGAGAAAAGAAAUAAUCAUGCAGAUUAUCAAGAUUUCAAUAAGGGAUAUUGAUAUCCUAUUUUGAUUAAUAAUAUCCUUUUACUGUGUUAACUCAAAAAAUAUGUAUAUUCUAAUAUUUUACAAUAAAUAGAAAUCUAAUAUUAAAAUAAAUGUGAUAUAUAUAUAUAUAUAUUAAAUAAUUUAAAUAUAAAAAAUAUUUUAAUGUUUUACAAUCUACUACACAUAUUUUAUUAAGUUAAUAUAAUUUUUCAAAUAAAUAGGGACAUAAUAUUAAAAUAAAUUUAUAAAAAUUUAAAUUAUUUUGAAUUUAAAAUAAUUUUAAUAUUAUUAAUAUGUUAGAUAUGUUUGAUUAAUUAUAAAAAUUAUUUACGCAAAUUUUUUUAAUAUUUUCAGUAGAUAUAAAUAUAUUACUUACAUUUUGAUUAUUUAACUAUUAUUAUUCUACAAUUAUUUAUAUAAUGUUUGCACUUAUUAGAAUAUAUUUAAAGUCAAAUCUUUUGCACUUCUACCUAGCUAGAAUUAUUGGACGCAGAGAAAUAAGCAUAUAUGCUUUAUAACUUUAGAAAUCGAAUUAUCUAUACAAAUUGAUUUUAGCUGGAAAAAAAGUGAGCUGAAUGAUAUAGGCGAUUAGUGUGGUAAUAUUUCAUAGAGUUAGACUAUUGAAUUUGGCACCCCUCCAAUCUUCUCAUGAUUACCUUUUUGAGUUAUUAAUACACUUCUAAUUUUUCGUUUAAUUUUUUUUAUUGUUAUACUCAAAGUAGUAUUGUGAUAUUUUAUAUUUCUUUUGCAAUCUUAUUAUUAUUUUACACAAAAUUAAAAAGUUUUCUAGGUGAUGAACUUUUGAGUUUUGAACAUUAAUCAUUGGCUUAAAUUUCAUAUAUUUUACAUUAUAAUUUGAAAUUAAGUACGAAAAUAUUUAAUAAAUUAUGAAAAGAUUAACAGAUUAUUCUAAAUUGAUACAACUUAUUUUAGUUAAAUAAAAAGUAACAGGUAAAAAAAAAAAGGAUUGGUUAUGAAAUUUGUUGGAAAAAAAUCUGUGUGUGUUUAAUUUUUAUUUGUCCUUAAUUGUAAUUUAUUUGAAGUGAGGUUUUAUAAGGAUAAUGAAGGGGUGCCAUAGUUUCACUCUAUUUCAUAUGGAGAGAGAAGUAAAAGGUACACCUGAGGUUAAUGGAAAGGACUUCGAAAGUUUCUUUUGAUUAUAAUACUGUUUGUUCUAAUUAACUUAAAAAAUUUUACUUUAAUAUUUUAUAAUAAAUUAAAUUUUAAUCUUAAAAUAAGUAUAAUCAUAUAUUUUAAAAUAAUCUUAAAAUAAAUACAAUCAUAUAUUUUAAAAUAAUCUUAAAAUAAAUACAAUCAUAUAUUUUAAAAUAAUCUUAAAAUAAAUACAAUCAUAUAUUUUAAAAUAAUCUUUAUAUUUAAAAUUUAUUUAUUUGUACAUAUUUUAUAAUAAAUAUAACACAUACUAUUAAAAUAAUAUAUAAAAAAUUAAAGUAUUUUGAAUAUUAUAUAAAAUAACUUUAAGAUUCUUAAUAUGUAAGAUAUAUUUUAUUAAUUUAAAAUUCUAUUUAAAAUUUUAUUAAUUUAAAAUUCUAUUUAACCCAAAGAUUUAUUUAAGAUAAAUUAAUAAUCAUAUUUUUUAAAUCAUUUCAAAUAUUAAAAAAUAUUUUGAUAUUACUAGUCUAUUAAAUAGAUUAAAUAUUUUUAUUAUUUUGUACUAAUCAAAAGUUACAGCUCGAAUGAUAUUAUGAGAACAGAAUUUUUAUGUCUUUAUUAAAAAUUUGGGUUUGUAUAAUUAUUUUUUCAAAUGUUAGGGGCAUAGCUGUCUUUUUACUUUUAUAUAUGUGAACCGCGGUGGUGAAAAAGUGUGAUUUAAUAUUAGUUAUUUAAAUAAUAUCUGAAUUAAAGAUGUACAGAGAAGAAAUUUCGGUGGGCAUUUUAGUCUUUUAACGAUUAUCAUGAUUAGGGAUUAGGUCCUGCUCUUGAAACGUUGGUCAGAAAAGUUCUAAAAUGCGUACAUUAUCUUUACUUUAAAAAAGUUAUUUUAUUUUAUUACAAAUUAAUGCCGACAAGAAAAAGCAAGAUCUUAAANNNNNNNNNNNNNNNNNNNNNNNNNNNNNNNNNNNNNNNNNNNNNNNNNNNNNNNNNNNNNNNNNNNNNNNNNNNNNNNNNNNNNNNNNNNNNNNNNNNNAUAAAGAUGAAGAAAAGGGCAAAAAAAUAUUAAUGAUUAACGAAAUCUCUAUCCAAAUUGAUUUUAGCAGGAAAAAAGUGAGCUAAAUGAUGUAGACGAUUAGUGGUAAUAUUUCAUAGAGUUAGACUAUUGGCACCCUUCCAAUCUUCUCACGAAUCCUCUUUUUGAGUUAUAUUUAUUUUAUUUUUAAAAUAUCUUUUUUCUCUUUUACUACACUUCUAAUUUUUCAUUUAAUUUUUUUAUUGUUAAACUCAAAGUAGUAUUGUGAUAUUUUUAAUUUCUUUUGCAAUCUUAUUAUUACUCUGCAUAUAAAUUAAAAAGUUUUUUAGGUGAUGAAUUUUUGAAUGUUAAUCAUUAGCUUAAAUUUCACAUAUUUUACAUUACAAUUUGAAAUUUAAUAUGAAAAUAUUUAAUCAAUAAGAAUUAUGAAAAGAUUAAUAAAUUAUUCUAAAUUUAUACAACUUAUUUUAGUUAGAUCAGAAGUAGCAGGUUAACAAAAGAAAGGAUUGGUUAUGAAAUUUGUUGGAAAAAAAUCUAUGUGUGUUUAAUUUUUAUUCGUUGUUAACUCUAAUUAAGUAGGUUAAAUAUUUUUGUUAUUUUUUACUUAUCAAAAAAUUUAAGAUCAAUAUUUUUAGUUACCAUUCGAAGGAUAUUAUGACAAAAACAGAAUUUUCACUUCUUUGUUAAAAAUUUGGGGGUUUGUGUAACUAUUUUUUCAAAUGUUAGGGGCAUAUCUGUCUUUUUACUCUAUAUAUAUGAACCAUGGUGGUGAAAAAGCGUGAUUUAAUGUUAUUUAUUUAAAUAAUAUCUCAAUUAAAAAUGUAAGGAGAAGAAAUUUCGGUGGGCAUUUUAGUCUUUUAACGAUUAUCAUGGUUAGGCCCUGGUCUUGAAACGUUGGUCAGAAAAGUUCUAAAAUGCGUUCAUUUGUCUUUACGCCAACAAUAAAAAGCAAGAUCUUAGUGUCCCACAAAAGCAAAUCGUAAUAUUCCGCAAUGGAGUUAGAUCCGCAAAAGCAAACAAAUUCUUUUAUUAAACUACAAAUUAAAGUGGAAUCAUUUACUAAACAACAAAUUAAAUUUGAAAUAUUUAAAUAGUCGUGCGUUAGACGAUUAGAGACUCUUAUUAAAGGCAAGUACAAAGUAGUGAAGAAUCGAAUAUUUCUAUUGUCUAGUCUUUUUUUAAAAAAAAUUUUCUUUUAUUAUUUUUCAGAAUAUGUUUUGGUGAUUACUAUUGGGUUAUUAUUCAGAGUUAUUGUUAUCUUCCGGGGCAGUUUCUGUUCAUCGAAUUCGUUAAUAAAAUUUUAAAACUCUUAUUGAAAGAAUGUUUUUCCGUUAUCUUUUUUAUAAUCUAAUUUUAAGUGUAAGAAGUAGUCAUUUUAGAAUUUGGGUCUUGAAUCGAAUUUCAAUGCAUGAAUUAAUAUUUAAAAAAAAUUUACUACAUGCAGUUUAGGUUACAAACUAUUUUUUGCAAAGUUGACUAUGAAAUUGGAGAAAUUAAGUAAUUUAUAAUGUUUGCAAAGAAAGAGACCAACAUACUUCCAAUUACACUAUAUCUCAAUUAUCAUAAUGUUAAGAUUAAACUAACUUAAAAUAAAAUUUAUUUAAAAAGUUUAUCAAACGCAGUCUAAUUUUAUUAACUUGAAGAGAUAAUAGUUAUAGAAAUUAUUAUUCUAACUUAAUUAGUAAAAGUGGUAUAAAGGUUAAGUGUGCACUAAAUCUAUUUAAAUUUUUUUCCAGUAUAACUAACAGAGGUCAUUACUAGAAUUAUAUUACUAGUCUAUUAGAUAGAAAAAAUUAUUUAUAUUGUUUUAUAUUUAUUAAAAAAAUUUAAAGUCAAUCUUUUUAAUUACUAUUUAAAGGAUAUUAUAAUUAAAAAAAUUUUAAUGUCUUCAUUAAAAAUUUAAAAUUUUAUAUGACCGUUAUCUAAAUAUUUAAAGUGUAACUGUCAUUUUCUCAUAUAUAUAUAUAAUUUCAUCAACCCCUUAUACUUUAUGUUAUUUAUAUUUUAUUCAUGAAUAUUAUAAAUUUUUUGAAAUAUAAAAUUUCGUUUAACCCUUUAUACUCAAUUUUAUUUUAUUAAAACCCUAGAGUAUGAAUUCGUCCCUAUAAUAUUAAAUUCUCAAAAUAACUUCCAUUUAAUUAAAAAAUAUAAUUAUUAUUAAAUGAAUUAUAAUUAUUAUUAUUAUGUUAUUAUAAUCAUAAAAAGCGAGAUCAUAUUCCACAAAAGCAUAAGUGACAAAACAACCAACUGGAUUCUUUUAUUAAUCAACAAAUUGUAUAGUCUUUUUCAAAUUGUUAUAAAUUGGUGGCCCCUACAAUCCUCAAUAAUUGUACCGAAAUUCACAAGUUGGUGGGCCCUACAAUUCUGUUCCGAUAAUUUAACUGUGCAAGUGCUCAUUCACAAUCUUCCAGGUCAUGCUCUUAACAAUUGUUUUUUCUUUUCUGCACGCCCUUUCAUGCUCUUAAUAAUUGAAGAGCAUACUUUUCAAAUGUGAAGCCGCAUCUAAUGUCGCUAAUUUAAUUUGGGAUUAAAUUACGGGACUAUUAUAUUGCAGUGUGCACUAAUUUUUAUGUUUAUCUAAACUCUUCAAAUUUAAAACAUAUUAUGGCAUAAAUAAGAAUGUAACAAUAACAAAAGAGUAAGAAAGUGUAGAGAAAAUCUUGCAGAAAUAUAAAUAAUAUUUAUUUUUAAAAUAAUAUUAAUAUUUAAAAUAAUUUUUAAUAUUUUAUGGUCCAUUAGAUAUAUUUUAUUAUAUUAAAAUAAAUUUUAUAAUAAAUAAAAACAUACUAUUAAAAUGAAUAUAUAUAGAAAAUUUAGAGUAUUUUAAGUAUUAUAUAAAAUAAUUUUAAUAAAAUAUGUGAGAUAUUCAUAUUUUAUUAAUUUAAGAUACCAUUUAACCUAAAGAUUUAUUUAUGAUAAAUUAAUAAUUAUAUUUUUGAAAUUACUUCAAAUAUUAAAAAAAUUAAUAUUACUAAUAUAUUAGAUAGAUUAAAUUAUAUAUAUUAUUUUUACUUAUUAAAAAAAUUUUAAAAUUAUUUUUAAUUACUAUUCAAAAAACGUAUUCAAAAAACAUAAUGAUAAAAAAAUCUUAACAUCUUUAUUAAAAAAUUAAAAACUUAUAUGAUAAAUUCUCUAAAUAUUUACGGUAUAUGUGAACCACGGUGGAUAAGCUUUAUUUAAUAUUAUUGAUUUAAAUAAUAUGUCAAUUAAAAAUGUACAGAGAAGAAAUUUCGGUGGGUAUUUUAGUCUUUUAAGCAAUUAUCAUGAUCAGAUCAGCCUUUAGCCUUCAAACGUCGGUCAGAAAAGUUUUAAAAUUAAUGCUAAAUUGUUUUUCACUUUUAACGUUGGUGGCCUUGAAAUUGCUUGUAUUUUAUUAAAAAUUAAUGCUAACAAGAAAAAGCUAGGUCAUAUUCCACAAAAUCAAAAGUGACAAAACAACCAGCUGGUUUCUUUUACUAAACUACAAAUUAAAAUAAAUUUUUUCGAUAAAUUACAAAUUAAAGUGGAUUCUUUUGAAUACAAAUGGGACAGACGAUUAGGCUCUUUUUAUUAGAGGCAAGUAAAAACUAGUCAAGAAUCGAACAGUCUUUUUCCAAUUCUUGUUUUAUUAUUUUUCAAAACUAGUUUUUGGUAAUUACAACCGGGUCAUUAAUCAUUAUUCAGAGUUAUCUUCCGGGGCAGUUUCUGUUCAUCGAAUUCGUUAAUAAAAUGUUAAAACUCUUAUUGAAAGAAUGUUUUUCCGUUAUCUUUUUUAUAAUCUAAUUUUAAGUGUAAGAAGUAGUCAUUUUAGAAUUUGGGUCUUGAAUCGAAUUUCAAUGCAUGAAUUAAUAUUUAAAAAAAAUUUACUACAUGCAGUUUAGGUUACAAACUAUUUUUUGCAAAGUUGACUAUGAAAUUGGAGAAAUUAAGUAAUUUAUAAUGUUUGCAAAGAAAGAGACCAACAUACUUCCAAUUACACUAUAUCUCAAUUAUCAUAAUGUUAAGAUUAAACUAACUUAAAAUAAAAUUUAUUUAAAAAGUUUAUCAAACGCAGUCUAAUUUUAUUAACUUGAAGAGAUAAUAGUUAUAGAAAUUAUUAUUCUAACUUAAUUAGUAAAAGUGGUAUAAAGGUUAAGUGUGCACUAAAUCUAUUUAAAUUUUUUUCCAGUAUAACUAACAGAGGUCAUUACUAGAAUUAUAUUACUAGUCUAUUAGAUAGAAAAAAUUAUUUAUAUUGUUUUAUAUUUAUUAAAAAAAUUUAAAGUCAAUCUUUUUAAUUACUAUUAAAGGAUAUUAUAAUUAAAAAAANNNNNNNNNNNNNNNNNNNNNNNNNNNNNNNNNNNNNNNNNNNNNNNNNNNNNNNNNNNNNNNNNNNNNNNNNNNNNNNNNNNNNNNNNNNNNNNNNNNNNNNNNNNNNNNNNNNNNNNNNNNNNNNNNNNNNNNNNNNNNNNNNNNNNNNNNNNNNNNNNNNNNNNNNNNNNNNNNNNNNNNNNNNNNNNNNNNNNNNNNNNNNNNNNNNNNNNNNNNNNNNNNNNNNNNNNNNNNNNNNNNNNNNNNNNNNNNNNNNNNNNNNNNNNNNNNNNNNNNNNNNNNNNNNNNNNNNNNNNNNNNNNNNNNNNNNNNNNNNNNNNNNNNNNNNNNNNNNNNNNNNNNNNNNNNNNNNNNNNNNNNNNNNNNNNNNNNNNNNNNNNNNNNNNNNNNNNNNNNNNNNNNNNNNNNNNNNNNNNNNNNNNNNNNNNNNNNNNNNNNNNNNNNNAUUGUGGGCACUCUUGUUCGUGCAUGUUUGCUAGAAGAGAUGGAAGAUGAUAAAGUAAAAAUGCAUGACGUUGUUCGUGAUAUGGCUUUAUGGAUAGCUUGUGAAAUUGAGAAGGAGAAGAGAAACUUUUUGGUUUGUGCAGGUGCUCGAUUAGAAGAGGCACCGGGUGUUAAAGAAUGGGAAAAUGUGAGAAGAUUGUCAUUGAUGCAAAACCAAAUUGAAACUGUGUCAGAGAUUCCCGCAUGCCCUCAUCUCCAUACUCUAUUUCUUGCCUCUAAUAGGAAUUUCAGGAUGAUCACGGAUGGCUUCUUUCAAUUUAUGCCUUCUCUCAAAGUUUUGAAGAUGUCACGCUGUGGGCAAUUCGAAGGUUUUCAAUUACCUGUUGGGAUGUCAGAGUUGGGUUCAUCACUAGAACUUCUUGAUAUUUCACAUACCACCAUAAGAGAGUUACCCGAAGAGUUAAAGUUGCUGGUAAAUCUGAAAUGUUUGAAUUUGAGGUGGACAGGUGCGUUAAUUAGAAUUCCACGGGGACUAAUAUCAAAAUUUUCAAGGUUACGUGUGUUGAGAAUGUUGGGUACUGGCGGGUUCAUUUUUUAUGAAGCACCAGAAGACAGCGUUUUAUUUGGUGGGGGUGAAGUUUUGAUACAGGAAUUGCUCGGUUUGAAAUAUUUAGAGGUAUUGGAGUUGACCUUGGGAAGUUAUCAUGCUCUCCAAAUUCUUUUGAGCUCAAAUAAGUUAAAAAGUUGUAUUCGAUCUCUUUACCUCUAUUUGACCGGAGAUAAAAAGUCGAUUAUUGAUGCUACGGCUUUCACAGACCUAAACCACCUCAAUGAAUUAUGGAUUGAUAAUGGAAUUGAGUUGGAAGAAUUGAAGAUUGAUUAUACGGAGAUAGUACGAAAAAGGCGGGAACCUUUUGUUUUCCACAGCCUUCACCUUGUUACGAUAUAUAGUUGCCAUAAAUUGAAAGAUUCGACAUUCCUCGCUUUUGCUCCAAACCUCAAGUCUCUUUCGCUAUUCAAAUGCCGUGCUAUGGAAGAAAUAAUCAGCGUCGGAAAAAUUGCUGAGAAUCCUGAGAUGAUGGGACAUAUAAGCCCUUUUGAAAAUCUCAAAAGUCUUGAUCUAUCAUAUUUGCCGGAGUUGAAGAGCAUUUUCUGGAAGCCAUUGCCUUUCACUCAUCUCAAAGAAAUGGGGGUAAGAGCAUGUGAUCAGCUUAGAAAGCUUCCACUCGAUUCCAACAGUGCAAAAGAGCGUAAAUUUGUAAUUCGUGGAGAAGAAGACUGGUGGAACCGACUUCAAUGGGAGGAUGAAGCCACUCAAAUUGCUUUUCGUUCCUGUUUCCAACCUGAUUCCUGAGCGGUGGUCGCAAAAUUUGAUUUCUGGUGAGUGCGUUUGUCUUUUAAAAGAAGAAUUUAAAAGAAAUUUAUUCUUGACGUUUUCUUCACUGUUUUUAUUUCAGUCUCUCUCUCUCUCUUUUUGUCUUCUGCUAAUCACAAUUAAAUGUUGAAUUAAUGGAAUUAAUGCUUCAUAAAUUUGCCGGCACUGCCAUUACUUUUUUUUUUUUUAAUACAAAUUGAUACUUUAUUUAUAUCUUCUUAGCGAUUUAAUUUCCUGUCAAUUGACGAACGAGAAGAACAUAUGACUUGAACCAAUGCUCGCAUAAACUUGCUGUAAAAAGAUAUAAUCUCACUGAAAUGCACACGCCUAGAAUGAAUAGAAUUAAAACAGGGAAAAUAUUAAGUAUAUUAGCCCUCUUUACCGAAAAUCAAAUGACAAUAAAUUUUUUGAAGUUUUGAUUUUCUAUGGUCAAUUCCACCUUUUGCAAUUUCUUCUGUUCUAACAAAAACCAAUUUCUUUGUUCAAGUAUUUUCGUUUGGGUAUUAAUAAUUCUCCACCGAAAGAGUGAACUCUUGCUCAAGGGAUCUCUAAUCAAUAGCCGGAAGGGCGCCGAGACCUGAUCGGACCUAGGCCCAAGUUUGGUCUUAAAGCCUGGGCUUGAGCCUGGCAAUUAAAUUAAAACAGUAAUUGAUUUCUUGAAUGAAUUGUCGUGUAAUUGAUUUAUGGGGGAUGACACAUCAACAUACUUGAAAAUACACUAAUCUCAGCAUCAUCCGUUAAUAACUUUUAGAUUUAUGGGCAAUCAAUAGUUAAAUUAGUUGUCAUUAAUACUAAAUAAUUUUUACUUUUUUUGUCUCUUCUAGAGGAUCUUCUAGAAAAAUGCAUCCACAAUUAAAUUUAAUACUUUACAUAAUAAAGAAAGCAUAAAUGUUAAAUUUAAGAAACUGCAUUGUAUUUCAGCUGAAGUUGACUUUAAUAUUUAGGGUAGAAAAAAAUUAAAUCCUUAAUGUGUUUAAUUUCUAUCACUUGUGUCAUUAAAAUUUUCUAGUCACCCUAACCAAUUACAUCUCAACCCACUUUUUUUUGGAUGAUUUUAUUUUUACACUAUUAUUUUCAACAUUUUUUUUUCCUUUUAACACCAACAUUAGUGUAUGUUACGUAACAUAAUCCAUAUUUGGAUAAUUUGAAAUUUGUUUGUGUUUUAUCUCAAAAUAGAGCUUCAAUCAAUUUGUACCUCAUAAAUUCACAAUAUCUGGCAUAUUGUCAAAUGUGCUUAUCCUUUUGCUUGACAUGUCAUUUUAAAAUUGUCAUUCAAUGUCAAAAAAUCACAUCAACUAAUGGCCGACUACUUUAAUUUGAAAGCAUGCGUGCGAUCGCCAAUAAUUAUAACUUAAUUGUUAUAUUGAAAUUUUUUUCUUUAUAAUUUAAGUUUAAUACUGCUACAUGUGUGGCACAUAAGUUGGAAAAUAUAACAUAAAAUUUGAAAAAUGUGUAGUUUUCGUUCCUUUUUUUUCUAAAAAAAUGGGAAAAAAGAAUGUAAUUUUGUUUAAAUUACUGUUGUCAUAACAAUUAUUAUUUUAUUGAUUAAUUGGCAGAGAAUCGUAAUGGUUUCGCAUGGUUGUUAAAACAUUGGAAAGUCCACUACAUCAUCGGUUAAUAACUUUCAGAUUUAUGGUUAAUUAAUAGCUGAGAUUUAUUAUCAUUAAUGCUAAAUAUUUUUUCUCUCUCCUGGAGGAUCAUCCACAGGCAGGUGCUUCCUGACGAUGACAAAAUUUUGGGCAGGCAGGUGCUUCCUGACUUUCACACGGUAAUUCUCAAAUUCUGAUUUCACCAUAUUUUAAUUACUGAUUAGCAUAUAUUCAAGUGCUCUCCAUUAUAAUGGAAGCCGCCGCCUCACUCGUAAUUCCAAACUUUAUCUUUUUUUCCUUUUUUAAAUUAAUGCAAGUAGCCGCUGUCCUUUCUAUUAAUUAAUUAAUUCGGCCGCCCACAUUUCUUUUCCUAAUGUCUUCUACUGUCGAGUUUAUUUUAUUUUCUCUUUAUUAUUAAAAUAUACUUAUAAUAAUAAAAAAAUAAAAAUUAACAUAUCAAAAUAUAAUUUAACAGAAAAUUAAGAUAAAAAAUUAAAAAUAAAUAAAUUAUGAGCAUAUCAAUCAAUAAAUGAAAAAUAAUAAUUUUUAUUUUUAUUAAAUAUAAAUUUUUCAGUAUUAAUCAAUUAUCUGAAUAAAUAAAAUCAUUUAAAAAUAAAUAAAUAAAUUAUUCUUAAAAAAAAAAAAAAAACUUUUUAUAACACUCACUAUGCUGGUUGUAGGGUUGACGCUUUGGGUACUGAAGCUAGUAACUUCUACAAGUAGUCUUAAGUUGACUGGCAACAACUAUAUUGGCAUUUAGAAAUAAUGUACUGCAACCAUAUUGGCAUGUUCAAAUGUUCUUAUUAUUGUAUUGGUGUGUCAAUAUUAUCUCUAACGGUUUUAUAAAUAAAAAAAUAAUCUAAAUUUAUAAUUUAACAUAAAAUAAAAUAAUUGGUAGAAAAACAAUUAUGGUUCAUUUACUUAUCAGUAAUCAGAAUAGACUGAAAUCGAAAUGAGUUGUAUUACUGUUGAUGUGUUUAUGUUGUACUCGAAUCGAAAUGAAUUAUUUUAAAUUACUAAAAUAUCCUUGGUCUGUUAUUCUAAUUAUUAUUAUUAUUUAAUAUUUAUUAUAAUAUUUUUCAUAUCAUUAAAAAAAAAUAAUAAUGAUGAUAAUAUUCUCAUUAUUGUUUGUUACAUUAUUAUUAUUCAAAAAAAUUAUUGUUAAUAACAAUAAUUACUUUAUUUCAAUAAUAAUAAUGAUAAAAUUAAUAAUAAUAAACAUGACAACAACAAUAAUUAUUUAUUAUGCCAAAAAAUAACAAUAAUAAUAAGAAUAAUAAUCAUCAUCAUUUUUUUGCCAAAGAAGCAUUAUCAUCAUCAUUUCAAAAAAAAAAUCAUCAUCAUCAUCAUCAUUUUUGUAGUGGCUACCUAUCGGCUGCUGCUUUCAUGUGAGAUUGACUUGCGACGCUUCAACGGCUAUUAUUUCUGACAAUGUCAGGUGUUGCUAUUUCAAUUUAGGAAGAAGUUGUUUCGGUGUGCUAGCGAUGGGAGAUGUUGUGGCUGCGAUUCGGGGAGCUACUAGUUUAUUGCACUAAUAACGGCAGGUGCUGUUGCUUGAUGCGAGGUCCAUGGCCAGUUGUCAGCAGUUCGACUUUGGUAUGGGUGCUGCUGGUUCGAUUUUAGGUGUUGUCCAAUUUCAUUUUCAGGAUUUUAAUUUUAUUUUUCUUUUAUAUUUUCAUUAAUUAAUCAGGGUAAAAUUGGAUUUUAGAAUUUAGAAUGAAGGUAAUUUUGUUAAUAAUGGAAAUGAGAUUCUGAUUGUCGAGAAUGAGCUUACACAAACAACUAUAAAUUAAGUGAAAACAAAACACUUUUUCUCUUUGUGUGAUUAAAACAUGAUAUGUACCAUAAAUAAAUAAGUAAAAAAUAAAUCAACACAAUCUAAAACAGUAAACAAAUUACAAGAGGCACAGAUUUUUAUGUGAAACACCGAAAAUGGAAAAAACCACAGCAUCUUAGUUUGAUAUAAUCUUCUACUAUAUUAAUGGGAUUAUAGCACAAAUUCUUUCCUAUAUAACACUAGAGAUUAACAACAUCAAGAAUCUCAAUAAUCUUGACUUACAAUACAGCCUAAUAUUUGUCUCUCUAAUAAGUAGAUAUCUAAAAUAACAGUCUCUAAUAAGUAUGUAUCUAAAAUAAUAGUCAACAAGAGGAUAAAACAAAAAUUAAGAUUAGUAGGAUGUGUAUAAGGUGAUGCUAUCAAUUUAUCUUCUAAAUUUGAGAAAAAUAGUUAAAUUCACUUUUUCGAUUGUCCGACCAAAAAUGGAAACCCUUGCCCCAAAACCAAAGGAAUCACCAUUAUGUUUUUCUCUCUCUCUCUCUCUAUCUCGUUCUUUUCUUCUUCUUUUCUUAAUGUUAGCCAUCACUUGCUUUUAUUCUUUAUAGCAUUCAAAAAGCUACUUUUAAUGGUAAAUUUCAUUUAAGUCUGCAACUUAGUGAUAAUUGCACACCAAACAAUCCUUACAUAGUGUUUUGGGCCCUCAAAUGAGAUGAAUACAACAAAUCUCCCCCUUUAAAUCAUGUGGGGGGCACCGCAAGCCCGCUAUUUGCAUAUAGCUUUUCAGCUUCUCCUUGAAUAAUGACUUUGUCAUCAUACAUAAUCCAUUCUUCGUUGUGUAAAUCUUCUCAAGCUGUAACUGUUCCUUCUCAAGCUGUAAUUAUUCCUUCUCAAGCACGUCUCGUAUCUAAUGAUACCUUACAUCAAUAUGCUUAGAUUUCGAAUAGUAUAACAGCACUCUGACUAUCGUAGUACAUAACAUAGCUGUCUUGUUUUACACCCAGCUCUUGUAGGAAAUUCUUCGUCCACAAUAUUUUUUUGCAACCUUCAAUAAUUGUAAUAUCAUUUGCUUUAGUGGUAGAAAAGGCAACUUAUUACUAAAGUUUAGAUUGCGAUGAGACUGUUCCCCCUGCAAAAGUGAGCAAACAUCCUAGUAGGAAUUUUUCGGAAUCAACAGCUCCUGCCAUAUCUACACACUUGUAACACAGGUUUGUCACCACCAAAAUAUAAACAUGCUCUGGAAAUGCAUCUAAGAUAUCUGAGAAUUUUUCACUGUUGUCCAGUGCUCUUUACCGAGGUUGAAGAGAAACCACUGACUACACUAACUGUAUAGGCAAUAUUUGGUCUUGUACAAAUUAUGGCGUACAAUAAACUGCCAACUGCUGAAGCAUAAGGAACUCCUCUCAUGGAGAAAUGGGUUUUACUCUUGAGAUUUUUGGGACCAUGAAGAAUAAAGAUGUAAUUUCUUAUACUGCCAUUGUUUCGGGAUAUAUAAAUAGAGAACAAGUCGAUAUAGCUCGACAGUGUUUUGAUCAGAUGCCAGAACGAGAUUAUGUCUUAUGGACUACCAUGAUUGAUGGGUACCUUCGAGUGAAUAGGUUCAGAGAGGCUUUGACACUUUUUCAGGAGAUACAAACUUCAAAUAUAAUGGGAGACGAGUUUACCAUUGUUAGCAUUCUUACAGCUCGUGCGAAUCUGGGGGCACUAGAACUGGGAGAAUGGAUAAAGACUUAUAUUGACAAAAACAAAGUCAAGAAUGAUAUAUUUGCGGGGAAUGCUUUGAUAGACAUGUACUGUAAAUGUACUGUAAAUGCGGAGAUGUUGAGAAAGCUCAAAAGGUAUUCAGGAAGAUGCUUUGAAAGGUCAAAUUCACAUGGACGACCAUGAUUGUUGGCCUUGCCAUCAGUGGAAAUGGUGAUAAAGCUCUUGAUAUGUUUUCCCAAAUGCUCAGGGCUUCGAUCAAACCAGAUGAGGUAGCUUAUGUUGGUGUUCUGUCUGCCCGUACUCACAAUGGUAACGAAACUUUUGUGAUAAAUAGUUGCAACUUAAGGUGAGAACUGGAGGAAGGGAAAUAGAUUGAAGUUGUUCAAUCAUCAGUAGUUGCUACUUGGUUUUAAGUUGUUCAAUCAUCGGUCGUCUCUAUUUGGUUUUCUCCAAUAUCUCAUCUUCAAUUUUGACUCAGAUUGUAUCUUACCACUAGUAAUUACAUAGACUUGCUGCCAAAGGUAAGAAUGGGAAUAAAUUAAAUAGAUUAUGUCGAAAACGAAAUAAAUUUACUAUUGUUCUGUUCAUUCUAUUUGUUUCCUACAAAAUAUUUCUCCUGCCUAAAAUUUUUUGAAUCAGUAAGUUUUUACCUUAUGGAUGAAUUGUGUUGAGAGUAAUUCCAUUUCUCAGUCUCUUUAUGUUUCAAUGAAGACGUAAAACUUGUGUUCUAGUGCACCAACGUUUAUGCUUCUUACAAUUUGACUUUAAUUUACUUUGUAAAAUUUUUGUCAAAAAGUACUAAAAAGUAGUGCACCAAACACCAACUUUAUUACAGAGAGGACUUUAGUUAAAUUUUAAGAAAACACUCAAAAGAAAGAGUUGUAAAUUAUUAUAAAAAUAUUUCACAUAAAUAAAAGCCAUCCCAUGCUGCAAAGAUCUUGCUAUAAUCACCAAAAACUAUCGGGAGCUUUUAGGGUUUCCAUAAAAAUGCCAUUUCGUUCCAUGUAUAUGAUUCUAUAGUCUCACUGGCAAGUAAACCACAGCCCAACAGCACUGACUGUCCAUGAUGAUUCACCCCAAUGAACGAAACCAGCGUUGCAUCAUAUCUUUCUGUCAAGCAUGUAAUAUCAAUUGAUUUGAGCUAUUAACAUCAUUUCCAAAUACUCCAUUGGCAUCUACAUUACCAUUUCCCUCGGCAUCAAUGAUAAGAGUUCGAAACAGUCUAAUCUUUUGAACUUCUUCAGCACCAUCUAAGAGCAAUGUUCUUUUGGUUCCAAUACCCAUGUGCUUAUGAUAUUUGUAAAAUAAUUAUUUGUAAAAUAAUUAGUUCAAUUUUGACAUAAUACGGAAUAAACACAACCUGCCAAUCUAAGUUACUAUCUUUUCCCGUCAUCAGGUACCUGUUUGAAAAAUAAUUAUAUACAAUUUUAUUUGCGUCGUCCCUCUAAAAAUUUGGGACUCAAAUGUUAUUUCUAAUUGCUAAAAGUACGAAAUUGCCCCCUUUCUCUUCAGCUAAAGGAGUGCAAAGUCAUCUGUAUAAUUGAAUCUGCAUCAUCAGUUUCUAUUGCUGGCUGGUGUUACUGCAUGCUUACAGUUGCUUGACAAAGUGAGCCAGUUUUUUGUUUAUUAAUUUUUUUUCUUGUCGAGACAGUCACAAAGUAUUACUUGUUCUAUUUGAGAAUGAUGUGAAUCAAUUUUUCAAUUAUGCAUUCUGUGGUAAUUAUUGUGAAUUUAGUUUCAUUUGUCUUGUCUCCUGCAAAUUUUGAAGAAAAUGCAGACAUACAAAUUUACAAUAUGUAUUUGCGUUAGUAUAAAAACAAUUGUUAGAUGAUUAAAGCGAUUUAUUUUUUUUUUUACAGCAUUUGAUUGUAUUAGUUAAAAUCAUUUUUUAAGGAUAAAAAUAAAUAGAAAAUUAUUCUCAUGUAGUGUGGAAAUCUUUUCUAAUUUCUUGUUGACUUGUACAUUUAUUUCAGAAUUUCCAUUCAUUAAUUCUACUGUUUUAAUCUUUGACUUAGCUACCGUAGUUGACUUUUUAUAUCAAAGGCUUAAACAGCAUGCAUUUUUGAAUUGACUGAGAAUAAUUUGGUGGACAAAUUACUAGUAAAGGACUUCAAAUGGUUGAAUUGACUGUGGGUUUUUCAUGCCCAAGUCACUCGUCACGUCGUUUCAUCGAAACAAAGUGCCCGGUGCAAAUGGUGUGAUGUAAAACACCUUUUUAAAUUGUCAUUUUUUUUCCUUUGCUUUUGCUUUAAUUUUCUAAAUGCUCAACGCCAUAAAUCCAUGUAUUCUUAAUUUUCGUUUGCUGUAUUGAUUCCCAACCCUCUAUGUCACAAGGUUUUGAAUGCCAGUAAUUAAGUUAAAUUAAACAUAUUUUAAGUCCUACUUUAAAUUAUUGAAAAAUGUAUUAUGGUUGAACUGAAUUUUAACUAAAAAAUAUAUACAAAAUAAAAGAUUAAUCAUAUCUUUUUAUGAGGAAGGUCAGUCAUCAUUCUGACCACAGACACUUAAAAUUAAUUGAGUGGAAUAUUGCAAAAUAUAUAUAAACCAUGCCAAAACUAGAUGUUUGAGUAAUGAAAACGAGAAUUCAUAUGACUCAGAAAUAUGGUCGCUUUCCUUUUUCUGAAAGGCAAAAAAAAAGGGGGAACCAAAAAGGACCAAAAUGAACAAAAAUGGAAGGCGAAGGUAAGCAGACAUGUUAUAUGUUUUACCUAAGAUGCCAAAUGCAACUCCCCAUUGAUGGUGAUCGAACAUUAUGGCCAUUUUCUUAGUAAACAAAAAAUGAAUUUUGAACACUCAACAACGAAACUUGAGCAGAAGAUCAAGCAAGGGCCUCGAUCUCAAAGAAGAUACUAUGAAACCCUACUUAAUGGUUAAAUAACUUUCAUUCAGCUUUGGACCCUAUUUCGUGAUACGGAAAGACAAACCUUUCUUGGCCGGCAGUGUCCCAGAUCUGGGCUUUGAUGAUCUAGAGGUUGAUGGUGACAGUUCUGGUUUGGAACUCGACGCCAAUGGUUUAUUUCGAUUCAAAGCAAAACUCAUUCUUGGUGAAUCUCGAAAGAAUCUGAGACUUGCCCACGGCCGAGUCACCGAUCACCACUACCUUGAAUACAUAGUCUAUUUUGUCAGGAAUCAUAUUCUCUCGUUGUUGAUGACGAUGAUCGGUGCCAUCACCACUCAUUUCUUCGUUCAUUCAUUCUAUGUCCAUUGAUCUUUUUGAAUUAUUGAAGACAAGUGGCUCACCGCUUUUAGUAUUGGUAAAAUUCAGAUAAUCUCUAUUCCGAAAUAAUAAUAUUAAAAAUAUCUCUUAAAUCAUUAUAAACUUCAAAUCUAUUUUAAUUUUAUUUAAAAGAUAAAAGAAAAAUAAGUUAUGUUGGUGAUUUUUUAUUAUCUUUUUAAUAAAAAUAGAAUAAAUUGAUGUUUAUAAUUAUUUAAAGUAUUUUAAAGAUUGCUAUUUUAUGAGAGAAUAAUAUUUCAUUUUUUUUUUCGUGUGAAAGACCGAAAAAGGACAAAGCAAGUUUCCCUAAUUUUUAUUUUAUGUGAAAUUGGUCAUCUCAUAUACUUUACCCUUCAACACUCUAAUUUUUUUGGUUAUAAUUUUAUUAUUUUUUCUCUUUUACACAUGCAUGUGAAUUACUUUUCUUUAAGCUCCUGAAUAUUUAAGACAAAUCAUGGAAGAGAUGAGAGUAUAACAAGAUGAUCAAAAUAUGUAACAAAAAAAUUUUAGAAGUGAAAAAUAUGUUAGAGUCGAAGUAAAACUCUGAGGUGAUGUUUGAUUUGAAGAAAAUGGAGGAGAGAAAAAGAGUGGAAUGGAGAGGAAAAGAGAGAAAAGGAGAGGAGAGGAGAGGAGAGUGAACUUUUUUUCUAAUGUUUGGUUUGUCACAUAAAUAUACAAAGAAAGGAAAUCUCCAAUUUUUUAUUUAGACAAUUUUAACCUUAAUAAGUAUUAAGCUUUCAAUAUUUAUCAUGUGUAUAAUUUAAAAAAAGUAAAUGGUAGAAAGCGGUUUCUGAUUCCGGCCACAUCGCCGGCAAUGGAAGGUACUUAUCAGAACAUCAAGAACCGGCCAUCAUUCCCUAGCCAUCACUGCUGUAGGAACACUGCUAAAAAGCUGCCGAUUGAACCGCGAAAAGUCGUGGAAAUCGUUGCCUCAAAUCGGUGAGUUUCGCCUUUUUCUGGUCAUGCCGUCGCCUUGGCUUUGUCCAUCAACGCUGCCACUUCCAUUUCAACCAUCCAUAGCCACUAUUAACCGCCAAAUCGCCGCCGAUCAGCGGGAUCUGUGGAAGUUAAAAAGUUUCUAAAAUUUUUUAAUUGGAUUUGAACAACAUACAACCAUUUUUUGAUCUCAAUAACGACAUAGUAAUGUUGAUCGUUGGUCGGCAAGUCGAAUGGUAGUGGCGGUGAGUAACACGCGCCAAUGACAUCGGCGGCGGCGGCGGCACUAUCCGGCUACUGUUAAAAUUAAUAUUUUAUAUUUGUAGAUUAAAUAAAUUUAUUUUAUUAAACUUUUUAAAUCAUUAUUUAAAUUUAAUUAAUUUAAAAUUAUCUAUGAUGUUGAAUUGAUAAAAUAAAUUUAUAAAUAAUAAUUAUGUGAUUACAUUAAAUAAGUUAAAAAGUUGAAGGGUUAUUUUUGGAAGAUUUAGUUUCCAACACAAAGGGAAUUUGAAUUCUUCACUUCUUAGUGUGGAAUUCAAAUUCUAUAUUGUAAUGGAUAUUAAAUUCCAAUAGAAAUUAAAUUCUUAUAAGUUAUGUCAAACCAAACAACGGAAAUAAAAAAAAAGAAUUUAAAUUACUUUCCUUUCCUCCACCCUCUCCUUCCAACCAAAUACAUCCUGAAAAUAGAGAUAUUGAUUAAUUUAGAAGAGAUGCAAGCAAAAGAUAUUCCACAAAAAAAAAAAAGCAAUAUGUCCCUUUGGAGGGCAAACUUGUCAGUUUUAAAAAAGUACAUGCUUUGGAUUGAUAGUUGUAGGAUAUUUGUUUUGUCACUAUGUGUUAGUUGGAGAAGUCAAGCCUUGUGAAGAAUGUUAUGAAAGAGCAAAGGAUAUUCCUGAUAGCUGAUAGAGCUCUAUUUGAUUAUGUAUCCAAUGAAUGGAUGUGUUGUUGGAAGAUAUUUGAGUGCAUUAGUUCAUAUGUGUCUAUCAAUGUGAUUUUAAUGAUUUUUCCACUUGUUUGUUGUAAAAGAUUAUUGUAAAUUGAAAUGAACUUGAUGUUGUAAUAUUUUCUCCUUAGUAGAAUUUCACCUAGUAUGUAUUUAGUUGUGUUGUCUAUAAUUUUGCAUUCGAAUAAGUUUCACCUAAAAUAUUAGCAUGAGUAGUGGCCCUUGAAACUUUGGUCAAAAUUAUUGUUAUUAUUUCCGACUAGAUGUAAAUUUUUUAUUAAAUCUCGCUAACACAAUUCUUAAUUAAAAGUAUAGGUUAGUGUUGGUGCAAGACUUGCCACACCAAAUUCUGCCUAACUGUCAAAAGUGCAAAAUAAAUGAAGAGAAAGCACAAAUACACGACUUGAAUAAGGAUACAACGAAACUUAAAUUCAAGAGAAAAUGAUAGCUAUAUCUCAAGAUUUGAAAAAACGGUCAUGUAGAUUUUUAAGAUUUCAAUAAGCGACUGAGAUUCAAAUAAUAUCCUUUAAUUCUAUUAACAAAAAACAAAGACUCAAAUAUUUUAUGAUAAAUAAAAAUAUAAUAUUAAAAUAUAUGUGAUAAUAUACACAUUUUAAAUACUUUCAAUCCAAAAAAAUAGUUAUGUUUUACAAUCUAUUAGACAUAUUUUAUUAAAUUAAUAUAAAUUUUCUAUAAAAUAAGAAUAUAAUAUUAAAAUAAAUUCACAAAAAUUUAAAGAAUUUUGAAUGUAAAAUAAUUUUAAUAUAUCAAUACGUGAGUUUUUUUAUUAAUAUAAAAUUUAUUUAACUUUAAGAUUUUUUAAAAUCUUUACAAUAAGUAUAACUAUAUUAUUUACAUUUAAAAAUAUUUAAAUAUUAUUAACCUACAAUUAUAUUUGCAUUUGUUAGAAAUUUUUUAAGUCAAAUAUUUUGCACUUCUAUAUUAUUAGAAUUAUUGCACAAAAAGAAAGAAACAUACACCUUUAGAAAUUGUUUUCUUUUAAAAUAGAGAUGAUGAUUAGUAUAAGGAUGAAAAAAAGGAUAAAGAAUAUUAAUGAUUAACGAAAUCUCUAUACAAAUUGAUUUUAGUAGGAAAAGAGUGAGAUGAAUGAUUUCUUUUACAGUUAGAAACAUAGAUGAUGAUUAUUAUAACGAAGAAAAAAAGAUAAAGAAUAUUAAUUAUUAAUGGAAUCUCUAUACAAAUUGAUUUUAGUAGGAAAAAAAUGAUUAAAUGAUUUAGAGUGCGUUUGGAAUUGAGAUUGGGCAGCCAUAGAUUUUAAGUUACAACACUGAAGUGUUUAGUAAAUACUAGUUGCUGCAGAUUGAAAGUUAUGUUGAUAUGAUUUUUCACAUGUAUCAUAGAAAAUAUAUUACAUCUUUAAUAUUUUUUAAAAAUUUAUAUUUGCUAUAUAUUAUUAAUUUUUUUUUAUAGUUAUAACUUUUUUUCCACAACAGUUGUAGCUUAAAAGUCACAGCACCUCAAUCUCAAACAAAUCCUUAGACAUUCAUAGUGUGUUUAUUUUUUGGAUUGGUGAAUCAAAAUUAUUGACAACGCUAACUUCAUCUUCACUGUUCGCAAUCCAACAGCAGCAAUUGUCGCCAAUAAUGAUAUCUCCAAUGAUGAUGACAAUUAUUAUUAUUAUUUUUAUUAUUAUUAUUAUUAUUAUUAUUAUUAUUAUUAAUUAAUUAAUUAAUUAAUUAAUUAAUUAAUUAAUAUAUUAAUGUUGAUAUUAUUAUUAUUAAGAUUAACAAUAAUUAUUAGUAAUACAAUUUUUUGAAUAAAAAUAAUCACAAUAAUUAAAAUACAAAUUAAUAAUUAUGACAAUAAUUAAUUAAUGUCUUUUUAGUAAUUUGUAAUAAUCUAACUCAUUUUGGUUCUGAUUAUUACAGCUUAAGUAAACAAAUUAUUAUGAUUCCUAUUCUCCUUUCCCAUUUUAACUCACUUUGAUUCCAGUCUAUUCCGAUUUCUAUUUAAUAAAUGCACCAUUAGUGCUAAAGUAAUAUUUCAUACAUAGAAAAAUAAAAACUACGCCUAAGGUUAAGGGAAAAGACUUCAAAAUUCUCUUUUGAUCAUAAUACAUUUUGUCCUAAUUAACUUAAAGAUUUUGAAUCUAAUAUUUUAUAAUAAAUAAAAAUAUAUUCCUAAAAUAAAUAUAAUAUCAAUAUUUAAAAUAUGUUUUAAUAUUUUACAAUCUAUCAUACACAUUUUAUUAUAUUAAAGUAGAUUUAUAAUAAAUAUAUAAAAAUUUAGAAUAUUUAGAAUAUUAUAUAAAAUAAUUUUAAUAUAAUGCGUGAUAUAUAUUUUAUUAAUUUAAAAUGUCAUUUUACCUAAAAAAUAUGAUAAAUUAAUAAUUACAUAUUUGAAGUUAUUUCAAAUAUUAAAAAAAUUUAAUAUUAUUAAUCUUUUAGAUAGAUUAAAUUAUUUUUUAUAAGAGAGAUUAAAUUAUUUUAAAAUGCCUUAAUUGUUUUUACUUUUAACGUUACGGGCCUUUCUUUUAUUUUAUUGCAAAUUAAUGCUAACUAGAAAAACAAAAACAAAAGUGACAAACACAACCAGCUGGAAUCUUUUAUAAAACUACAAAUUAAAAUGGAUUUUUUUUUUUUGUUGAUAAAUUACACAUGAAAGUGGAUUCUUUUGAAUAUAAGUGGGGUAGGCUCUUUUAUUUUUUUUUUAAUACCGUAUAACAGGACUGUAGACUCUUUUAUUAAGCACAAAUAUAGAGUUGUCGAGACAAUUAGGGUCUUUUAUUAAACUACAAAUUGUAUAGUCUUUUUUAAAUUGUUCAGAUAUUUAUAAAUUGGUGGCCCCUACAAUCCUCAAUAAUUGUACCGAUAUUCACAAGCUGGUGGCCCCUACAAUCCUUAAUAAUUGUUUUUUUUUUUUUCUGCAUUCCCUUUCAUGCUCUUAAUAAUUAAAGAGCAUACUUUUCAAAUGUGGAGCCGCGGCUAAUGUCGCUAAUUUAAUUUGGGAUUAAAUUAGGGGACUAUUAUAUUGCAGUGUGCACUAAUUUUUAUGUUUAUCUAAACUCCUUAAAUUUAAGAUAUAUUAUGGCAUAAAUAAGAAUAUAACAAUAGCAAAAGAGUUAGAAAGUGUAGAGAAGAUCUUGCAGAAAUAUAAAUAAUAUUUAUUUUAAAAUAAUAUCAAUAUUUAAAAUAAUUUUUAUUAUUUUAUGAUCCAUUAGAUAUAUUUUAUUAUAUUAAAGUAAAUUUUAUAAUAAAUAAAAACAUACUAUUAAAAUGAAUAUAUAGAAAAUUUAGAGUAUUUUAAGUAUUAUAUAAAAUAAUUUUAAUAAAAUAUGUGAGAUAUUCAUAUUUUAUUAAUUUAAAAUACCAUUUAACCUAAAGAUUUAUUUAUGAUAAAUUAAUAAUUAUAUUUUUGAAAUUACUUCAAAUAUUAAAAAAAUUAAUAUUACUAAUCUAUUAGAUAGAUUAAAUUAUAUAUAUUAUUUUCUAUUUAUUAAAAAAUUUCAAAUUAUUUUUAAUUACUAUUCAAAAAAUAUGAUGAUAAAAAAAUCUUAACAUCUUUAUUAAAAAAUUAAAAACUUACAUGAUCAAUUCUCUAAAUAUUUAGGGUAUAUGUGAACCACGGUGGACAGAGGUCAUUACUAAAAUUUCUCUUCCACAGGCAAUUACAGCAGCUCCAGUUUAUCAAACUCAACCAAUUUUCUUUCUUAACAAAAUUCCAAAGAUGUGUAGCUUUUUUCAGAUCACAUGCGAUGGUGCUUUUUUCAAUCGUUGCUUGGAUUGCUUUCUUGGAAAAGCAGCAUACAUACGUAACCUCCAAGAUAAUCUUGAUGCCUUGGACACUGAACUGGGAAGACUAAUCGCAGCAAAGAACGAUGUGAUGAUUAGGGUUGUCAAUGCUGAACGGCAAUAAAUGAGAAGGCUGGACGGAGUGCAAGUGUGGGUUUCGAGUGUGGAUGCUGUUAAAACUGGAGCCGAUGAACUUAUCACAGACGGCUCUGAAGAAAUUGGCAAAUUAUGUGUUGGAGGCUACUGUUCCAAGAACUGCAGGUCAAGCUACAAAUUCGGAAAACAAGUGGCUAGAAAGCUACGAGAUGUGGAGACUUUAAUCGCCGAAGGAGUUUUUGAGGCGGUGGCUACUGAGGUGGUGCCUGAGAGAGCUCCAGAGCCUGUAGCAGAUGAAAGACCUACCGAGCGAAAAGUAGUAGGCUUGCAAUCACAACUUGAACAAGUCUGGACGUGUCUUGUGGAAGAAUCAGCGGGAAUCAUUGGCCUAUACGGUAUGGGCGGUGUUGGUAAAACCACACUAUUGACCCAUAUCAACAAUAAAUUUCUCGAGAGUCCAACCAACUUUGAUUGUGUGAUUUGGGUAGUAGUUUCAAAAGACCUGCGACUUGAAAAACUUCAAGAAGAUAUUGGGAAAAAGAUAGGUUUGGUUGGUGAUUCAUGGAAGAGUAGAAGUGCAGAGGAGAAAGCUCUCGACAUCUUCCGGAGUCUAAGAGGGAAGAGAAUUGUAUUGUUGUUAGAUGAUAUAUGGGAGCGGGUUGAUUUAACAAAAGUGGGCGUUCCACUUCCUGGACCACAAAAUACUACCUCAAAAGUCGUAUUCACAACNNNNNNNNNNNNNNNNNNNNNNNNNNNNNNNNNNNNNNNNNNNNNNNNNNNNNNNNNNNNNNNNNNNNNNNNNNNNNNNNNNNNNNNNNNNNNNNNNNNNNNNNNNNNNNNNNNNNNNNNNNNNNNNNNNNNNNNNNNNNNNNNNNNNNNNNNNNNNNNNNNNNNNNNNNNNNNNNNNNNNNNNNNNNNNNNNNNNNNNNNNNNNNNNNNNNNNNNNNNNNNNNNNNNNNNNNNNNNNNNNNNNNNNNNNNNNNNNNNNNNNNNNNNNNNNNNNNNNNNNNNNNNNNNNNNNNNNNNNNNNNNNNNNNNNNNNNNNNNNNNNNNNNNNNNNNNNNNNNNNNNNNNNNNNNNNNNNNNNNNNNNNNNNNNNNNNNNNNNNNNNNNNNNNNNNNNNNNNNNNNNNNNNNNNNNNNNNNNNNNNNNNNNNNNNNNNNNNNNNNNNNNNNNNNNNNNNNNNNNNNNNNCAGGAAGUCCUAGUGCGUGCUAUCAGAAAAGAUGCUGGGAACUGUUUCGCGAAAAUGUUGGGGAAGAAACUCUUGAGAGUGAUCAUGAGAUCGUUGAGCUAGCCCAAACUGUGGCCAAAGAGUGUGGUGGUUUGCCACUCGCACUUAUUACUAUUGGUCGAGCUAUGGCCUACAGAAAGAAAGCGGAGCAGUGGAGACGUGCAAUUGAAGAGUUAAGAAGAUCAGCUUCAGAGUUUGCAGGUUUGGGAAAAGAGGUGUAUCCUCUUUUAAAGUUUAGCUAUGAUAGUUUGCAGAAUGAUACAAUUAGAUCUUGUUUCUUGUAUUGUUGUUUAUAUUCUGAAGAUUAUGGCAUUCUUAAAUGGGACUUGAUUGAUUGUUGGAUUGGUGAGGGAUUUUUGGGGGAAUCUGACAGGUUUGGUGCAGAAAACCAAGGAUAUGACAUUUUGGACACUCUUGUUCGUGCAUGUUUAUUAGAAGAGGUGGAAGAAGAUGAAGUAAAAAUGCAUGACGUUAUUCGUGAUAUGGCUAUAUGGAUAACCAGUGAAAUUGAGAAGGAGAAGAGAAACUUUUUGGUUUGUGCAGGUGCUGGAUUAGAAGAGGCACCGGAUGUUAAAGAAUGGGAAAAUGUGAGAAGAUUGUCAUUGAUGCAAAACCAAAUUGAAACUCUGUUUGGGGUUCCCACAUGCCCUCAUCUCAUCACUUUAUUUAUUGACUUUAAUAGGGAGUUGAAGACUAUCGCGGAUGGCUUCUUCCGAUGUGUGCCUUCUCUCAAAGUUUUGAAGAUGUCAAACUGUGGAAAGCCUUAGAAAGGUUUGGAAUUACCUUUGGGGAUGUCAAAGUUGGGUUCACUACAACUUCUUGAUAUUUCACACACCUGCAUACAAGAAUUACCACAAGAAUUAAAGUUGUUGGUAAAUCUGAAAUGUUUGAAUUUGAGGCGGACAAUUUGGUUAAAUAAAAUUUCAUGGCAACUAAUAUCAAAAUUUUCAAGGUUACGUGUGUUGAGAAUGUUCGCUACUGGCUGGUUCAGUUUUCAUGAAGCACCAGAAGACAGCGUUUUAUUUGGUGGGGGUGAAGUUUUGAUACAGGAAUUGCUCGGUUUGAAAUAUUUAGAGGUAUUGGAGUUGACCUUGGGAAGUUAUCAUGCUCUCCAAAUUCUUUUGAGCUCAAAUAAGUUAAAAAGUUGUAUUCGAUCUCUUUUCCUACAGUUGUUCAGAGAUACAACGUCGAUUAUUGAUGCUACGGCUUUCGCAGAUCUAAACCACCUCAAUCAAUUAUGUAUUAGUAACGGUUCUGAGUUGGAAGAAUUGAAGAUUGAUUAUACGGAGAUAGUACGAAAAAGGCGGGAACCUUUUGUUUUCCGCAGCCUUCAACGUGUUACCAUAGAGGAGUGCCAUAAAUUGAAAGAUUUGACAUUCCUCGUUUUUGCUCCAAACCUCAAGUCUCUUUCGCUAUACGAUUGCGGUGCUAUGGAAGAAAUAAUCAGCGUCGGAAAAUUUGCUGAGACUCCUGAGAUGAUGGGACAUAUAAGCCCUUUUGAAAAUCUCCAAAUGCUUUAUUUAAUGGCAUUGCCGGAGUUGAAGAGCGUCUACUGGAAGCCAUUGCCUUUCACUCAUCUGAAAGAAAUGGAGGUACUUGGGUGUGAUCAGCUUAAAAAGCUUCCACUCGAUUCCAACAGUGCAAAAGAGCGUAAAUUUGUAAUUCUUGGAGACACACAGUGGUGGAACCGUCUUCAAUGGGAGGAUGAAGCCACUCAAAUUGCUUUUCGUUCCUAUUUCCAAACCUGAUUCCUGAGCGGUGGUCGCAAAAUUUGAUUUCUGGUGAGUGCGUUUGUCUUUUAAAAGAAGAAUUUAAAAGAAAUUUAUUCUUGUCGUUUUCUUCUCUGUUUUUAUUUCAGUUUGUUUCUCUCUCUCUCUUUUUGUCUUCUGCAAAUCACAAUUAAAUGUUGAAUUAAUGGAAUUAAUGCUUCAUAAAUUUGCCGGCACUGCCAGUACUUUUUUUUUUUUUUAAUACGAAUUGAUGCUUUAUUUAUUUCUUCUUAGCGAUUUAAUUUCCUGUCAAAAGACGAGCGAGAAGAACAUAUGACUUAAACCAAUUGAUACUUUAUUUAUGUGCAUUGUAUGUAAUAAAAUUUUCUCUGUUUUUUUCAAAUUGAGGCUUUAUUUAUAUUUUCUUCGUGAAGAGUGAUUUAAUUUCCUGCCAAAAGACAAACGAGAAGAACAUUAGAGUCAAACUAAUGCUCACAUAAAUUUCCCGUAAGAAUAUAUAUAUAAUUAGACUGGAAUGCACACCUCUAGAUUGAACAGAAUUAAAGCUGAGAAAAUAUUGAGUAUAGUAGCCCUCUUUACAGAAAAUGACGCGAAAGUUAAUUUAGAAAGAUAUAUUCUUGAUUAAUCCAUUUUCUGAAGUUUUUUAUUUUGUAUGGUCAAUUAUACCUUCAUACUAAAAAAAAAAAAAAAAAAGAGAAAAUAUGUAAUCCAUGAAUGGUUAAUUUUGUUUGUUUGUUUUUUUUUCUUAAAUAUCAUUCUUUUUCGGCCACCCAAGGACAUUUUCACAAAUACCUUUUGUGUGCAGAAGUCUUCCAAACCAUCAAUGGAAAAAUAAAAAAUAAAAAAAACACGGUCCAGUAUACCUCAAAAUAUCAUUGAUGACUUUUCUGGUCUAAUGCUAUGUAAAUAGUAUGUUAAGUAAAACAUAAUCAGUUCAGUACCUCACAAAUAAUUCGCAAUAUCUACAAAAUACUAUAAUGGCUACAAAACAAAUCCUGCUUGCAAAUUGUCAAGGAUACCUAUCCGUUCGCUUGACAAGUCAUUUGAAUAAAUAUUGUUCACAUUCCUUACUCUGUCAAUUAUCCAAAGCACCAUCAACUUUAGUUUGAAUAGUAUACAUGCCAUCACCGUUACCAAGAAUCAAGCAUGGAAGGGUCAUUCUAUAGAGUGCAGAACAUGACUCUAUGCGGUAGUCAAUUUGACACACGACGAACACCAUAUGCUGCAUAACAUACAAAUUAAUUUCCCAUAUGUGAUGCAAUUUUCUCCUCAACAUAUGCGCAAUUCUUUCCAUUCCGGCAUUUACACUCAAAUUUUCCUUCCUUUCUCUUUGUGGUUGAAUCUUACACCACAACUCAUGUGAUGCAAUCUCCUCUCGCUGCCUAAAUUGCACUCUCAGCAAAGCAGCAUAUGUAAGCAAGCUUGAAGAUAAUCUUGCUGCUCUGCAGAAGAACGGCAAAAGUUAAUCGAAGCAAGGAAUGAUGUAUCAGAAAAUAUUUGGUGGAGAAUUCAGCACAAACAUAUUUCGGAUGAUCAGAAUCAAUAAAACCUGGUGGUUGUGCCAUAUAAACAUCUUUGGAAAGCUGACCUUGAAGAAAGGCGUUAUUGAUAUCCAAUUGAUGAAGAGGCCAGCCAUGACUAACAUCAAUACUAAGAACAAGCCGUACUGUGGUGGACUUAACAACUGGACUGAAAGUGUCAUAAUAGUCCACACCAGGCCAUUGAUUGAACCCUUUGGCAACAAGAUGAGCUUUAAACCUGUCAACAGAACCGUUGGAAUGUCUUUUAAUACAAAAAUCCAUUUGCAGCCAACAAUAUUGGAAGGGAUGGGAGGUGGAACAAGCUUCCAUGUCCCGUUACGAACAAGAGCAUCAUACUCUUCUGACAUAGCUGGACGCCAGUGAAGAUUUUUGAUAGCUUGCGUCACAGUUGUAGGUUCACAAUCAGAAGAAGGGCUAAAAUGAGCACGGAGGUUAAGUUUUUGUAACGGCUUGUGAAUCUUAUUUUUAGCUCGGGUAGUCAUAUCAUGAUGACUUGUGGGGCAAUGAUCUAGUGGAGUUUAGGAAGAUGAUUGAACAGGAAGUGAAGAAGUGCUUUGUGUAGAGGUAGAAGUAGGUUGGGAGGAUUGCUGCGGAGAUGUUACCGGUAGAGAAGAAGGAGCAGUACACGGUGGCAACUCCAGAGGGCCCACAAUAGAUGGAGUAGGUGCCGACAAUGGAGUACUAGGAAAUGAAACAGGAAGAAUUGGUGGAACACUUGCAUAAUUAGGAGUGGUAGAUGAGCUUGUAAUGAUUUGCAUGGAAAAACAAACUCUACAAAUUUAACGUGACGUGAAAUAAAAAUUUGAAAGGUGGAUGGGUCAAAACAUAAAUAAGCACUUUGAGAUAAAGGAAUAUCCUAGAAAAACACAAGGCUUAGAGGGUGGUUCGAGUUUAUGUGAUGAAACACAAACAUUCAAAAAAUUUUAAGUUUAUAUUAAUUAGGAGUGGUACCAAAAAUUAAUUAGCUAUGGGGUUGUUGGAUGUGUUUUGGAUAUUUACAGUUAAGUUUGAGUAUCUCAACUUAAAAUUUGUAGUUUUCACUUGAAAAAAUUCAGUUAAAUUUUGCAAUGCAGACUGAUUGAUUUAUCAGUUUAACGUGUGCCAGGAAUGAAGAACUGGAAUAUCACCGUCAAGCAAGCACCCUGUGGAGCAAUACCAAAGAAUGCACAAUCUGGCUUUGCUAGGUAACACUGGAGGCUUUUUGAAAAGUGCUUCACGCUCACUUGCACAGAUUGAGCAUCCCCUCUGGAUAUUGCCCUCUCUGAUCGAGUCUGAGCACUCAAAUUUUGGUCCUCAGAGGGAGCUACAGUUUUCUCUCCACUAACCAACAAUAUUCUAAACUCAGCACCUAGUGUGAUCAGAGUUGUUGAUAUUUGCAAAUGGAGAUCCCCAUAUUUGCAAAUGGAGACAUUUAACAAAUCACCAACAUGCUUCAUCCGGUCCACGAAAUUCUGCAACUGAUGCAAAUCUGGAACCUGAACCAGAGUCGGAGGUAUAUCUUGAGCCAUAUCUAAAGCAGUUUGAAGUUCAAGACCUUGAGCCCUUGACAAUGGUUUUGAAAUUGGAACAUCUUGGAUUACUGCAGACUUGUACCCCUUGGUUUCAAAGGUAAGGAAAGGCAUUGCUUGAGUACAAUUUGGAGGCAGCUUCUUCACCAAUUUUAUUUGGAGGCGAUUGGCAGCGGAUCCAGCUGCACCAAUUUCAGAGCAACUACUGACACUACUUCGAACAGCACACUGAAGAAGUGAUAUGUCUACGGCGAAGGCAAUGCAGUCCUCAUUUUGGCUUGAGACACAGUAAUCAUCGAAGAGAGUUUCCUUGUGAAACUGGGCAACACAUUGAAUCCCUUCGGCACUGAGAAGGUUGUGGAGGAAGUAAGCUUUCUCUCUAGUAAGGAAGAGGUGGCAUACAUUCCCCAUUUUGUCUAGGGCAGGUAGGAAUCUUUUUUCUAAGAGAUUUACUUCAUUCUCUGUGAGAAAUGCUUUGAACUUCAUCCCUCUGUCUCUAUCCUCACUUAUCAGUAAAAUAGUUGAAAGCGCUACAAGGAGAGAAAAGAAGAGUAUUAAGAUAUAUAUAUUAUAUAGACAAGAAAAACAUUAGAUGUCGAUCUUACAAGCUAAUACUUCAAACAAUAUCCUAGAAAGCUAAAAACUGCAAGAUGGCUUGAAAUUUGAAAAGAGCACGUGCUUUUCCUCCUUAACUUGAGAAAAUGUUUAAUAUAGUGCACCUUACAGAAGCAUUUAAGCAAUUAGAACUUUGCACAAAAACAUCAAGAAGACUAAACAAGUCAGAUGCAGUGUAUUUGUCCAAGCACAAAUUGCAUUUUGUCCUCAACUUUAAUAUUUAUUGAUGAGAAUCAAUACAGGUCCCUCAUUUGUUAUAGAAAGCUUUCUUGUAGUCUCACCAGUUAAUAUGGAUAUUAGAUAAGGAAACUUUAUUAGGUUGCGAGGGUAAAAAAGGAAAGAGAUAUCAUUAUUUUAUUAUCGAUAAUUAUUAAAUUUUUUUCCAAAAAAAAGAACAAGCAAGGAUAUUUUAUUGUCAAUUGCAACCUUUAAUUUUUUUAAAUGCUAUUAGAAACACAAGAUAACAAAAAUGUAGUGAGAUGGGAUCUCCUGCAUGCCACUCUGGUUUAGAACACAAAGAAUGUGUCUGCAUAAAUAUCCUCUGAAAUUGAACAACCCACAAACACAAAGCACCUCCAAGUCGGAGGCAUUGUACAAAACAUCAAAAGCCCUUGAAUCCUUCUCGUUGCCACCAACCUCGAAUUCUUCCUUCACUAUGUAUGUUAUAGGUCCAUCAGAACUAAUAUGUUUUGUGCUAUAGUAAGAGUACAUAGCCUCCACCUCCAUCUGAAACUUCCUUAACAUUUCAUUUGUGUACAGUUUUGAGAGUUGAAAUUCAUAGUAACAUCUUGGUUUCCGGAUACAACUUGAAUUUCUUGAAUCCAUAUCUGCCAAGGCUACCAGUUGAUAAUUCGCCUGCAGUGCUUGAUCAUACUUGUCUAAGAAUUCUUUCAAAGGAGUAUUCUUAUCAAGAUAUCCUUCAAAGUAUGAAGUAGAAACCUCAUUCUGCAGGAACGAAAACACUCCUGAUAAAAAAGCUUCCUUCAAAUAAAUAGGAGCCCACCUUUUAUGAUCUUCAUAUAAAGUUUGAAUCCAUCCGUGAUCCUUUAUUCCAUGACAUUGAAUCAUGUCUUCCCAAGCUGCUUCAAAUUUCUCAGGCCUGAGAGAGUGAUAAAUUGCUCUAUGUAAUGCAGCUUUAAUAGCUUCAUAUUCAAACAAUCCUUGGAGUUUCUCUGGAAUUUUUUUGCAUGAUGCAUGACAAUGAAAAGAAAUGAUAAGCUCUUGGGAAAACAUCACCAACAGCAAUUUGCAAGAUUCUACAUUGGUCAGUGAUGAUUGUUUGUGGAGAGCGCCCUAACAUACAUGUAAGCCACGCCGUAAACAACCAUGUAUAUGAUUCUAUGGUCUCACUGGCAAGUAAACCACAACCCAACAACACUGAUUGUCCAUGAUGAUUCACCCCAAUGAAUGAAACCAGUGGUACAUCAUAUCUUUCAGUCAGGCACGUAGUAUCAAUUAAGACCACAUCACCAAAGUACCUAUAUGCAACUCUUGACCUGGUAUCAGUCCAGAAUAGGUUUUUCAAGCAUCCCUUUUCAUUUAGAUCCACUACAUUAAAAAAGUUUGGAUCUGUCAACUGCAAAUGACAAAAGAAACUCUGGACAGCUUGUGCAUCUCCUGGUUUAAGCUUCAAUUGAUUUGAGCUAUUAACAUUAUUUCCAAAUACUCCAUUAACAUCUACCAUUUCCCUUGGUAUCAAUGAUAAGAGUUCGAAACAGUUUAAUUUUUUGAACUUCUUCAGCACUAUCUAAAUGCAAUGUUCUUUUGGUUCCAAUACCUAUGUGCUUAUGUGACUUGUAAAACUUUCCGCUUCUUGGGCUUAACAAGUGGUUAUGCUCAAGCUCGACUUCAAUGAUUCUCCACCUUUUGGUUUCCAUCAACCUAAACUUUAUCAUUGCUGGACAGCCAGUUCUUGUUUCUGGUCUUGGGCGGUUUGCCUCGCUUUUCUUCUUGAAGCCUGCACUACUACAGCUCAGCUUUCCUCUAUACUUUUCUCUACUCUUUCGGUACCAUGGAUUGCUAACUCUAACACCAAAACCCUGUUCCUUGGCAUAGCAAUUGUAAAAGUAAUAUACAUCAUCAUACAUCUCAAACUCCAUUCCAACAGUAGGAGGCAAGGGAUUUUGGAUUAUCCCAGUUUGUCCAACAUAUUCAGUCAUCGCACAAUCUCCUACAACCUCAAAAUCAUCAGUGUCAUCAUCACCUACUGGUUCGGUGUUGAGAGAAACUUCAUCCAUCUACAAUGGAUGUUCAAUGAAGUGAGCUUUAAGGAGAAAAAGCAAAAUCUGUUCAAGGAAUGAUAAUAUAAUCAUACAGUUACUUUCACAAAGCUUCAUAUUUCAUCACUGCUUUACCAACAUGCAACUGCCAGAGAACAAACAGACAUGUCAUAGACGCUUGAAUUAAGUAUUGGUACAAAUGAGCACACAUCAUGUGGGACAAAAUUUCAGUCACUAAACCCAAUACCACUUUUUACAUCAUACCAAGGAACAGAUUAAACCCGACACCUUCUUUUAAACCAUACCAAGGAACAGAUUAAAUCAUCAAUGAAAAAUUAAUCACAUAAUAACUUAACCAGACAAAUGAAGAGCCUGAAACAGCACAAAACUUGAAUCUGAUUAUGAUAAUUGUUGAGUCCUUGUAUCUACAGCUUUCCUUCAAUGAUAAGACAAUGAACAUAAACGAGACACAAAAAAAUUAUUUUAAACUGACAGCCCAUGAUAUAAAUCAAACAAAAUCAACUCCUUUUUUUACACAUUACAUCUCAUAUUCAUUUACAUUGAAACACAAAAAGGAAGCAGGAGUGGGAAAAAAACAACAGCAGAGGAACUUAUUUCCAUAAGGUUUACGAAAUAAGGAAUCUAUUAAAACCCAAAACUUGAGGUCACCACUAAGAAUUUGGUUCUCAUUAUUUUUUUCUUCAUUUUUCACCAAUUGAUGAACUUAAAAUACAAUCAUAAAUGAUAAAACCCCAUCUCCAUCUUUUUGAACUAGAGCUAAAGCAAAGCAUUUUAAGAUGUUUCAUCAUUUUUUUUUUUAAAAAAAACUCAAUAGUACAAUGUUUUUCAAUGCUAAAUGCACAAUUCAAUCUUCUCCUAAUUUACUCUAAUAAUCUCUUAAUUAAGGAAGAUUAAGCUUCAGUUGUAAGCUAAAACAAAUUUCUUAAAUCAAGCCCCAAUGCUUUAUGCUAUUCAACAAGGGCUCAUAAAUGAUAAAACUACUUCUAUAAAGAUACCCAUUUUCUAAAUUAAUUUCACAAACUGAAAUCAAACUCCUGAAACGUAACGAGCAUUAAUAUAAUCAAGCCCGAACAAGAAUUGAAAAAUGAUACAUAAACUCGUUUACACAUUUCGACAGACACUUUGCAAUCAAUGAGCAAAAAAUUAAUGGAGAAGAUAAAAUUCAAACGAAACAUGCCUUACAUUGAUAAAUUAGAAGGGCAAAAGAAAUUUUAGUACGAUAUGCGAUCAGGGUCUUGCCACGGUGAUGUUAUUUGUGAAGUUCGAGCGACUCAGCAGCCUUCGAGGUUGAAAAUUUGAUUGACCAAAAGCUUCCCGUUCGUUGAUUCUCUAAUAGUAGAAACGAGACUGGCAGUAUACACAAGAAGUUCGCCGAUUUUAAAUUCCGUUGUUUGAGAUGGAAAAUUUUUUGAAAAAAUUAAUGUGUUCGAUGAAAAUCAAAAUCUCAAAAACCUCUUGUUUUUCAUUUUUUUGGAAAAAACCAUUGAGAUCCUUACUAUUUUUUCUUAUAUCAUCUUCCUUAAUAAUUUGCAAAGUCUAUCGCAUAGCACCCAUGUAUGAUGUAUGCUGCGUUGUAAUUUACAAAAUUGCACAUGAAUAAAUCCAGCUAAAAUUUGUUAAAAGAAAAUAAUAAUAACAUGUUAAAACUUUAAAAUUUGAUUAUUCGAAGAAAUUUUAAUUUAGUUAAGUAGGUGACAUGAUAAUAAAUAGAUACGUAUAAUGUCCGAGAUUUUUUAUAAGAUUAAUAAAUAUGAUAAAUUUGGAUUAGUUCAAUUUUGACAUAAUUCAUAAUAAACACAGCUUGCUAAUCUAAAUUGCCACCGUUACUCAUCAUCAGGUACCUGUUUGAAAAAUAAUUACAAACAAUUUUAUUUGUGUUGUUUCUCUAAAAGUUUGAGACACAAAUGUUAUUUCAAAUUGAUAAAAGUACGAAAAUUCCCCCUUGCUCUUCAACUAAAAAUGAAACAUGCAAAUAUACACACUAAUUUAGAUGUGUGAAUAACAAAUAUGGAACGACACAUGCAAAGUCAUCUGUAUAAUUGAAACGCCAUGCACUAGUAGUAGGUAAGAGAAACCAAGGUUGAAGUUGCUCCAAUGGUUACUGUUAAUUUAUUUUUAUUUAUGAUUUUUUUUGUAAAAUGUAAGAAAUAUGUAGAAAUGUUGCCAGCAAUGAUUUUGGAACUUUGCAUAAAAUUUUUAUCAUUAUUGUUUUUGGUAUUAAGAAAUCCGAGGCGGUGAUUAGACGUAUGUUGCAACAAUUAAGAAAUUUCUUAUUGGAGAUAAUUUGGUAGGUUUGCAGCAAUUAGAGAAUAAUUUUCCUGCCAGUUAAUCAAUCAAUAAUAAAUUUCAAAUUGCAGAAAAUAAAAUAAUACAGCCUCACUUAGAAUCAUCUUUUCUAUCUCUUUCAAUUGUGGCAAUCAUUUGCAACAAAUAAAUCAAUUUGAUGCACAUCAUUUCCCCAAUUCAAAGUUCAAGUCACUGCUCAAUUACAGAGUAGUUAGUGGACAUGCAUGCAUGUUUAAUUAAGUACUGCAUUGUAGUAUCGAAAAUCAUAACAUCUCACCAAUAUCAGAUUAUUAACCAUGGAAAUCAUAUCACAAUAUCAUAUAGAAUUCACAAAUCUGAAAAUCAUCACCAAACAAGUACCCAGAGAAAUAAUCUCGUCAUAUCCAGACCUCAACGGACGGGCAAUGACGUACUAUUUGGGUAACGUCACACCCUGGAGCUACACGGAUAAAUAGGAAAAUACCAUCUCAUAUCUCAUCAUAUUUGUGCAUGCAUAAUCUAGUCCCCAAGGGACAAAAGCGCCCAAGCACACGGCCCAAAGCCUCUAUGUGUACUCAGACGGGCCCCAAAGGCCUGUAUCUCAUAUGUAUCAUAUGUAUCAUUUGUAUCUCAAUAUCUGUUUGUAUCUCAUUUCCGUAUAUCUAUAAUCAUCAUACCGCAUGCAUAUGCCCCCAAAAGACAAAAGCGCCCAAACACAUGGCCCAAAGCCUUUAUAUGUGUUUAGACGGGUCCCAAAAGCCUCUUAUCUCAUCUUAUCUGUAUCACUGUAUCUGGAGAGAAGGGUACUGUCUAAUGAUUUAAAAAACAAUCAUUAUACUCAUAUUUACAUACCUCUUAAUCAUAUUUGAAAUCAUAUCACAUUUGAAUCCACUUUUCUAAUCUUUAAAAUAUUAUCAUGCUUUAUUCAAAGUCGAUACGCAAAAUCAAUAACCAAACAUUUUAAAUCAAAUUAUUAACCAUGGAAAUCAUAUCACAAUAUCAUAUAGAAUUCACAAAUCUGAAAAUCAUCACCAAAUAAGUACCCAAAGAAAUAAUCUCGUCAUAUCCGGACCUCAACGGACGGGCAAUGACGUACUAUCUGGGUAACGUCACACCUUGGAGCUACACGGAUAAAUAGAGAAAUACCAUCUCAUAUCUCAUCAUAUCUGUGCAUGCAUAAUCUAGUCCCCAAGGGACAAAAGCGCCCAAGCACACAGCCCAAAGCCUCUAUGUGUACUCAGACGGGCUCCAAAGGCCUGUAUCUCAUAUGUAUCAUAUGUAUCAUUUGUAUCUCAAUAUCUGUCUGUAUCUCAUAUCCGUAUAUCUAUAAUCAUCAUACCGCAUGCAUAUGCCCCCAAAAGACAAAAGCGCCCAAACACAUGGCCCAAAGCCUUUAUAUGUGUUCAGACGGACCCCAAAAGCCUCUCAUCUCAUCUUAUCUGUAUCACUGUAUCUGGAGGGAAGGGUACUGUCUAAUGAUUUAAAAAAUAAUCAUUAUACUCAUAUUUACAUACCUCUUAUCAUAUUUGAAAUCAUAUCACAUUUGAAUCCACUUUUCUAAUCUUUAAAAUAUUAUCAUGCUUUAUUCAAAGUCGAUACGCAAAAUCAAUAACCAAACAUUUUAAUAAAAUACCAAUGCAUAAAUAAAAUUCAUUUCGAGAAAUCAUUAAAUCAGAACAUUUAAAAUACUUAUUUCGCAAACAUGCUUUACUAUCAUCGCUAACUAUGAAAAUAAGUUUUGUAUAUUCCACUUUCAGUGAUGGUGUUCACGGUCGGUUAUCGUCCAUAUCUGCAGACCGAUUCUCGCUCGCGAAUCCUCCUAAAUCAAGGAAACGACAUAAUUAUUUUUUGUAAAUCGGAAUUAUGACUAAAUUUUAUGCAAUAAACUCAAAACGAACAUCUAUUCAUAAUUGACAACUCCUAUAUCCAUAAAAUUACUAAAAUAUCCUUGAGUCCGUAGAUCAUUAACAUGCUCCGAAAUCGUAAAUCACUGAAUUACCCUCGGAAUCGUAAUUACACCCGAUCCUCAAUUAUAGGAAUUACUAACAGAUCCACAGGCUUAGAAAUUACAAAAUUGCCCUCGUAGUGUGAAAUUACCAAAAGCCGGAAGUUGGUCAACAAUGGCUAGGAAGCUCAAAUCGUAAAGUUCCAAUCACGCUGAGUUCAAUGGUACCGGCGGUGAGCUCCAACGCGCGACAACGAUGCCAGAAUCUAGCUCGGCAGCCGUGAAUUCCACCAAUCGACCGGCGGCACAACAGUGACUCUCGGUGCCUAUGGAUGGUCGAAAAUGGAAGAGGGAGCCGUGGGGAACAAAAUCCAACCGGUGGUGUCACCAAAACCGGUGAAAAUCCCGGCGGAGCAAAGUGAAACAGUCGCGGGUUUCAUGCUUCGAUCGCCGGUGUUCCGAUUGGUUUUUGGCGAGGAGGAUGGCAAGGGAACGACAGCCGGCUUCUAAGCUUCAGAUUGGUACCAAGCUCGGCCGAAACGAUGGCCGGAAAUGGGAGAUAUGACCGGGUCAAGGUCGCGGGUUCCGGGUCGGGUUUUUUGGUCUGUAGUUGGGUCGGUUUGGUAGCUUCUCUCUCACUCUCUGUUACACGUGCAUAUGUUUCCUCUGUUUCCAGCUUAUUCUUUUGCUUUUACUAACUUCUUAACCGCCUCAUACUUAUUCAUUUUUAAUUCACAUAUGUUACAAUAAUUCCCGAGUAUUAAAUAACCAGUGGUCAUAAUUUUUGUACAAGAUUCUUUUUUUUUUUUGGAGAUCGUUAAAAGUGGUUGACGAUCCAUUUCGUAAUAUCAUAGAGGGAUCAUCAAUUCCUUUUCUUUUCUGUGGCUAGGCAACACUUUUUGGCCAAAGUAAGGAAAUCUAUUUUAGGUAAUGUAAAAACCAGUUGUAGGAUGUAAUAGUUUAUUAUGCACUGACAAUAACUUUUUGUAUAAUUGUCAGUUUAAUGAAUGCAAGAGGAACUCUGUUGGCAAAUUCAUCCAAGAUAGAUGCUAAAAUUAUUUAUGCAUGCCAGUUGCCUUAACUAAGUUUUCUCAGCACUGGUUUUGAACAGGAAAAUGAAUAUGCAAUUUGUAUAUUGUGCCAUAGUGGAGAAUUUGGAUAUUCUUAUUUAAGUAACAAGGAGAUUAUUUGCCUCAUCUUUAAACAAUGAAUCUUUGAGAGAUGAGGAGUGGGUGAUUGGAUGUGUCUUCAUGUAAUUGUUCAUUUAUUUGUAUUUUGAACUGUUAUGAAAAUCUUUAUAUGCCAAAUUAGUAAUACAAGUAUUCAGAUGAUUUUUCCUAUUGAUCAUGCAUUUGUAUCUGCCCACAACCAUUGUAUAUCACUUUAUUCUGAUGCGCAAGCAUCUGUAAUUUAGAAGAAAAGAAAUAAUAAUCAUAUUUUAUUGCUUGGUUCAUGAUUAUUAACGAUUAUGGCUUUAAAAAUCUACAAAUUUCUUGUGUUCAUGUAUGAAUGUGCCAAGUUUGCUGUAUCUUAGAUUACCUUCUUCCAAGGUAACAAGUUCAUAUAUAUAUAUUUUUUAAAUCAUUUUCCAUUACAGUUGAAUUUCAAGUGUUAGUUUUGUUAUUAGUACCUGGUUUCCUGUUAUAAGGAUCUAAUAAACAGUGUACGGAUAUGUGCUCUACUUUUGGAGGGCUUCCACGUGAAAGAAAAUUACAACAAUUGAAUUCUUCCGGAGGAUAUGGUAAUUAAUUUAUUUUCUCAACUUCUUGUAAGACUAAUAUAUUUCCUUCAGUAGGCACAGCAUGGUGGGAAGGGUUUUUAUUGAAAGAAUUCUGAUAUUUCUUAGACUUUGUUUUGGAAGGGGGUGGAGGAAUUUCUCAUCCAUAUAUGGUUACUUGAUUAGCUUUUGACUGUAUUGUCUCUGUCGUGCAAAGGAAAAUCUAAAUACUAACGAUGGGGAAUUGCUUAGGCACCCAAAAGGCAGAAAUGAAUUACAGAAGGAAGUUUUUGCUGCUUUAUUUAGUGCUGCUGAGAAAUCUGAUGAAUUUCCUGAAAUUACGGUGAAGACCGAGUGGAGGUCCAAAGCAUUAGGAAAGGUGGUGAGUGAACUGCCGGAGGAAUUUGUACCAAAAUACAAGGCUAAUGUGGUGCACUUGCAGCAAGAUAACCAGACCGGUAUGUGCUCUUAUAUUAACUAUAUUGACUGGAUUUGUGAGUGUGUGCAUUUUUUUGUGUAUACUCACUUUUGUAUUUAUGCAUAUUAACAUGUGUAGGAUUCUUGAUUUCUGCCACUUACUGGAGAACUAGUGGAAAGCUUUAUAUUGAUAUAUCUGCAAUAACUAAUGGAAACUAUGAUAUGAAUAUUUUCUCUCACCUGGGGAGCUGUGUAACAGAUAUACUUUGUGGCUCUGGAAUGCUGAAGAUUCUGCAAUAACUAAUGGAAAAUAUGAUAUGAAUAUUUUGUCUCACCUGGAGAACUUUGUUACAGAUACCCUUUGUGGCUCUGGAAUGUCUAAAGAAUGCUUUAGUUAGAUCAAAUAUCUUUUAGUUAGAAAAGAUAAAAUUCUCUGAGUCUGAAAGACUGAAACAUUUUGCAUAUUUUGUGAAAGGGAAAUAUCUGUUGAUACUAGCUCAUGCAUUGAGGUAAUAUCGAUGUUAAAGAAAAACAGCAAUGAUUUAUGAUAUAGAAUUGGGUUCACUUGCUUCAAAUGCUGGUCUGAUCAACCAUAUCAACCUGUAAUGAUUCUGCAGAAAUAUAUAUACAUGGAGAAAGUAGCUAAAUUUUUCUUUCAUUUAUGGGUUCGGUCUUUUUUCCCCUUAUUUUUCAGCUUUCCUUCUCCUGAAGUAUGUUAACAAUUGCAGAUAAUGAUGAAGACGACAGCUUCCGGGCUCUCCUUAGAGCCGUGAUGGAAUAUAGGGGCACAAUGAAGGAAUAUUGUAAAGCUGUAGGUACUUUUUCUCCUUUCAUUUAUGUUUUCUCACACAUUUUGUAUAUGCCCUGAACAUGCACCUUUGUAUGUAUCAAUUGACUUUUAAAUUUUAAAAGCCAUAAAGUAAGAAUACGGUUCCUUGUCAGGCUACUGAUGACAUUCGCUCAGGGGGAUCAUGUUCGAGCAGGAAAAUUUCUAGAACAGGUAAGGUUUCCAUCUACAGCCAUCCAUUGACAGCAGAUACAUUUUCAUUCAGCAGACUCUGUUAGCAUUCAAGAUGCUGGCAGAUUCACUUGAUUCUUAUUAGCUUGUUUAGUGGCAAAGCCUAUAACCUGUAUUUCAAAGCCAAGUUGUGCUAUUGAUUAUGUUAACUUUUUUGUUAACAUAAAAUGAUAUGGAGGAAAUAAUCAGUGUUGGAAAAUUAGGUGAAAAGAUGAUGUCAAAUCUUGAACCUCUUACGAAACUCUAAGUUCUUUACUUGAAGAGGCUACGAAAUUUGAACAGCGUCUACUCGAAGGCCUUGCCAUUCCCUGAUGCAUGCAGAAUUUUUGUAUUUAAAUGCCCAGAGCUUAAGAAGCUGCCACUGGAUCUUGAAGGGGCAGACCAAGGUAAAAAUCUUAUCAAGGGAAAGGAAGAUUGGUGGAAACAACUUAAUGGGAGGAUCAAGUAACUCAGAAUGCAUUGCUUCCAUUUUUUAAAUUGACUGACAAGUGAUUGAACGGGGCAUCAUCAACAUCAUCAACAGGGAUGGAGAGAUACCGGAGCAGAUCAGCAGGGUUUGAAUAUGACCUUUGGCGGUUGCUUUUUUUUUGUGAUUUUUUUUUCAUUUUUUCCUUCCUGUCAUUUUAUCAUUUCUUUCUCUGUUUCUAUUGCGGGUGUUACUGCAUGCUUACUGUUGCUUGACAAAGUUUGCUAGCUUUUUGUUUGCAGUGUUGCUAUACACUCCGAGUCAAGCCUCGAAAAUUUAUUAAACGAAGCCGUUUCGACAGUAACAAUUCUUUUCUUUUCCCUUUGCAUGUCUCUUUCAUCUGCUGUUUCUCUAUCACUUUUCAUUUUUGAUUUCCUUGCUUCUCAGCUGCCCCUAAAUUGUUAUUCUAGCAAUAUACUUUCUCAUCUUUGAAUUUUCAUCCUUGAGUACUCCCACAGCCGUAAUUUCAUCAUCAUAGACUUCACUUGGAAUGCUGUAUUUUUUCGAUUCUUGAGCUACUUCAAUUACAUCUUAGUAUAGGAUCCUCAUCUUCCUUUAUUUCUUCAUCUUAUGAGGUAAUAAAUGGAUUUCACAACUCAUCUACUUUUAAGCAAUUACAUAUUAUACCUUGAAUGAUUCAACUGUUCUGACAGUUAAAGAUUUUAUGCUCAACCUGCAGUGCUACGAACAUUGUCCAUGAAAGAUGAGUUUCAGCAUAUAAAAUGAAAUAUAGAUGUUUAAUCUAAAAUAACCCUUCACUGCCAGAAACCUAGGUCACAAAAUUCACAGAUAAUGAUAAAGAGCUAAAAAAUUUGAAAAACUCUACAGAUCACACAUCAAGCAAGAUAUCAUGUUUUUUUCCCUCAUUCAGUGGUGAUUGAUUCGCUUUUUGAUGAUGGAUAUGGUAUAAAAGUGUUGACCCAAUUUCAAGCAAACACAAAUAGAAACACAAACACAAUCGGGACUAGAGUUGUGGGCGAUUAUCUUAGGUGUACAAGUGAAACGGUGGUGGCUGUCGAUGGUGGUAGUGGGGUGGUUGGGUAUGCGUGAUGGCUAGAUUUUAGGACAAUAAUGAUUGGAGUUGACCUCAAUCAACGAAGGAAAGUGACAACAAUUUUGACAUCAAACGGUGCAUUUUUUAGCUUAGUAAAAUGGAGCCGUUUCGAUUUUGGGGUUUAAUCCGGGGUUUGACUCGGUGCAAGUAUCAUUUUCCUUUUGUUUAUUAAAUUUUUUUAUGGUCACAAAGUAUCACUCGUUCUAUUUGAGAGUCAUGUGAAUCAAUUUUUCAAAUUUUCAAUUUUAAAUUUUGUGGUCAAUGUGAAUUCAAUUUCAUUUGUCUCCUGCAAUUAUGAAAAAAUUAAAUAGUCAUAAUAUGGAAAAAUACACCGGUAAAAACUUUGUAAAAGCUUCGGAGUGAUACGGGGAAUUCACUUACUACUAAGGACAAUUGGUGGCAAGCUAUUCCAUUCAUUUUAUGUCCAUCCAUCUAUUUAGUUAUUGAAGAUAAGUGGUCCAUUUGUAAAUUUCAGAUUGUCUCUCUCUCCCUCUUGAAAUAACAAUAUUUAAUAUAUCUCAUAAAUUAUUAUAAAUUUUAAUUUACUCUCGAUUUAAAAUGGAGCAUGUCGAUAAAUUUUUUUUCUUCUUAAUAAAAUUGACGUAAGUUGUGUUUACAGUAGUUUGAAGUUUGAAAUAUUUUAAAGAUUAUUAUUCUAUAAGGGAGUAAUAUGAAAUGAUAUUUACUUUUCAUGUGUGAAAUGAAAAAGGACGAAGCAAGUGUCCCUGCUUUUAUUUUAUUUCAAGGAGGAGUCAUCUCACAUACUUUAGCUCUUAACAUUACAUUUUUUCUGGUUACAUUUUUUAUUUAUUUAUUUUUUUUUUUUUACACAUGCGUGUGGGUUGCUUUUCUGUAAGCUCCUUAAUAUAUAUUUAAGACAAAUCAUGGAAGAGAUGGGAUUAUAUCAAGAUGAUCAAAGAAUGUUAAAAAAGAAAAAAGAAAAAAAAAAGAAGUAAGACACUGAAAAUGGAGAAGAGAUGGAAGCAAAAGAUAUUCCAAAACAAAGCAAUCUAUCCCCUUUCGAGGGCAGACUUAUCAGGUUUAAAAAAGUACACGCUUUGGAUUGGUAGUUGCAAUCAAGGGAAAAUAAAUAGGAUCCAAUGAAAUUUAAAUCUCGGAGAAAAUAAAUAAUCAUGCAGAUUUUCAAGAUUUUAAUAAGGGAUACUAAUAUCUUAUUUUGAUUAAUAAUAUCCUUUCAUUGUGUUAACUCAAAAAAUAUAUAUUUUAAUGUUUUGCAAUAAACAGAAACGUACUAUUAAAAUGAAUAUAUAAAGAAUUUAGAAAAUUUUGAAUGUUAUAUAAAAUAAUUUUAAGAUAAUGCGUGAGAUAUAUUUUAUUAAUUUAAAAUGUUAUUUUACCUAAAAAAUAUGAUAAAUUAAUAAUUACAUAUUUGAAGUUAUUUUAAAUAUUAAAAAAAUUUAAUAUUAUUAAUCUUUUAGAUAGAUUAAAUUAUUUUUUAUAAGAGAUAGAUUAAAUUAUUUUAAAAUACGUUAAUUGUUUUUACUUUUAACGUUACCGGCCUUUCUUUUAUUUUAUUGCAAAUUAAUGCUAACAAGAAAAAGCUAGAUCAUAUUCCACAAAAGCAAAAGUGACAAACACAACCAGCUGGAAUCUUUUAAUUACUAUUCAAUAAUUCGAGACGAUUAGGGUCUUUUAUUAAACUACAAAUUGUAUAGUCUUUUUAAAAUUGUUAUAAAUUGGUGGCACCUACAAUCCUCAAUAAUUGUACCGAUAUUCACAAGUUGGUGGCCCCUACAAUUCUGUUCGGAUAAUUUAACUGUGCAAGUGCUCAUUCACAAUAAUUGUUUUGUUUUUUUUUUCUGCAUUCCCUUUCAUGCUCUUAAUAAUUGAAGAGCAUACUUUUCAUUUUCAAAUGUGGAGCCGCAGCUAAUGUCGCUAAUUUAAUUUGGGAUUAAAUUAGGGGACCAUUAUAUUGCAGUGUGCACUAAUUUUUGUGUUUAUCUAAACUCCUUAAAUUUAAGACAUAUUAUGGCAUAAAUAAGAAUAUAACAAUAGCAAAAGAGUUAAAAAGUGUAGAGAAGAUCUUGCAGAAAUAUAAAUAAUAUCUAUUUUAAAAUAAUAUCAAUAUUUAAAAUAAUUUUUAAUAUUUUAUGAUUCAUUAGAUAUAUUUUAUUAUAUUAAAGUAAAUUUUAUAAUAAAUAAAAACAUACUAUUAAAAUGAAUAUAUAGAAAAUUUAGAGUAUUUUAAGUAUUAUAUAAAAUAAUUUUAAUAAAAUAUGUGAGAUAUUCAUAUUUUAUUAAUUUAAAAUACCAUUUAACCUAAAGAUUUAUUUAUGAUAAAUUAAUAAUUAUAUUUUUGAAGUUACUUCAAAUAUUAAAAAUAUUAAUAUUACUAAUCUAUUAGAUAGAUUAAAUUAUAUAUAUUAUUUUCUAUUUAUUAAAAAAUUUAAAAUUAUUUUUAAUUACUAUUCAAAAAAUAUAAUGAUAAAAAAGAAUCUUAACAUCUUUAUUAAAAAUUUAAAAAUUUACAUGAUCAAUUCUCUAAAUAUUUAGGGUUAUAUGUGAACAACGGUGGAGAAGCUUUAUUUAAUAUUAUUGAUUUAAAUAAUAUGUCAAUUAAAAAUGUACAGAGAAGGAAAUUUCGGUGGGUAUUUUAGUCUUUUCAGCAAUUAUCAUGAUCAGAUCAGCCUUUAGCCUUGAAUCGUCGGUCAGAAAAGUUUUAAAAUUAACGCUAACAAGAAAAAGCUAGGUCAUAUUCCACAAAAGCAAAACUGACAAAACAACCAGCUGGUUUCUUUUACUAAACUACAAAUUAAAAGUGGAUUCUUUUGAAUGCAAGUGGGACAGACGAUUAGGCUCUUUUUAUUAAAGGCAAGUAAAAACUAGUCGAAUAGUCUUUUUCAAAUUGUUGUUUUAUUAUUUUUCCUUCAAAAGUUAGUGUGGCUCAUGUUUGCAGGUGCGAAUGUGGGUCCCGAAUCAUUACUAAAAUUUCUAUUCCACAGCCCACCGCAGCUUCAGUUAAUCAAACUCAAAUCAAUUUUCUUUCUUAACAAAAUAUUCCAAAGAUGUGUAGCAUUUUUCAGAUCACAUGCGAUGGUGCUCUUUUCAAUCGUUGCUUGGAUUGCUUUCUUGGAAAAGCAGCAUACAUACGUAACCUCCAAGAUAAUGUUGAUACCUUGGGCACUGAAUUGGGAAAUCUGAUCGCUAGAAAGAACGAUCUGAUGAGGAGGGUUGUCGAUGCUGAACGGCAACAAAUGAGAAGGCUGGACGGAGUGCAAGUGUGGGUUUCGAGGGUGGAUUCUGUUAAAACUGAAGCUGAUCAAUUUAUAAGAGACGGCUCUCGAGAAAUUGAAAAAUUAUGUGUUGGAGGCUACUGUUCCAAGAAUUGCAUGUCAAGCUACAAGUUCGGGAAAAAAGUGGCUAAAAAGCUACGGGAUGUGCGGACUUUAAUCAGUGAAGGAGUUUUUGAGGUGGUGGCUGACAGAGCUCCAGAGUCUGUAGCAGAUGAAAGACCUACUGAGCGAACAGUAGUAGGCUUGCAAUCACAACUUGAACAAGUCUGGAGAUGUCUUGUAGAAGAAUCAGCGGGAAUCAUUGGCCUAUAUGGUAUGGGCGGUGUUGGUAAAACUACACUACUGACCCAUAUCAACAAUAAAUUUCUCGAGAGUCCAACCAACUUUGAUUGUGCGAUUUGGGUUGUAGUUUCAAAAGACCUGCGACUCGAAAAAAUUCAAGAAGAUAUUGGGAAAAAGAUAGGUUUGGUUGGUGAUUCAUGGAAGAGUAAAAGUGUAGAGGAGAAAGCUGUCGACAUCUUCCGGAGUUUAAGAGAGAAGAGAUUUGUAUUGUUGUUAGAUGAUAUAUGGGAGCGGGUUGAUUUAACAAAGGUGGGCAUUCCACUUCCCGGACCAAAAAAUACUACCUCAAAAGUCGUAUUCACAACCCGUUUCAUCGAUGUUUGUGGUAGCAUGGAAGUUGACAGGAAGUUUCAAGUAGCAUGCUUAUCAGAAAAGGAUGCUUGGGAACUGUUUCGAGAAAAAGUUGGGGAGGAAACUCUUCAGAGUCAUCAUGAUAUCGAUGAGCUAGCCCAAAUUGUGGUCAAAGAGUGUGGUGGUUUGCCACUCGCACUUAUUACUAUUGGUCGAGCUAUGGCCUACAGAAAGAAAGCGGAGCAGUGGAGACGUGCAAUUGAAGAGUUAAGGAGAUCAGCUUCAGAGUUUGCAGGUUUGGGAAAAGAGGUUUAUCCUCUUUUAAAAUUCAGCUAUGAUAGUUUGCAGAAUGAUACGGUUAGAUCUUGUUUCUUGUACUGUUGUUUAUAUCCUGAAGAUUAUGGCAUUCUUAAAUGGGACUUGAUUGAUUGUUGGUUUGGCGAGGGAUUUUUUGGGGAAUCUGACAGGUCUGGUGCAGAAAACCAAGGAUAUGACAUUUUGGACACUCUUGUUCGUGCGUGUUUAUUAGAAGAGGUGGAAGAUGAUGAAGUAAAAAUGCAUGACGUUAUUCGUGAUAUGGCUAUAUGGAUAACUUGUGAAAUUGAGAAGGAGAAGAGAAACUUUUUGGUUCGUGCAGGUGCUGGAUUAAAAGAUGCACCGGGUGUUAAAGGAUGGGAAAAUGUGAGAAGAUUGUCAUUGAUGCAAAACCAAAUUGAAACUCUGGCAGAGGUUCCCACAUGCCCUCAUCUCCAUACUCUAUUUCUUGACUUUAAUAGGGGGUUGGAUAUGAUCGCGGAUGGCUUCUUUCAAUUUAUGCCUUCUCUCAAAGUUUUGAAGAUGUCAAACUGUUCGAAUUUGAAAUUACCUGUUGGGAUGUCAGAGUUGGGUUCAUCACUAGAACUUCUUGAUAUUUCAGAAAACAGCACAAGAGAGUUACCGGAAGAGUUAAAGAAGUUGGUAAAUCUGAAAUGUUUGAAUUUGAGGUGGACAGAGCAUUUAAAUAAAAUUCCACGGCAACUAAUAUCAAAUUCUUCAAGGUUACGUGUGUUGAGAAUGUUCGCUACUGGCCGGUUCAAUUUUCAUGAAGCACCAGAAGACAGCGUUUUAUUUGGUGGGGGUGAAGUUUUGAUACAGGAAUUGCUCGGUUUGAAAUAUUUAGAGGUAUUGGAGUUGACCUUGGGAAGUUAUCAUGCUCUCCAAAUUCUUUUGAGCUCAAAUAAGUUAAAAAGUUGUAUUCGAUCUCUUUACCUCGAGUUGACCGGAGAUACAACGUCAAUUAUUGAUGCUACGGCUUUCGCAGAUCUAAACCACCUCAAUGAAUUACGGAUUGAUAAUGGUAUUGAGUUGGAAGAGUUGAAGAUUGAUUAUACGGAGAUAGUACGAAAAAGGCGGGAACCUUUUGUUUUCCGCAGCCUUCAACGUGUUACCAUAGCGGAGUGCCAUAAAUUGAAAGAUGUGACAUUCCUCGUUUUUGCUCCAAACCUCAAGUCUCUUCGGCUAUUCUAUUGCGGUGCUAUGGAAGAAAUAAUCAGCGUCGGAAAAUUUGCUGAGACUCCUGAGAUGAUGGGACAUAUAAGCCCUUUUGAAAAUCUCCAAAUGCUUGAUUUACAAGGUUUGCCACAUUUGAAGAGCAUCUUCUGGAAGCCAUUGCCUUUCACUCAUCUGAAAGAAAUGGAGGUACUUAGGUGCGAUCGGCUUGAAAAGCUUCCACUCGAUUCCAACAGUGCAAAGGAGCGCAAAUUUGUUAUUCGUGGAGAAGAAGACUGGUGGAACCGACUUCAAUGGGAGGAUGAAGCCACUCAAAUUGCUUUUCGUUCCUGUUUUAAAAGUGAUGCUUUAUUUAUAUCUUAUUCGUGAAAAGUGAUUUAAUUUCCUGCCAAAAGACGAACGAGAAGAACAAUAGAGUCAAACUAAUGCUCACAUAAAUUUCCCGUAAGAAUAUAUAAUUAGAUUGGAAUGCACACCUCUAGAUUGAACAGAAUUAAAGCUGAGAAAAUAUUGAGUAUAGUAGCCCUCUUUACAGAAAAUGACGUGAAAGUUAAUUUAGAAAGAUAUAUUCUUGAUUAAUCCAUUUUCUGAAGUUUUUAUUUUGUAUGGUCAAUUAUACCUUCAUACUAAAAAUUUCUGAAGUUAUAAAUUAGUGCAACUUGACAAUUUUUACUGAUGAUAUCUUCUAUUUUUCCCUUUUUUUUUUUUUCACUUUCAUAGACUGGCAGCGGAUCCUGCGGCACCAAUUUGAGAGAAUAUACUGACACUACUUCGAACAGCAAGCAGAAGAAGUAAUAUGUCUACGGCAAAGGCAAUGGAGUCCUCAUUUUGGCUCGAGAUGCAGUAAUCAUCGAAGAGAGUUUCCUUGUGAAACUGGGCAACACAUUGAAUCCCUUCACCACUGAGAAGGUUGUGGAGGAAGUAAGCUUUCUCUCCAGUGAGGAAGAGGUGGCAUAUACCUUCCCCAUUUUGUUGAGGGCAGGUAGGAAUCUUUUUUCUAAGAGAUUUACUUCGUUCUCUGUAAGAAAUGCUUUGAACUUCAUCCCUCUGUCUCUAUCCUCACUUAUCAGGAAAUAAGUUGAAAGCACUAUGAAGAGAGAGAGAGAGAGAGAGAGAGAGAGAGAGAGAGAGAAUUAAGAUAUAUAGACAAGAAAAAUAUUUGACGUUGAUCUUACAAACUAAUACUUCAAGCAGUAUCCUAGAAAGCUAAAAACUGCAAGAUGGCUUGAAAUUUGAAAAGAGCACAUGCUUUUCCUCCUUAACUUGAGAAAAUGUUUAAUAUAGUGCACCUUACAGAAGCAUUUAAGCAAUUAGAACUUUGCACAAAAACAUCAAGAAGACUAAACAAGUCAGAUGCAGUGUAUUUGUCCAAGCACAAAUUGCAUUUUUUCCUCAACUUUAAUAUUUAUUGAUGAGAAUCAAUACAGGUCCCUCAUUUGUUAUAGAAAGCUUUCUUUCUUGUAGUCUCACCAGUUAAUUCAGAGGUCUAUAAUCAUCUUGCAAAGUUAAGGGCAUUUCUUUUGAUCUAAAGUCUUUGCAUCACCACCUCAUCACACGCCAAGCCAAUAUUCCAUUUACCUCUACAACAAAAAGUUUUAAUUAAACAAUCCUAAUGCACGCAGCCAAAUAAAAUGCAGUAAGAAUAUUCAACUUAAAAAUCUGAAAGCCAACUUGGUGAAUUGCCUCCUUAGGUGAAGUUCCAUGCUUUACUAUAGUUGACAGAACUCAGCAAAAGCUUCCAUACAACAGAUUUUGAAAAUGAUGAUGCCAACAGAUACUCAUUCAAUGCAUUGAAACUCCAAAGGUUCAUUGUUCAUAGAAGUUUACAGAGUUUUGGUCAUCAAAUAGCUCAGACCUAAUCCCAAACAAAAAAUGAGUGAAAAUUAGAUCACGAGCAGCUAAUUGUAAAUUCUAACUUAACUCUUCAUCUCCUUUGUAAACAAGAAACAAAAUGGAGACACGCAAAAUGAAUAUGGAGAAAAUUUGAACUCAAAUGAAAUGAGGGCAUGAAAGCAAACAAAUGGCAUGCACCAAAAAACCAAGCCUCAAUCAAAAACUAAUUAACCAUUAAGAAAAAAAUUGGUCAGAGAAUGAACUCCAAAUUCAGGAGUCAAGCAAGAAGCUUUCAUUAUUAUCAAAGUCAAUUAUCUUUGUUAGUAUGCGAGUGUGACGACUAUAGGUUGUUCUUUUUCUAAUGUCAUAUGAUUCCAAUUUUAGGUACAGGGCAUCUCUCUCUCUCUCUCUCAUCGCUAAGUGGAUAUUUUUCUCUUUUGUCAUAUACUUUAGUUAUUCUUCAAUUUACUAACUAAAAUGAAGGCCGCUUUAUUAAGAAGUUAUAUCCAGUUAUAUAAUUUGUUGUAUUUAAUAUAUGUUUGGGCUCAUAAUUUUUUUUAAAAAUAUAUAUUUCAUUCUCCAUAAUUUUUUCCCAUCAUAGCUACGAAACGUCUUAGUUUCGACUAAAAUCCUAAAAUUGGUCCUUAAUUGAAUAUGCAUUGCAAUUUGCAAAUGUAAUAUUGUGAAUGGGACACUGGAGAUACCAAAAUGGUCAAAUGCGAAAUAAGUUAGGAUUGUACGAUGUAGUUUGUAUUCAUAUUCAAUGCCUUUUUUUUCAAAAAACAAAUUGAAAUGCCAUUACUAAACGAUUCUUGAUGAUGGGAGCCACCGUGCCAGCUUUGUCGCUGAUUUGGUAUUAUUCUUAACUUGCAGAUAGUUGUGGAUAUGAUAUGCAAAAAGGUAAGGACUAUAUCUUCUUGAUGGAGGCCUCUGAUUUUUUCCCUUCUAUGUAAUUUAGUAAAUCGCAUUUUCCCUUGUGAUUGAUAUAUCAUACCAAAGUCAAGUCUUAAAUACUGCUGUCAUAUGUUAAGGUUCAACUUCCAUUUUGAUUAACGUCCAUUUGCUGCUGCUUCCAAAAGUGAGAAUGAGAUACUUUGGUUAAUUUCAGUAGUUGAACCCAAUAGAGUACUUUAUUUAGAUCUUCAUGGUUCAAAGGCCUGAAAAAACUUGCCGGUAUUUGCAAAAUGACAUUCUGUGCUUUUAUUUAGGCUUAUUAUUUAAGUGAUAAAAACUCCCGUAACCUGCUGUCAAGAAAAUUUCAGAUUGUUAAAAGACAACAUUUUGUUUCAGCCAAAAAUGUUUGUUUCGAUUAAAGACUUGAACCAUUUUCAUUUAACCUUGAUUGUGAUGCUUUACAUUAUGCAUGUUCCUCUCAAUCAAUAAAAGUUGAGGUCAUGAUUUUAUAUUUCUAUUUUGUAACUUGAAAUAAUUGGUCUGCCUGUUUCUGUAGCUUGAUAACAUGAAUUUUUCCUUCUGAAGUUAAUUUGAUCAAUAAAGUAAUUCUUCGGAGAUGAUAUGCCCAUUCUAUAGUCAUUUUCUUAGGUAACAUGUUUUUUCUUCACUCUUCAGAGCAUGUCUAAACUAAUUGAUCGCUCAGCGGAGACUUUGGGUGAGAAGACAAAAUUUCUUGGUAAAUCCUCUAAAAAGGUAUGCAUAAUUCCCGAGUAUUAAAUAAUCAUUGGUCAUAAUUUUUGUACACAACUCUUUUUUUGGAGAUCGUUAAAAGUGGUUGAUGAUCUAUUUUGUAAUAUCAUAGAGGGAUCAUGAAUUCCUGUUCUUUUCUGUGGCUAGGCAACACUUUCGGGCCAAGCUAAGGAAAUCUAUUUUAGGUAAUGUGAAAACCAGUUGUAGGAUGUAAUAGUUUAUUAUGCCCUGACAAUAACUUUUUGUAUAAUUGUCAGUUUAAUGAAUACAAGAGGAACUCUGUUGGCAAAUUCAUCCAUGAUAGAUGCUAAAAGUAUUUAUGCAUACCAGUUGCCUUAACUAAUUUUUCUCAACACUGGUAUUGAACAGGAAAAUGAAUAUGCAAUUUGUAUAUUGUGCCAUUGUGGAGAAUUUGGAUAUUCUUAUUUAAGUAACAAGGAGAGUAUUUGCCUCAUCUUUAAACAAUGAAUCUUUGAGAAAUGAGGAGUGGGUGAUUGGCAGUGUCUUCAUGUAAAUGUUCAUUUAUUUGUAUUUUGAACUAUUAUGAGAAUCUUUGUAUGCCAAAUUAGUAAUACAAAUGUUCAGAUGAUUUUUCCUGUUGAUCAUGCGUGUGUAUCUGCACACAACCAUUGUGUCCCACUUUAUUCUGAUGCACAAAUAUCUGUAGUUUAGAAGAAAAGAAAUAAUAAUCAUAUAUUAUUGCUUGGUUCAUGAUUAUUAAACGAUUAUGGCUUUAGAAAAUCCACAAAUCCUUUGUGUUCAUAUAUGAAUGUGCGAAGUUUGCUAUCUCUUAGAUUACCUUCUUCCAAGAUAACAAGUUCAUAUAUUUUUUUUAAUCCUUUUUCAUCACAGUUGAAUUUCAAGUGUAAGUUUUGUUAUUAAUAGCUGGUUUCCUGUUAUUAUGAUUUCAUAAACAGUGAGAGGAUAUGUGCUCUACUUUUGGAGGGCCUCCACAUGAAAGAAAAUUGCAACAAUUGAAUUCUUCCGGAGGGUAUGGUAUUUAAUUUAUUUUCUCAGCUUGUUGUAAGACUAAUAUAUUUCCUUCAGUACCCAAAAGGACAGAAAUGAAUUACGGAAGGAAGUUUUUGCUGCUUUAUUUAGUGCUGCUGAGAAAUCUGAUGGAUUUCCUGAAAUUACGGUGAAGACGGAGUGGAGGUCCAACGCAUUAGGAAAGGUGGUGAGUGAACCGCCGGAGGAAUUAGUACCAGAAUACAAGGCUAAUGUGGUGCACUUGCAGCAAGAUGACCAGACCUGUAUGUGCUCUUAUAUUAACUAUAUUGGUUGGAUUUGUGAGUGUGUACAUUUUUGUGUGUAUACUCACAUUUGUAUUUAUGCAUAUUAACGUGUGUAGGAUUCUUGAUUUCUGCCACUUACUGGAGAACUAGUGGAAAGCUUUAUACUGAUAUAUGUGCUAUAACUAAUGGAAACUACAAUAUGAAUAUUUUCUCUCACCUGGAGAACUGUGUAACAGAUAUAAUUUGUGGCUCUGGAAUACUGAAGAUUCUGCAAUAACUAAUGGAAAAUAUGAUAUGAAUAUUUUUUCUCACCUGGAGAACUUUGUAACAGAUACAUUUUGUGGCUCUGGAAUGUCUAAAGAAUGCUUCAGUUUAGAUCAAAUAUCUUUUAGUUAGAAAAGAUAAAAUUCUCUGAAUCUGAAAGACUGAAACAUUUUGCAUAUUUUGUGAAAGGGAAGUAUCUGUAGAUACUAGCUCAUGCAUUGAGGUAAUAUCAAUGUUAAAGAAAAACAGCAAUAAUUUAUUAUACAGAAUUAGGUUCACUUGCUUUAAAUGCUGGUCUGAUCAACCAUAACAACCUGUAAUGGUCCUGCAGAAAUAUAUAUACGGGGAGAAACUAGCUAAAUUUUCCUUUCACUUAUGGGUUUGGUCUUUUUUUCCCCUAUUUUUCAGCUUUCCUUCUCCUGAAGUAUGUUAACAAUUGCAGAUAAUGACGAAGAGGACCGCUUCCAGGCUCUUUGUAGAGCUGUGAUGGAAUAUAGGGGCACAAUGAAAGAAUAUUGUAAGGUUGUAUGUACUUUCUCUCUUGUCAUUUAUGUUUUCUCACACAUUUUGUUUAUGCCCUGAACAUGCAGCUUUGUAUGUGUCAAUUGCCUUUUACGUUUUAAAAGCCAUAAAGUAAGAAUACAGUUCCUUGUCAGGCUAUUGAUGCGUUCGCUCAGAAGGGUCAUGUUCAAGCAGGAAAACUUCUAGAACAGGUAAGGUUUCCAUCUACAGCCAUCCAUUGACAGCAGAUAUAUUUUCAUUAAGCAGACACUGUUAGCAUUCAAGAUGCUGGCAGAUUCACUUGAUUCUUAUUAGUUUGUUUAGUGGCAAGGCAUAUAACCUGUAUUUCAAAGCCAAGUUGUGCUAUUGAUUAUGUUAACUUUAUUGUUAACAUAAAGUGAUAUGGAGGACAUAAUCAAUGUAGGAAAAUUAGGUGAAGAGAUGAUGUCAAAUCUUGAACCUCUUACAAAGCUCCAAGUUCUUUACUUGAAGAAGCUGCCAAAUUUGAAGAGCGUCUACUGGAAGGCAUUUCCAUUCCCAGAUGUAUGCAGAAUUUUUGUAUUAAUGCCCAGUUCUUAAGAACCUGCCACUGGAUUUUCAAGGGGUGGGCCAAGGUAAAAUUCUUAUCAAGGGAAAGGAAGAUUGGUGGAAAGAACUUCAAUGGGAGGAUCAAGCAACUCAGAAUGCAUUGCUUCCAUUUUUCAAAUCAACUGACAAGUGAUUGAAGGGGGCAUCAUCAACAUCAUCAACAGAGAUGGAGAGAUUCUGGAGCAGAUCAGCAGGGUUUGUAUAUGAUCUUUGGUGGUUGCUUUCUUUUGUGAUUUUUUUUUUCUUCCUGUCAUUUUAUCAUUUCUUUGUCUCUUUUUUUAUUGCUGAUGUUAGUGUAUGCUUACUGUUGCUUGACAAAGUUCGCUUGCUUCUUGUUUAUUAAAUUUUUUAUCGUCACAAAAUAUUACUUGUUCUAUUUGAGAGUGAUGUGAAUCAAUUUUCAAUUAUAUAUUUUGUGGUCAAUGUGAAUUCAAUUUCAUUUGUCUCCUGCAAUUAUGAGAAAACUGCAGAGUCAUAAUAUGGAAAAGUACACCAGCAAAAACUUUGUAAAAGCUUCGGAGUGAAACAGGGAAUUCACUUACUACUAAGAACAAUUGAUGGCGAGUUAUUCCAUUCAUUUUAUGUCCAUCUAUCUAUUUAAUUAUUAAAGAUAAAUGGUCCAUUUAUAAAUUUCAGAUUGUCUCUCUCUGAAAAUAACAAUAUUUAAAAUAUCUCUUAAAUUAUUAUAAAUUUUAAUACACUCUCGAUUUAAAAUGGAACAUGCUGAUGAAAUUGUUUUCUUCUUAAUAAAAUUGAAAUAAAUUGUGUUUGCAGUAGUUUGAAAUAUUUUAAAGAUUAUUAUUUUAUAAGGGAGUAAUAUGAAAUGAAAUUUACUUUUCAUGCGUGAAAUGUUGAAAAAGGACAAAGCAAGUGUCCCUGCUUUUAUUUUUAUUUUAAAGUGGAGUCAUCUCACAUACUUUAGCUCUAUCAUUACAAUUUUUCAGGUUACAUUUUUAUUAUUUAUUUAUUUUCUUUUUUACACAUGCAUGUGGGUUACUUUUCCGUAAGCUCCUCAAUAUAUAUUGAACCCAGCGAAGAAUGUUAUGGAAGAGCAAAUUAAUGAUAUUUCUGAUAGAGUCUAUUUGAUUAUGUAGCCUGAAUGGAUGUCUUGUUGAAAGAUAUCUCAGUGCAUUAGUUCAUCCUUGUCUGUCAAUGUGUUUUUAAUGGUUUUUCCAAUUGUUUAUUAUUAUAGAUUGAUUGUAAAUUGAUAUGAAAAUUUGAUAUGAAUUUAAUGUUGAAAUGUUUUCUCUUUAGUGGAAUGAAUUUAAAAGUGCAAAAGAUUAUUGCACACAGAGAAAUAAACAUAUAUGCUUUAUAACUUUAGCAAUCGAUUCUUUUACAGCUGGAAACAGAGAUGAUGAUUAUCAUAAGGAUGAAGAAAAGUAGUGCGUUAGACGAUUAGACUCUCUUAUUAAAGGCAAGUAUAAAGUAGUGAAGAAUCCAAUAUCUCUAUUGUCUAGUCUUUUGUUUAAUUCUUCUUUUAUUAUUUUUCAGAAUAAUUUUUGGUGAUUACAAUCGGGUUAUUAUUCAGAGUUAUUGUUAUCUUCUGGGGCAGUUUCUGUUCAUCGAAUUCAUUAAUUAAAAUUUUAGAACUCUUAUCAGAAGAAUAUUUUUCGGUUAUCUUUUUUAUGUUCUAAUUCCAAUUGUAAGAAGUAGCCAUUUUAGAAUUUGGGUCUUGAAUCGAAUUUCAAUGCAUGAAUUAAUAUUAAAAAAAAAAAAUUCACUACUCGCAGUUUAGGUUACAAAUUACUUUUUGGAAAGUUGACUUUGGAAUGUUUGCAAAGAAAGAGACUAACAUAUUUCCAAUUACACUAAAUCUCUAUUAUGAUAAUGUUAAGACUAAAUUAAUUUAAAUAAUUUUUAUUUGAAAAUUAUAUCAAACGCAGUCUAAUUUUAUUAAUUUUAAGAAAUAAUAAUUAUAAAAAUUAUUGUUCUGACUUAAUUAAUACAAGUGAUAUAAAAGUUAAGUGUGCACUAAAUCUGUUUUAAUUUUUUCCAGUAUAACUAACAGAGGUCAUUACUAGAAUUAUAUUACUAGUCUAUUAGAUAGAAAAAAUUACUUAUAUUGUUUUAUAUUUAUUAAAAAAUUUAAAGCCAAUUUUUUUAAUUACUAUUUAAAGAAUAUUAUAAUUUGAAAAAUUUUAAUAUCUUUAUUAAAAAUUUAGAAAUUUACAGUCCUCUAAAUAUUUAAGGCGUAACUGUCAUUUUCUCAAGAAGCUUUAUUUAAUAUUAUUGAUUUAAAUAAUAUCUUAUUAAAAAUGUACUGAGGAGAAAUUUUGGUGGGUAUUUUAGUCUUUUCAGCAAUCAUCAUGAUUAACCUUUGGUUGGCCUUGAAACGUCGGUCAGAAAAGUUUUAAAAUGCUUAAUUGUUUUUCACUGUUAACGUUAGUGGCCUUGAAAUUGCUUAUAUUUUAUUAAAAAUUAAUGCUAACAAGAAAAAACUAGAUCGUAUUCCACCCCCAAAGCAAAAGUGAUAAAACAACCGGCUGUAUUCUUUUAUUAAACUACAAAUUAAAAUGGAUUUCUUUAAUUAAAGUGGAUAUCAUUUAAUUAAUGUUUGAACAUUAAAGUUCUGAUAUAUAACCACUAUGCCGACCACCUAAUUGCUGCUAUUUAAUUUCGUUCCAGUUCUCUCUCUCUCUCUUUUUCUUUUUUUUUUGGGCCAAGCAAUAAAUAGUAAAAAUUCAAUAAAAGCAAUAUUAAUGCUGCAAGUGAGUCAUGUUAUUUAUUGUCAAUUAGGAAAUGUGAACCUAAUUUGAUUGCAUCCCUUUAAUCAUUUAAUAAUUAUGUAAGCACCAUCCCUUUAAUUAUUUAAUAACUAGAAAAUAGAACACUGCGUUUCACGCGGCUUUGAAAAAAGAAUUUAGUAUUAUCUUUUUUUCUUACUUUACACUUGAUGAAACUGAUAAAAAAUAUGAAUUGAUUUUUUUUAAAGAUGAGGCAGCCUUAUAAAAAAUAAAAAAAGCUAUUAGCCAGCAAUACAAAUAAAGAAGGAAUGCAAGAUAAAGAAUAAAAUGAGAGAAUAUAUUAUAGAGUGAUCUUAUUCAUUCUAAUUGUGUGUGUACAAAACAAAAAGAUGAGCUCUCCUUUUAUAACUACAUAAUUACUUCAUGAAAUUAAUGAAAAAUUAUGAAUCAUAAUUUCUUGUGAGAUAGUGGGAGUUAUUGGGAAGCUAAAAGUUGCUAAUGGGAGAUAGUGGGGAGACUAAGAGAUAUAUAUUAUGAACAUCUACAUUUAUUUUAAUAAAUUCAUAACACUCCCCCUUAAAUGUUCAUUACAAAGAAUAUGCCUCAUUAAAAUCUUUACAUAAUUGUUAUUGUGUAAUAACAAUCAAAUUAAUUAUAAGAAGAUGAAAAGCCAAAUCUAACAGAAAAUUUCUCUAUUUAUUAGAUAAUAGAGAAUAUAGCAAGAUGAGAAAUGGUAAUGCCACAUCAUCUCCUCACGUCCCAACUUUAUAUAUAUAUAUAUAGAUAAUAUAUAUUAUUCCUGUCCUACAUUCACAUAUUUAAUUGUCCUUUUGAAAAUAUUCAUGAGUUAGGCCAAGUAAAGUCAAAGAAAUUGGGAAAAAGGAACAAAAGGACAAACCUAAAUUAAUUGAACCUAAUUCAUGAAAAUGCACACUUUUGUGUUGCGGACGGCGGACCCUAAAGCUUCGUUGUUUGCAGCUGCAAUUAAUUCUUUUCCUUCAAAAGUUAGAGGCUCGUGUUUACAGUGGGUCCCGAAUCGGACGUACCUAAUAAAUCUUUUAAAAAAAUUUGCCGUAUAAAGGACAGAGGUCAUUACUGAAAUUUCUCUUCCACGGGCAAUUACAGCAGCUUCAGUUAAUCAAACUCAAAUCAAUUUUCUUUCUUAACAAAAUAUUCCAAAGAUGUGUAGCAUUUUUCAGAUCACAUGCGAUGGUGCUUUUUUCAAUCGUUGCUUGGAUUGCUUUCUUGGAAAAGCAGCAUACAUACGUAACCUCCAAGAUAAUCUUGUAGCCUUGGACACUGAAUUGGGAAAUCUGAUCGCUAAAAAGAACGAUGUGAUGAGGAGGGUUGUCGAUGCUGAACGGCAACAAAUGAGAAGGCUGGACGGAGUGCAAGUGUGGGUUUCGAGGCUCGAUGCUGUUAAAACUGAAGCCGAUGAACUUAUCACAGACGGCUCUCGAGAAAUUGAAAAAUUAUGUGUUGGAGGCUACUGUUCCAAGAACUGCAGGUCAAGCUACAAAUUCGGAAAACAAGUGGCAAGAAAGCUACGAGAUGUGGAGACUUUAAUCGCCGAGGGAGUUUUUGAGUCGGUGGCUGAGAGAGCUCCGGAACCUGUGGCAGAUAAAAGACCCACUGAGCCAACAAUAGUAGGCUUGCAAUCACAGCUUGAACAAGUUUGGAGAUGUCUUCUUGUAGAAGAAUCAGCGGGAAUCAUUGGCCUAUAUGGUAUGGGCGGUGUUGGUAAAACCACACUGUUGACCCAUAUCAACAAUAAAUUUCUUGAGAGUCCCACCAACUUUGAUUGUGUGAUUUGGGUCGUAGUUUCAAAAGACCUGCGACUUGAAAAAAUUCAAGAAGAUAUUGGGAAGAAGAUAGGUCUGUUUGAUGGUUCGUGGAAGAAUAAAAGUGUUGAGGAGAAAGCCGUAGACAUCUUGCGGAGAUUAGGAGAGAAGAGGUUUGUAUUGUUGUUAGAUGAUUUAUGGGAGCGGGUUGAUUUAACAGAAGUGGGCGUUCCACUUCCCAGCCCACAAAAAUACUACAUCAAAGUCGUAUUCACGACCCGUUUCAUUGAUGUGUGUGGUAGCAUGGAAAGUCACAGGAAGUUUAAAGUGGCAUGCUUAUCAGAAGAGGAUGCUUGGGAGCUGUUUCGAGGAAAAGUAAGGCAAGAAACUCUUGAGAGUCAUCAUGAUAUCGUUGAGCUAGCCCAAACUGUGGCCAGAGAGUGUGGCGGUUUGCCACUCGCGCUUAAAACUAUAGGUCGAUCUAUGGCCUACAGAAAGACAGCUAAGGAGUGGAGACAUGCAAUUGAAAUGUUAAGGAGAUCAGCUUCAGAGUUUGCAGGUUUGGGAGAAAAGGUGUAUCGUCUUUUAAAGUUUAGCUAUGAUAGUUUGCAGAAUGAUACGAUUAGAUCUUGUUUCUUAUAUUGUUGUUUGUAUCCUGAAGAUUAUGGCAUUCUUAAAUGGGAUUUGAUUGAUUGUUGGAUUGGUGAGGGAUUCUUAGAGGAAUCUGACAGGUUUAGUGCAGAAAACCAAGGAUACUACAUUGUGGGCACUCUUGUUCAUGCAUGUUUAUUAGAAGAGGUGGAAGAUGAUAAAGUAAAAAUGCAUGACGUUGUUCGUGAUAUGGCUAUAUGGAUAACCGGUGAAAUUGAGAAGGAGAAGCGAAACUUUUUGGUUUGUGCAGGUGCUGGAUUAAAAGAGGCACCGGAUGUUGAAGUAUGGGAAAAUGUGAGAAGAUUGUCAUUGAUGCAAAACCAAAUUGAAACUCUGUCAGAGGUUCCCACAUGCCCUCAUCUUCUCACUUUAUUUCUUGACUUUAAUAGGGAGUUGAAGACUAUUGCGGAUGGCUUCUUCCGAUGUAUGCCUUCUCUCAAAGUUUUGAAGAUGUCAAACUCUGGAAAGCCUUGGAAAGGUUUGGAAUUAAAUUUGGGGAUGCCAAAGUUGGGUUCACUACAGCUUCUUGAUAUUUCACACACCUGCAUACAAGAUUUACCGCAAGAAUUAAAGUUGUUGGUAAAUCUGAAAUGUUUGAAUUUGAGGCGGACAAUUUGGUUAAAUAAAAUUUCAUGGCAACUAAUAUCAAAUUUUUCAAGGUUACGUGUGUUGAGAAUGUUCGCUACUGGCUGGUUCAAUUUUCAUGAAGCACCAGAAGACAGCGUUUUAUUUGGUGGGGGUGAAGUUUUGAUACAGGAAUUGCUCGGUUUGAAAUAUUUAGAGGUAUUGGAGUUGACCUUGGGAAGUUAUCAUGCUCUCCAAAUUCUUUUCAGCUCAAAUAAGCUAAAAAGUUGUAUUCGAUCUCUUUACCUCCAGUUGACCGGAGAUACAGCGUUAAUUAUUGAUGCUACGGCUUUCGCAGAUCUAAAACACCUCAAUGAAUUACGCAUUGAGUCGGCUACAAAGCUGAAAGAAUUGACGGCUGAUUAUACAGAGAUAGUUCGAAAAAGGCGGGAACCUUUUGUUUUCCGCAGCCUUCACCAUGUUACUAUACAAAGCUGCCAGAAGUUGAAAGAUUCGACAUUCCUCGUUUUUGCUCCAAACCUCAAGUCUCUUUCGAUAGUCAAAUGCAAUGCUAUGGAAGAAAUAAUCAGCGUCGGAAAAUUUGCUGAGACUCCUGAGAUGAUGGGACAUAUAAGUCCUUUUGAAAAUCUCCAAAUGAUUGAUUUACUAGGUUUGCCACAUUUGAAGAGCAUCUUCUGGAAGCCAUUGCCUUUCACUCAUCUGAAAGAAAUAUCUGUGCGUUAUUGCCCUAAUCUUAAAAAGCUUCCACUCGAUUCCAACAGUGCAAAGGAGCGUAAAUUUGUUAUUCGUGGAGAAGAAGACUGGUGGAACCCACUUCAAUGGGAGGAUGAAGCCACUCAAAUUGCUUUUCGUUCCUGUUUCCAACCCUUGUUCCUGAACAGUGGUCGCAAAAUUUGAUUUCUGGUGAGUGCGUUUGUCUUUUAAAAAGAAUAAUUUAAAAGAAAUUUAUUCUUGUCGGUUUCUUCACUGUUUUUAUUUCAGUUUCUCUCUCUCUCUCUCUCUCUCUCUCUUUUUGUCUUCUGCAAAUCACAAUUACAUUUUUAUUCUUGUCGUUUUCUUCACUGUUUUUAUUUCAGUUUCUCUCUCUCUCUCUCUCUCUCUUUUUGUCUUCUGCAAAUCACAAUCAAAUGUUGAAUUAAUGGAAUUAAUGCUUCAUAAAUUUGCCGGCACUGCCAUUACUUUUUUUUGGGGGAUCGAAUUGAUACUUUAUUUAUAUCUUCUUAGCGAUUUAAUUUCCUGUCAAAAGACGAACGAGAAGAACAUAUGACUUAAACCAAUGCUCGCAUAAACUUGCUGUAAAAAGAUAUAAUCUCACUGAAAUGCACACGCCUAGAAUGAAUAGAAUUAAAACAGGGAAAAUAUUAAGUAUAUUAGCCCUCUUUACUGAAAAUCAAAUGACAGUAAAUUUUUUGAAGUUUUGAUUUUCUAUGGUCAAUUCCACCUUUUGCAAUUUCUUCUGUUCUAACAAAAACCAAUUUCUUUGUUCAAGUAUUUUCGUUUGGAUAUUAAUAAUUCUCCACCGAAAGAGUGAACUCUUGCUCAAAGGGAUCUCUAAUAAUACAUAACAUGAUUAUUUUCGUUUGAAUAAUUGAUUUCUUGAUUGAAUUGUCGUGUAAUUGAUUUAUGGGGGAUGACACAUCAACAUACUUGAAAAUACACUAAUCUCAGCAUCAUCGGUUAAUAACUUUUAGAUUUAUGGGUAAUCAAUAGUUAAGAUUAGUUGUCAUUAAUACUAAAUAAUUUUUACUUUUUUUGUCUCUUCUAGAGGAUCUUCUAGAAAAAUGCAUCCACAAUUAAAUUUAAUACUUUACAUAAUAAACAAAGCCUAAAUGUUAAAUUUAAGAAACUGCAUUGUAUUUCAGUUGAAGUUGACUUUAAUAUUUAGGGUAGAAAAACAAUUAAUUUUAUUUUUUGAAAUGUCCAUAUUCAGAGCACAUUUCAAAAAGACUCAAUAAUUUCUCAUAAAUUUCAAUUAAAAAUAUUCAAUUUGUUGUUUCAGUUCUUUUAUUUUUUAUUUUUUCCGACAUGAAAGCGACUUAAUGUUACUAAAUUGGGUGGUCUUUGGAUUUUCAUGACCCAAUAAUUGGAACAAAACAAUUUUCUCAAGCGCUCUCCCGCAACAUUUUAUAAUUGAAGCCGCUGCCCCGCCCGUGGUUUCAAACUUUUUUCUUUCUCCUUGUUUAAAUUAAUGGGAGCAGCCUCCGUCCUUGACUAGUUGACUGCUUGUCUUCUUUUUUUUAUUAAUUAAUUAAUUCAGCCGCCCCCCUUUCUUGUCCCAAUAUCUUCUACUUUCGGUUUCCUUUUAUUAUCUCUUUAUUUUUAAAAAAUGCUUAUAAUAAUAAUAAAAUAUAAAAUAUAAAAAUAAAAAUAUAAUUUAUCAGAAAAUUAAGAUAAAGAAAUAUUAUAAGCACAUCAAUCAACAAGUGAAAAAAAAACAAUUUUAAUUUACAUUAAAUAUAAACUUUCAGUGUUAAUCAACUUUUCUAAAUAACUAAAUUAAAAAAUUAAUUGAUUUAAUUGUGGUGUAAUUGAUUUGUAGGGGAUGAAUCAGCAGCAUCAUCGGUUAACGCUUUCAGAUUUAUAGUUAAUCAAUAGUUGAGAGUUGUUAUCACUAACGCCGUGUAUUUUUUAAUGUUUUUUCUCUCUCCUACAGCAUCUUCUAGGAAAGUGCAUCCGUUGCUAAAAUUUAGUAUCGUAAAUAAUAAACCAAGAAUAAAUAUUAAAUCUAAGAAACUGUAUUGCAUUUAAUAUUUAAGGGAGAAAAAUAAUUAUAGUGUCUUUAUUAAUCAGUAAAAAAAAAAAUUAGAAUCAUAAUAAAUUGUAUUGUUAUUGAUGUAUUUAUUUUAUUUUAUACUCAAAAUAAAUUAUUUUAAAUUAUUAAAAUAAUUUAAAAUUAGUAUUUUAUUUUAUACUCAAAAUAAAUAAUUUAAAAUUUUCAUUUCUUGUUUAUUUCGCAAGUUGUUAUUGCCUAAUGCUAUGUCAACUCGAACAUUAGCAUUUUUUUUUUUGGUCCUCUUUUAACGCAAAAUUAGUGUAGGUUAAGUAACAUAAUCAAUAUUAGGACAAUUUGAAAUCCCUAUGGGUGCGUUUGGUACACUGUAUUGUAUUAUACUGUAUUGCAUUAUUUUAAUGCUGAUGUAUUGUAUUAUGUUGUAUUGCAUUAGCACUGUAUUAUAACAAUGCUAUACAAUAUUUGGUGUUACAUUGUACUGUAUUAGAUUUUAAUUAUAUUAUAUUUAGUGUUACAAUUGUUGUAACAUAAACACGACCAAAAUAAAUUGUACUAAAUAAUCUAAGUAAGAGUUCUGUAGUAUAUGUAAUAAUACUAUUUAUAUUAUUAUUAUUAAUAAUUCUAAAUUAAUAUUAUUUAAUUUUAUUCAUAUUUAAAUAUGUAUUAUUAGUUUAUUAAAUUAUUUAAAAUAAUUAAUUUAUAUAUAUUAAUUAUUGUAACUUAAUUAAAUAAUGUAAUGCUAUAUUAUAUUUUUAUAUACUAUUUAAGUAUUUAUUAUUAAUUAUAUUUAAUUAUAAAUUUAUUAAUAAAUUAUAAUAUAAAAAUAAAAAAUAAAAAUUAAUAUUGUAUAAUAUUAUAUUAAAUUAAAGUUUUAUUUUUAUUACUAUUAUUAUAAAGUAAAAAAAAAAAAAAGGGAAGCUACUGACUUUUGAAACACAAAAGUCAGUAAUACAACCUAAUCACGAGGGGGGGCGCGGGUUUUGAUAAUGCGGCAAAAGCUGCAUUGUAAUGCUGCUCAAUGCAAUCCAUUUGAUCACCAAACACAGGUAUAUUUUAACUAAUGCUGGGCCCACAAAAUAAUACAAUGCAAUUCCGCAUGCCAAACAUACCCUAUGGGUGCGUUUGGUACACUGUAUUGUAUUAUACUGUAUUGUAUUAUUUUAAUGCUGGUGUAUUGUAUUAUGCUGUAUUGCGUUAGCAUUGUAUUAUAAUAAUGUUGUACAAUGUUUGGUGUUACACUGUACUGUAUUAAUUUUUAAUUAAACUAUAUUUGGUGUUAUAUUGUAUUGUAUUAAUUUUUAUAAUUAAUUAAAUUAAAUAAUUAAAAAAUAAUAUUUAUUAAUACUUAGAAAAAUAAUAAAUAUAGAAAUCUUAAUUGUAGAAAUUUAACAAAUUUUUUAGUAAAUAUUAAAAAUUAAUGAUUAAAUUUCUAAAAUUUGUAUUAUAAUUAUGAUAAAAUAAAUUUAUAAAAUUUAAUAUUAUAUGUAAAUAAUAAAUUUAGAUUAUAAUUAAUAUUAUAAUUGUUAAUAUAAAUUAAUAAAUUAUUAUUCAAUAAUAUUCAAUUAUAUUUUAAUUUACAAUAUAUUAUUAUUUUUACAUUUUAAUAUAUUAAUAAAUUUAUAAUUUAACAUAAAUAAUUAUAAAUUUAAAUAAUAUUAAUUUUAAAAUUAAUAUUAAUGUAAAUAAUAUUAUAAUAUUAAUAUAUUAUUUUUAUAUGAAUCAUUAAUAAAUAAAAUAAUAUUAUCAUAUAAUUUAUUUUUAUAUUUUAUUCAUUAUAUUAAUAUUUAAUAAUAAAAUAAUUUAUUUUUAUAAUAUUUUAAUAAAAUAAAUUUGCCUCAAUUGAGGCAUUAACUGUUGCCUCAAUUGAGGCAAAAAGCUUCCGCAUCCCUCGGGUUUGCGUAAUGCGGCCCCAUGCCUCAUUAUGCUGCAUUAUAAUGCAGCAUAAUGAGGUGUCAAAUUUUGCCAAACAUGUUCUUGGUAAUAAACUAAUGUGAAUAGUAGUAUAAUACCACAUAAUCUCAUGCACCAAACACGCCCUAUGUGUAUUAUUCACGGUAUCUAUGAGGGCUUAUCCUUUUGCUAGAACAAACUCUAGCAAAUUGUCAAAUGUGCUUAUCCUUUCCCUUGACGACUCAUUUUAAAAUUGUCACUCAUUUUAAAAUUGUCUUUCAAUGCACAAACACAGACAUAACCGCCGACAUCGAGCACCAAGUUUGGAAUUUAAUUGAUAAGCAUACAUUUGAUAAAUUAAUGAAAAGUUUGGAGAGUAGUUUUGAUCACCCUUGAUUAGGACGGUAUUACAAAAAAGAUCAAAAAGAAAACAUCGUCUCUCUUCACAAAAAUAAAUAUUUUCCGUUAGAAUUUAAUACAAUAAUAUUUUUUUUGAUUAAAAUUUAAUUAAAUACACAAAUAAAUUAUAUAUUUUUUAAAAAAAUUUACACCCAGUCACAAGGCUGGCUAUUAAACUUAAAGGGUGGAAGCUUCGGAGACUAAAGUUGGUAACUUCUCCAAGUGGUCUUAAGUUGACCGGAACUACCCAGACUUUAUGUUUGGUAGCCUAGACCUGAUCGGACCUAGGCCCAAGUUUGGUCUUAAAGUCCACAAUUAAAUUAAAAAAAAAUUAUUUGAUUUGUAAUUGAUUUAUGGGGAAUGAAUCCGCAGCCCUAAAAUUACACCAAUCUUGACAUAAUGACAUCAUCGGUUAAAAACGUUCAGAUUUAUGGUUAAUCAAUGGUUUGAGAUUUGUUAUCAUUAAUGCUAGAUAUUUUUUAACAUUUUUUUCUAUCUCUCUUCUCCUGAAGGAUUUUCUAGGAAAAUGCAUCCACAACAAAAAUUUUAAAUUGUAAACAAUAAACAGAGUAUAAACGUUAAAUCUAAGGAACAUCGCUGCAUUUCAGCUGAAGCGAACUUUAAUAUUUUACGGAGAAAAAUAAUUAAGUCUUUAAUGUGAUUUAUUGAUUAAUAUAUAUGACUAAUUUUUUAAAAGAAGAUGAAGGAUGAAGCUUAAAAAUAUAAAUUAUAGAAUUAAUUUAUCUCUUCAAUAAAUCUAAAGUUUAUUUUUUUUAUUACAUGCUUCUAUUUUAUUUUUAUUCCAUGUUAAUGAAUGGAGAUUUAAAUCCAUUUUGGAUUUAUAAAGAUGUUUAGAUAUUUAAAUCCACGUGUGAUUCCAAACUUGAACCUUUUUUUUUUUUUUUUCUAAUUAAUGCAAACAGCCGCCUCUUUGACUGCUUUUCUUCUUUGUUUAUUAAUUAAUUAAUUCAGCUGCCCACCUUUCUUUUCCUAAUGUUUUCUACUCCCAAAUUUUUUUAAGGACAAGGCUACGUUGCAGACGCUGUACCUAACAGCUGCACCUUCGCCAGCUUAAAAAAGGGUGCAUUUGGUAAGCAACUUUUCUUUCGUGUGCAUAUGUGUCCUGCCACCAUUGGGUGUGUACGUAACAGAUAAUGUACCGUAACAAGCUCCUAUUUUUAAAUUUGUUUAUAAUGAUAAAAUAUAAAAAUUAAGAUUAAAAUGUAAUGUAAUGUAAAAUUAAAGGUGGAAGAGUAUUAAAAUAAGGCUAAACCUAUGUUACGUUUAACGUAACAUACAUUUAAAUAUAUAAAAUAUCAAUGGAAACCCUCAAAUUUUAUGGAAACUAUAUUAAUAAAAUUAAAAGAAAUAUUUUUAAAUCUGAAAGAAGAAAUAAAAGAUAUAAAGCAAGAGAUAGGAAAACUAAAAAUAGAAAUAUCUGUAAAAGAAAAAGGAAAAGAAAAAUUAGAAAUAAAAGAAACAACUCCAACUGAAUCGAAUUCAGACUAAUGGAAGAUGUAUUAGAAACUUUAACUGAAAAAUUCAGUGACAUAAAUCUUAGUGAUUUAGAAGACUUUGAAAAAGAAUAUUAGAUAAAAAUGAAUACUGCUGGAGGACCAGAAAUGAAACCUAAUGUAGCAUAACCAAGUCAUAGAUAUGGUAUAAAUAAAAUGAAAAAUAAACCUUUUUACGAGUAUAUACCUCCUAUUAAAAAUACUCCUUGGAAAAAAGAAUACAAACCAAAUCAAGAUACAUUAACCCCAAUAAAUAAUGCUGGAACAUUUUUAAAUCUAGAUUGUAAGAUAGACAUUCGAAAGGCGUUAGCAGAAUGGGUGUUACAAAUGAAAUUAUUUUUUAUAUUUAACGGGUCAAAGGAUGACUAGAAUGUAGAGACUGAAGAAGAAAAAAUAGAUAUAUUUGUUGAAAUCUUAAUAGCCAGUUUUUCAGGAAAUGUGUUUAAUUGGUGGAGAGGAUUAAGCGAUGAUACACAAAACUUAAUAAAAGAUUCAACCAAAUAGCAUUUAGAAAAAAUAAAGCCUUAGGAAUGGAAAGGAUAACUGAAUACAUAGCUAGUGAAUUUUUAGGAGAAGAUUGGCUAGAAAAAUCGGGCAUAUAUGAAAAUUUAAAAAUUUAUGAUAAAAAGAUCUUAGUGUUUUUAUUAAAAAAUUAAAAUUUACAUGACUAUUUCUUUAAAUAUUUAGGGCAUAUAUGAACCACGGAGGAGAAAAGCUUUAUUUAAUAUUUUAGAAUAGUUUUUGAUCAGUACAAUUGGGUCCUUAUUCAGAAUUAUUGUUCUCUUCCGCAACAGUUUUUGUUUAUCAAAGUCGUCAAUUAAAAUUUUAGAAUUCUUAUCAGAAGAAGUAGUCGUUUUAGAAGUUGGGUCUUGGAUCAAAUUUCUACGAGUGCAUGAAUUAACAAUAAAAAAAUUUCAUUACACACGGUUUAAGCUACAAACUACUAUUUGCACAGUUGACUAUAAAACUUACCUCCAAUUACACUAAACCUCUCUAUUUGGUAACGUUGAGACUAAAUUAAUUUUAUUAGCAUGAAAAGAUGAUAGAAAUAUAAUUAUAAAUAUUAUUGUUGUUAAUCAAUUAGUACAUGUGAUAUAAAGGUUAAAUGUGCACUAUAUUUAAUAAUUAAUUAGUGGAGCAUGUUAAACAAAAUGUUAAUGUAUAUUUAUAUAGUGUUAGGAAUAUGCAAAGUCAAGUCCUCAAUUUGCAUUAUCCUGUAUAGAAUAUUACUCUAAAAAUGUUUUACUAUAAUUGGCUUAGAACAUUUGUAAAGAAAAAUAAUAAUAAAAUAAUAAAUAACAUACACCGUCACAUAGCACCUAGACAAUGAUAGAAAAUUAUUAAAGAGAGUGCAAACAAUUAAUUAGAGAUUUUUAUGAUGACUUUUAAUAUUCAUGAUAAUAACAAAUAAAUACAUGUAUCACUUUUUUAAAAUAUUAAAUUUGACUGCUCCAUUAAUAAAUUAUUAUUGUAAUUCAGACUCUAUCUAUAUAUCCUUGCACUAAGAAUAAUUAAGGUAACGUUUGUUUUUUAACUUAAUGACUUAAAGUGACUUAACUUAAUUAAUUAAGUUAAUUAGAGGUGUUUGUUUUAUAACUUAAUGAGACUUUUUAGAUAAUUUUGACUUAAUAAAAUAAGCUAAUUUUUUUUGGCUUUUUACUUAAUGGAGAAAUCUGAAUUAAGUCAAUUACUUGCUAAUGUCAAAAAUAUCCUUGUUUUAUAAUUUAUUUUUCAUGUCUAUCCCAAAACUCGCCCGUAGAUAUUUACCCCACAUAAAAAUAUCCCUGUUUUUUUCUUUCUUAUAUUAUAUACGAUAAAAUUUGAAAUUUAUAGUAUUUUAUAUAUUAAAAUUCUAAAAUAAUUAUGUAUUCACUUGAAUAUAGUUUUACUUAUAAAUGUUAAAAUAUGAUGGUAUUUAAUAUAUUAUUUAUUUGACAUUCAAAUUUAAUAAGGAUACAAAUGUAAAAGUACAUAUUUUCAGCUUUUUAAAUUGAAAAAAAAUAACUUAAUAUUUAUUUUCUGAGAUUCAGACGAAAAAAUAAACAUAUUAUUCAGAUUCAUACAUUCAGAUCUAUUCAGAAUUCAAACUAAUUCAAGUCUAUUCAAAUUUUAGACAAAAAAAUAAACGCCACCUAAGUCAUAAUAAAAAUUUUCGUAACUACAUCUCGUUUCUUCCUCAUAAUAAUAAUUAGAUUGGUUCGAAUAUUAUAACUAUAUAGAUUUAGUGUAUAGCCACAUCCAAUUUAAAUAUUGACCCAAUUGGGAUGGUCCCCAAAAAAAAAGAUUCGUUAAAGGAUAAUUCUAAUUAUUUUUACUUCUCAAACGUUAGUGGGACGUUUCUAUUAGCGCACUCGUAAGCCAAGUUGUCAAAUAUUUAUACUAAACUACAAUUGCUAACAAGAAAAAUCAAGAUCGUGUUAAGCAAGUGGGUCCCGAAUAGGACGUGCAAAUCUCUCGUAAGUCAAGUUGUCAAAUGUUUAUAUAAAACUAACAAUUACUGACAAGAAAAAUCAAGAUCGUAUUAAAAAUGGGUCCCGAAUAGGAUUAUCUUUUUAAGAAUAUUAUUAUUUUAUUAUUAAAAUUUUAUUAAUAUAACAGUAUUAAAAUUUAUUAAAAAAUAUAUUUUAUUAUUAAAAUUUUAUACCGUUAUCAAUUUAUUAUUAUUUUAUUAAAAAAAUUAAUAUUUAACAAAAAUUGAGAUAAAAAUUAAUUUUUGUUCUCUGUCUUUAUUUAUUUAUUUAUUUUUUUGGGUCUUCUGCAAAUCACAAUCAAAUGUUGAAUUAUAAAUUUGCCGGCAUUGCUUUUUUUUUUUUUUUUGGGCCGGGGGGUGGUGUUGAAUUGAUGCUCUGGGUUUUUGACUUUUGUUGUCAAAUUUUACUCUGUUUUUCCCAAAUUGAUGCUANNNNNNNNNNNNNNNNNNNNNNNNNNNNNNNNNNNNNNNNNNNNNNNNNNNNNNNNNNNNNNNNNNNNNNNNNNNNNNNNNNNNNNNNNNNNNNNNNNNNNNNNNNNNNNNNNNNNNNNNNNNNNNNNNNNNNNNNNNNNNNNNNNNNNNNNNNNNNNNNNNNNNNNNNNNNNNNNNNNNNNNNNNNNNNNNNNNNNNNNNNNNNNNNNNNNNNNNNNNNNNNNNNNNNNNNNNNNNNNNNNNNNNNNNNNNNNNNNNNNNNNNNNNNNNNNNNNNNNNNNNNNNNNNNNNNNNNNNNNNNNNNNNNNNNNNNNNNNNNNNNNNNNNNNNNNNNNNNNNNNNNNNNNNNNNNNNNNNNNNNNNNNNNNNNNNNNNNNNNNNNNNNNNNNNNNNNNNNNNNNNNNNNNNNNNNNNNNNNNNNNNNNNNNNNNNNNNNNNNNNNNNNNNNNNNNNNNNNNNNNNNNNNNNNNNNNNNNNNNNNNNNNNNNNNNNNNNNNNNNNNNNNNNNNNNNNNNNNNNNNNNNNNNNNNNNNNNNNNNNNNNNNNNNNNNNNNNNNNNNNNNNNNNNNNNNNNNNNNNNNNNNNNNNNNNNNNNNNNNNNNNNNNNNNNNNNNNNNNNNNNNNNNNNNNNNNNNNNNNNNNNNNNNNNNNNNNNNNNNNNNNNNNNNNNNNNNNNNNNNNNNNNNNNNNNNNNNNNNNNNNNNNNNNNNNNNNNNNNNNNNNNNNNNNNNNNNNNNNNNNNNNNNNNNNNNNNNNNNNNNNNNNNNNNNNNNNNNNNNNNNNNNNNNNNNNNNNNNNNNNNNNNNNNNNNNNNNNNNNNNNNNNNNNNNNNNNNNNNNNNNNNNNNNNNNNNNNNNNNNNNNNNNNNNNNNNNNNNNNNNNNNNNNNNNNNNNNNNNNNNNNNNNNNNNNNNNNNNNNNNNNNNNNNNNNNNNNNNNNNNNNNNNNNNNNNNNNNNNNNNNNNNNNNNNNNNNNNNNNNNNNNNNNNNNNNNNNNNNNNNNNNNNNNNNNNNNNNNNNNNNNNNNNNNNNNNNNNNNNNNNNNNNNNNNNNNNNNNNNNNNNNNNNNNNNNNNNNNNNNNNNNNNNNNNNNNNNNNNNNNNNNNNNNNNNNNNNNNNNNNNNNNNNNNNNNNNNNNNNNNNNNNNNNNNNNNNNNNNNNNNNNNNNNNNNNNNNNNNNNNNNNNNNNNNNNNNNNNNNNNNNNNNNNNNNNNNNNNNNNNNNNNNNNNNNNNNNNNNNNNNNNNNNNNNNNNNNNNNNNNNNNNNNNNNNNNNNNNNNNNNNNNNNNNNGAAGGGUCUCUAAUCAAUAGCUGGAAGCAAUUGAGAAGGCGGUUGCUACAGUGAAUUCAAAUGUAAAAUGUUUGCUAUUCUUCGAUUUGGUUAAUGAUUUCGUAUGAAUAUUGUUGUUCCGUUGAGUUGCAUGCGAAUUCAAAUGCAAAAUAUUCUUCGAUUUUCAAUUUUGAAAUCAAAUUUUUUUUUCCUUCUCAAGCAUGUUAUGCAGAAACGAUUGUCAUGUUAUGCAGAAACGAUUUUUACUAAAUCAUUUUUAACAAACUAUUGAAAUUAAACCACUGGAAUAAGAAUUGUAAGGAUUUAUCGUAAGCUUACUAAUACGAUAAUUCUGAAACUAUCACCUUUUUUUUUUUAUUUGUUGCAGGGAAACCCAAAUUUUGUAUUUUGUCAAUUUCAUCUGAUAUGGAAUUUAUUUCCUCCCUAAAGAUUUAUCAAACUGCUUCUCUUCCCUGCUUCAAUAUCUUUAUGCAAUUACGAUCUCAUAGGAAAAGAGAGUUUGGGUUGUAUAUCUUAUAGUAUUUAUUUAUUUUUUGUUAAAAGAAAUUUAUUUUAAAAUAGUUUAUAGCAACAGUUUUUAUUUAACAAUAAUGAGGAAGGAUUAUUAUAGGUUCAAAUAGUUGUUAGAACAUUAUAAAAAAGUCCAUUUACUAUCAAAUGUUUUAAAUUGGUGCAACGUGAUAAUUGUCUCAUAUAAUUUUUUAAGGGUAAAAACUCGUUUCAUUCCCAUAUUUUAAGAUUAUUACUCAUUUAGUCUUUAUAUUUUUAAAAAUGUUUCAAAACAUUCAUACCCUUAAAUUAUUAACAUCUCUGCUGUUACUUUUUAUUUUUUUUUGACUUGUUUUUACAAUAUUGCCCUCUUACAAUAAUGUUUCUUUUUAUAAAAUUAAUAAAAAGAAAAAAAAUUAAAUUAUCAAUUUAACCCCAAAAAUAAAAUAAAAAUAAAAAGAAUAAAUAUUAAUUUUUGUGAAAGUUUACAUGUGUCCAAAAUAAAUUUUAUUGUAAAAAUAAUUAAAUUGCCUUUUUUUUGGACAUUAGUAAUAAAAAAAUUAAUAUAUUAAUUCCUCAGCAGUGUGUUACAAAAAAGUAAAAUAUAUUAAUUUUGUUUUUAUUUUAGACAAUGAGAUAGAGAAAAGUACAAGAUAAAGGAAAGGACUUCAAAACUCACUGUUCAUCAUAAUGCCCUUUGCCUUUAAAAAAAAAUCAUUCUAAUAUUUUAUAACACAUAAAAUAUAAUCCUAAGAUAAAUAUAAUAAUACAUAUUUUAAACUAAUCUCGAUAUUUAAAAUAUGUUUUAAUAUUUUAUAAUCUAUCAGACAUAUUUUAUUAUAUUAAUGUAAAAUUUAUAAUAAAUACAAACAUAUUAUUAAAAUAAAUAUAUAAAAAAUAUUUAUUUUUUAUAUGUUUACACUGAGGACUCUCUUUAAUUCAUUUAUUUUCUCUCUCUCCAAACAGGUACUGUCUUCAGUUAGCAAUGCUAUGAUAGUAAUCCAAUUCUCUUCUCCCCCACCUGAGCGAGAUUUGAAUUUGAAUCCCUUGUUUUUCACCCACUCUGUUUUUUUUCACGCAAGAUUUGACAAUUUGAGUUAAAAAAUAUGGUCCAAAACUUGAACACGUAUCUUUUAAUUGUAAUAAAAGUUCUUUAAGCUUUGGAGAUGGCAUAUAUAUGGCUGGAAGUGUCCUUUUCUUUGACCUAGAGGCAGCACCAAGCUAUCCAGCAUCAUCAUUUUUCAAGUGGGUCUUAAAUGCCUAGAAACGUUGGUGUUUCUUGAUUUAAAGAUGACACAUGCUAUAAGUGUGAAUGGUUUGGCUAAGCCUAAAUUUAAAGUCUACUCAAGUCGCAUUCAGGAUCAUGGAAAUUGGAAAGGGAGAGAUGAUAGCAAGAUUUAUAAUAAACAAUUAACUUGGGUCCUCAGUGUACAAAGCAAAUGCCACGCAAGCGAUAGCCGGCCCAGCCCAGAAAACCCAGUGGCGAUCCCAGAGAUGGCCUCCUCUAACGAGUGCUGGGCCCAAAAAUCUUUGCGGGUUGAGCCCAGCUCCGGCAUAGCCCUUUUGAGCAGUAACAGUUGUCGAGACAAAAACCAGAAGACCCAACACUGUUCCAAUGACAAUGCAUACGGUAAACUCUGCCAAGAGCCUUGGCUUGUCUGGAGUCAAAAGCCAUCCACACAGAAGCAAAAAGGAACACAAACGAGCAAAUUAUCUCAAGCCAAAGGGCCUGCCUAGUCCCCAAGCCGAUCUCAACAGGCCCAUCUGGCCCAGGUACGACAACAUUCAGGGUGCAGCCUCCAAGUUGUCAAAUAUUUAUAUUAAACUACAAUUGCUGACUAGAAAAAUCAAGAUCGUAUUACAAGUGGGUCCCGAAUUGGACGUGCCUAAAUCUUUUUAUAAUUUUCCCAGUGUAGCGGACAGAGGUCAUUACUAAAUUUCUCUUCCACACGCCACAGCAGCUUCGGUUAAUCAAACUCAAUCAAUUUUCUUGGCUUCUCCGCUUAUCAAUAUUACAAGGUAUGGGUAGCAUUUUUCAAAUCACAUGCGAUGGUACUAUUUUCAAUCGUUGCUUAGAUUGCUUUCUUGGAAAAGCAGCAUACAUAAGUAACCUCCAAGAUAAUCUUGUUGCCUUGGAGACUGAACUAAGGAAACUAAUCGCAGCAAAGAACGAUGUGAUGACGGCGGUUGUCAAUGCUGAACGGCAACAAAUGAGAAGGCUGGACCAAGUGCAAGUGUGGGUUUCGAGGGCGGAUGCUGUUAAAAAUGAAGCUGAUGAACUUAUCAGAGGCGGCUCUCAAGAAAUUGAAAAAUUAUGUCUUAGAGGGUUCUGUUCCAGGAACUGCACGUCAAGCUACAAGUUCGGAAAACAAGUGGCUAAAAAGCUACGAGCUGUGGAGACUUUAAUCGCCGAAGGAGUUUUUGAGGCGGUGGCUGCCGAGGUGGUGCCUGAGAGAGCUCCAGAGCCUGUAGCAGAUGAAAGACCUACCGAGCGAACAGUAGUAGGCUUGCAAUCACAACUUGAACAAGUCUGGAGAUGUCUUGCAGAAGAAUCAGCGGGAAUCAUUGGCCUAUAUGGUAUGGGCGGUGUUGGUAAAACUACACUAUUGACCUAUAUCAACAAUAAAUUUCUCGAGAGUCCAACCAACUUUGAUUGUGUGAUUUGGGUAGUAGUUUCAAAAGACCUGCGACUUGAAAAACUUCAAGAAAAUAUUGGGAAAAAGAUAGGUUUGGUUGAUGAUUCAUGGAAGAGUAAAAGUGUAGAGGAGAAAGCUCUCGACAUCUUCCGGAGUUUAAGAGAGAAGAGAAUUGUAUUGCUGUUAGAUGAUAUAUGGGAGCGGGUUGAUUUAACAAAAGUGGGCGUUCCACUUCCAGGACCACAAAAUACUACCUCAAAAGUCGUAUUCACAACCCGUUUGAUCGAUGUUUGUGGUAGCAUGGAAGCUGACAGGAAGUUCAAAGUAGCAUGCUUAUCAGAAAAGGAUGCUUGGGAACUGUUUCGAAAAAAAGUUGGGGAAGAAACUCUUGGAAGUCAUCAU
rnacentral:lncRNA from 1 species